GUAAUGGUAACACAUUGAAGGAUUUCGAGUCGAAACCCGGCUCCUUUCUCUGGGGGUAUCAAGGCAACGACGCUGAGUCUAAGUCUAAGGAGGAGAAGCCUCUUAUGAAAGGCUUUGAGUCAAAGCCCGGCUCCUUUCUUUGGGGGUAUCAGGGCAACGACGCUGAAUCUAAGUCUAAGGAGGAGAAGCCUCUUAUGAAAGGCUUUGAGUCGAAGCCCGGCUCCUUUCUCUGGGGAUAUCAAGGCAACGACGUUGAGUCUAAGUCUAAGGAGGAGAAGCCUCUUAUGAAAGACUUUGAGUCAAAGCCCGGCUCCUUUCUCUAGGGGUAUCAAGGUCCUCUUAUGAAAGACUUUGAGUCGAAACCUGGCUCCUUUCUCUGGGGGUAUUAAGGAAACGACGCUGAGUCUAAGUCUAAGGAGGAGAAGCCUCUUAUGAAAGACUUUGAGUCGAAGCCCGGCUCCUUUCUCUGGGGGUAUCAAGGCCCUCUUAUGAAAGACUUUGAGUCAAAGCCCGGCUCCUUUCUCUGGGGGUAUCAAGGCAAUGACGCUGAGUCUAAGUCUAAGGAGGAGAAGCCACUUAUGAAAGACUUUGAGUCGAAGCCCGGCUCCUUUCUCUGGGGGUAUCAAGGCAACCACGCUGAGUAUAAGGAGGAGAAACCACUCGUGAAAGAUAAUUAAUGUCCAGGGAAGCCGCAACUUUACCUCUGAAUGAGCUACGGACAUAUAUGUCUUCUGGCUGGUCUGAUUUUCUCCAUUUUCUUUAUUGGCAUGAAAAUGUGUGAUAUGUAAUAAAUGCAGUUCUUCUUUCAACCAAGCGUUCCGUAUAAUUAAUUAAAUGAAGUCAGUACCGUUGAGUGCAUUUUCUGUUUCUUUGUUUGUUGUUUCUUUUUGCCAUUGACGGGUUUUUACUUUAAGUGCAAGUUUAAUUCCGAUUUUACACCCGUUGGACUGCAAGUAUACAGGUCGCAAUUGUAGUACAAGAUGUGUAUCGGGUCGAUCCCACGAGGAGCAAUUUAAACAAUUACUAAGCCCUUAUUCUCUCUAUUAUUUAGACUUACAAUUAAUUUGAGCAGAGAAAGUCUAAUGCUGUAAUCUACAAAUCUGAUAUACAAAUCUAGUUUAACAAAUACUGAAUACAAAUAGAGAAAUUUUACUUAAGGAAGAUUCUAGGGAUGUAGAUUCCACUUAUGGCAUAAACUACACAAAUGAAUGGAUUUACUCCUUGCUAUUAUUCUUGCUUAACCAGAGAUUUAUUUCCAAGAAUACCAAGUCUCAUUUUCAUGAUGAAAUGGCUUAGAGCAAUAUAGAUUUCCCUAUUUUCAUGGUGAAAUAUUCUACUACUCCGUUUUAUUUCAUGAAAUGCUCAAUAAUCCACCUAAGUGUAUCUCUAUUUUCAUGAACAUACAACUCAAGCUCUACUCAUGUGUUUCAAUUGUUAUUACCAAUUCUCAUUGAAUAAUAACACUAUAAACAUGCUAUUGGUGAUCAAUCAAUAACAAGUAAUCACAGCUACACAAGUAGACAAGUUAAUACAAGAUAUAACAAGUGUAGAUCACAUUCAAUUAGUAUUAUUUAGCAAUAAGUUUCAUCUACUCCCUAGAUGAAGGAGUUUAGCUACUCAUGAAUGAUUUAACAAUCAAACUCACAAGUUUAUUAAUGCAAAACAUCAUAAAGUACAAGUAUGAGAAAGAUAAAAGAAAGCUUAGCCAAUUGAAGGUGAAGCUCUCCAAUUCCUGCUAUGUUCUUGCACAAUAUGAUUAUAAGUGAAACUCUCCAAAAAAAUGCUUCUCCAAGUACUCCUAUCUAGAGAGAAAAAAUGUUACAAAAUGAAAAACUAGCUACGUAUGGUCCUCUUGGCUUCUCCCCUGUGUUUCUACAUAAAAUGUGGUAGAAAUUCCAUUCCUCUCACUUCAUAAUUUCCUCCACUCAGAUUUUGUAAAAAGAAGUCAAAGAUAUGAUGUUUCCUUUUGUCCACACUCAUUUGGUCUUCUCUUUUGUUGCAGAAGCAUGUGCCACCGAUUUCUGUCCCUCAAAAUAGCUGGAAAAGUUGUGAGAAAGGUAAAGAAAAACGGCUGUACCACUUGCUGAAGAGAGAGACAGAUCCGAGCCUCGGAUCCGAGGGCUGAAAAUGGAUCCGAGCUCGGAUUAUAGGAUCCGAGGUCUUCCCUUGAUAGAUCCGAGGUCGGAUCGUCCUGACCUCGGAUACACUCCGCCAGAAGUACAGACGAGGGGUCGGAUCCCUCUUAUACACACGGAUCCGAGCUCGGAUCCGUGUUGAGCAAUUUUCCAGUUUUUCACUUCUUCCCUUUUUCUACAUUUUUGCUCCCAAUUUCUUGUAUACUUUGUCCUCUGGAUGACCCUGACAUUUCUUUCAACUUGUGCAUGAAUUUCAUACAUCAAUUACCUUCACAAUUUCACAAAAUUAACGCAUUAAUCCACUCAUUUAUCAAUUUCUUAACCCUUAAACAAUAUUUAAGCAAUUAUCACCAAAAGAGUUCAAAUAUGGCUUUAAUCUUCUCAAAACAUACCAAAAAUUCAUGCCAAAUUCGUACAAAAUGUACGUUAAAUAUUCACUCAUCAGCCAUUUACCAUAGACAGGAAGCGCACAAAAAAUGAGCUAUUCAAGCAUGACAAGAAUCAUAGAGUGAGCGAACCAACUAUACCUUGAUAAUCUAAAAAGAGUUCUGCAAACUCGUACUCUCGUACUAAACCAGGACCAUAUAUAUAUAUAGAUAUGUCGAUUCAAUUUUCUAAUGAUGUGUGUGGUACGAACGCACAUUAGAAUUACAGAAAAUUCUAGAGUAAACUUUCACAAAAGAAGGGAAAGAAUGGAGAGCUCUUGAAGCGUGAUUGAUCGCUAUUCUUAAGAAUCCAAUUAUCCAUACUACACUAAGUAUUUGCUGUAGAGAUAAAGGUAAUUUAACUUUAGGAUACAACAAGAGAAGAAGAAGUUGAUAGCAAUAUCAAGUUUCUCAAACUAAGAAAUGAUCAAAUAAUUCUAGCUAGUUUUGACAAUAAAGGCUUGUUUUUUUACAAGUAACCUGUUUUCCACUCGUCUCUAAGUAUAUAUCCUUCGAUACGUGGCACUUAAUCCCAAUUAUUUGACUUUAAACUUCAUUCUGUGAUGUGGAUUCUAUGUGUUAGUAUAUACAAGACUAAUCUUAAACAUUACUUGAAAAUCAUAUUAUAUGUAAUUGAGUACCGCAUAACUUGCAAUUAUCCACUUACGCUCUCAAUAUUAUUGGGAUAUUACAUGGAUUUUCGUUUCGGUAACUCUAAUUAUAUAGUCUCACGAUCCAUCUUAACUGAAGGGGCCAUUAUGAAUUACCAAUUAUAUAGUCUCACGAUCCAUCUUAACUGAAGGGGCCAUUAUGAAUUAGAUGAACAUGAAGUUGAAUUUCGAUUCUCAAGCUAUUCCCUUCCUCUUUCUUCAUUGUAAGGAUUAGAGUCUCUUUUGGAGGAAAAAAACACUCUAAUUAUACAGGAUUAAAGCAAAUAGCAAUGGUUGAUAAGUGACUAAUUUACGUAAUAAUUGUAUAAUAUUUUAUAUUAUUUUUAGUCACUUUAGUUAUAUUAUUGGAAGAAAAUGAAUGAUUUUGGCUAUAAUUGGUGAAAAAUACUUUUAAAUAAUUAAAUGAGGUUUUUAUCACUUUUUACUUGGAUUUUGUGUAUUUUGAUAGUUUUGACAUAUUUUCGUAUUUCGGCUAUAACUUGAGUUACAAUGAUCGGAUUGGGAUGAUUCUUGAACCCAUUUGAAGAUAAGAGAUAGAUCUACAACUUUGGUGAAAACAUCUGAAUCCAGUUUGAAGCGUUUCCAAGUCAAAAAGCCGAAUUACAGUAGCAAAUUUCCACUGGUCGAAGCUGAAACAGGGCAAUGAGCAGGCAAGGGUAUUUCGGUCAUUUCUCAGCCUACACAGAUCCAAAUGAGGUGAUUCUUGAUGCAUUGGAAAGCUAACUCAAAGGGCUACAAAUUUCAUGUUUUGAUCAAGAGCUAAAUCAGCUUUUAUCAUCAAGAAAAGUUCAGUGGAAGUUGAUGCAAAAUUGGAGCAGAGCUGGAAAUUGAACCAGAAGUGAUCAAAUGGUCACUGUAGCAAUCCGGCAGGAAUUUGGCCGGAUUUGUGGCCGGAUUCCUGGCCGGAUUGUGGUCAGAGAAGGCUGCUCUUUACGCGGAAAACUUAAUUUCAUCUCCACCAACUCACAUGUGAUGCUAGACAUGUGAGAAACAUUCUCAGCUGUAAAAGGGAGGUGUAAACCUCACUUCUUGACCAACUUUCAUCAUUAUAUAGCAAAAGCUUGCAAGAUUGAAGGGAGAUAGAGAGAGAUACGGGAGAAAGCUUGGACUGCAAAAAAUGUAGCUCUACCAUUCUUCCUAGUGUUAGUUUAGCUUAGUAUAGAGUAGGAUAGUUCAUCCAUUCUUGUUAUUAGCUAGAUAAAGAAGAAGAUAAAGGAUGAAGAAGGCAAGGAAGAAAGCUCAUGUGACAAGGGUUGUAUUCCUUCCAAACUCUUUAUCUUUUGUACUUGAUUCCAAGUUUAGUUGAUAUGCAAGUUCUGGAUUUUGUGUUCAAUAUGUGUCUCUAAAGUUUAUACCUUGGGUUUGGUUGAACUUUCUAUAAUUGUUAGUGUUUAUUAUUUGGUUAUUUGAUUGCUAUGAUUUGAGCAAGUUAUUUAGCACUUUGGCUCUUUAAAUCAUGAUUAAUUUGGUACCAUUGAUUGUGAUUAUCUAAGGUGUUGUUUCUGCAAUGAAAAUUGAGAUUUAACACUGGUUCAAGAAGUGCUAAACAUAGGGAAUACACUCACGAGAGUAGAGCUACACCUAUGUGGUUUUAGUGAUUCAUUCCAUGUAAUUUCACUGAAGAAAUGAACUUGUAGCUAAUUUCAUAACCAUGAGAAUAGGUAUGGAUUAGUUAUGAGUAUAGUUGAUUCACUACGAAAGUAGGUUUCACAUGUUUAAGGAAAUUACACCAUAACUAGCUUAGAUGUAGUAUUCAAUGAUCCAAAUAUAGCACUUGCAUGAGUAGUUAGGGAUACCACAAUCUAAGGAGCUUUUAUUUGUUAUUUUAUAUAAUUUCAGUAGGUUAAAUUUGUUAUAAUUCAUUGAUAGUCUAAAUAAUAGAGAAGCUUUCGUAAUACCGGUAAUUGUUCACUCUUCCCUGUGGAAUCGACCCGAUAUAUACCCUAAACUACUAGUUGACCUGUAUACUUGCAGUGAAUGGGUGUAAUUCGAUUUUUUUUUUUUUAACUUGCACGUAUGUAAAAUACCCGUCAAUGGUCUAUAAAAGCAUAAAAAGUAAGCAGGCUGGGGCAUAUUUAUUAAAACAUGAAAAUAAUAUGAAAUUUUAUAAUACACAUGAUACGAAUAAUAAACUGUACGUAAAUAAUGCAAAUAUAUUCGAAAAGUACAAAGCUGAUCAAAAUACAGCUUCAUUUACCAUGUGCAUAAUAGCUGUGUGCACAUUCUAGUGAAGAUUUUUUUAUUUUUAGUGUAAGUGAGAAAUUUCGAGUUCCAAACCUUUCACUUACACUCUUUUUUCCUAUAUCAUCCAAUCCAUCCCUUCCCAUAUUUUUAUGAAGAUGAGCACAUAAUGUGAGUUUUUAUUUUUUGAGGUGAAUAACUUGUUCACAAAAAAGUUUUCUCGAUUUAGGUAAAGUUUAAACUUUACCUUGUCUAAACAACGCAAGUAGAUGCCACUAGGACUAGGGAUGGCAACGGGGCGGGGGACCCCUCCCCCAUCCCCCGCCCCGCUACCUACAAACUCCCCCCGUCCCCCGCCUCCCACUUCCCCUGCCCCGCCCCGCUUCCCCCGCGGGGUUAAUAAAAUUUUUCCCGCUAGAUUAAUAAAAUUUUAUUAUAGUUAAAUUUUAAUAAAUAAUCAAGUACUAAAAUAUCAACACAUCAUCAAGUUAUUAUUCAUUUUAAUUUUAUAAUUGAAACUCAUAAAAACAAUCAAACAAAAAUUAUUUGAAUACAAUCCAACAUGAUGAAAUAAAUAUAACUAAAAUAGUUAAGUUUUCACUUUUGGUACAAAUACAAUCACUAAUUCAUUAUUGUGUUUGUGCUUUUUUUUUUAGAAAAAGUGUUAUUCAAUUAAGUAUAAUUAGAAAUUUAGUAUAAAUGUAUUACUAAAUUUAGUAUAACUAAUUAAUAAAUUCUAUUAGUAGACAUGUCUAAUUAUUCGUAUAAUUGAUAAUAUUAAUUAUAUUACAUACACUAAUAUACAUUAUAUAAUACAUCUAACUAAUAAUAUCAUUAUCAUAAGUUUAUAACUAAUUAAAUUACAUAUUAUAUAUAAUUAUAUAUAUAAUUUUUUUUGAGGGUGGCGGGGCGGUGGAUGGGGCGGGGGUAUACUCCCCCGCUCCCCGCCUUGUUUCUAAACGGGGGAAAAAAUUCCCCCCCGUCCCCGCCCCAUCCCCCGCCCCAACCCCAGCCCCGAGAGCCCCCCGCGGGGCGGUUGCCUGCGGGCACCCGCCCCCAUUGCCAUCCCUAACUAGGACAGAAGUCAUUAUGAUGACUUCAUCCAAGGUAACGAAAAAAAAGGCGUACAAUUGCACUUAAAAUUUGUGAAUUUAUAGUACUAUUUCAUGGUUUAUCCUAGGGGUGUUUCGCGAAUCGAGCCGCUCGCGAUCGAAAACGAGCUCGACUCGAGCUCGUCAAUAUCGAGUUUGAGUCGAGCUCGAGCUAAUUAAGUCGAUCUCGAGCUCAAGCUCGAGCUCAAAAACAUUAAGCUCGUUGGCUCGCGAGCGGCUCACGAGCUCGAUUAUAUAUAUUUUUUUUUAUUUUUUAUUUUAAUAGUAAAAUUACAUAUAUCUCUAAUAUUUUAUUAUUUAUUAAAAAAAUUAUUAUUUUAUUCAUUUUUAAAAAUAAAUAAUUAUUUUUUAUUUUUUAAAAAUAAAAUAAUAAUAAUUAUUUUUUUAUUUUUUAAGCUCAAGCUUGAGCUCGAGCUCGACUCGAAUUUGACUCAUGCUCAAGCUCGAGCUCGAUAUUUUGAGCUCGUCGAGCUCGAGCUUCACAAAAUUAACUCGAGGUCGGCUCGAUUAGCCAAAGCUCGACUCGAGGUCGGCUCGUUUGCACCCCUAGUUUAUCCCCUCAAAGUUAACAACAAAUAAUGUUUUGAACCCCAUUUAAACAACUUAUGAGCGUAAUUCAAAUUUAUUGCUCCAUUAUGUGUGUACAAUGUAUCAAAACAAAAGAGUAGCAAAUUGUGUUUUAUUGCACUUUUUGUUUAGCUAGCUUCAUGCAAAUUAACCUUCGUAGAUUAUAGGUAAAGAAUUGGUUUGCCAUUCAAUGUAUCCAAGAAAUAUGUGUUAGUACAUAAUGCUUAUUUUAAUGGAUGUACUGGUGUAAAACAAAAUUACAAAUUAUUAAAUUUUAAACUUUACAAGUACUUAAAGCACAAUAAUUUUUUAUUAAAUUAAAAUUUUCCCUUCUGUGAUUUGGUAGUUUAUCUUAUAACCCCUCUAUAGUUUAAAAAUCUGUAAUCAACCUCCUCAUAAUCUGGGUUAACAUAUCAUCGUUAAUUUUUCUAAAGUUUAAGUCAAAUUAAUAUAUUGAAAAAUUUAUCCUUUCACUAAUUCUUUGAGGUAGUUACAAAACUAUUACAAUUAUUAUACACCUUAAACUAUGUAUUUGUUUUCAAGUAAACACAAAAGGUGCAACAAACCAUUUUUAGCCAAGUUAAUAAAAUUGCAAAUGUAACAAUAAAAAGCACCCUAUGAAAAGUUACUCUAUAUGAUUAAGAAAAUAAUUUAUAUUUAUUAGAAUGGAAAAAAGUUGCCAGAAGAGGGAGAGACCAUAAGAAAAAUAGUUUAGAGUGAACUGCAUCAAUCAUGCCUUCCAUCAGGGAAAAAUGAUAGAUGUGCGUGUAUAUAGGUACAUAUACGCGCAUUUAUGUAUGUGCAUGUACACGGACGUGAGGUAGUUCCUUUAAAAAGUAGCUUCUCCUGCAAUAAUCCAAAUUUUAGCACAGUGGCAGAAAUGGAAAAGUAGUAUAGGCUGAACCGAAAUCUACUAAAAUACAAGCUUGAAAUUCAGAUAGAAAUUGAAAUGCAUAAAACGUCCAGAGCCUUUUUUUUUUUUUUUUUUGAGGAGAUAAAACGUUCGGAGCUGAAAGCAGAACCAGUCUUUGAGUCGUAGUGUUAUUUAGAUUCAAGUGAAAGAGGGGGCACAGGAUACAAUACAGCAGCCAAACAGAAAUGGAAGCUUGAGCUCUUGGACCAUUUGGCCAGAACGGUAGAGCCCUAAAUUGGAACCAAUACAAAGCUUUCUGCCGGAAGAACAUGGCAAACAUGGGAGGUCCCGGAAGGCAACGCGACCAUGGUUCCGGUAUCCAUGUGACAAACAGCUUCGAUUGUCAGUAAAAUCCUGUACACGCCCGAUUGUCAGCCUGUUGAGAAUGGCAAUAAAAGAUUUAAGGAUAAGCCAUGGUUCGACAGGAUGUCAUCUUCGGAGUUAAAAUCAUUUCAGGAACUUGUAAGAUUGUGUUGUUUUUAUUAGGGAUAAUGUAUAUCUCUGUAACAGAGUUAAUGUAUAUCUCUGUAACAGAGUUGGUUAUCAGUUUGGAUUGGUAAAUAGAUAUCUAGCUGAUUAGGCGUUAUCCUUAGCUGUACUUGUAUUCAAAUAGGAUUAGUAGCUAUCGGUAGCGAUAUUCACGGUUUGGGCUGUAUGUAUAUAUCCUUGCCGAAUGCGUAAGAAACUGGAUAAAAACUUCUUCCGCUGAAACCUUUUCAUGGUAUCAGAGCAAGAACCUUCUGUCAACUGAAAAAACAUGGAAGGAGAUGGAAAGAAAAUAGUGUCGCCAUACACCUUGUAUGCCAAUGAUAAUCCUGGAAAUAUAAUCACCCAGGUACAGUUGAAGGAGGAUAAUUAUGACGAAUGGGCUAGAGCAAUCCGAACUGCUCUUAGAGCCAAGAAGAAAUUCGGAUUCAUUGAUGGAACCAUAGCACAGCCAGAUGAAGAUUCCGAUGAAUUAGAAGACUGGUGGACAGUGAAUUCCAUGCUUAUAUCGUGGAUGAUGAAUACGAUUGAGCCAACGGUGCGAUCUACUUUGACACACAGGGAGAUUGCAAAGAACUUGUGGGAAGACAUUAAAGAAUGUUUCUCAGUGACUGAUGGUGCACGAGUGCAGCAACUGAAGACAGAAUUAGCAAAUUGCAAACAGCAAGGACUCUCCCUUAUGAGUUACUAUGCUAAAUUGAAGCGACUGUGGGAGGAACUGGUGAAUUAUGAUGCAAUCUCUACGUGCAAGUGUGGGGGUUGUACGUGUAAUGUGGCAACUGAAUUAACAAAGAAACGAGAAGAAGAAAAACUUCAUCAAUUUCUGAUGGGGUUAGACGAUGCAUAUAGAACAGUGAGAUCAAACAUUUUGAGCACAACUCCAUUGCCUGGUGUGAGCAAGGCGUAUUCCUUGAUGUGCCAAGAAGAAAGGGUUCGAAAUAUCUCCAAGGAAAAAGAGAUUAACAACGAAGCGGCUAGCUUUGUGGUUCAGGCCAAAACAGGAAUCAAGGAUAGGAGUGCCGUUUGUAAAUACUGCAAUCGCGAAGGGCAUGAUGCUGACGGAUGUUUUCAGCUGAUUGGAUAUCCCGAUUGGUGGGGUGAUCGACCUAAAAUGUCUGGUUCGGGUCGAGGAAGAUAGACUGGAGGAAGAGGACGUGGCAAGAUGUCAGGAAGAGGACGAAAUGGGGCACGAGUUAAUGCAGCAAGUAAUUGAAGAAUCCACUGCUGCAACAAAGGAUUUUGCUACUCUUAAAGGACUGACAAAUGAACAAUGGGCAGCAGUUGUGAGUUUGUUGAACGCUUGCAACUCAGAAUCAGGGAGUAAUGAGAAGAUGACUGGUAAGGAAAACUUUAUCUGGAUAAUUGAUUCUGGCGCUACACAACAUAUGACAGGAAAUUCGAGCUGUCUAUCUAGCUUGAACCAGAUAUUAGGCUGUCCCAUUGGCUUGCCUAAUGGAGAACAGGUGCUGGCAUUGCAAAAAGGGUCGAUUCGGAUGGGACAAAAUAUUCAAUUAGACAAUGUUCUUCAUGCUCCGGGAUUACAUUGCAAUUUAAUCUCAGUAUCACAAUUGGUUGAUGACUCAAAAUGUAAUGUGUUGUUCACUGAUAAGCUUUGUUUGAUACAGGACCGCACUUCGAGGAUGGUGAUUGGAGCGGGUGAACGAUGCAAGGGGCUUUAUUACUUCAAGAAGGAGACGCCAGUCCAAGCACUUCAAACUCGGACGUUGGAUUCAUGUGAUCUUUGGCAUCGGAGAAUGGGGCACCCAUCUUCAAAGGUCGUAGGUUUAAUUUCUGGGAUUAAGAUUCAAUUAGGUUCAAAUGAAACUUGUGAUGCUUGUUUUAAAGCUAAGCAAACGAGAGAAGUAUUUUGUUCUAGUGAUAGUAGAGCUAGUGAAACAUUUGAAUUGAUUCAUUGUGACUUGUGGGGACCAUAUCGAGUCUCGAGUUCUUGUAAUGCAUCUUAUUUUCUUACGAUUGUUGAUGAUUUUUCGAGAUGUGUGUGGAUAUAUUUGCUGAUCGAUAAAACUGAAGUUGGCCAUAUUUUGCCAAAUUUUGUUACUAUGGUUCAACGACAAUUUGUUAAGAAUGUUAAGAUAGUUCGUAGUGAUAAUGGCAGUGAGUUCGUCAGUUUGAAGGGAUAUUUCUCUGCUAAAGGGAUAAUCCAUCAAACUUCAUGUGUGGGAACGCCCCAACAGAAUGGACGAGUGGAAAGAAAGCAUCGGCAUAUACUGAAUGUGGCUAGAGCUUUAAGAUUUCAGGCCAACUUACCAAUCAGAUUUUGGGGAGAAUGUGUGUUAACUGCUGGAUAUCUGAUUAAUCGUACCCUUUCUCAAUUACUAGGAGGAAAAACACCUUAUGAAAUGCUAUAUGGUCACUUGCCUGAUUAUCGGUCAAUUCGUACAUUUGGUUGCUUGUGUUAUGCACAGAGUUUGAAUCGUACGAAGGAUAAAUUUGCUCCUCGAAGCCGGAAGUGUAUCUUUGUGGGUUAUCCGUUUGGACAGAAAGGUUGGCGGUUGUAUGAUUUAGAAACACGGAAGUAUUUUGUGUCUCGGGAUGUUGUAUUUUGUGAAGAUGAGUUUCCAUGUGCAGUUGACCACACACCUGAUCAUGUUCGAACCUGUACGGAUAAUUCAAUAGAUGAUUACCUUGAAGAAGAGGUAGUAGGUCAGACAAGAGACAAGGAAAAGGAGCAGCCUACUCCUGUUCGUGCAACUCAUGAGCGUUUAGAUUGUGUGCCGAAUGACAAUGUCAACGUAAGGCAGGGAGGUGUAACAAUUGAACCUCGAAUAGAGAACGUAGAGACAGUAGAAGGUGUGACAGCACUUGGUCGUGGCCUUCGUUCCAAGAAAGUCUCUACACGGCUGAAGGAUUGUGUGACUUAUGCAGUUCAAAGUGCAAGCCCCUCUGCAAGUUCAGCCAAUCCAUCAUCAUUCUCAGGUACGUCUUAUGACUUAGCUCAAUAUGUUGAUUACACAAAUUUCUCACCAGGUCAUCAAGCUUUCUUGGCAGCCAUCACAACCAAUUUUGAGCCAAGAUUUUAUCAUCAAGCGGUUAAAGAUGUCCGAUGGAGAGAAGCUAUGCAAAAGGAGAUUGAUGCACUCAAACAAAAUGGCACAUGGACUCUUGUUGACUUACCACCAGGGAAGAAAGCAAUAGGAAGCAAAUGGGUGUACAAAAUUAAGUAUAAUUCUGAUGGGACCAUUGAACGAUACAAGGCGCGAUUGGUAAUUCUUGGCAACAACCAGGUUGAAGGGAUCGACUACAAUGAAACCUUUGCACCAGUAGCAAAAAUGGUUACGGUCCGCACAUUUCUCUCUGUGGCAGCAGCUAAAGGAUGGGGACUUCAUCAAAUGGAUGUUCAUAAUGCCUUUCUCCAUGGAGACUUAGCCGAAGAGGUUUACAUGAAACUACCUCCUGGAUUUCACACUGACCAACCCGGGAAGGUGUGUCGCUUAAGAAGGUCCCUUUACGGUUUACGACAAGCACCGCGUUGUUGGUUUGCAAAAUUGGCUGAAGCUCUAAAACGGUAUGGUUUUCUUCAGUCACAGUCUGAUUAUUCCUUGUUUACUUUGAUACGAGAUGGGAUCCAGUUGGGUGUGUUAGUGUACGUGGAUGACCUUAUUAUAGCUGGAAACAAAACGCAUUUGAUCAAUGCAUUCAAAUCAUAUUUGCGCAAGUGUUUUCACAUGAAAGAUUUAGGUGUUUUGAAGUACUUUUUGGGCGUUGAAGUAGCUCGAAAUGCUGACGGGAUUUUCUUGUGUCAACGGAAAUAUGCUUUAGAUAUCAUUAAUGAAGCAGGAUUGUUGGGUGCUAAACCUUCGGAGUUUCCUAUGGAGCAGAAUCAUUCUCUCGCUUUAGCCAAAGGUGAUUUGCUGCAGGAUCCUGAUCAAUACCGAAGGCUGGUAGGCCGUUUGAUUUACUUGAGCUUAACUCGGCCUGAGCUGCCCUAUGGUGUGCAUAUUUUGGCACAAUUUAUGCACCAGCCACGGAAAGAGCAUUGGGAGGCAGCCUUGCGCAUAGUCCGAUACUUGAAAGGUAGUCCAGGACAAGGCAUUUUACUCAAAGCUGAUUGCAAUCUUCAACUGAAAGCUUAUUGCGAUUCGGAUUGGGGAGGUUGUCCAUUAACUCGGAGAUCACUUACAGGUUAUUUCAUCUUUCUUGGGACCUCUCCGAUUUCAUGGAAGACCAAGAAACAACAUACGGUUUCUCGCUCUUCUGCUGAAGCGGAAUAUCGCUCCUUGGCCGCCACGGUCUGUGAAUUGAAAUGGCUAAAGGGUUUGUUAUUGUCUUUGGGAGUGCAUCAUGAUCAAUCUGCUGGAGUAUUCUGUGAUAGCCAAGCUGCGAUGCAUAUAGCUGCCAAUCCUGUCUUUUAUGAACGCACCAAACACAUCGAAGUUGAUUGCCAUUUUGUUCGCGAUGAAAUACAGAAAAGUAUGAUCAAAACGGUUUAUGUUCGAAGUCAUGACCAGUUAGCAGACAUUCUAACCAAAGCUUUGGGUCGAGAUCAGUUUGAGUUUCUUCUUCGCAAAUUGGGCGUUCGUGAUCCUCACGCUCCAACUUGAGGGGGGGUAUUAGGGAUAAUGUAUAUCUCUGUAACAGAGUUAAUGUAUAUCUCUAUAACAGAGUUGGUUAUCAGUUUGGAUUGGUAAAUAGAUAUCUAGCUGAUUAGGCGUUAUCCUUAGCUGUACUUGUAUUCAAAUAGGAUUAGUAGCCAUCGGUAGCGAUAUCCACGGUUUGGGCUAUAUGUAUAUAUCCUUGCCGAAUGCGUAAGAAACUGGAUAAAAACUUCUUCCGCUGAAACCUUUUCAGUUUUGCAAUCUAUCUGGAGUUGAUCUCGUGGGUUGUUGUGUCAAAAAGACUCCAAUAUUGGUCUCCGGACCCAUGAUUUUUCCUGCAAAUUCACCCAAUAACUCAUAGGAUGCGACACAAGUAUUCUUCUCUCCGUUGAUCGGCAUCCUCUCACACUCUCGAAGAGUAUUUUCCAUCAUCUGGGCUUUUCGAGGUCCUUGAGGAAUCGAAAAGUGUUCAAGAAUGUAAGGGAGUUGCUCUAGCUGUGGCAACUGACAAAAUUAUCCUUGAUUGCUAUUCUCUCUACAGGGUUCAAUGUAUAUGCAUGUGACAACAGUAUACCCUGUUAAUGGAGAAUUCAAUUUGGUGCUAUAUAUAGCCCAUUCUUAAACCAGGUUUUGUUUGAUUGGUUUUUAAAUUUGCCAGUGAUCAUACUGAGACCGGAUUGCCCCUGACGAAUUUGAAUUAUGGAGGCGAGUCCAUUAUUUGAUCAAGAACCACCAAGAUUUACUACAUGGCAAGCCAAGAUUUCAAUCUCAUCGAGCUCUUUUACAUUCAUUGUAUGGCAUGUACAAGAGCAUUAGUUUCGUUAAGUUAACGAUCAAUAGUUAUAAAUUCACAUGCAUAAAAAAAUAAAGUAAUUUUAGUUUAUGUACAUGACUCAGGAAAAAAUAUACCAAUAUACAGUAAUUCUUGGUAUAUAUAUUGAUUGUUAGUUCAUGUACAUAACUCAGGAAAAAAUUUUAGUUCGUGUACAUAAAUCUUGGUGUAUGUUUGUACCAAUUUUUGUGAAAGUUAAAUCAACCAAGCACAACUGGACCUGCGCCAAUCCAGGAUUUUCACUUGCCCGUCCCCCUAAUCCAAAUUUGAUGCACAUGCCAUAAAUUAAAAGAUAAAAAACUUAACAUUGGAGAAUUAAAUGUGCAAAAAGAAUAUAUAAUAUAAGACUAUUGUACAAUAUCAACAUAUGACACAUGUCUAUUGUACAACAUCGUCAAAUCAAGAAAAUACGCACACCCAGAAUACAUAGAUGUUCUAUACAGUCCCUAAAACUUUUUUUUAUAUAUACUAAUUUGAUACAGUCCACAGAACUCCAGUCUUUACCGUUACAAUUUCAACUUCUAAUUCUCUUUAGGGUAUUAAGAAGGCCUUACUUAUAAUAGGUCUGAAGAAAAGUCAAGACAAGAAGGAAAGCAGCGGCAAAUAAAGCAAUCGCUGUCCAGGGACUGUUAAAAUAAAUGUAGAAGAGUUCGGCCAGCCAUGUCUUUGCCUUCUUGUUGUAGUGUGCCUGAAUUUUCUCGUUCACAUCAUGACAAAUGGUGACAUUCCGCAUCCCGUAAGUGUUUAUGUCUUUAUAAACUGCUAGGUUUGGUUACAGGAAAUUGACAAAAGGAUUUUUGACAAUCUUAAAAAAGACAAAUAACAAAGCAAAAAUAAAUAAAAUAGAAACACAUGAAUUUACGUGAUUCGAUCAAAUUGACCUAGGUCCACGGGCGGAAGAGGAACAAUAUUUUACUAUGAAGAAAAAAGUACAAAAAUGCCUUAGGCCCAAAAAAACAAGAGAGUCCAAAAUAUUUUAUUAAACAAAAAAUUUAAUGACUCAAAGGUCUAAAUAGUCCUCUAAAUCUCUGUUGGUUUGGCAUACUUAAUCCCGUCACAAACCCAUUAUAUUUAUAGGCAACUAAGAGAAAGGCUCCCUUAUACAAAAGUCGAUAUGGGACAAUGCCACUUUAACAAAUCUCCACCUUGGCGUGUUCUCAAUAUCGACAAUAGCAAAAUUAUUCCACCUUCUCCACAUAAUCCCCAAUAGGCCUAAAUCACCAGCAACGAAUACCAACCAAAUUCAAGCAUUGAUUGAACUUAUAAAUUGGAAGAGGUUUUGUGAGCAUGUCUGUAGGAAUCUCCUUGGUACUGAUUUUCUGAACAAGGACUUUUCUCUCAGUAAUAAUAUCUCGAAUGAAAUGAAAUUUCACAUGAAUGUAUUUCGUUCUCUCAUGAUAUAUCUGGUCUUUAGUCAAAUAAAUAGCACUUUGACUAUCACAGUAAAUAGUAUGAUGAGAAUAUAAAGACCAAGGCCCAUUCAAGCACAUGGGGAAUUGGAAGAUUCAAGUGAAGACUAGUUGAUUGCACGAAUACUUGAGUUUAGUAGGAUUAUUUGAUUUUUCUCGUUGAUUUUGGUUAUUUCUCGCUUUAGAAAGUCUAGGUAAUUAAGCUAGUUUAAUUGCGGCUCAUUUGUUAGUAAGUGAUGCCCAAAAUCUUCCUUAAAGUAUGUAGGGUAGUUUGGUCAACUUUUGGAUUAGGGUUAAUGCUUGUAAGGGCUAUAAAUAGCCCCACUUCCUCUUUGUUUUAGGGGAUCAGUUUUUGACUAUUAAAUACAAUUAGUGAGUUUUCACUUUCUCUUUGGCAAGAGAGUUUCCUUUGAAUACUUGAGAAUCUUCUCAAGUUAUUCGCCUGAACUUAUCAAUCGAGUAUCUCCUUGAUUGUGGCGUUCUACUACCUCCAAUUUGGUUCGUUAAUUCGAGCAGUGACGGGUUGAGAUAAUAUCAAAAUUGUUCGUGACUUCUAGGGAUUAGUUGGGUCAAAUUUCCGCUGCCUAAACCAUGGUGUUUUGGUUGUCUAGAUCGGGGAUUCACAUCAGUUGGUAUCAGAGCUAGUCGACAACCACCAGGUUAUAUCUUUUUUUUGUUCGUGUAUUUCGAGUCAUAUAUGUUUAUCCCAAUCUGUUCGUUUGUUUAGAACCAAAAAAAAAAAAAAGUGUCACUGUUCACAGUUACUGUUCACACCAACACUGUUCAUCGUACUGUUCACCGACACUGUUCAUCAUUACUGUUCAUAGUUACUGUUCAUCCGAAUACAAAUCUGUCCAGCCUUAUUGUUUGUGUUAUCCAACUUGUUUACUUGGUUUUCAAAUCUGGAUUUUGGCAAAACUUGUUGGAAUUUUGUGAAUCUUGAAGAGAACUUACAAUAAUCUUGAGUUUCUUGCAUUCUUGAUCACAAUCUUGAAAUUUCUGAAGUUCCUGACAACUUCCUUGAAAGUUCUUGAAAGAUCUUGGAGUUCUUGGUAGUUAUUAUUUGUGGACUUCCUUGUUUUGUGUCGUGGUUAAUAGUUGUAGUAAAAAAAAAAUCACAGAAAACAAAAACGAAAAGAAAAAGAAAGAAAAGAGGAAUCGGUUGGCAAAAAAAAAAAAAAAAGGAAAGAAAGUGGCAACCGAAUUGUUUUGAAUAGGGAACCAAAUCUGAUUUAUGCAAUCUUUCUUGGAGUAGAAUUUGGAAGUUACCAAAAGUUGUUUCAAGAAAAUUACCAAAGGUUGUUUCAAGAAAGUUACCAAAAGUUGUUCAAGAGGAAAAGGAUUUUCAAAGGGUUUCCAAAAACUAACUUGUUUCCAAAAUUAAUUAGGAAACUAAGUAAAGCACUUGGAUAACUCUUUGUACUCAUUUGGACACUCUCUCUGCUACCUUUUUAGGAAACUUUCCUAAACUCUCUCAUCCAUUUCUUUUGGAAACUUUCCUAAAGUCUCCCAUCUAUUUUUAGGAAACUUUCCUAAAUUCUCUCAUACAUUUUUAGGAUCUUUCCUAAUUCUCUCAUCCACUUUAGGAAACUCUCCUAUAUUCUUUCAUCCAUUUUAGGAAACUCUCCUAUAUUCUCUUCCUAAAUUUUAGGAACACUCUCCUAUACUUUCUCCUAUAUUUUCUCCUAACUUUUAGGAACACUUUCCUACACUUUCUCCUACAUCUCCGUGAUUACUGUUGAGGAAGAAGUUGGUGACAAUUAUUUAGGCUUGAGCAGCAUUUCUCAAACUACCUAACCCAACAGGUAAAGGUGUUUGGUAAGUCCAUUGGAGCGCUUUGAGUGACAUACACGAGGGUGAGUGAUACACUAAGGGAGUGAGCGAGGCACUUUCUACUAACUGUUUGUUGAGCCUUGCAGGUACUCUAUAAACAUGUCUCAAACUCAUGCGACAAGUGACCCUUAUGACAUGAAACAUGUUCUUGAAGCAUUAACAGGCGUCAUUGAUCGCAUGGCUCAGAGAAUUGAUACACUGGAGGAUAAGGUGGAGCAAUCAACCCUAGGCAAGAAUGCCUCCAAAAGACAACCAUACGUGGAGGAGUUAGGUGAUUCGAACAAUGAGGAGGACAUGGCAGAUGGAAACCGAUUCCGGAAUUAUAAACGCAUCCCUAAUCAAGGGGAUGAUGAACUAAAAGGAAUCAAGCUCAAAAUUCCUACCUUCCCAGGCAAGUUGGACCCUGAAGCAUAUUUGGAAUGGGAGAGGAAGAUUGAGAUGCUCUUUGACUGCAACCACUACUCAGAGUCCCAAAAAGUAAAGUUGGCAACCAUUGAGUUCACUGAAUACGCAGCCAUUUGGUGGGAUCAGAUUCGCACCAGACAAAGAAGACAUGAAGAACCACUCAUUCGCACUUGGGAAGAACUCAAAAGGAUCAUGAGGAAGCGCUUCAUACCAGCGUAUUAUGAUAGGUUGCAAUUUUAUCAUUUAUUUUAUAAUUAAUUUCUCCUAUUACCUGACUUGAUGUGGGUUAAUUGCGGGAUUCUACUCACUUUUAGUAUUUUACAUUUAUUUCAGGGAGUAGAACGAAAAUAUAAUAACAUGUGCUAAUUUGACAGAAAAAGAGUCCAAGGCACAGAGCUUAUCCCGGGGGCAUUAUUGGCAAAGGAAGACUUUUGCCCAUUUUGGUAAUUUCAAAAGAAGAGAGCAGGGCAGAGGCCUCUAUUUUACUGGAGGCUGGAGCGCCGCACAAGGGGGUCUUCUUCUUCCUCUGCGGAAGGAGAGCCGCCGCGCAGAGCUUCUCAAAAGAGGACAUUAGAUAGGAAUAGAGCAAACAAUGGCAGACAACUCUUUAGCUUAGUCUUUUGACUUUUCCUUGUGGGCUCCAAGUAGCUUUUCCUUUUCCUUCUCGUAUGAUUGGACAAGUAGAAACCAUAGAAUCAAUUGCUGUAGCUUUGCUAUCUUUUCAAACAUUGGAACCGAAUUGAAUUUCCCCAAUUUCAAGGGACAAUGGCUGCGGCUCUCUUUGCAAUUUCUGGUGGGUUUAGUUCAUCAAUUAUGAACUAAUUUUCCAAUUCUAGUCAAGGAGCAACGAAGCCUUUGGUUCGCCUAAAAAUUGUGAGAUCGAUUUAAUUUAAUCUUUUCCUUUUAUUUAUUGGUAUUCGCAUAUUUCCUGGUUACAGUGCUUAUGAUUGUUUAAUUAAUUGAUUGUCUUGGAUCCGGAUAAUUAGUUAAUUUGGUAAUCUAUUGUCAAUUGGGACGUUAAAUCCGUAAUUGUUUAAUUGUCUCAAAAUAGUGAUAACUGGCAUGAUUAGGUUUGUGUCAGGGGAAUACGCGGGCUAAUCUAAAAUAACCCUGGUAGUGCGUUAUUUGGUUAGAAUAGGGCUCCUUUAAUACGUAAGGCAAUUGGGGAAUUAAAUUCUAUGGGCGUACCUAGGAUUAUUUCUCAAUUAGAGCAGUGAUUAACGGGCGUACCUUGAUCACCGACACAGUAAGGAGGGGUUGACUGUCAUCGCUUGCUUGGCAGUUAUAACCUAUUUAUUGAUAAAUAAUUGGAAUUGCCUUUGCUUAUCGAUGAUCAAUUAGGUGAACCAUUGUUGAAGUUAUUUCUUGGCUAGAUCCUUAAUUAUCACUCAUUAGAUUUUAGUAAUUUGUUAUUUAAUUUCUAGUUGGUUAUUUUAUUUUUAUUUUUAUUAUUUUACUUUUAGUUGAAUUGUUUAAAUUGUCACCCCUGAGAUAAAAACACCCCCCAUGUCACUGUGAAUUUGGAAAGGAACAAUUACUCCCAGUCCCUGUGGAUUCGACCCUGCUUACCACUAUCUACAGAAAUUAACUUUAGUUUGAGCAGGUUUUAUUAUUGCACAGGCUGACGACCUGUCAAUUUUUGACGCCGUUGCCGGGGACUGGUGCCAGAUUAAUUUGUUUCUUUUUGAGUUUAUCUUGUUUUCAUUUUUUUUAUUUUAUUUUUCUCUUUUUUUUUAUUUUUUAUGGCUGCUAACAUUCCAUAUUUUGAUGAUAGACUGGACUUUGUUCCUAAAUGGGGUUAUGAGACUCAUGUUUUUCCUAAUGAUCAAUGGGCUGUUGCAAAUUGUGGAACUUAUUUUGAUUCAGGUUAUUCAACUGACACAUGCCCCGCAUUUCAAGAUAAUUUAAGCGCUCCAAUUGAUACUUUUGGAGAUUUUCCAUCUCGAUUUCAAACGUGGUAUGACCCUUAUUCAAACGGGUAUGAUCAAGGAUGGUGGGAUAAUUCCAAUUUUGAUUAUGCGACCGGGCCAAUGGAUUUUCAACAGCAAGAGUCUCAGCAAUCAUCCUCCGUGUCAGGUAUGUCUCUUGAAGAAAUGAUGGGAUUACUAAUUGCUAAUACAAAUCGAUUUCAUCAGGAGACACAAGCGAGUCUAAAUCGAUUUCAUCAGAAGACACAAGCGAGCCUUCGCGACCUGGCGGAUCAAAUGCGUCAAUUGACAUCCAGGAUAGAGCGAUUAGCUUCUCACCUUGAAGAAUUGCCCUCACAAACCAAUAUCAAUCUUGAAGGAGAUGAGAGUGCAAUUAUCCGGCCAAAUGACAUGGAACUGCAAGAGUUUCAAGGAAACGGAUUUAAAGAUGCAGUUGAAAAGGAAGUUGAAGUGCAAAAAAUGAGACUCCAGGAUCAACUCAUUAAAGUGAAUGAAUCCAGUGAACAAUCUCCAAAUGCGGUGACAUCCCCUCCACUCUUUCAUCACUAUUCUCCUGACUCUUACUUCUCAAUUCCUGUUAAUGAAAUUGACUUUAUUAUACCAGACAAUUUUGAAUUUCAUGACAGGAAUAAAUUAAGAGUGGCGAUGGCGAGAUAUCUUGAACCAAUAAAUGCAAAUGAGGGAGAAGUGAAUGGAGAAUGCAAAUUAUCAUCGACUCGUUUGGCGCCAUUCACUAGUCCAUGGAAGCCCGUAGCUGGUAUGCUCAAGGAUUAUUCUAUUUACGAGGGUUAUCAGGACUAUAUAGAGGAUGAAGCAUUAAAAUGAGCCACACGAUUUUAUCCUCCAUGAACAAAACAUGAUAAUGUCUAGCCAAAGACAUUAAAGAAAGGCGCUCAUUGGGAGGCAACCCAAUUUCUUUUAGUUGUUUGUUUGAUUUUAUUUGUUAGUUUAAAUCUGUCUUCCUUGAAUUUGACUAAUUUUGGGUGUUAAUUUUCGUUUUACUGAUUUAUAGGUGCCCUUCAGUCAUGGCGUGCCCGCGUGGUUAUGUGCAGGAAGCUCACGAUCAGAAACUUCUGGGAGCUCUCUUGCCCUCAUGAUGUGCCCGCGUGGUGAUGUGCAGGAAGCUCACGACCAGAAACUUCUGGGAGCUCUCUUGCUCUCUUGACGUGCCCGCGUCACGUUCGCGGGAAAGGUAAAUAUUCAAAGAAACUCAAGAACGAUUAUUGAUUUCCGGUUAAUCACUACUUUUGAAUUUCAAAAAUAAAUUUUGUCAAUAAUAAAAAAAAAAGAGAUGAUAUAUGAAAAAAAAAUUUCCACCAAAAAAAAAAAAAGAAAUAAAAGAGAGGGGGAGUCUUUCCCUGAAAAAAAAAUCUAAAAUGAAAAAAAAAUGAAAAAGCAAAAAAAAAAAAAUUUCCUCUUUUUCACCGUAGCUCAGUUUUCCUUAAAAAAAAAAAAAUUCCUUUUUCCUUCUUUUUCUUUUCUUUCUUUUCUUUCUUCUUCUUUCUUUCUUCCUUCUCCCCUAUUCCUUCUGUGUCGGCCGAAGCCCGCACGCCACCAUGGCUGCGCGCCGCAGCCUGCUGCGCCGCGCACUCCACCUCUCCACUUCACAGUCGCGACCAUCUCUUCUCUCCCCUCGCACCAGCGACGACCACCAUCGCGUGACGCCACCCUCACCGCUACUGGAGCUCGCGCACCUCUGCCCAGCAAGCAGCGCCACCACAGCUCCGCGCCCAUCUCCCUCGCUCAACCCCACGCCACCUCCGUAGCAGCAGCUCUCACCUCACGGAACCCGGGUUGAGCUCGCCGCGAUUGCCACCGGCCGCUGCCCGCCGCCUCUCUGCUGAGGUCGCUCGCCGCGGCUAUUUUCUUCCUCCGCUGCGCAGUCCACCAGUGCUCCACCUUCGGCUUCAGCUCGGUCUCCACAGUCGUCGCAUGCCACCCGCUGCUGCCCCCUUUCAUUUGGGUUGUCGUCCAAGGUGGAGGUAAUUGGAACUUGUCCCCCAUUUUCUUAAUAACUAAUUGGUGCUGCCUGGGUUGCUCAAUAGUUAAUGUUGUUGACGAUUGAAGUUUAUUUUCUCAAUUGGUGAAUUCCACCAGUGGUACUGGUCGGACUAUUUUCGCUUGGAAUUGCUAUUUCUUUUGGGUUGGGUGAAAUUGUGCAAUUAAUUGGCCAACUGGAGCCAUUUGUUGGGAUUUUGGGUGAGUUGAAAUACUGCAACUGUCUAGUGACAUUUGGGCGAUUUGAUUCUGCUUUUGCAUGUUGAAUUGGAAUAUCUGGCCGCUUGUUUUACUUGUGAGAUUGGUAGCAUUUAUUAAUUAUGGAAGACAUCCUGGUGAUUGGUUAAUAUUGCUAUUUUGGGACCAUUGUUUGUGACCUCAGUGGUCGGGGUUCCUAACUGGUGGAUUAGUACAUACUUGGCACAAUCGAAUUUAGGUUAGGAGUCAAGAGGUUAAAGUGAGUAAUGUGAGUAUGAAUCCUUAGUAUGUGAGUAAUGAAUCCUUAGUAUCAUUCCCUUUCACAUGUGUGGUUAUGUGAGUAAUGAAUCCUUAGUAUCAUGCCCUUUCACAUGUGUGGUUAUGUGAGUAAUGAAUCCUUAGAAUCACCAGUUAUAAUGAAUCCUUAUGCACAUUUAAUUGACUUAAUAUUUCGUACCCACAGAUAAUCAAAGAUAUAACUGGGUGAUUCACGAGUUGGUAGAGUGUUUCUAAAUGAUAGUUGCACCUCUUCAUCACAUGAUUCUGGUUGCUGAUCAGAAUCCAAUCUUCUUCCAAUAGCUUCGUUUGGUUCAGAUUGUGUCUUUCUUGUGCCUUUCAAUCUUUACAAUUUAAUAAUUUGUUUCUUAGAUUAAUAGAGUGCAAGAAAGACAAACAGAUAAUAGAGUAAAUUAAAACUCAAGACAAAAGACCCAUAUUUUGGAUAGAGUGCAAGAAGAUAUGGUACUCUAUUAUAUAUCUGAUAGUAACAACGGAAUUGAUAGGGUCUUAAUUUGGCCAGGUCACGUGAAACCACAAUAUAUAUAUACAAUAUAUAUAUAUAUAUAUAUAUUUUUUUUUUAUUUUCAAGUACAUGUUUUGUGAGACUAUGAGCCGGUUUAGAUUGUAACUUUUGGGAAUUUUUACAGAAAAUAUAAAUCGCAUCUACAAAAAAAAAAUUAAUCAAAGAUAUAAUUGGUGAUUCAUGAGUGGAUAAAAGAAUUGAGUGUUUCCCAAUUGAUAAAGGAUAGAGUUUUUCUUAUGUAGUAGCUGGACUUCUUGCUCGCAUAAUUGUGGCUGUCCAUCUCUUUGAUUUGGAUUCCGAUCUUAUUCAAAUACUUUUGGAGGGGUAUCCUAUAUUUAGAGUGUCAAUCACAAACUUCAUUAUGUUGAUUCGUCCAAAAUCGCUCCCCAAUAACCCGUUCAAACCCACCCACUAAUUUGAAAUAGAUUUAAAUGGAUAUUCAAUUAAACUCAUUUAAUUAAUAGAUAGUAGAUUAACUCGAAUCAUUUAAACUCAAAUAUUAAACAAAUAAUUUGAAUUUAUUAUCAAUCUAAUAACAAUAAGAUGCCAUUAUUUUUUAUCAGACAACAUGUAAAAAAAAUAAAAAAAUAAAUUAUAACCAUUUAAAUUCAUUUAAAUCACUUAUUUUGACACCUCACCACUUGUUCAGCCGUUCCUUUCUUCCAUGCCGUCGCCAGUGUCUGUCAUUUCCGAUUAUCAGGUAAGGCUCUGACAUUAGUGUCCACCUGCCAUCGUGCGAUCCCAUUGAUUAACCAAGUUACAGCGCUGUCAUAUUUGUCAAGCCAUCCUUCAUUAUUGGAUCUUUUAUUCUAUAUAUGGGACCGUCCUUACUGUUCCCAUGAAAGAUUGGUUCAGAAAUGUAUGGCAGCUGUGAAAUACGUUAGCUCUCUGAAUCUUGUCCCAUAAAGAUAUGUAGCUGAAAAUCCGAACGCAUUGGUUUCACGAGAGUUUUCUUAUCCACCGUGCCUGCCAAUUUUCUAUCACCAUAUAACAGCGUUUUUAAACCAUACGGACUGACCGAUUCUAAACAUUGAACCGAGGGUCCGGUGGUUCAGUCCGAGUUAAACAAUUGAGUUGAACAGACAUUUACUGGACCUGCUCAGAAAUUGGGUUUAAAUAAAGAAAAUUGAGUUUUUAACUAUAUAUUUUGUGAGACUAUGAGCUGGUUUAGAUUGUAAUUAUUGGGAAGUUUUAUAGAAAAUAAUUGUAUGGUGUUUCCUAAUUGAUGAAGGAUAUAGUUUUUCUUAUGUAGUGGCUGCACCUCUUGAUCACAUGAUUCUGGUGGUUAUCGAUCUCUUGGAUUUGGAUUCUAAUCUUAUUCAAACAUUUUUUAUUCUUUCAGAUUAUGUCUUUCUUGUGCAUUUCAAUCUUUGUAAUUUAUCAAUUAUUUCUUAGAUUGGAUUUUGAUUCUUUUAGACUAUGUCUUUCUUGUGCAUUUCAAUCUUUACAAUUUAAUAAUUGUUUCUUAGAUUGGAUUUACAUGUUUAGUUCUAAAGUGGUCCCAUGAUCUCGCUUCGAGGUCUUCCAAGUUGUAUUUCUAGUUGAUUUCGGGUAUUUAGGAAUUUCAUAUUUUAUUACACCAUUUUUUAACUCAAUAAAAUCAUAUUUCAACUUUUGUCACACUAUUUUCCAACUCAAUUACAUUAAAAGCAAACUUGUGAGAAAUAAAACUUGUGAUACCCCAUCAACCCCUGCUCCUAUUAAUAUUACACAUGUAGAUUAUAUUUUAAAAGGAAAAUUGCCAAAUUGGUCCCUUAAGUUUUCAGAAAAAAACUUUUUUUAGUCCAUCAAAAUUAGAAUUAGUUAAAAUAGUCCAUCAAAUAUAACGCAAGAAAAGUAUCCUUUUAGUCCGCAAGCUCAUUUUUUGAUCGGUUUUCUAGUCAAAAAGUGUGUGCCUUUCUUAGGCACCCACAAUUUAUUAUGUGCAAUAAUGGUUUCUGGAUAUAGAUUCUUACAUUUCUGAUUGUUGAUCACAUGAUUUGGAUUCUGUAUUCAAAUUGUGAAACUAUUGUUUAGCAAGAUGUGUCAGUAUUGUUUAGCAAGAUAUAAUUGAUCACAAGAUGUGAAACUACCACAUACGACAAUACCCAAUUGUUUAGCAAAUCAAGCAUAAGGUUCAGACAAGUAUCAGGGUAUUAAUAGGUCCUCUAUAUUAUUUAUUUGCAGCUGGUGCCAAAUGACACUACUUAAGACUUGGAGGAAAAAUAUGAUUGCCGAAGAAUCGUUAUCAGAAUCAAAUUGUACCUUAAAUACAACUUUUUUGGAUUCUGUUAAGUUUGCAGCGAGGUGGAGAAGACCUCAAUUACAUACAAGCAAUUAACAGCAGAAGAAACAUAGCUUUAAUAUCUGAUUCUAGUAAUGGUUUCUGGCAAAGAAUACGUUGUCCUUCACGAGUAAUGUUUCUAGAAACAAUCUUUAUAUUUUUAGUGUUUAAAAUAGCUUCAAGAACACGGCAAAAGUAAACUUUGCUUUAUGGACUGAUGAGUAAACACUAUAAGAUGAUGGGUAAACAUCAACACUAUAUGUCUGGAAAGAGAGGAAUUACAUAAUUUUUAGCAACGAGGUUACCAAAAUGCUUCAGCUUAUGCUUCAUGCUAAGCUGCCAUAAAACUUUCCAUCCUUUUGCAUUUGCCUCAUUCCUACUUCCUGAAUCCUCCUGAUGAGACCUCCUCCGAUAAGGAGAAAAUUAGUUGAUUGUAAAGAUUAGGUUCUACAUUGGUCAAAGUCUCAAAGAUAAAGAUGAUAAACUUUGCCACUGGAUAAUGCCUAAUUGGCCGUAACAAAUGAAGUUAAGGUGCUUGAAGGUGACGCACUAGUGAAACCAUGCAUUCCAGGGAUAAGAAUUAAACUUGGAAAUCUGAAAGAUUACUAAAGAAUAAAUAUUAGAAUCAAUAAUAUUAAAAAAAAAAUUUCCAAAUCAAAUCAAAAUUAUUGAAAAUUGACCAAAGCUCAAAUCCAAAUCAAAUAAAUCCUUACACGUUAAACCCACGAGAAACCUGUUAUCAAGAGGUGCAAUUACCACUUGAUAAAACUCCAAUGUAGCUAUCACCUCGUGGAUCACACAUAUAUUGGGUCCUCUUAAUUAUUUUCAGUUGGUACGAAAUCAUUCAGAUAUGAUUUCCGUGACAAAUUUUGAGUGUAACGCAAUAUUCACCUCAACCAAUUGAGACAUUGUCUGAUAACCAUGAAAUUUGACUCUCCAAUUCUUGGGUUUUGCCUCUCUCUUUAUAAGGUGUAGAAUGUGGGUUUUCUUUCGAAUGAACCUGGUUCUAAAGAAUGCUAACUGGUUGACAAUUGCGGAAGUUUUUGUGCAUAUCUGUACCAUGAAGCCAAUCAAAAUGUGAAUGGACUAGACAUAAAGGGCAGUAGUUUAAAAUUUGUAGUGAAAUUAACUUAAUUACCUCAAUGGAAUUGAACUGAAAAAUGCAAUUUUCUAUUCAGACAAAAUUCAUAAGUUCUAAGUUCAUUAAGAAAGAUCAAUGCCUGUCAUAUUAAUGCAAAAUUAUUGAUAACAACAAGAAGGAUACUUUUAGAGAUGAUAUAGUCUAGAGUCCAUGCAUCUAACCCACUCUCUUGACAUAGAUCGGAGUUCAGUGAGCGUUAAACUCAAGUCUAUUGGCCAAAAAAAGGAAAAAAAAAAAAGACUCAAGUCUAUUCAAAAAACCAAAGAUUGGACUCCAAAUCAGUGAUGUCGAAUUGAUUAUCCACGGACGCUAAAACCGCCAGAAACAAGUCAUCAAGAGGUGAAACUACCACAUACGACAAUACCCAAUUGUUUAGCAAAUCAAGGAUAAGGAUCAGACAAGUAUCAGGGUAUUAAUAGUCCUCUAUAUUAUUUAUUUACAGCUGGUACGAAGUCAAUUAAUCAGAGAUACCCACCAAAUGACACAACUUAAGACUUGAAGGAAAAAUAUGAUUGCUGAAGAAUCGUUAUCAGAAUCAAAUCAUUGUGCCUUAAAUACAACUUUUUUGGAUUCGGUUAGGUUUGUGAUAGGGUGUAAAUUGUUGGUUAUUUUAUUGUUAAUUUCCCCUUUUAUCCUUGUCAAAUAUUGUUUUAAUUAUUAAUAUUUACUUAUAUUUGGUAUUGGACCCAAUUUCAGGGAUUGAAGCAGAAAAUUACCAAAAAGGAGGGACUUGUAUGGAAAAAUGCAGACUUCUAAGGACUUCAACCUUUGGGUCCUUGAAUUGGUGGGGACCACAAGCUAGUGCAAGGCAUUUAGUCAUUUGGACUUUUCAAAGAGAGCAACGUAGAGAGAUUUGGAACAACAAGUACUUUGGAGGCUUUGUCCACAUGUGCGGGGACCACGGAUAAGAAGCAUGAGUCAUUUGGACUCUAGGAAAAGAAACGUACAAGACUUUGAAUUUGGUGUGGGGACCACUAGAGAUAGCAUUAGACUUCCUUUUGGCUUUAAAAAGGGAGAAACGUACGGGAGGUUAUCAAUCAAUAGUUUAGUUUAGGUUUUUAGCAUAGUUUUAGUUUUUCUUUUCUUAGCUCUUUCGCAUGGUUGUUCUCCAUUAAUGGAGAACUAACCUCUUAAUUCUAGUCAAGGGGACAACUGAAGAUUUGGUUCAACAAUUACUGUGAGAUCGAAUCUGUUUUAAUUAUUUUCUUCAUUUAUUGGUAUUUAUAUGUUCCUUGAUUUUAAUUGCUAUGGCCUUGUGUAUGAUUGAUUAGUGCGCAAUAAUUAAUUAUUCAUAUAGGCUAUUUUGCUAAAUAGAGGUAAUUGAAUCCGUAAUUGUUCGUUAUCUCUAUCUUAGUAGCAACUGGCGUAAUUGGGUUUAUGUCAGGGGAGCAUACGAUCUAGCUUAAACAAACCCUCGUAGCGUGUUUGUUAGUUAGGAUUGGGCCUUUCUAAUUAAUAAUGCAACCUAAGAAUUAAAUCCUACGGUCGUACUUAGGGUUGUUUUUGGGUUAGAGAAAUAGCUAACGGUCAUACCUUAGCUAUCGAUAAAUUAAUGAAGGGUUGGUUGUUUAUCGCGUGCAUGACAACUAUAACCAAUCUAUUAAUAAAUGUUGGGAUUAUUUUUGCAUCAAUGAUCAGUGCAUGAACCAUUUCUGAAGUAUACCCUUGGCUAAAGUUUCUCUUAGUUAUUUCUUUUAAUUAAUUAUUUUCUGCAGUUAAUUUAUUUAGUUAGCUUUUAAUCCAAAACCCCCCAUACUUUGGACUCUAGAAGAAACGAAUUAUCCCCAGUCUCUGUGGAUUCGACCCUACUCAUCGCUAUAUACAAAAUCUGUAUUUUUCUCGAGUAGGUAUUUAUUAUUGCACAGGUUCGGCACCUGUCAAUUUUUGGCGCCGUUGCCGGGGACUGGUGUCAGAUUAAUUUGUUUCUUUUUUAAGUUCACCUUGUUUUCAUUUUUAACUUAUUUCUCUUAUUUUUUUUAUUAUAUAGUUCAUGGCUUCUAACACUCCGUAUUUUGGUGAUAUACUGGAUUUUGUUUUCGGGGAAGGCAAUGAGACUGAUUGUUUUUCUAAGUUUGCAUAUUUAGAGGCAAUAAACUCUAUUAAAAAAAGAAUGGCUGCUGCAACCUGUGAAAUUUGUUAUGCCAGGGAUCAUUCAACCGGUAUGUGCCCCGAAUAUCAAGAUGAUCUGAGUGUCCCAUUCAAUAAUUAUGGAGAUUUUUCACCCUGGUCUCAAACGUGGUAUAACCCUAAUCCAAACGGGUAUGAUCAAGGAUGGUGGGAUAACUCCAGUUAUGAUUAUACAACAGGGCCAAUGAAUUUUCAGCAGUAUGAGUCUCAAGAACCGUCAUCCAUGUCAGGUAUGUCUCUUGAAGAAAUAGUUGAAUUAAUAGCUACUAGCACAUAUCAAAUUCAACAGGAGGUACAUCAGUUUCAACAGGAGACACAAAAGAUGAGUGAAGAGAUGAAAGAAGGAAGGCGUGAAUGGGCAUCUAAAAUGAGCAAAUUGAUUUCUCCAGUUUAUGAAGAAUUGCCUUCACCGACUAUUAUCGACCAUGAGGAAGAUGAGAGUGCAAUUAUUCUGACAAUUGACAUGGUACUGCAAGGGUCUCAAGAAGAAGAAUCUAAAGAUGCAGUUGAAAAGAAAGUUGAAGCGCAAGAAUUGAGACCCCAACAUCAAAUAGUUCAAGUGAAUGAAUCCAGUGAACAAUCUCCAAAUGCGGUGACAUCUCCUCCAUUCCUUGAUCAAUAUUUUCCUGACUCUUAUUCUUUAAUUCCUGUUGGUGAGAUUGAUUUUAUUAUACCAGAAAAUUUUGAGUUUCAUGACAGGAACAAGUCAAGAGUCACGAUGGCAAAAUAUCUCAAACCAAUAAGUGCUUGUGAUGGAGGGGUGAAUGAAGAUUUAAGGUCAUUACUUGGUUGUUUGGCGCCAUCUACUAGUCCAUGGAAGACCGUAGCUCGUGUGCUCAAAAAUUACUCUACUUACGAGGGCUAUCAAGAUUACAUAGAGGAUGAAGCACUAAAGCGAGCUACGCGAUUUUAUCCUCCAUGAAUAAACAGGACAAUGUCUAGCCAAAGACAUUAAAGAAAGGCGCUACUUGGGAGGCAACCCAAGACUAUUUGUUUCAGUUUUCAUGCAUUUUUGAAGUUUUAGUUAAGUGUUAGUGUCAAUUAAUAGUUUGAUGUUUGGUGGCAGGAAAUUAGCAGUUAGAUGUGCCCACGCCAGGCGGUCACGCCUGAGGGAAAGAAAUUUUCGUUCAGGAUCUGCGGAUUCUAUAGCAGUUAGACGUGCCCACGCCAGGUGGUCACACUUGAGGGAAAGGAAUUUUCGUUCAGGAUCUGCGGACUCUAUAGCAGUUAGACGUGCACGCCUAGGCCAGAGGUUCCUUAUUCUAAAAAAAAAAAAGAGAGAAAAAAAUUUUACAAAAGCAAUUUCAAUUUUUGGAGAAUUUCGGUAAGACUAGUUAAAAAAAAAAACCAUUUUAUUUUAUUUUUCCUCUUUUCUUCUUUCUUUUCUUUCCUUCUUUCUUUCUUCCCUUUUCUUCUUCUUCUCCGCCGCUCCCCUGUUUCCCUCUGUUUCUUCUUUUUCUUUCACGCCGCCUGCCGCUACCACCUCACCCACGCAGCUCGAGUCGCCCAAGCUCCCUUGCGGCCAGGAGUUUCGUAGCACGCAGCUUCACCUCACGGUCCACCGCCAUCUUGCGGCCAAGGCCCGCCGCUGGUCCCCUCUCUUCCAUCGCCAAAUCCACGCUGCACGCCGCCCGUGAGCCAAGCCGACAGCGCGCAGCCCAGCCCGCGCCGCUGCUGCUCUCCACCAGCUUGCCGCCGCCUCUCCCUCAGCUCAAUCCCCCGCCAACAGUCUCCAUCAGCUCGCGACCGCCGCUGCACCGCCACCCUCCACCACGAGCAGCUUCACCUCGCGGCCAGGAGCUGCCACGAGCCCUACAGCGCCGCGCCAGCUUGCAGCGCAGCCCACGUCAAUCGUCCGCCCCCGCUGCUGUCGACCUCCAUCAGCACCACCACCUGAGCCGCACGGGACUCCUGUCUUUGCCGGCCUCUCCUGCAACCGCGCACAUCUCCUCCAUUGCCGCGCGUCACCACCUGCCCAAAAUUGGCAGGUGGAGGUAUUCGAAUUUCCACCUUGAUUAGUAUUUCUCUAGUCCUUAAAUUGCUGGAAUUUGCGUUCUUGUUUCUUGGGCUUCUUGUUGGAAAACAGCAGGCAGUGAUUUUAGACAUUUUCUGGGGCUAAUUUUGGGUAGAAUUGAGUUAAACUGCUGCGAUAUUUGGGGGUACUUUGGGAGUAAGUUGCCAAUUGCUUCUGGCUUUAAUUUCCGCUCAUUUUUGGCACUACUUGGGUGUUCAAAUCUAUUUCGUUUACUAUGUUAGUUAUUUGCUUUAAUUUCUCCCUAUACACUCACCAGUGGUACUGGUGAUAGUAGUUGUUUAACAUCUGAUAAUCUGUGUUCUGGAUUGCCUAAUUAAACGAGUUGUGACUACUGGGCAUUUGUGAUUGAGUCCAUCCUGUGAUUGAGUGUCUGGAUAAAGCAGUGGGUGCUUUAGGCAUUUUCUGGGGGAACUUUUGGGACAGAUUUGGGUUUAAUUGCUGCCAAAGUGGGGGUAUUUUCUGCUAUUUGUUGAAAAGCUGGCCUUUUGAUUACUUUUUCCCUGCGACUCACCAGUGGUACUGGUUGAGGUCUUUUGCCUAUCGUUGUGGCUUAUAUUUGAAGAUAUUUGCUUAUUUUGAAGUUAAGGUUCUUGCAUUUGAGUUGCUGCUAUUGAAUUUAAUUCUUUCCUGUCUGUGCACCAGUGGUACUGGUUGCAGUGUUGCUUUCCAUUUCUUAAUCCUCUGUGCUGGACUGCCUAUUCGAUUCUUGAGUUUUGGUGCCUGAACUGUCUCUCGAUUCUUACCAUUAGUUGCUGGAAUUACUGGUUUCUUGGCCAAAUUGCUAAUUUUGAGCGUUUGACUUGGGUAUUUGACUGUCCAACUGGUGACAUUUAUUGCGCUUCAAUCAAUUGAAUUCAUUUGCUCUGUUGGUAUCCCUGUCGGUAUCACUUGAGUUCUAUUUUGCUAGUUUCUGUCUUGCGUCCUUUGAAGUGCCUUUGGUUGGGUAUUUUCUUCAUUUGUUUGUUGAAUUGGAAGGCUACUGUGCCACUUCCAUUGCUUAUUGCAGUUGGUGGCGUCUAAUUGACUUGCUGGGAGUAUUUUACCUAUUGAUUUCAAUUGCUAAAUCUUUAGAGAAUUUGUUGCGAUUUGCAUUUUGUUGAUUGGGUUGUCUACUAGGAAGGCACCAGUGGCUAUUAAAUUUUUAUUGCUUUGAAUUUGCUAAGUGGCCUCUCCCACCGAUGGCCUCUGAUGCUAAGUGGCGCCACUUGCAAGAUCAGGUUCACCACGCGGAUGAGCAAGUAACGCAUAUCGCCAGCCAGAUGGCUCCAAUGUCUAAGAACCUGGCCGCGUACUUCCACCAUAUCUGCUUCACUCCCCCGUUCCUGCCUAUUCCGUAGCCGCUUGAGAGGGAAGUUUCAUUUUUCUCUUCAUUUUAAUUGCUAUAUUACCUCCAUCGAGGGCAAUGUCGGACUUAGGUGUGGGGGGGACAGCUGUGGUACAGCUAGUAUUUCUAAUUUUUAGUUUUUACAUGUUUUCCUUUAUUUUUGUUAUUUGUUCUAGUUUUCGUUUAUUUUCUUUUCUUUUUUCUAGUGGUCAGUCUUCUAUAACUACCAAGUUUUGAUGCUGGAUUGUUGCCUCUAAUUCUGCUAUUGCCAAGUUUUAUUAAUAAAAGGGUAUUAAGUUAAUGUGGUUGAGCUCAGGAACAUCUCUUUGGUGAAUAUCAAUACUUGCUUAACUUUUCCAAUUUUUGGUUAACUUUUCUAGGCAUAGGGAAUGAUUGUUGGCAUUCUUCAUGUGAAUUGGUCCAAUUAUUAAUUUUAGUUCUCCAUGUUUGAAAUUUGAGGCUGGCUGCUGUUAUUUUUAGUUAUUGUGCUAUAUGAUUGUAAAUAAGAGGUGACUGUACUCCGCUAGUUAUCACUACUGAGUAACCGGGGAUCUUCACCUAAACUGUCGAUUCUCGCGUCAAAAGGUAGUAAUUGCUAUGAGUGCGUGGUCCUGUAGCGAUUAGAGCUGAAUAACCGGGCUCCUCCAUCUGUCAAAUGUUGGAGUUCGCGUCAAAAGGCUCUAAGGGCUAUAGACUAAGUCUUUUGCUAUUCAAAAAACAAAAAACAAAAAACAAAAAACAAAAAACAAAAAAAGAAGUGAAGUAAAGAUUGUGUUAGUAUGUGAAUAAAUCAGCUUGCCGGUUUGUGAUCUUAAUGUCGAGAUUUUGGUUAAUAGUUGGACCAUUUGCUGAUAAAUGUGAGCAACCAUUCCUUCUUCUUAGAUUAGUUUGCUUUAAAUUGGAGAAGUUGGUGGUUUAGAGGCUAACCGGGUUGAUUUUUCUUGGAUAUUGACCUGUGAUGCUUGAUAUUUAUUUUUCUUGGGCAUCUUGGCAAUACGGUAGUUGGAGCAGUAGCCAUUGUCAAAUUUUGGUGUUCAAUUGCUGUUCCCAUGCUUGAGGGCAAGCAUGAUUCAGGUGUGGGGGGAAUUGAUAGGGUGUAAAUUGUUGGUUAUUUUAUUGUUAAUUUCCCCUUUUAUCCUUGCCAAAUAUUGUUUUAAUUAUUAAUAUUUACUUAUAUUUGGUAUUGGACCCAAUUUCAGGGAUUGAAGCAGAAAAUUACCAAAAAGGAGGGACUUGUAUGGAAAAAUGCAGACUUCUAAGGACUUCAACCUUUGGGUCCUUGAAUUGGUGGGGACCACAAGCUAGUGCAAGGCAUUUAGUCAUUUGGGCUUUUCAAAGAGAGCAACGUAGAGAGAUUUGGAACAACAAGUACUUUGGAGGCUUUGUCCACAUGUGCGGGGACCACGGAUAAGAAGCAUGAGUCAUUUGGACUCUAGGAAAAGAAACGUACAAGACUUUGAAUUUGGUGUGGGGACCACUAGAGAUAGCAUUAGACUUCCUUUUGGCUUUAAAAAGGGAGAAACGUACGGGAGGUUAUCAAUCAAUAGUUUAGUUUAGGUUUUUAGCAUAGUUUUAGUUUUUCUUUUCUUAGCUCUUUCGCAUGGUUGUUCUCCAUUAAUGGAGAACUAACCUCUUAAUUCUAGUCAAGGGGACAACUGAAGAUUUGGUUCAACAAUUACUGUGAGAUCGAAUCUGUUUUAAUUAUUUUCUUCAUUUAUUGGUAUUUAUAUGUUCCUUGAUUUUAAUUGUUAUGGCCUUGUGUAUGAUUGAUUAGUGCGCAAUAAUUAAUUAUUCAUAUAGGCUAUUUUGCUAAAUAGAGGUAAUUGAAUCCGUAAUUGUUCGUUAUCUCUAUCUUAGUAGCAACUGGCGUAAUUGGGUUUAUGUCAGGGGAGCAUACGAUCUAGCUUAAACAAACCCUCGUAGCGUGUUUGUUAGUUAGGAUUGGGCCUUUCUAAUUAAUAAUGCAACCUAAGAAUUAAAUCCUACGGUCGUACUUAGGGUUGUUUUUGGGUUAGAGAAAUAGCUAACGGUCGUACCUUAGCUAUCGAUAAAUUAAUGAAGGGUUGGUUGUUUAUCGCGUGCAUGACAACUAUAACCAAUCUAUUAAUAAAUGUUGGGAUUAUUUUUGCAUCAAUGAUCAGUGCAUGAACCAUUUCUGAAGUAUAUCCUUGGCUAGAGUUUCUCUUAGUUAUUUCUUUUAAUUAAUUAUUUUCUGCAGUUAAUUUAUUUAGUUAGCUUUUAAUCCAAAACCCCCCAUACUUUGGACUCUAGAAGAAACGAAUUAUCCCCAAUCUCUGUGGAUUCGACCCUACUCACCGCUAUAUACAAAAUCUGUAUUUUUCUCGAAUAGGUAUUUAUUAUUGCACGGGUUCGGCACCUGUCAGUUUGCAUCGAGGUGGAGAAGAUCUCAAUUACAUACAAGCAAUUAACAGCAGAAGAAACAUAGCUUUAAUAUCUGAUUCUAGUAAUGGUUUCUGGCAAAGAAUACGUUGUCCUUCACGAGUAAUGUUUCUAGAAACAAUCUUCAUAUUUUUUGUGUUUAAAAUAACUUGAAGAAUACGGCAAAAGUAAACUUUGGUUUGUGGACUGAUGAGUAAACACUAUGAAAUGAUGAGUAAAUAUCAACACUAUAUGUCUGGAAAGAGAGGAAUUACAUUUUUUUAGCAACAAGGUUACUAAAAUUGGGGGUUAUUAUAACUUUAUCCCUUUAAACUAUAGUGCUAAUAUCAAUUUACCUUUUUAACAUUAUUUUGCAGGCAUUUGACCUCGCAGUUAUUCUCCUUUUUCAUUCUAAGAGGACCAAGAAAAAAUGCAAAAGGGUUCCCUUUUUUUUUCAUUCUCAACUAUUAAGAAAAAAAAAGAAAUUGAAUAGAGGUUGACAGAAAACUCAAUUUCAGAAAAAAGGAAAAUAAAGAAGAAUCCAAUAUUAUAAUUAAUUUAAAAUAAGUUAGAGUGGGCGGUAGGGGUGAAGAGUAAGUAGCAAUUUUAAAAUAAUAAGCACAUUGGAUUCUUUAUUAUUUUUAUUUUCUUUUUUUAAAAUUGAGUUAUCUCUCUAUUUUCUUAUUUUAAGUAUUGAUAAGUACACGAGGAAAAAAAGAAGAAGACAUUUUUUUUUGACUUUUUCCCCUUGUUAUUAAAGAGGGUGGAAAAAAGGGAGAAGACACUUUUUUAUUUUUUUUCUUGGUAUUAAAAGGGUGAAAAAGGGGGAAAAAACCAUUCCAAUUUUUUUUUAUUUUUAAUCAUACAGGAGAGGGAUGUAUUUCUUCUAAAAUAUUAGGUAAAUUAUAUAUAAUUUUCUGUAUUUUCAUCUAUUGCCACAUGAUCUCCAAAACAUUUUAGGGUUAUAUGCAGCUGAUGUAAGGGAAAAAAUUCAUAUUAAUACCUCAAAUUUCCCUUAAGGAGUUUUUAUAUUUAAAUCAAAUUAUUCAAUGAAUAUAUUUUUGUUUUUCUCCUAGUCUUAAAGAGUCUUGCCACAGGCCUAAAUCAUUUCCGCUAUAUUGCUUUGGCCAAAUUUACAAUCGUAUAUUUGUGUUUGUAGCCGUUGAUUGAACUUUGGUCUUAGGAAAAAUGAUAACAAAUGGAAAGAGUGAGAUACAAGUCAAUUAAAAAACAUGAUUAACACUAGAAUUUGUGAGACAUGGAGACUUGGAUUAUAAAAAGGAUAAGAAAACUUGAAUAGGUGAAAAAGGGUGGAUUAAAACUAUACGAAAGAAGUAGCAUAACAGUGAUAUAGCAUUUGGUGAUGGGAAGAUUCUUGGUGAUGUGUUUUUUAAGUUUGAUAGGCAUUUUAUUACUUUUGGGAAGAUUAUUAUAAUCAUUUUGAGUCCUUAACAAAAGCACGGAAGUGUAAUAUUUGAAUAUAGAGGUGGGCAACAUGAGAUUAUUAGAAAUCUUAGAAGAAGUUUUUGAAAAUAUCCUUUGCUGUAAUACUAUUCUUUUUUUUUUUCCUACCUUGUGAUUAUUGAUUUCCACAUUCACACUCAAAAUGCUAAGGCAAAAAGCAAAAUUCAAGGAUGAAAAAUGAAAGAAAAAGAGACAAGGUUAUAAACAUGGGGAAAGACUCUAGAUUUGAUUAAUGCUAAAAUAUUAUAAAAUGAUUAUAGCAUUUCUUUUUCAUUUUUUAUGAGUGACACUUUUUUAAAAAAAAAAAUUUAGUAGGGGAAUGAUGGGAUUUAAAAAGCGAAAAAAGAAUAGGGAGAUCAAAAUUCAGGAUCUCUAAUUCCUGGGAGUAACAUGAUAAUAUUAUUUCUAAAAACCCAAAAUCAAAUCCUAUUGGUGUAAUAUAAAGGAAUUCGGAUGAUCGAACUGUUUAAAACAUAAAAUACUUCUUAAUUAUAAUAUCUUAUUCAGGAUAAGAAAACUUGAAUAGGUGAAAAAAGGUGGAUUAAAACUAUACGAAAGAAGUAGCAUAACAGUGAUAUAGCAUUUGGUGAUGGGAAGAUUCUUGGUGAUGUGUUUUUUAAGUUUGAUAGGCAUUUUAUUAUAAUCAUUUUGAGUCCUUAAAAAAAGCAUGGAAGUGUAAUAUUUGAAUAUAGAGGUGGGCAACAUGAGAUUAUUAGAAAUCUUAGAAGAAGUUUUUGAAAAUAUCCUUUGCUAUAAUACUAUUCUUUUUUUUUUCCUACCUUGUGAUUAUUGAUUUCCACAUUCACACUCGAAAUGCUAAGGCAAAAAGCAAAAUUCAAGGAUGAAAAAUGAAAGAAAAAGAGACAAGGUUGUAAACAUGGGGAAAGACUCUAGAUUUGAUUAAUGCUAAAAUAUUAUAAAAUGAUUAUAGCAUUUCUUUUUCAUUUUUUAUGAGUGACACUUUUUUUAAAAAAAAUGUAGUAGGGGAAUGAUGGGAUUUAAAAAGCGAAAAGAGAACAGGGAGAUCAAAAUUCAGAAUCUCUAAUUCCUGGGAGUAACAUGAUAAUAUUAUUUCUAAAAACCCAAAAUCAAAUCCUAUUGGUUUAGUAAUAUAAAGGAAUUUGGAUGAUUGAAGUGUUUAAAACAUAAAAUACUUCUUAAUUAUAAUAUCUAAUUCAUUAGUCGAAUGUGGAAUCUUAUGUUUGUUGCCCCUUUCUUUUUUGCUUUGGAUUUGGGUUUUUGGCGUUGAAUUUUGAGUAUGAAUUGAGUAAGAUUUUUUUUUUUUUUUUUAAGAAUUAAUCUUUUUUUUUUAAAUUAUUUAUUUUAUUGAUAGGAGCAAAUUUUACACACUGAGAAAGACCAAUUCGAAGUACAGCAAUCGACUGAAAAGGUAAUAAAUCAAACACAAAACCUCCAUGUCUCGUUGCAUAUUAGCUCCAGUUGUCCUUUGUUCUGCCCUUCAUACGCUUAUUUUUCCGAAUUGAAGGCAUUCCUAAUCUAUCAAGUCGAAUGGCCCCACGAGCCAUAGUUGGGAACCAAUUAAAGGCCUCGUAAAGCUUGACUUGAAUUGAGUAAGAUUAUAGCAUGAGAAGGUUCAUCAUGUUCAUUUAAUUAAGGUCUUCCUGCAUUUAAAAUGGGAGCUUACAUGACAUAAAAAAAGAUUAAAAUGGUAAUACUUUACAAAAGAGCAUCAUAGUGGGAACAUUUUUCCUAAAAAAGGUCACUUCAGAACUAAAUUCCGUGAAUCCCUGGUUUCAUGUGGGUUUUCUUUUCAUGGACGUACGUGAUUAACAUCAUGUCUCUUAUCAUUUCGAUGAGGAUUAUUAACAUCCAAGUCCUAGAGCCUGAUUGCAUUAGUACUAUCCUUGGCCUUGGGUAUAAUAUCACAAGUUCCUCCCUGUAAAUGUUGCAAUGCGUUUUAAGAGAGUGAGAAUUAAGUAUAUCACGGGGAAAAAAAAAAUUAAUGGCAAAGUAACUUACCAGAACAACCAACAGAUGGAGGAGGAUAAUCCAACAAGCAAGUCCUUUGGAAUCCAUCAAUUGGUAGGUUUUAUAUCCCUUGCAACUCCUCCUUUGAAGGAUUAGGCAACAGCAGAAGCAAAUGCCAAAUAUUACAUAUGGAUGAAAAGUGUGCUUGAUUAGAAGGUUCUUUUUCAAAUAGUCGAUUAAAUUAUGACCCCUUGAAAGAUAGUGUUUCUUAUUGAGGUUGAAAAAUGAACCAAAUUACUUGAUACUCAAAUCAGAUUUGGCUAAAUAAAAGUUUGUUUGAACUUAAUUUGCCAACUAAUCAAAUCAAAAUUUAAGAAGUAUUAUUAUGUGUUAGAUUAACUAUCAAAUUUGGCAUUAACUUGGCUUGAUAAACAUAAAAUUAGAAUUUACAAGUAAAAAAUUCAAAUUACUCAAGUUCGACUCAUGCUCGAUUCUAUAAAAAAGCUCAUUUGAGUUUGCCUUAAUUAAUAAACAAGUCAAGUUUGAAGACCUUCCUCUUAAAAAAAUUUUAAAAAAAUCAAGUUUGAGUACAGUUUCAAGUUUAUUAAAUAAUCUAACAAGUUUGAAUACUACAACAUUGAAUCUAGUAGAUCUAGACAAAAUCACUAAAUUUAUUUUAGACCACAACUGUAGAUUGUUUAGAAAACAAGGACCAAAAUGUAGACCUACCCACAUGAUGCAAACCAACCAGCCACGUGAUCCAUGUUGUAACCUUGCUAGCUUCACUUAGCUAUCGCCUUGUAUAAAUAGCCGUAUAGCCCCCAAGAGUCUUUUCACCACCAAAGUUACAUUUUGAGUCUGUUCAUAGGCAAGGCAUGGCUUCAUCUAUCACUCUGAUCGCAGUCUUUUCAAUUGCCCUGGUAAGGUUUCUCAACCAUCAAUACUGUACUUGAAGUAGUAGUUCAUAUGAGAUAAUUGCUAGACUGUAUAGGAAUACUGAUGAAACCCGUGAAUUAAAGCUACCUGAGAAAACACAUUCUUCUUCCUUUUUGCACAUUUAUCUGCAGCUCUAACCAUCGCCACUGAAGGAAUGGAAGCUCUUCAGAUGGUUCUGUAGUUCUAUUCUCAUAAAAGCUUGACUUCCAAACAUUACCAAUGCUGGUACCAUACUUAAACGUCAAUGUAACUUGAGUAAUGGCAUAUGACACUAUUUACCAUUUUUUAGUUAGAGGAUUCAUCCGGGAAAGAUUGAAAGUCAAAUCAAGAACCUUAAAAUCAACAUAAGGAAUAUUCCUGUUGCCAGUUGAGCUCGUAUUUGGAAAUUAACUAUCCUUCCCUACUAGGGGUCAUCUUUUACGGUGCUACCAUCAACGUACCUAUAUUGACGUUAGUUUCUUUUAUGUUAAUAUUUGCACAAAUGUGCAGUUUGCAUGCAUCACGGAAGCAAGGAAGAAUCCUACGGACUUUUUGCAAUCUGCUGUCAUUAACGAGCAUACUGAGGACAAUCACCAUGCAGAGUCGUCCCUUUCCAAUCAGAAGAAGACAAGUAAUGGUAACACAUUGAAGGAUUUCGAGUCGAAACCCGGCUCCUUUCUCUGGGGGUAUCAAGGCAACGACGCUGAGUCUAAGUCUAAGGAGGAGAAGCCUCUUAUGAAAGGCUUUGAGUCAAAGCCCGGCUCCUUUCUUUGGGGGUAUCAGGGCAACGACGCUGAAUCUAAGUCUAAGGAGGAGAAGCCUCUUAUGAAAGGCUUUGAGUCGAAGCCCGGCUCCUUUCUCUGGGGAUAUCAAGGCAACGACGUUGAGUCUAAGUCUAAGGAGGAGAAGCCUCUUACGAAAGACUUUGAGUCAAAGCCCGGCUCCUUUCUCUGGGGGUAUCAAGGUCCUCUUAUGAAAGACUUUGAGUCGAAGCCUGGCUCCUUUCUCUGGGGGUAUCAAGGCAACGACGCUGAGUCUAAGUCUAAGGAGGAGAAGCCUCUUAUGAAAGACUUUGAGUCGAAGCCCGGCUCCUUUCUCUGGGGGUAUCAAGGCAACGAUGCUGAGUCUAAGUCUAAGGAGAAGAAGCCUCUUAUGAAAGACUUUGAGUCGAAGCCCAGCUCCUUUCUCUGGGGGUAUCAAGGCCCUCUUAUGAAAGACUUUGAGUCAAAGCCCGGCUCCUUUCUCUGGGGGUAUCAAGGCAACCACGCUGAGUCUAAGUCUAAGAAGGAGAAGCCUCUUAUGAAAGACUUUGAGUCGAAGCCCGGCUCCUUUCUCUGGGGGUAUCAAGGCAACCACGCUGAGUAUAAGGAGAAGAAACCACUCGUGAAAGAUAAUUAAUGUCCAGGGAAGCCGCAACUUUACCUCUGAAUGAGCUACGGACAUAUAUGUCUUCUGGCUGGUCUGAUUUUCUCCAUUUUCUUUAUUGGCAUGAAAAUGUGUGAUAUGUAAUAAAUGCAGUUCUUCUUUCAACCAAGCGUUCCGUAUAAUUAAUUAAAUGAAAGUCAGUACCGUUGAGUGCAUUUUCUGUUUCUUUGUUUGUUGUUUCUUUUUGCCAUUUACCAUAGACAGGAAGCGCACAAAAAAUGAGCUAUUCAAGCAUGACAAGAAUCAUAGAGUGAGCGAACCAACUAUACCUUGAUAAUCUAAAAAGAGUUCUGCAAACUCGUACUCUCGUACGAAACCAGGACCAUAUAUAUAUAUAGAUAUGUCGAUUCAAUUUUCUAAUGAUGUGUGUGGUACGAACGCACAUUAGAAGUACAGAAAAUUCUAGAGUAAACUUUCACAAAAGAAGGGAAAGAAUGGAGAGCUCUUGAAGCGUGAUUGAUCGCUAUUCUUAAGAAUCCAAUUAUCCAUACUACACUAAGUAUUUGCUGUAGAGAUAAAGGUAAUUUAACUUUAGGAUACAACAAGAGAAGAAGAAGUUGAUAGCAAUAUCAAGUUUCUCAAACUAAGAAAUGAUCAAAUAAUUCUAGCUAAUUUUGACAAUAAAAGGCUUGUUUUUUUACAAGUAACCUGUUUUCCACUCGUCUUUAAGUAUACUUCGAUACGUGGCACUUAAUCCCAAUUAUUUGACUUUAAACUUCAUUCUGUGAUGUGGAUUCUAUGUGUUAGUAUAUACAAGACUAAUCUUAAACAUUACUUGAAAAUCAUAUUAUAUGUAAUUGAGUACCGCAUAACUUGCAAUUAUCCACUUACGCUCUCAAUAUUAUUGGGAUAUUACAUGGAUUUUCGUUUCGGUAACUCUAAUUAUAUAGUCUCACGAUCCAUCUUAACUGAAGGGGCCAUUAUGAAUUACCAAUUAUAUAGUCUCACGAUCCAUCUUAACUGAAGGGGCCAUUAUGAAUUAGAUGAACAUGAAGUUGAAUUUCGAUUCUCAAGCUAUUCCCUUCCUCUUUCUUCAUUGUAAGGAUUAGAGUCUCUUUUGGAGGAAAAAAACACUCUAAUUAUACAGGAUUAAAGCAAAUAGCAAUGGUUGAUAAGUGACUAAUUUACGUAAUAAUUGUAUAAUAUUUUAUAUUAUUUUUAGUCACUUUAGUUAUAUUAUUGGAAGAAAAUGAAUGAUUUUGGCUAUAAUUGGUGAAAAAUACUUUUAAAUAAUUAAAUGAGGUUUUUAUCACUUUUUACUUGGAUUUUGUGUAUUUUGAUAGUUUUGACAUAUUUUCGUAUUUCGGCUAUAACUUGAGUUACAAUGAUCGGAUUGGGAUGAUUCUUGAACCCAUUUGAAGAUAAGAGAUAGAUCUACAACUUUGGUGAAAACAUCUGAAUCCAGUUUGAAGCGUUUCCAAGUCAAAAAGCCGAAUUACAGUAGCAAAUUUCCACUGGUCGAAGCUGAAACAGGGCAAUGAGCAGGCAAGGGUAUUUCGGUCAUUUCUCAGCCUACACAGAUCCAAAUAAGGUGAUUCUUGAUGCAUUGGAAAGCUAACUCAAAGGGCUACAAAUUUGAUGUUUUGAUCAAGAGCUAAAUCAGCUUUUAUCAUCAAGAAAAGUUCAGUGGAAGUUGAUGCAAAAUUGGAGCAGAGCUGGAAAUUGAACCAGAAGUGAUCAAAUGGUCACUGUAGCAAUCCGGCAGGAAUUUGGCCGGAUUUGUGGCUGGAUUCCUGGCCGGAUUGUGGUCAGAGAAGGCUGCUCUUUACGCGGAAAACUCAAUUUCAUCUCCACCAACUCACAUGUGAUGCUAGACAUGUGAGAAACAUUCUCAGCUGUAAAAGGGAGGUGUAAACCUCACUUCUUGACCAACUUUCAUCAUUAUAUAGCAAAAGCUUACAAGAUUGAAGGGAGAUAGAGAGAGAUACGGGAGAAAGCUUGGACUGCAAAAAAUGUAGCUCUACCAUUCUUCCUAGUGUUAGUUUAGCUUAGUAUAGAGUAGGAUAGUUCAUCCAUUCUUGUUAUUAGCUAGAUAAAGAAGAAGAUAAAGGAUGAAGAAGGCAAGGAAGAAAACUCAUGUGACAAGGGUUGUAUUCCUUCCAAACUCUUUAUCUUUUGUACUUGAUUCCAAGUUUAGUUGAUAUGCAAGUUCUGGAUUUUGUGUUCAAUAUGUGUCUCUAAAGUUUAUACCUUGGGUUUGGUUGAACUUUCUAUAAUUGUUAGUGUUUAUUAUUUGGUUAUUUGAUUGCUAUGAUUUGAGCAAGUUAUUUAGCACUUUGGCUCUUUAAAUCAUGAUUAAUCUGGUACCAUUGAUUGUGAUUAUCUAAGGUGUUGUUUCUGCAAUGAAAAUUGAGAUUUAACACUGGUUCAAGAAGUGCUAAACAUAGGGAAUACACUCACGAGAGUAGAGCUACACCUAUGUGGUUUUAGUGAUUCAUUCCAUGUAAUUUCACUGAAGAAAUGAACUUGUAGCUAAUUUCAUAACCAUGAGAAUAGGUAUGGAUUAGUUAUGAGUAUAGUUGAUUCACUACGAAAGUAGGUUUCACAUGUUUAAGGACAUUACACCAUAACUAGCUUAGAUGUAGUACUCAAUGAUCCAAAUAUAGCACUUGCAUGAGUAGUUAAGGAUACCACAAUCUAAGGAGCUUUUAUUUGUUAUUUUGUAUAAUUUCAGUAGGUUAAAUUUGUUAUAAUUCAUUGAUAGUCUAAAUAAUAGAGAAGCUUUCGUAAUACCGGUAAUUGUUCACUCUUCCCUGUGGGAUCGACCCGAUAUAUACCCUAAACUACUAGUUGACCUGUAUACUUGCAGUGAAUGGGUGUAAUUCGGUUUUUUUUUUUUUUUAACCUGCACGUAUGUAAAAUACCCGUCAAUGGUCUAUAAAAGCAUAAAAAGUAAGCAGGCUGGGGCAUAUUUAUUAAAACAUGAAAAUAAUAUGAAAUUUUAUAAUACACAUGAUACGAAUAAUAAACUGUACAUAAAUAAUGCAAAUAUAUUCGAAAAGUACAAAGCUGAUCAAAAUACAGCUUCAUUUACCAUGUGCAUAAUAGCUGUGUGCACAUUCUAGUGAAGAUUUUUUUUAUUUUUAGUGUAAGUGAGAAAUUUCGAGUUCCAAACCUUUCACUUAUACUCUCUUUUCCUAUAUCAUCCAAUCCAUCCCCUUCCCAUAUUUUUAUGAAGAUGAGCACAUAAUGUGAGUUUUUAUUUUUUGAGGUGAAUAACUUGUUCACAAAAAAGUUUUCUCGAUUUAGGUAAAGUUUAAACUUUACGUUGUCUAAACAACGCAAGUAGAUGCCACUAGGACUAGGGAUGGCAACGGGGCGGGGGACCCCUCCCCCAUCCCCCGCCCCGCUACCUACAAACUCCCACUCCCCCCGCCCCGCCCCGCUUCCCCCGCGGGGUUAAUAAAAUUUUUCCCGCUAGAUUAAUAAAAUUUUAUUAUAGUUAAAUUUUAAUAAAUAAUCAAGUACUAAAAUAUCAACACAUCAUCAAGUUAUUAUUCAUUUUAAUUUUAUAAUUGAAACUCAUAAAAACAAUCAAACAAAAAUUAUUUGAAUACAAUCCAACAUGAUGAAAUAAAUAUAACUAAAAUAGUUAAGUUUUCACUUUUGGUACAAAUACAAUCACUAAUUCAUUAUUGUGUUUGUGCUUUUUUUUUUAGAAAAAGUGUUAUUCUAUUAAGUAUAAUUAGAAAUUUAGUAUAAAUGUAUUACUAAAUUUAGUAUAACUAAUUAAUAAAUUCUAUUAGUAGACAUGUCUAAUUAUUCGUAUAAUUGAUAAUAUUAAUUAUAUUACAUACACUAAUAUACAUUAUAUAAUACAUCUAACUAAUAAUAUCAUUAUCAUAAGUUUAUAACUAAUUAAAUUACAUAUUAUAUAUAAUUAUAUAUAUAAUUUUUUUUUAGGGUGGCGGGGCGGUGGAUGGGGCGGGGGUAUACUCCCCCGCUCCCCGCCUUGUUUCUAAACGGGGGAAAAAAUUCCCCCCCGUCCCCGCCCCAACCCCGGCCCCGAGAGCCCCCCGCGGGGCGGUUUCCUGUGGGCACCCGCCCCCAUUGCCAUCCCUAACUAGGACAGAAGUCAUUAUGAUGACUUCAUCCAAGGUAACGAAAAAAAAGGCGUACAAUUGCACUUAAAAUUUGUGAAUUUAUAGUACUAUUUCAUGGUUUAUCCUAGGGGUGUUUCGCGAAUCGAGCCGCUCGCGAGCCGAUCGCGAGCGGCUCGAAUACGAGCUCGACUCGAGCUCGUCAAUAUCGAGUUUGAGUCGAGCUCGAGCUAAUUAAGUCGAUCUCGAGCUCAAGCUCGAGCUCAAAAACAUUAAACUCGUUGGCUCGCGAGCGGCUCACGAGCUCAAUUAUUUUUUUAUAUUUUAUUAUUUAUUAAAAAAAUUAUUAUUUUAUUCAUUUUUAAAAAUAAAAUAAUAAUAAUUAUUUUUUUAUUUUUUAAACUCGAGUUUGAGCUGGAGCUCGACUCGAAUUUGACUCAAGCUCAAGCUCGAGCUCGAUAUUUUGAGCUCGUCGAGCUCGAGCUUCACAAAAUUAACUCGAGGUCGGCUCGAUUAGCCAAAGCUCGACUCGAGGUCGGCUCGUUUGCACCCCUAGUUUAUCCCCUCAAAGUUAACAACAAAUAAUGUUUUGAACCCCAUUUAAACAACUUAUGAGCGUAAUUCAAAUUUAUUGCUCCAUUAUGUGUGUACAAUGUAUCAAAACAAAAGAGUAGCAAAUUGUGUUUUAUUGCACUUUUUGUUUAGCUAGCUUCAUGCAAAUUAACCUUCGUAGAUUAUAGGUAAAGAAUUGGUUUGCCAUUCAAUGUAUCCAAGAAAUAUGUGUUAGUACAUAAUGCUUAUUUUAAUGGAUGUACUGGUGUAAAACAAAAUUACAAAUUAUUAAGUUUUAAACUUUACAAGUACUUAAAGCACAAUAAUUUUUUAUUAAAUUAAAAUUUUCCCUUCUGUGAUUUGGUAGUUUAUCUUAUAACCCCUCUAUAGUUUAAAAAUCUGUAAUCAACCUCCUCAUAAUCUGGGUUAACAUAUCAUCGUUAAUUUUUCUAAAGUUUAAGUCAAAUUAAUAUAUUGAAAAAUUUAUCCUUUCACUAAUUCUUUGAGGUAGUUACAAAACUAUUACAAUUAUUAUACACCUUAAACUAUGUAUUUGUUUUCAAGUAAACACAAAAGGUGCAACAAACCAUUUUUAGCCAAGUUAAUAAAAUUGCAAAUGUAACAAUAAAAAGCACCCUAUGAAAAGUUACUCUAUAUGAUUAAGAAAAUAAUUUAUAUUUAUUAGAAUGGAAAAAAGUUGCCAGAAGAGGGAGAGACCAUAAGAAAAAUAGUUUAGAGUGAACUGCAUCAAUCAUGCCUUCCAUCAGGGAAAAAUGAUAGAUGUGCGUGUAUAUAGGUACAUAUACGCGCAUUUAUGUAUGUGCAUGUACACGGACGUGAGGUAGUUCCUUUAAAAAGUAGCUUCUCCUGCAAUAAUCCAAAUUUUAGCACAGUGGCAGAAAUGGAAAAGUAGUAUAGGCUGAACCGAAAUCUACUAAAAUACAAGCUUGAAAUUCAGAUAGAAAUUGAAAUGCAUAAAACGUCCAGAGCCUUUUUUUUUUUUUUUUUUGAGGAGAUAAAACGUUCGGAGCUGAAAGCAGAACCAGUCUUUGAGUCGUAGUGUUAUUUAGAUUCAAGUGAAAGAGGGGGCACAGGAUACAAUACAGCAGCCAAACAGAAAUGGAAGCUUGAGCUCUUGGACCAUUUGGCCAGAACGGUAGAGCCCUAAAUUGGAACCAAUACAAAGCUUUCUGCCGGAAGAACAUGGCAAACAUGGGAGGUCCCGGAAGGCAACGCGACCAUGGUUCCAGUAUCCAUGUGACAAACAGCUUCGAUUGUCAGCAAAAUCCUGUACACGCCCGAUUGUCAGCCUGUUGAGAAUGGCAAUAAAAGAUUUAAGGAUAAGCCAUGGUUCGACAGGAUGUCAUCUUCGGAGUUAAAAUCAUUUCAGGAACUUGUAAGAUUGUGUUGUUUUGCAAUCUAUCUGGAGUUGAUCUCGUGGGUUGUUGUGUCAAAAAGACUCCGAUAUUGGUCUCCGGACCCAUGAUUUUUCCUGCAAAUUCACCCAAUAACUCAUAGGAUGUGACACAAGUAUUCUUCUCUCCGUUGAUCGGCAUCCUCUCACACUCUCGAAGAGUAUUUUCCAUCAUCUGGGCUUUUCGAGGUCCUUGAGGAAUCGAAAAGUGUUCAAGAAUGUAAGGGAGUUGCUCUAGCUGUGGCAACUGACAAAAUUAUCCUUGAUUGCUAUUCUCUCUACAGGGUUCAAUGUAUAUGCAUGUGACAACAGUAUACCCUGUUAAUGGAGUAUUCAAUUUGGUGCUAUAUAUAGCCCAUUCUUAAACCAGGUUUUGUUUGAUUGGUUUUUAAAUUUGCCAGUGAUCAUACUGAGACCGGAUUGCCCCUGACGAAUUUGAAUUAUGGAGGCGAGUCCAUUAUUUGAUCAAGAACCACCAAGAUUUACUACAUGGCAAGCCAAGAUUUCAAUCUCAUCGAGCUCUUUUACAUUCAUUGUAUGGCAUGUACAAGAGCAUUAGUUUCGUUAAGUUAACGAUCAAUAGUUAUAAAUUCACAUGCAUAAAAAAAUAAAGUAAUUUUAGUUUAUGUACAUGACUCAGGAAAAAAUAUACCAAUAUACAGUAAUUCUUGGUAUAUAUAUUGAUUGUUAGUUCAUGUACAUAACUCAGGAAAAAAUUUUAGUUCGUGUACAUAAAUCUUGGUGUAUGUUUGUACCAAUUUUUGUGAAAGUUAAAUCAACCAAGCACAACUGGACCUGCGCCAAUCCAGAAUUUUCACUUGCCCGUCCCCCUAAUCCAAAUUUGAUGCACAUGCCAUAAAUUAAAAGAUAAAAAACUUAACAUUGGAGAAUUAAAUGUGCAAAAAGAAUAUAUAAUAUAAGACUAUUGUACAAUAUCAACAUAUGACACAUGUCUAUUGUACAACAUCGUCAAAUCAAGAAAAUACGCACACCCAGAAUACAUAGAUGUUCUAUACAGUCCCUAAAACUUUUUUUUAUAUAUACUAAUUUGAUACAGUCCACAGAACUCCAGUCUUUACCGUUACAAAUUCAACUUCUAAUUCUCUUUAGGGUAUUAAGAAGGCCUUACUUAUAAUAGGUCUGAAGAAAAGUCAAGACAAGAAGGAAAGCAGCGGCAAAUAAAGCAAUCGCAGUCCAGGGACUGUUAAAAUAAAUGUAGAAGAGUUCGGCCAGCCAUGUCUUUGCCUUCUUGUUGUAGUGUGCCUGAAUUUUCUCGUUCACAUCAUGACAAAUGGUGACAUUCCGCAUCCCGUAAGUGUUUAUGUCUUUAUAAACUGCUAGGUUUGGUUACAGGAAAUUGACAAAAGGAUUUUUGACAAUCUUGAAAAAGACAAAUAACAAAGCAAAAAUAAAUAAAAUAGAAACACAUGAAUUUACGUGAUUCGAUCAAAUUGAUCUAGGUCCACGGACGGAAGAGGAACAAUAUUUUACUAUGAAGAAAAAAGUACAAAAAUGCCUUAGGCCCAAAAAAACAAGAGAGUCCAAAAUAUUUUAUUAAACAAAAAAUUUAAUGACUCAAAGGUCUAAAUAGUCCUCUAAAUCUCUGUUGGUUUGGCAUACUUAAUCCCAUCACAAACCCAUUAUAUUUAUAGGCAACUAAGAGAAAGGCUACCUUAUACAAAAGUCGAUAUGGGACAAUGCCACUUUAACAAAUCUCCACCUUGGCGUGUUCUCAAUAUCGACAAUAGCAAAAUUAUUCCACCUUCUCCACAUAAUCCCCAAUAGACCUAAAUCACCAGCAACGAAUACCAACCAAAUUCAAGCAUUGAUUGAACUUAUAAAUUGGAAGAGGUUUUGUGAGCAUGUCUGUAGGAAUCUCCUUGGUACUGAUUUUCUGAACAAGGACUUUUCUCUCAGUAAUAAUAUCUCGAAUGAAAUGAAAUUUCACAUGAAUGUAUUUCGUUCUCUCAUGAUAUAUCUGGUCUUUAGUCAAAUAAAUAGCACUUUGACUAUCACAGUAAAUAGUAUGAUGAGAAUAUAAAGACCAAGGCCCAUUCAAGCACAUGGGGAAUUGGAAGAUUCAAGUGAAAACUAGUUGAUUGCACGAAUACUUGAGUUUAGUAGGAUUAUUUGAUUUUCCUCGUUGAUUUUGGUUAUUUCUCGCUUUAGAAAGUCUAGGUAAUUAAGCUAGUUUAAUUGCGGCCCAUUUGUUAGUAAGUGAGGCCCAAAAUCUUCCUUAAAGUAUGUAGGGUAGUUUGGUCAACUUUUGGAUUAGAGUUAAUGCUUGUAAGGGCUAUAAAUAGCCCCACUUCCUCUUUGUUUUAGGGGAUUAGUUUUUUACUAUUAAAUACAAUUAGUGAGUUUUCACUUUCUCUUUGGCAAGAGAGUUUCCUUUGAAUACUUGAGAAUCUUCUCAAGUUAUUCGCCUGAACUUAUCAAUCGAGUAUCUCCUUGAUUGUGGCGUUCUACUACCUCCAAUUUGGUUCGUUAAUUCGAGCAGUGACGGGUUGAGAUAAUAUCAAAAUUGUUCGUGACUUCUAGGGAUUAGUUGGGUCAAAUUUCCGCUGCCUAAACCAUGGUGUUUUGGUUGUCUAGAUCGGGGAUUCACAUCAGUUGGUAUCAGAGCUAGUCGACAACCACCAGGUUAUAUCUUUUUUUUGUUCGUGUAUUUCGAGUCAUAUAUGUUUAUCCCAAUCUGUUCGUUUGUUUAGAACCAAAAAAAAAAAAAAGUGUCACUGUUCACAGUUACUGUUCACACCAACACUGUUCAUCGUACUGUUCACCGACACUGUUCAUCAUUACUGUUCAUAGUUACUGUUCAUCCGAAUACAAAUCUGUCCAGCCUUAUUGUUUGUGUUAUCCAACUUGUUUACUUGGUUUUCAAAUCUGGAUUUUGGCAAAACUUGUUGGAAUUUUGUGAAUCUUGAAGAGAACUUACAAUAAUCUUGAGUUUCUUGCAUUCUUGAUCACAAUCUUGAAAUUUCUGAAGUUCCUGACAACUUCCUUGAAAGUUCUUGAAAGAUCUUGGAGUUCUUGAUAGUUAUUAUUUGUGGACUUCCUUGUUUUGUGUCGUGGUUAAUAGUUGUAGUAAAAAAAAAAAAAACCACAGAAAACAAAAACGAAAAGAAAAAGAAAGAAAAGAGGAAUCGGUUGGCAAAAAAAAAAAAAAAAAGGAAAGAAAGUGGCAACCGAAUUGUUUUGAAUAGGGAACCAAAUCUGAUUUAUGCAAUCUUUCUUGGAGUAGAAUUUGGAAGUUACCAAAAGUUGUUUCAAGAAGAUUACCAAAGGUUGUUUCAAGAAGGUUACCAAAAGUUGUUCAAGAGGAAAAGGAUUUUCAAAGGGUUUCCAAAAACUAACUUGUUUCCAAAAUUAAUUAGGAAACUAAGUAAAGCACUUGGAUAACUCUUUGUACUCAUUUGGACACUCUCUCUGCUACCUUUUUAGGAAACUUUCCUAAACUCUCUCAUCCAUUUCUUUUGGAAAUUUUCCUAAAGUCUCCCAUCUAUUUUUAGGAAACUUUCCUAAAUUCUCUCAUCCACUUUAGGAAACUCUCCUAUAUUCUCUCAUCCACUUUAGGAAACUCUCCUAUAUUCUCUUCCUAAAUUUUAGGAACACUCUCCUACAUUUUCUCCUAUAUUUUCUCCUAUAUUUUCUCCUAACUUUUAGGAACACUUCCCUACACUUUCUCCUACAUCUCCGUGAUUACUGUUGAGGAAGAAGUUGGUGAUAAUUAUUUAGGCUUGAGCAGCAUUUCUCAAACUACCUAACCCAACAGGUAAAGGUGUUUGGUAAGUCCAUUGAAGCGCUUUGAGUGACAUACACGAGGGUGAGUGAUACACUAAGGGAGUGAGUGAGGCAGUUUCUACUAACUGUUUGUUGAGCCUUGCAGGUACUCUAUAAACAUGUCUCAAACUCAUGCGACAAGUGACCCUUAUGACAUGAAACAUGUUCUUGAAGCAUUAACAGGCGUCAUUGAUCGCAUGACUCAGAGAAUUGAUACACUGGAGGAUAAGGUGGAGCAAUCAACCCUAGGCAAGAAUGCCUCCAAGAGACAACCAUACGUGGAGGAGUUAGGUGAUUCGAACAAUGAGGAGGACAUGACAGAUGGAAACCGAUUCCGGAAUUAUAAACGCAUCCCUAAUCAAGGGGAUGAUGAACUAAAAGGAAUCAACCUCAAAAUUCCUACCUUCCCAGGCAAGUCGGACCCUGAAGCAUAUUUGGAAUGGGAGAGGAAGAUUGAGAUGCUCUUUGACUGCAACCACUACUCAGAGUCCCAAAAAGUAAAGUUGGCAACCAUUGAGUUCACUGAAUACGCAGCCAUUUGGUGGGAUCAGAUUCGCACCAGACAAAGAAGACAUGAAGAACCACUCAUUCGCACUUGGGAAGAACUCAAAAGGAUCAUGAGGAAGCGCUUCAUACCAGCGUAUUAUGAAAUAGUAGUCAAGAAAUUUUCUAUUUUGUUUAGAAUUUAGAAGUAAUUUCCUAGUUUGUACAAAUCUAGGAAUUAGCACUAGUUUCCUGUUGUUAUUUGGGUUUGACCAAAUAAUAUUCUCUAUAAAUAGGUGGGUUGACAUACUACAAAGUGACACACAAGAGCGACGUGUAGUCUUAUAAAUGGGGUGUGAGAGAGGAUUCUUAGAAAAAUAAGAGAUGGUCUAUAAGGGUUAGGUUUGGGUUCAAGUUGUAUUCUUAUAUAGGAUUUUCCUCUCAUAAUAAAGAACGGGUUUCUCUCCGUGGACGUAGGUUCAGUGAUAGAGCUAAACCACGUUAAAUUUGUGUGUCAUUUAUCUUUCAUGCUUGUACCUUAUUUGUCAUUAAAUUAUUGUGUACUUGAUAUAUCAAUAGUUGUUUGUUACACGUUUAGAUCCUAACACACACACACACACACACACACAUAUAUAUAUAUAUAUAUAUUCUCAAUAAACUAUCAGAAUCAUUUUGAAAUUACUCUUAAAUUUGUGCCCAAAGUUCUAUAUUAAAAAGUAUUUAAUUUGUAGUUUGCACCUAUUUAACUAUUGAACCAUAAAUCCUUUUAGCUAGAAAACCAAUACCUGAACUAACCUUUUACUCCAUGCCAAUAAUGAAAGAAAUUCAACUCGAAAGAAAGGGAAAUUAUAAACAAUAAAAGCAUGUAAUUUAUUUAUAUACAGAGAUUUUAAGAUCAAAAUCAAAUCACUCAAUUUUCUCGGUUAAUCAAGUUAAAGUUUUAACAUCCAAAUGAAACAAUAUUGUCAAGUGUAUAUACGUGAUAGAAAGGGGGAGUAAUUGAUUGGGUGGUUCAGGAAAAAAAAUGUAAAUAAGAGGUUUUGGGUUCGAACCCUCCCCGCUUACACUUAAAAAAAAUUAAAAAAAUACAUGAUACAAAAGGUAUUUAUCCAGCAUUUCCUGAAUAUUACAUUCCAAAUGGAAAUCUAACAUUGGAGUUUGAGCCAUGUAAUUACUCCAUGAGUUACUCUAUGAUUAAUUUGUUGUAAUUUGGUUACUAGAAAAGGAGUGUGCUUGGAGAGUAAAAUUAUUUCAAAUAAUAUUUUACUUACCUUAUAAAUAUAAUUUUUAAUUAAUUUUUAUUUUUAAUUAUUUUUUUAUUUUAGAUACUCCACAUCCUAGAAAGUACUACAAUAAGUAUUUCAAAUAAUAGUUCCAUACUGAAGGUUUCUUCAAGUGAUGGCAAAAGUUUGAAUGAGGACCAAAAAUGAGGUUUUCUUUUUAUUUCUUGUUUCAGGUAAAUUCCCAAAGAGACAGUUUUACUUCCUCCCCGAAAUAAUAAGGAAGUUCUCAAUUAGCCGGCAACAAUUCAAGGAGUCGUCCGGUGAAGGUACAUGGUCAAAAAAAUCAAGAAAGCAGCCACUUGACAGCGAAGGCCACACAUUUCUAUGACAAAACCUGGAUUGAACCCACAACAACUGACUGGAAAGUUCUACAGUACCACAAUAAGUGCCGGUUUGGUUCUUUUGCCCUUGUUUAAUUUUUUUAAUAAGGUUAUAAUACCCUUAAAAUUGCAGGAUCUAUGCUAACAGAUUACAACAAACAAGAUUGUAAAAAUUCCAUAAAUGAUGGAAUUAACUCUAACAUAUCCCUAAACCAAAUGCACAACUGUAAAUCAUCACUCGGCCAACUUCAGUAGUUAGGGAAAGGCUAACAGAUUACAACAAACAAGAUUGUAAAAAUUCCAUAAAUGAUGGAAUUAACUCUAAUGUAUCCCGAAACCAAAUGCACAACAGGAAACCACUUUGCCAACUUCAAUAGUUAGGAAAAGACCCUUAGAGUUUUCUCCAGUGUCAGAUUUAAGGUUUGAAUUUUGAGUCUUACAACUAGGAGUGGAAGGGUGAGGGAAGAAUGGAAAUAAAAGGGUUAACAAAAAAGAAAAACAAAAGUGAGAAGUAAAACUUUAACUUUUGUUUUACCAGUUGAAGAAAUCCUUGUUGGCUAAUUCCUUUUCUUUGUUUAAGUUUAGAUUGAGUACCCUUUAACUCAUUUUCAUCCGCUUCCCGAAUCAACAAUUUAUUAUAGUAUAUGAGCAACAUUCUUGCAGAUGCGCUAUUAAGCCAAUACUGGUAAUAGCAGACCAAAUAAUGGCCGGAAGAAGAAAAGGGAACUAUCAUGUCUUCAGGUUCAAGAAUAACGCUUUGAAAUACUCUACGUGGAAGUGGUGUAUUCCAAAUUGUGAUUAGUACUUUUUACCAAUUAAUUGCUUGUUAACUAUCGUUUUAAACCAACGAAGAACCUUGUUGUGAAGAGAAAAUUAGCCGGAAAAUGUUGCUUAUAUUUAUCAAUUUCUGUUUUUGCUUAAUGACAUUAAUUUUUUUAUGUAUUAAAUUCUGACUGCUUAAAUCUAUCUUUCUAGAGGGUAUGAUUUCCCCUGCUUUUCUUUCGUUUUCACUUCUUUCCUAUAUCCAUCAAUACAAGCAGAGGCUGAAAUCUUGGAAAUACUAAUUUUGAAAUUCUUUUGGGUGAAAAGAAAAAAUAUAAAUAACCAGAUUUGCUAAAAUUAGACAACUAAAUGCUUCAGAAUUCGUUUGAAAUUGAUCUUAUUAAGGUGUAUGUGUUUGAAAGGAAUAGUAAGUGUUGAUAAAAUUGGGUAUCUUUUGAGGACGAUAAUGACUUCUUACUUUCAUCAGAUUCUAUUCUUUUUUUUUAAAAAAAAAAGACUGUGUAAAGGGUUAGGUGGCCACUAAGUCAAAGCGCUGUGGUUAUCACAUUUUGUCACUAUCACAAUACUUCCAAGUCUGUACUCAUGAGAUAUAAAACCAUGGCAACUUGGCCAAUGACUUUAAAACUCUCUUGUACACUAGUUCGGGGCUUAAAUCCCGCCUAAUGCAUCACAAGAAAACAUUGUGCUUCUUUGUUUUUAAAAAUCUAGAGAGUAUAGCAAUGCACUUAUCUGAUCUGGUGAUUCACUCGUCAACUUUGUUACAAAUCUGUUCCCUUCCCCAAAGCGUAGGAAUAAGAUAGAUUGUUACUAUUUAAAAAAAAAAAAAAGGGGUACUCAUAAGAUAUAAGCUUUUUUUUUUUUCAAAAAAAAAAAAGAGUGGGCAUUAAUGAUUUCAGCCAAACAUGAAAUAGCAUGGCAUUAAUUAUUCAAUCCAUUGUAAUCUCGUCAGCCAAUGCUAAGUCAGAUGUACCAUGUACCUGACAUGAGAUGAGAGUGAAACAUGAUAAAUUUGAUGGGACAUAUGUGGCGAGAGCACCACCUCUUGAGGGAAACAGUUGUGAUUUGGAUUUCAAUCCUAUCACAGUUUACUGGAAAUUUUUCUCCAACUGAAAUGAGAGUGGGGAGAAAAUAUCAGACUUCUGAUAUUCACUUUGUUUGGAGGAGUAAAAUGGUAAAUCAUAGAGUGCGCCUGGGACUGAUAACAGGGCCCGGCUGGCUUGAGACCUGCCUGUCCAACCCAAAAAAAAAAAACAGCCUGUUGAACCUUAUGUUUAACAGGGCCAAACUGAAGUUGGAAUUGAAUACAAAACCUAAGUUAAAUGUGAAAUGGGCCUAAGCUUUGCUAAGUUCAAGUCCAGCUACAGACUGACACGUGUACAUAUCAUUAUACAUAUACAUAGAAUGUAUAUGAAUAAUAUAUAUAAUCUAUAUAUUAUACAUAUUAUAACAUAAUAUAUGAAUAAUUUUAUCUAAAUUCAUAACAAUUCAUAAAUAUUUAAACGUAUAUUGUAUAUGAUUAUAUAUUUAAUUAAAAGCUUGGAUUGAGCCCAAUUUGAGUUCAAACCAAAUAUAAAAGUGUCAGUGGAAUUUGAACCUUCUAAUUUGGAUCCAAACCCGACAAUCCCAAAGCAUGAUACCUCUUCUUAUUUUAUGAGUUAGGUUUGAACUUGUCAAAACUCGAAUUAUAAAACCCAAUCAACAGCCCUAAGUGCACCAUUUUAAUAUGACCUAUUAUCAAAGAGUUUACCUACAAAAAAAAGGCUGAAAAUCACGAUAUUAUUAAGCGAUAGACACAAAUAUAAGAAUCACUAAAAUCAAUGAAGUGGACCAUCUUUCAGUUUGUUUCUGUUGCUUAAGUCAUAUGUUGGCUUAAAAUAGGAUUUUCCAUUAUCAAAUUAAAGUGUAGGAAAGAUUUCUUGUGACAAAUAAAAUUGUGGUGUUGAAAAAGAAUCUAAGAAAAAGGAAAAUUUUCUAUUGUACAUCAGAGUAAUUAUCAAUGCUAAUUGUAUGAGACAAUGUAAUAUAGAACACUACAAUAUUUGACGUUAUUGUUUAUUUGCAUGACCUGCUACAUUUUUAAAAUUUUCUUCAAAUAUUGAUAUUCUCCUUUCAUUUUUUAAUUUUCUUUAAAGUUUAACAUUCUCUCUCUCUCUCUCUCUCUCUCUCUCAUAGUAAGCAAUUACUGUGGCAAUUGUCGAAUCCCUCAUCUUUUAAAAAGAAAAGACCCUACUGCACAUAUAUCGGGCUUUUUUUUUUUUUUUUAAUGCUCUUUAUUAAUAAAAAACGAAAUUACAACCACAUCGGGCAGUACCCAAAAUGGGCCAUCAUAUACCUUUCUCAGCCUAACACGUCUAAUUGAUGGCAAACCCAAUCUGUUUAACCUAACCUCCUCCCGAGCCAACACGGGAAGAUCCAACUCACUAUCAUAAACUCUAACCAACAGUUGCGAAUGAGAGACACCCACAUUGGACAAAAUAUCAGCAACCUUAUUCGCCUCUCUGUAGCAGUGCACGAACCUAGCCUCCCCCACCAAGUGCCAAAUUUGCUCCACUUCUCUCCUAAUGUGCCAGGGGCAGUGAUAGCGUCGUUGGAGGAUUUCCGUUAGCAACAACGAAUCAGACUGAAUCACCCUGGGGGCAACUCCCUUUUCAAGACACAGCUGAAUCCCCAAUAAGGCGGCCAGCGUUUCAGCGCGAAGACUAGAACCCUCACCCAGGUAAGCCGAAAAAGCCACUAAUACAUGGCCACCGGAAUCCCUAAGCACUCCACCUCCACCGCUCACUCCAGGGUUACCCUUAGCACACCCAUCCGUAUUAAGCGUCGUGCAUCCAUAUCCCCCUGCCUCCCAGCGGACUAUCCUGCACUCAUACAAAUACGGCGCUUGAGACACUCCCGUAUAGAAAACCUGGAAAUUACUCCCUUGAACGGCCACCUUGAAGUGGAUCUCAAAUGCCUCCUUCACAUCCUGGAAUACUGCACCACAUAUCUCCUUCGCCCGAACCCUUGCCCCAUCGAACACCACUCGACACCUAGCCUUCCAAAUGUUCCAACAAAUAAAUAUCGGGGUAACAGAACAGACGAAUCUCUGCUCGCCCGACGGAGCCAAUGACAACCACCAGGCAAACAAAUGUGACCUAAUGCUAGAGCUAUCACUAGCUAUACCACAUAUACUCUGAAAGUAAUUCCAGACCUCCAGUGCCAGUUGUCCCGUGGAGAAUAUAUGUUCCAACGUCUCACCCGUUGCAUCCACACAACAAAAACAUUUUGACACCAACUUGAAACCCAUCUCACCUAGGACAUCAUCUAACGGUAAGCGCCGCAUAAGCAAGCGAAGCAUGAAAAAAGAUACCCUCAACGGUAUCCUAGCCUGCCAUAUACGGGACAAUUCCAGCGAGGUAGUGCGUCCCUGCCUUACCUCCUGAUACGCAGAUGCCAAAGUGAAUGUCCCCGACUUCGUAGGCAUCCAUACCACUUGAUCUGUCCCCCUCCCACUAGGAACCGGAGUUUUCAUCACCAAAUCCACAGUGUCUGAUGGGAGAAUCUGCAGCAAACGACCCCUGUCCCAGGCACCAUUAGUCAUAACAUCUGCAAAUGAACUGGCUGGCACCACUGGGGCUCUAAGGAAAAGACCUCCACUUCCCACCCAGUUGUCAUACCAAAAGUCACAGUCCCCAUCAUUUAACAACCAUAACAUUGAUAGUUCCAUCUGGCGGCUCACAUCAAGCAUGCGCCUCCAUGUUGCUGAAGCAGAUUGAGCCCAGCCCACCUGACAUGGGUGAACCCCUUUGCAAUACUUUGCCCUCAUGAAGGAUACCCACAAAGACGAUCCUGUGCGCAAGAUCCACCAUAACUUACAUGAGAAAGCCUUAUAUACGUCUCGGACCCGACGAAAUCCCGCGCCUCCCUCCUCCUCCGGAUAACACAGCUGGGACCACUUUAUCCAAUGAUGCUUAUUCAGCUCGUCAGACGAUCCCCACAGGAAAGUAGCGCAUAACCGCUCAAUAUCCUUAAAAAUAGCCAUCGGGCUUAAUAUCUGUUAACUGGUUCUAAUCUUUUGUACCAUUAUCUGUUCAAAAUUUCUUUUUGAAGAUAAAAUAUGUUGGGGGUGAAUAAGUAGUUUAUAAUGAGUUUUCCGAUGAAAUGCCCCAAGUACUUGUUAACUGGGGUCUCAAUUGUAAAUCUUUUUCUUAAAAAAGUGAAUUAAAUAGAGAAGAAAAUCAUGAUAGCGUCAUAGACAAUGUGAUUUUGAAAGUAACAAAUGCAUACACAUAUCAAGAUAAAAUAUGUUGGGGUGAAUAAGUAGUUUAUAAUGAGUUUUCCCAUGAAAUGCCCCAAGCACUUGUUAACUGGGGUCUCAAUUGUAAAUCUUUUUCUUAAAAAAGUGAAUUAAAUAGAGAAGAAAAUCAUGAUAGCGUCAUAGACAAUGUGAUUUUGAAAGUAACAAAUGCAUACACAUAUCUAAAAUUUAAGGAUAACACAGGGAAUACCUUAAUGCUUGAGAGGUUAAGCAUGUAGUCAGUGUUGUUAGAUCCGGACCGGACCAGCUAGUUUGAUCGAUUCGAUCAUAAACCGGCCUUCUUUUUGAGUUAGUUUGUAGCAUAAAAUCGGUUUGGUCAAAAAUCAGUUAAACUAGUGACUCGAUUCGACUGGUUUAUUUGGUUGUCAAACUUUUCUUUUCUUCUUUUCUCCAAAUAUAAUUUGAGUUACCUAAAUUGUAACAUAUUCAUUUAUUAAUAGGAAUAAGAAAACGUCACCCACUUAGUGUAAGUACCAAAAUCACUCGCUUUCCUGAAUGAUCUCUAAAUCAAGAUGUUUUUCAUCCCUAUGAUCUUAUCAAUUUAGCAUCAGUGAUUCCAACUUGCAUUAAUUUGUUUUAAUUUAGUUUUUUAAGUAGUUUUAGUGAAUAGACAUAUUUUAGCCAUGAACUUACAUUUUUUAAAAUAAUUAUUAGGUGUAUAUUUGAUUGCAAGUCUAAUAUUUUUGGAACAUUUUCUAUGAUUGGCCGAAUAUAAUCAAGAACUUAAUUUCAAUAUUUUUGAAACUUAUAAAAAUAUAAAUUAAUUAUGGCAUUAUGUUGACAUCAAUGAAUUUUUUAGAAUGGUUUGACCGAUCCAACUAAUUGACCUCUGAUCCAAUAGUUUAGCCAAAUCGCUAUCCAGUACUAGUUUAAUAACAUUGCAUGCAGUUUAUGCAUAUCAGAAUACAUAAAGGUUGCAGGGUGGCUCUAACUUUUAAAAUCACACCACUUGCUAUUUUUUAUGUGAACUAAUAUGCUUAGACGCAAGGGUGGCAAUAAUGGUGCCUCAAAGUACCUGUAAUUAACAAUUGCAUUCGAAGUACCAGCUAAGAAAAUCAAAAUGUUAAACCUCACUCUUAAGUUAUUAAGAGAAUUAAUUAUUCCAGUAUCGAGCCAAUUGAUGUAAUUGUUAAUUGCAACCAGAGAGAAUAAUUAUGAUCCGAAUUGGGCUAACUUAAGGAUAUCAUUGUUUCAAAAAAUAAAAAUCACAACUGGAAAUGCAUGACCUAGAUCGACCCAAAUGAUGUGGCCCAAUUUAGGUUAUAAACCUCACUUUGCAUUUCUUGAUAGUAAUUGCAGAAACCUCGGAUCGCGGAUUUGUGUAAAAGAAAUAUUUCUAUUUAAAUGGAACAGUUUUCAAGUUGAAUUAAAUUAAAAAUUAAUCUUAUAUACACUGAUGGUAUAUAUACUAUCAAUCUUAAAUGAAUGACAAUUACGCAAAUUUUGAAUUUCAAAUUCAACUUUUGUAUAUAUGUCAUAUAUCUAACUCUGAUAGUGUGUAUACACUGUCAGUGUAUAUAAGAUUUAGGGCUCGAUUGAGGUUGCAAUAGUUUAUUGAAAAAUACUUUCCUAAUAGAGCUUUUAAUAAAAGUACUUAUUAACUGUUUAAGUUAAAAUAUAUUAUUUUUAGAGAUAUAGUUCAAUAAAUACUUAUUGUAUUGGAUAAUGUGCAAUUUAAAAAUUUUUAAAAGUAUUUAUCCCUUUAUUUGGUUCAUAAUAUAGGAUAAAAUGAUUAAAUUUGAUAUUUUAUUUUUUUCAAUCAUAAAAACUACUCUAAGAGUAUCAAAUUUCAGCUUUUGCUAAAAGUGCUUUUAACACCAAAAACUCUACUCCUAAUUUUAUAGGGUGAUGUUCACCAAACACUUUAAAAUUAUUUUUAGCACCUAAAAGUGCCUUUUUACCAAAAACAUCGCAACCCCAAAUGGGGCCUUGUCCCUAAAUUAAAGGCUUACUAUAUAAUCUAAAUAGUUUAAAUGAAAAAGAGCAAAGUGAGUUACGUGUAUCUUUCAAGGGGUUCAAUUGUAAUUAUCCUAAAUUGAUAAAAGAAUCUUCCGAGCAAUCACGGUUUCGUAUAAUCUAUAUGUGUUGAUAAAUUCACUUCUGGUUUCACAAAACAUUGAAAGAGAGUUCAGGGAUAAUAACACUGAUGGAUCCCAAACGACCUGCUUGUGGGAGUCUCAUGGUCCUUCACCAGUAGAUGGUUCUGAUAAAUUGCUUUCCCAAAACUCGUUUCUGUGUUAGGUGGAAUUAAUUCUCAUUCUCACCGUCUCAUGACAGAGCAUAAGCAAAACUGUUUUAGGGGACUUGUUAUCUUAUCCCCAAGUCCAAGGAUAGUACUAAUGAAUGACGACUCCAGAGCAGGAUCCCCAUAUCCUCCGGAAAUAACAAGUGAUGUUGCCGAAGAUGAAGAAAUGCAUCCAAUGCAUGAUCAUUCUCAACAGUCAUGUCACGUGAUGCAUCAUAUAAAUUUAGCAACCACUAUGUUUUUUUAUUUAGAUAAUCUAAAGUUAGGCAAAAUACUCCGAGUCUAUUUUCCUGACGGAGAUCAUCAUACCUUGACCUCUCCUUACCUAUUGCCUAAAGAUGAAGCCGACGCCAUACCCUUUUCAUUAGAGCAACUUCCUUACAUUCUUGAACAGUUUUCGAUUUCAAGGAUCUUGAAAAGCCCAGGUGAUGGCAAUUACACAUCGAGAGUGUGAGAUGAAACUGAUUGAGGGAGGGAUGAAGACGUGUCAUAUCCUGUGAGUUUCAUUGGGUGAAUAUGCAGGCAAAAUCUUGGGUUGGAGACACAACAGCCCAGGAGAUCAACUCCAGCUAGAUUGCAAAACUAUACAAUCUUAACAGUUUCUCAAACGAUUUUAACUCCAAAGACGAUGUCCUGUCAUACCAUGUGUUAGGACUGGUCCAAGAAUAAACAAAUUAAUGUUAAAAUAAAAUAGACGGUAUAACCGACCAUAUAAUGAUUAGGCGGUAAACACCAGUCAUAUAAUAUUUAAGCGGUAAAACCGACCAUAUAAAAGGGUUAUGGCAAUCCAAUAAAGAUAAAUAACAAAGCAAAAUGAAAGACAUAGAAAUUUACGUGGUUCGGUAAAUUUGACUUACAUCCACGGGCAAGGAAUGAGCAAUAUUUCUACUAUGAAAAAGAUAUACAAUAGCCGUAGGAAAAUGGUUCUUAAGCCAAAAAGACACCUAAUACUAAAACACAAGAGACCCCAAAAGAUUUAACUAAACAAAAGACUUAAUGACCCAAAGGCCCAAAUAACCCAUUAAUGCUCUCUUGGUUUGGUGUACUUAAUCCUAUCAUAGGAUACCUAUAUUUAUAGGUAGCAAAGGAAAGAAUUUCCUUUGGCUUUUGUCGAUGUAGGACAAAGCCACACUAACAAAUCUCCACCUUGGCAUGUCCCCAACAUCGACAAUAGUAAAACUGCUCUACCUUCUCCAUAUAAGUCCCAAUGAACCUAAGUCACCAACAACGAACACUAACCAAGUCCAAGUACUGCUUGAACUUGUAAAUUAGAAGAAGUUUUGUAAACAUAUCGGCAAAUAACAGACGAAUAGCAAACAAACUCCACCUUCUCCAUAAAAGUUCCAACGGAUCUCAAUAAACCACAAAGUCCCAACGAACCACAACGAGCCACCAACGAACCAGAAUGCAAAAGGCUUAACAGGUUCCAACGGGCUAAAUCUCACAAAAGGUUCAAUAGAUCCCAAUGGGUUAAAAAAUCACAAACAUAAUAAUUUUGCUCCACCUUCUUCUCAAAACCCUAAAUGAGUUCCAAUAGGUCAAAUAACUCUUUCUCCAAAAUCCAACCGAACUCCAACAAAAAUUUUUUUUUCUUCACUCUCUGUAGUGCAGAAAACUUGUUAUCGUUAUUGUUGUUACAAAAUUUAUAACCUGAAUCUUGUCUCAAAAAAAUGGUCAAUCAAAUAUACAAUACUCGUAAGCGGGCCCCACAGGAUAAGCGGACCCCACGGGAUGAGCGGAUCCCACAGGGUGAACGGGCCCCACGAAUAAAUGGGUCCACAAGAUGAGCGAGUCCAACAAGAUGAAAGGGCCUCACGAGAUGAGUGGACCUCACAGGAUAAACAGGUCCCACGAGAUGACCUCUACGGACCCCCACGGAUGGACCCACAUGACCCCACGAAUGGACCCUACAAGGUGAAUGGGCCCCAAGGAUAAACAGAUCCCAUAGGUGAGUGGGCCCCACGAGGUGAACGGACCCCGCGAGAUGAACCUGUCUUACAAAAUAUAUCAACCAACUCUGAUACCAGUUUGUUAGGACUGGCCCAGGAAUAAACAAACUAAUGUUAGAACAAAAUAGGCGAUAUAACCGACCAUAUAAUCAUUAGAUGGUAGACACCAGUCAUAUAAUACUUAGGCGAUAAAAUCGACCAUAUAAAAGGGUUGUGGCAAUUCAAUAAAGACAAAUAACAAGGCAAAAUAAAAGAUACAGAAAUUUAUGUGGUUCGGUCAAUUUGACCUACGUCCACCGGCGAGGGAGGAGCAAUAUUUCUACUAUGAAGAAGAUAUACAAAAGUCGUAGGAAAAUGAUUUCUAGGCCAAAAAAGCACCUAAUACUAAAACACAAGAGAACCCAAAAGAUUUAACUAAACAAAAGACUUAAUGAUUCAAAGACCCAAUAGCCAUUAAUACUCUCUUGGUUUGGUGCAUUUAAUCCUAUCAUUAGACCCCUAUAUCUAUAGGUAACAAAGGAAAGAAUUUCCUUUGGCUUUCGUCGAUGUGGGACGAAGCCACACUAACACCAUGGCUUAACCUCAAAUCUUUUAUUGCCAUUCUCAAGAGGCUGACAAUCGGGCGUACAGGAUUUCGCUAUGCGGAGAGGAUGGCAAAAAGAUUGAAGCUAUUGCUGUUGUCACAUGGAUAUCUCUUGCUGGAACCAUGAUGAUGUUGCCUUCCAUGUAGUUGGACUUGAACCGGCAGCUCCCAUGUUUGCCAUGCUCUCGGGCAUAGCUUUGUAUUGGUUUCAAUCUAGGGCUUUACCAUUCUUGCCAUAAGAAUCAAGAGCUCAAGUUACCAUCUCUAUUUGGCUGCUGUAUUAUGUCGCGUGCCUCAUCUUUCACUUGAAUCUAAAUAAUACGAUGAUUCAAAGACUGGUUCUACUUUCAGCUGUGAAUGCCUCAUGUAUUUUGAUUUAUACUUAUAUUUCAAGCUUGUGUUUUAGUAGAUUUCAGUGCAGCCCUGGUAGUUUUCUAUAUCUGCCAUUGUCUUAGAAUUUGAACUAUUGCAGGAGAUGCUACUCCUCAAAGGAACAACCUCACGUCGUUUGCAUUUAUGUAUACACAUAUAUCUAUAUGUCUCUGUAUGUACACAUAUAUACAUGUAUGUAUGCAUGUGUACAUACAUACACCUGUAUAUAUGUGUAGGUAUCUGUAUGCACGCCCUAAAUGCAAUCUAUCAUUUUUCUCUCUGAUAGCAAGUAUGAUUUUUGUAGUUCUACUCUAAUCUAUUUUUCUUAUGAUUUUUCUAUCUUCUCAACUUUUCUCCAUUCUAAUACAUAUGAACUAUUUUCUUAAACAUAUAGAAUAAUUUUUCUUAGGGUGCUUUUGUUGGGAAAGGAGUACCGGUAUAGGCACACAAUAUCAGAGUAACCCCAAAAUAAAUAACUCUUUCCCUGAAUACCACUUAAAAUAGGAAUAAACCAAAUCACCAAAUAAUAAUACCAGCAGUGAUAAUAAAAUGCAAGAAAAAUAAAAGGCACAGGGCAUCAAGAUUUUUACGUGGAAAACCCAAAUUGGAAAAAAACCACGGGACCUAGUCCAGUCAAAAAACUCCACUAUCACAAUAAUGGGAAUACACAGGUCUAUCCGAAAUAUUCGGAUGACAAUAAUAGCACCAAUAUCAACUAAGCAAAUCUGCUAUAAAUCAUCCCCAAAAACUACAACUGUCAAAGAAGUGGAUUUGGAAAGGUGUUGACAAACGAAGAGGAAAUCGGAAAACUGAAUCGGUAGAUGAGUAGAGCUUGAUGAAAGGAUCCCGUGUGUAAAAUUUCGUCUCAAUCGGACUUCAAAUCACCUUCCAACUGAGGCUCCAAAAUUGUUUCUCUCUCGCUGCUAUUUUUCUCUCUUCGCUCUUCUCCGUCAAAAUGAAAGUGUGCGGCUGCAAUUUUUCUCUUGCUUAGAAGAUACAAGCGACGGCUGCCAAUUAGUAUUUAAGCUUGAGAAACCCUCAAGCACUUGCAUAAGUGGGCUGGUCCACAACACAAGUCCAACAAUCUCCCCCUCCAGCCCAUUUGGGGGGCCUCUACAAGACCUGAUUCUUGUCUGUAAAACAAGAGUUUCUCUUUAGGCAAUGCCUUGGUCAUCAUGUCAGCACCCAUCUAUAUGCACUUUUCAAGUGUCAAAAACUUGGAAUCCAACACUUCUCGAAUCCAAUGAUACCUCACAUUAAUGUGUUUGGAUCGAGAAUGAAAUGUAGAGUUCUUACACAAAUGAAUAGCGCUCUGACAGUCACAGUAAAGACUAUACUUCUCUUGUUUCAUACCCAACUCUUGAAGGAAUUUCUGCAACCAAAGAGUCUCCUUGCAUGCUUCAGUGGUUGCGAUGUACUCUGCUUUUGUACUAAAAAAUGCGAUACACUUCUGUAACUUACUUUGCCAUGACACUGCUCCUCCUGAAAAAAUCAUCAAGUAUUCGGAUGUGGACUUCCUAUUAUCAAGAUCACCUCCCAUAUCUGUAUUAGUGUAUCCAUCUAACAUACUUUUACCACUGUUGAAACAUAGACAAAAUCUAGAAGUUCCCUUGAGAUACCUGAAAAUCCAUUGACAACAUUCCAAUGCUCCUUACUAGGAUUAGAGAGAUACCGACUGACUACUCGAACUGCAUGAGCAAUAUCUGGCCUAGUGCAAACUAUAUUAUACAUCAAGCUACCAACAGGCGAAACAUAAGGAACCUUCUUCAUGCCUUCUUUAUCUUUCUUACUUGUAGGACACUGCUUAAUAUUCAGUUUAAAGUGACCUGCAAGUGGAGUUGAAACUUCCGUAGCCUUGUUCAUGUUAAACCUGGUGAGUACUUUUCCAAUAUAUUUUUCUUGAGACAACCAGAGCUUCCCAUUUUGCCUAUCACAUAAGAUUUUCAUCUCCAGUAUCUGUUUAGCCGGACCCAAAUCCUUCAUUGCAAAGGAUUUACUUAACUCAUUUUCAACCUGUCAAUUUUUAUAGUAUCACGACCAACAAUCAACAUGUCAUCAAUAGAUAGUAAGAGAAUAAUAAAAUCACCAUCUGAAAAGUUUUUCACAUAAACACAAUGAUCAAAUGUAGUCCUGUGAUACUCAUGGUCUGUCAUGAAGGAGUCAAAUUUCUUAUACCACUAUCUCGGUGCUUGUUUUAACCCAUACAAACUCUUCUUGAGACGGCAUACAAGAUUUUCCUUGCCACUUUUUUUGAACUCCUCUGAUUGCUACAUGUAAAUCUCCUCUUCCAAAUCGCUAUGCAAGAAGGCUAUCUUCACAUCAAGUUGUUCGAUCUCCAAAUUCAAACUGCCUGCAAUACCAAGAACAACUUGAAUUGAUGACAUUUUUACCACAGGAGAGAGAAGAUUUCUUCAAAAUCUACACCCUUCUUUGGACUAAAUCUCUUCACAACCAAUCUUGCUUUAUACUUUGGUUGUAAGCUGUGCUCCUGAGUUUUCAACCUGUAUACCCAUUUAUUCUUCAGAACUCUCUUGCCCUUAGGCAAUUUCACUAGUUCAUAAGUGAUUCUCAUGCAGGGACACCAUCUCCUCUUGCAUGGCUUGCAACCAAUCUUCAUUAUUCUCAUGCUCUAAAACCUCACAGUAGGACUCUGGCUCUCCUCCAUCUGUUAACAACAAAUAUUCAUGGGGAUUAUAUCUGUUAGAAGGUCUUCUCUCUCUAGUAGAUCUCCUAAGAUCAUCUUGUGGUGGCGGUGGUGGAGUAGGUGACGCCUAAUAUUCAAGUUCAUCAGCAGUAGGAUUAUUACCAUCAUCAAUAUCCUCUCUCUACUUUGUCUCAACUCCCCCUUGAUUAAAAUCAACAAGUACUGAAAUUGGAUCUGGAUCUGAAUUUGAGCUAGCAGGAAUGUCAUCUAAGGAUUUUGAGUUGUCACCUUUAUCAAUGUUUUUAAUGGUUUGAUCUUCAAAGAAGACAACAUCUCUGCUCUGGAUCACCUUCUUCUCAAUAGGAUCAUACAACCUAUAACUAAAAUUUUCAUGUCCAUAACCCAAGAAAAUGCAUUGCUUUGAUUUUACAUCAAGUUUUGACCUUUCAUCUUUGGUGAUAUGAACAAAUGCCCGACAACCAAAAACUCUCAAGUAUUUAAAGGACAAAUCUUUUUCCAUCCACACCCUCUCUGGGAUAUCACCAUCUAGAGGAACUGAUGGAGAAAGAUUAAUCAAAUCGACUGUAGUUCUCAUAGCCUCACCCGAAAAAGAUUUUGGUAACUUAGUAUUAGAGAACAUACAUCUGGCCCGUUCAGUGAUAGAUCUGUUCAUCCUCUCUACCACUCCAUUCUCUUGAGGAGUUUUUGGCAUAGUCUUCUCCAAUCUGAUCCUAUGAGACUUGCAAUAGAUUUCAAAUGGUUCUCCAUACUCACCACCAUUAUCAGCACGUACACACUUUAACUGCUUACCAGUUUCUCUUUCAAUUUUGCUAUGAAAGUUUUUAAACACAUUCAAAACCUGAUCUUGGAUUUUAAAGCAAAACACCAAAUCUUUCUAGCAAAAUCAUCAAUAAAAAUUAUAAAAUAAACAGCACCACCAAGAGACUUAUCUUUCAUAUACCAAACAUCAGUGCGCACCAAUUCUAACGAAUUCAAUUUUCUAGAUGGAAGAAAAUUUUUAAGUGAUGAAUAUGAUGUGAAAAUCCCCCAGAAAUCACUACAAGAAAUAUAUUUUUCAGUGACAAAAAUUUAUGUGACAACAAAAAUCUUGUCACAGAUAACCUAAUUCAGUGACGACAUUAGGUGUCAUCACAGAUGAGUACAGCACAAGCAUAAUCAGUGACAACAUUGGAAGUUGUCAUUCUCAAUUCGUCACGAAAUAGUUGGCGUGCAUCUCAUUUGAUGCCGCGGGAAAUGAUUUUAUGACAACUCAAGUAAAGUCGUCACAAACGCUCUCUCUACAGUGACAACAUAACUUGUUGUCAUUGAAAGUCUACCCGGUUCCAAUUUUGUGACAACUUUUUACAUCACUGUAUACUACAGUAUUUUCAUCAACUUUCACUAAUUCUACUAUGACACCCUAAUUUUAUUUUUUAGCCCCCAAUUCUUUUAUAUUAGCAAAAGUACCAAAGAUAUGACACCCUAAUUUUAUAAUUUAGCCCCUAUUCAUUAUAUAUUAACAAAAUGCAAAUGAUAUAAUAACAAACUAUUUUUAGAUAUUUGUAAUUUUUGCUAAGUUGACAUAAUAGACAUGUCUGAGCAUAAAAAUUUUUUCAUGAAUUGUUUAUUAUUACUUAUAACAACCCUCAAAAAUCAAUAACUGAAAUAAUUUGAAAAAGUGUAAUUGAAUAUAAUUUGUAGUCUAAUGUUAGCACUGUAAAAGAUUAGUAUAACGUGUAAUACAUCAUAAGUAAUAAUUAUUUUCAUAUGGAAUGGGUAUAUACGAAAUUAAAAUUAUUCAGUAAAAUAUCUGUCGUGCAAUAAGAUUGAGAGUUAUAACACAUUUAACAGAAUAUUUGAUUACAUGUUUCUUUUAAUUUAUUAUAAAAACUAAGUAAUAGACAAAGAGUAGGAUAAGCAUGAGUAAGAAGUGCUAUACUGUAUAUAAGCAAUUCUAUGCAUGUUAAAUUUUGAAACAUGUUUUAUUGUAAGGUAAUUUUUUAAAUAAUUUGUAUAUUGACUUGUUCAAACCCAAAAAGAUGUAUAUAUACACAAACAAGCACACAUAUAUAUACAUGCACAAAAAGAAACCAACAUCAAAUAAUUUAUUUGAUAUUUAUAGAUGAGAUUAAGGAAAAAAAAGAGAUUAAGUAUGAAAAAAGAAACCUGAAAAAAAAAAUUUUGACCAGGGAAAAAAAAGAAAAAAGAUGUAUGAAGCUAAAGGCGUGAAUCCUGGAAUCUCAAAGACGUGCUUAGAUGCCAAAAAAAAAAGAGCGCCAGUCUGAAAUCUGAAAGAUGCGCGAGGCAGGUGGCUGAAAUCUCUACAAAACGACGUCGUUUUUGGUUGUUCACAGACAAACAAAAGUCUCGCCGCUUCUCUCUUCCAACACUUAGACAAAUUUCAUUCUCAGUCUUUCCUUCCUAUGGUGAACACCGAAAAACUCUGGACCUCAAACACCUUCUGCUUCCGCAAAAUGCUCCUCUAAAGCACCAUUGACGAGUGCCAAUCUUCAGGUCAAGCUCGCCGAAGAAGCGAAGUCAGAACACUUCCAAGCUCCCUCCUCGUUCCGUGACUUCAACUUAGACUUUUCUCCGACCCCCUCUUCAGCUAAUUGUGCGGUAUGUGUUUUUUUUUUUUUUUUUUUUUUUUGCUUUCAAAAGCUGCUCAGCCUUCUAUUGUAAAGACUAACUUAUGAACUAGAUUGUUAAUUAGCAGUGGGAAGGUAAUACUCUUGGCCAAAUCGCAUCCGAAACACUUGCGAUCUGGAGUAUGAACAGUGUUAGGGUUCAUCCAAGAAUUUUUUUUUCUUUUGUGGAUUUUUUCACUGUUUUCGAGAAAUUUGGACUGAUUAAACCAAAAAUUGCUUGCUUUAUAUUUUGAUGGAACCUUUUUGUGAUUAGGAUGGUCAGAACCGGCUUUCUUUGAGAAGCUAUGAAAUGCGAACAUUUUUUGACUGCAUUAAUUUGGUUGGAUGAAAGAGAAAUUAAACAAUUUGUCGUGCCAUUUAAUUGCUUCCUUAAGGGGAAGAGAACUUGACUGAUUUGCCUAAUUUAUUUGGCUGUUUUAAAUUUACUUUAUGCCAUACCAUGUAAUUUACUCUCUGGUUCUCUCUCUCUCUCUCUGGGAUCUUGUCCAUCCAUGUAACUGUUAGUCAUCAGAAAUCUUGUCAAAAGGCUUGAUACUUUGCUUGUAUGGAAUCCUAAGACCAGACUUGAAACAGCCCAUCCAAACUCUGAGUACCAAUCUGCAUAGAUGAUGCUUUUUCUUUAUAUUAAAAAAAAUGAAGGGUAACAUUAGGUUUUACCCCUUCUAACUUGUGUUUUAUGAAGUUACUAAUCAUGUUUUUGGUAGAUUUAUGGCAAUAGCUGAAACUGAAAUCAGGUUUUUGGUAGAUUUAUAGUAAUAGCUGAAACUGAAGAUGCCUAUGCCAUUGAUCCUAUGUUCUCUGUAUCACCUUCUUAUAACUACAAUUACUACCAUACUACAGCUUAUUUUCAUAAUUUGAGCACAGAGAACAAAGAGUGACACAACUUGGAUAGCCACCAUUUUAGUUGUAGUCCAUCCUGAUGCAGGAAAAGCUUUAGUUUGCUAGGCUAUUUUUGCUUGUUGGCAAGAGGGGUCCAUGGGGAAGUACUCUGUCCGCUGGUCUACAUGCCUUUUCAAGGCAGAACCAGAUAGAGCUAUUUAAUCAAACACAUUGUUUUACUGUAGUAUUCAAAGCUUUUCUUUUUUGUUAAUUAAAGGAGAGUCUAUUGGGGGAAGAGGAGGGAGAAGGGGUGGUUAUGAAUAGUUAUUCCUACGAUAGACUUCACAAAAUUGCGGUUGAAGAAUAUCUGAUACUGCUUUUUUCCCCAUUGGUUUUACAUUUAGCAGUAAAUUUCAUUGAUAAUGGUUGAUUACAAAAUAAUCUUGGAAGUCAAAUAAUUCCAUCAAAUCCUUUUAAAGGCAUAUUGACCAGUUACUCUUUUCCCCUUUUUGCUCUACUCUCAGUAUUAGAAGGAAUAUUAAACAUAUUCUUUCUUAACUUGUUUCCAUCUAAUCUUGUUAUCUUCGUGGUUGAAAUAGGUCAGAUGUCCAGUCAGAAUGUGCAAAUUUCAUGGGCAACCUACCUCCAUCCUUGAUGCCUCCUCCAGAAGCUGGAUAUCCUCCUUCUUUACCCUUUAUUGAUUGGGGAUAGGUAUUUGCCUCAUACUUUAUGCAUCAGUUUUCAUGUUUUUUUUGCUAUUAGCUUUUAUUUAGAUAUGUUUUUGUGGUUAUAUGGAUCAAAGGACAAGGGGUUGCUUGAUGUCAAUUUAGUUGCUUGAUGGCACUUGAAAUUUGGUUCCACCAAAUCUGAUUCCUGUUUAAUGCAAUUGAGUUGCUUGAGGCUGAUUUAGGUGCUUGAAAUCUUGUUCAUGUUUAAUUACAGCCAUUGAGGUGCUGGAUGUUGCAACCAAAACUUUAGUGUUUUUAAAGCAAAUGUGUUUGAACGUUGGGAUGUAUUCCACUUUUUUCUUUGUCGAACUCAUCUAAAUUUUUCUGUAUCAGAAUUUUUUUUUUGUGCUAAGGAAAAAGAGGCACCUGUGAUUGUGUGUGUUUGUUUGUGUGUUUUUUUUCUUGAUAUACUGUGUGGUUCACAAUCAUCUAGACUCUCAAUGAUUUUAGGAUUUUAUUGUUGUUAUUGUUAUUGUUAUUGCAUAUAUAUUUGUGAACAUGCAGAUAUUUAUUGUGUUUGUAUUGUUAUUCUAUAUUUCACAGAAUAUACAUUCAAUGUCUUAUUUGCUAUAAUUUCACUUUAUUUUGUGUUAAGCAAUUUACUUAGAUUGCUAUAAUUUCAAAUUAGAGUGACAUUAGUUUUUAUAAUAUGGUGCCCAUCUAGAAGUGUAGUUCCAGUUUUAACACCAGUGCUCAUUGCUUCAAUUUUGGUAACGUGUAGGUUCUAACACGAUUCCCAAGAAGAAGAAGCCAGUCAUUGCUGUAAAGAUGGUUUUUGAAUUGAAGACUACAAGGCCUAUCGUGCUUAUGUUUUGUUCUAGAUGGGAAUCGUGCUCAUAUUUUUGUAUAGAACUUUAUUACUCUUUAUUGUGGAUGGGAAAUCACUAGUAUUGUAACUGAAUGGCUUAUUUUGGAUAGUGCAUGGUUUAUGACUCAUUUGAGGCAACAUUUAUAUAUAUAUGUAUUUGGGUUGAUCUUCUAUUGGAAAUGAAUGUUGGCUUUCUUUUCGUAUGUUGGCUUUUUUUUCUCCUUGCUACUCAAUGAACGUUUUGUGAUUGUUGGCAACUAUGUUGCGUAAUUAACAUUAGAUUAUUGCUUUUUACAAAAAAAUAAAUGACAAUAAAAAAGUUGUCACUGCCAACAAGUUUCACUAGUGACACCAGAAAGUCGUCACUUUUUAUGGAUGGAAAACAAUGACAACAAAAGUCGUCACUGAACGGAAGCAUAAUGUGACAACUCCAAGGGUUGACUAUGACAAGAAUUUAGUCAGCUUAGUGACAAUAAAAGUUGUCACACAAUGUACAACAAUGAGUGACGACAAGAGUCAUCACAAAAGAGAAAUCGAUUGUGACGACUUUCAACAGUCGUUACAUGGACCCCCUUUUGUGACAUAGAACUAGUGACAGCAGUAAAAGUCGUCACUGACUUUUUUUGUGACGACUUCUGAAUUUUUAGUGACGACUUUCGCCUGUCACAGAAACGCAAUUUUCUUGUAGUGAAUUUCACUCAAAUUUGGCCUCAAAUGGAGAGUUCAAAAAUGUGAAACCCUUGUUCUUCUCAAGCUCAAAUCCGAAUUAAAAUUUGUUUUUGAAGGAAUUUAAUCUAUGGAAUCAACUCUCAAGGAAAAGGGGAGUAUUUUGGUACAUUUAGUUGGGAGAUUUGAUGGUCAAAAGAUGGAUUUUAGAAGUGAUGUGUGUUUAAGGUGUGAGUAUGUGUAAAGGUUGAAGAAGAAAGAAAGAGGGAAUUGGGAAGGAAUUUUGCGCGCGGAUUCCCCUUAUUACGCGUUACUAGCGAGAAUCCGGCCAGUUUCUAGUCGGAUAUUCGGACAAAUUAGCGGCCGGAUUCUGGCCAAGCCCUUUUUUUUUAUUUUUGCAUAUCCAGCCGGAAUCUGGCCGGAUUUCAUACGGAUUUCCAGCCGGAUUCAAGGCAGUGUGUCCAAAAUUUUUGUUUUCGUUCCCCUGUUAAUCAGCCAAGUAUCCGGCCAGUUUAUGGCCGGAUAUAAGGCCGGAUUUGCUGCAGAAAUUUUUUAUUUCUACAGUUUUUCCUUCCGUUUUCUAUUUAACUAAGUUUUUAAUUCACCCAAUUUUCAACUUUUUUCAUUUUCUUCAAGAAAAAUUCACCUUAAAAUGAAAAAUGUGCUUUCUAAACCAAUUGCACUUUGAAACAUGAAAUCAUGCAUCAAUAUAACUUUAUAAUAAAGCACUUUAAAUGCAUCAAAGGAUCAUUUGAAUAAGAAUACUCCCUUUCUGCUUCCUUCUAAACUAUUUGCUCUUGAAACAAUUGCAUAUACCAUUGCCAUUGCCACCUAUAAAACACACAAAAACACUAAUUAAACAACUAAAACUUAUUAAAAACAAGAAAUCGUUGGGUUGCCUCCCAACAAGCGCUUUUUUAUAGUCAUUAACUUGACUAUUUCACCUCAUUUUUCAAGGAAGUUUAGUUAAAGAAUAAUCCACAAUUUUAGGUCAUAGUGGAUCAUUGUAAGGUGACUUUAUAGCAAAAGCCACAUGAUCUCAUGAUGUGAGUGAUGGAAGUGACUUACCUAUCUCAAAUGUUUCAUAGAUAUUACCUCGAAUAUGUAUCACUUAAGAGCAUGCAAUGAGGAUAUCUUGGGCAACAAUACCUUUAGAACCUAUGCUUUCAAUACACUCCUCAAGAGGAGUGAAAAAUGAGUCAUUAAAACUCACCUCUUGAGGUUCAAGGUUAGUUCCAAAGAUAUUAUCAUAUGAAAUGGACAUUUGCUCAUUGAAACACAAAUUGAAUUCAUUAUUUUGAUCAAAAUGCAAUCUAUUUUCACAUACAACAUUCCCACCAUUCAUGCUAGGAUCAUUUUACAAAUUAUUAAAAGAAAUAACUUCACAUAAUACAUCCAACUGCUCAUGUAUUCUACCAAAGUGAGAAGUUAAUUCAUCUAUUCUUUUCUCAAUCCUAUCAAAACGGUUAGAAAUCACAUUAGCUAAUUUUUUUAUAGCUAACUCCCAAGAUGGCUUAGAAUCAUUAGCUACUCUUUCUAUUGCCAACUCCCAUGAUAGUUUUGAUUCAUAUUGGACACAUUCAGAUUGGUAAUCAUAUAAACAAGAAGAAGCACUAUUAGCACAUUGAUUAUCCCAACCAUAAGCACAAGAAUUGCCCCACUUAGGACCAUAUUGAUCAAGAUAAGGAUUGCAAUGCCCAAAUUCAUUAUAAUAAUCCACAUUUUGUACUUGUAUACAUGUAUAAGUAGCAUGAUCACCUCCACACAAGUCACAAAUCAUUUGAUUAGAAUUAAAAGUAUUAACAUUCCUCUUUUGCUUAAUUUCAUGCAUAAUGGUGUCAAUUUGAACUUGUAACAUGAUUACAUCAAACUUUUCCUUUAAGCACCUUAAACAUCUUCAAAAGACAUACCUUCAGUAAUUUCUUGGUUACCUCUAUUAAAAGAGUUUUGCACUUGGUAACCAUCCAUUGCCAAUCUUUCAUUUUCAAGCAUUGUCCUCCAAAUUGACCUACCCUCCUCAUUAUCUAAAAUUACUUUUAAACAACUUAAGAGCAAAUUUGUAAGAAGAAUAGUGUUAUAAAACACACACACAAUAAACACUAAAAUAACAGAAAAUAACAUUUACACUAUAACUAAUAAAAUGUCUAAACUAAUAAAGUUGCUCUUCACACAGAUAUUGCCAAAUCUUUCCUGGCAACGGUGUCAAAAACUUGAUGGAGUUUUGCUAUACGUACAAGUUAAAAUCCGAUUUACACCCGUUUUACUGCAAGUAUACAGGUCAACUAGUAGUUUAGGAUAUAUCGGGUCGAUCCACGAGAAAGAUUGAACAAUUACCGACACUACUAAAGGUUCUCUAUUAUUUAGACUAUCAAUGAAUUAUAACAAGUAAAACCUACUAACUUAUACAAGAAAAUAACAAAUGACAGCUCCUUAGGUUAUGGUAUCCCUAACUACUCAUGCAAGUGUGAUAUUUGGAUCAUUGAAUACUACUAUCUAGGCUAGUUAUAGUGUAAUUUCUUUAUGUAUAUGAAACCUACUUUCGUAGUGAAUCAAUUAUACUCAUAACUAAUCCAUACCUAUUCUCAUGGUUAUGAAAUUAGUUAUAAGUUCAUUUUUUCAAUGAAAUUACUUGAAAUGAAUCACUAAAACCACAUAGGUGCACCUCUACUCUCGUGAGUGUACUCCCUGACGUGCGCGGGUAUACAUAUAAUAUUAAACUCAUCCCAAUCAAGUUUUACAUUUAUAAAUUCCUAAAUACCCCACACGCGAUUUAUCGCAAGUAUACGAAUCGUGAGCGAGUAUAGGGUAUUAAGGGUCGAUCCCACAGGGAAGAAUGCAAUUACCGAUAUUUUUUCGAACUCCUUUAUUAUCUAGACUAUCAUAAAUAUAAAAGUAAUAAAAUUAACACUAGAAAGCUUCUAGAGAUAUGAAAUUCCUUACUACUCUUGCAAAUGAGAUUACCGGUUAAGUGAAUGCUAUUAUUUUGACUAGUUAUAGCGUAAUUUCCUAACGUAUGUGAAACCAACUUUCGUAGUGAAUCAACUAUACUUGUAAUUAAGCCAUACCUACUCUCGUGGUUAUGAAAUUAACUACAAGUUCAUUUCUUCUAUGAAAUUACAUGAAACAAGUCACUUAAGCCACAUAAGUGCACCUCUACUUUCGUGAGUGUACUCCCUAGGCCACUUCUUUGAACUAGUGUUUAAAUUCCAAUUUUCAUUGCAAACUUAACACCUUAUGAUUAUCAUAAUUAAUGGCCAGUUAAUCAUGAUUAGAUAACCAAAAGUGAUAAAUAACGUGCUCAAAAUAAUAUCAUCAAAUAGCCAAGUAAACCUCACAAACCAAAUAUAGCAAGUUCAACCAUAACUCUAGGCAUAAACUUUAACUAAACAUAAUAAAAACACAAAGCCAACUUGUAUUAUAAUUAAACAUGAAAUCCAAUACAAGAGAGAAAGUAGUAGAAGAGAUAUCACCCUUGUCACAUGAGAUCAACCUCUUCAUCUUUGCCCCUCCAAUCUUCAUCCAAAUCUAACUACAAAUACAAGAUGGAUAAACUACUCUACCUAUACUAUACUAAUGAACCAAGGAAACUCUAGUGAAAACUACAUUUCUGGUGAGUUUCUCUAGCCUUCUCCCAAGUUAUUUUGAAUCCUGCAAGUCCAUGGCUAUAUAUAGAUGAAUGCAAUUAGGAAAUGAGGCUUGAAACAUCCCUUUUACAGCUGCUAAUUGGUUGUCAUACGUUCAUCCAUAGCUGUAAAUUGUUGAAGGAGAAAACAGGUUGUACCAGCAGCUAUUUCUGACCAGAAUUUGGCUACUUCAACUGCUAUUUUCUCUAUGAUGACGGCUGAAUUAGCUCUUGUGCAAAACAUAGAAGUUGUAGUCCAUUGAAAUAGCUGUCCAAUGCCUUAAGAAUCAUCCAAUUUGGAGCUGUAUAGACCGAGAUAUGAUAAAAUUACCACUGACUGGUCAAUUCCGCGUUUUCAGCUCUCAGCAGCAGACUUUUACUUCUGUAUUUUGACAUUUUGACCAGGAAAACAGUCGAAUUGGACUUUGAUGUUUUCAUACAAAAUAUAGAUCUGUCUCUUAGCUUCGAAAAUUGUUCAAGAAUCAUCUCAAUCCAAUGCAUGUAGCUCAAGAUAUAGCCAAAAUACCAAUAGAUGCCAAAGCUGACUUUUGUUUGAUUCUUUUGUUCUUAAAUUGCAUUUCCCAGCUGAGUUGAAUUUCGGUAUUUCAACUUUUGGACAAUGAAAACGGCUGAAUUAGAUUCUGAUGUCUUCAUACCAAAUUUAUAUCUAUCUCUUAGCUUCAAAAUGGUAUAAAGAUCACUUCAAUCCAAUCUGUGUAGCUCCAGAUAUAGUUAAAAUACCAAAAUGUCUCAGAGUUGUCAAAGCUGACUUUUCUUGAUUCAAAUUGCAUUUCUCCUUUUACACUUCAUAUUUUAUUUUCACCAUUUUAAUCCAUCUUCAAUCAUCCAAAUAUCUUCUCAAUACACUUCAUUUGAUGAUUGAAUCAUUAAACCUACAAAAUAUGAAGUUUUUACCAUAAAAAUCAAUAGAAAUGCAAUUUUCACACUUUAACCACAAAAUGCAUAUUUUCACUAGAAUUUUAGUUAAUUAUUUAUAAAAUUAAAUAAAACACACCAAAACUAAUUAAUAAAGUACACUAAAAAUACGUAAAAUAUACUCUUAUCAAAUACCCCCACACUUGAACCAUUGCUUGUUCUCAAGCAAUAAGAAAUACAAACCAACAAUGAUUCAAUUUUUGAAAAUAAACAUAUGUGCAUCAUUCCUCUUCAUUUUCUCAAAAUAAGGUUAACAACCAUUAUGCAAUCAUUCAAUUAAGCUCAAGUACUCAUAAUAUCAAGUAAAGGAGAGCCAAUUAUACCGUCAUUAUAACAAAUUCAAAUCAAUUUUUCGUCCUUACCCAAUCUUACAAGUAAGUAACUCAUAUGGUCAAUAAAAUACUUCCUAAACUCAUGAUGAUUUUCUUAUUCCAAUUUAAAGAGGGAUUUAUUCAUAUAGUGUAGCUAAAUAUUACUUAAGUUGUGAAAGUGUCUUUUGACGCGAGAAUCGACAUUUUUAGAUUAAAAUCACAGGUUACUCAACACUUUACAUACUCAAAUUGCUUUGCAUACUCUUAAUUCGAAUACCGUUUUACGCGAAAGCCGACAUUUGUAGAUGAAGACUUCCGAUUACUAAGUAUAAGAAUCAUUGGAGUAGAACAAAUCUUAUUUUCUUUUUUCUUCUUUUUUUUCAAUUUUUUCUUCUUCUUUUUUAACAGCAAAGAUAAUAAUAAUUUUCUUAAAAGAAUAAUCAUGAGAAGAGUAUUGCACUUAUUAACCAUAUUUAUCACUUAACUUAUAAAAUCCAAUAAAGAGAAGAAAUUUCAAUAAAUAUGCACAAAAAAAAAUAGGCAUAAUUUUCUCCAUUUUACAAGAUAUAUUUUCCUAUAAGUACACGAAUUAUAAUCACAUAAUAGUCAUUUCCAAAUUAAAUAAGAAAAGAAGUUUUCAAAUCACAUAUAUUUAUCUCAAAUGCAGAAGGAAUUUGAACUACUAAUGGUAUGAAACUUUCUACCCCUUUAGAUAAAAAAAAAAUUGAAACUUUUUUGGGGCAAAUUCGUAAAUUUGGACAAGAUUUUGAAAACAAAUUUUGAAUUUAAGCACAAGUUCAAUAUUUGCAACCAACAAGUCAAUCACAUACAAUGUAUAUAAUCUCAAUUCUUCCCCCCACACUUAAUAUGCACAUUGUCCUCAAUGUGUAAAAAGAAAAAUUAAGAUAAAGAAAAGUAAUACUCCCCUAUUGUUGCGAUCGAAAUGCCAAAGCAUGAAAUUCACGAACCAUUGUCUACUUAUUUCCAAUGCUUCAUGCGUUCCAUUUGAUAAUCAUUAGUAAUAUUAACCUAAAGAUAGAAAAUGAAAAAUAACCAAAUAACUUAAUACAUAAUUUAAACAUGAAAUCACACAAAAAUAAAAUAGCCAAAACAUUGGGUUACCUCCCAAUAAGCGCUUUUGUUUAUAGUCAUUGGCUCGACUUUUUCACCCUCAUUUUUUCUUCAAGGAAGGCUUAGUUAACGAAUAAUCUACCAUUUUUGGACGUGGUGGAUCAUUAAAUGGUGACUUUAUAGCAAAAGUCACAUGAUCUAAUGAUGUGAGAAAUAGAAGUGACUGACCUAUCCCAAGUGUUUCAUAGAUAUUACCUUGAGUAUACACCACUUGAGAACUUACCAAAUGAAAUGCCAUGAGAGUAUCUUGAGCAGCAAUACCCUUAGAACCUAUACUUUCAAUGCACUCCUCAAGAGGGGUGAAAAAUGAGUCAUUGAAACUCACCUCUUGAGACUCAAAAUUAGUUCCAAAGAUAUUAUCAUGUGAAAUGGAUAUUUGCUUAUUAAAACACACUUGAGAUUCAUCAUUUUCAUCAAAAUGCAACCCAUUUUCACAUACAACAUUCCCACCAUUCAUGCUAGGAUCAUUUUGCAAAUUAUUAGAGAAAAUAACUUCACACAAUGCAUUCAAUUGCUCAUGUAUUCUACCAAAGUGAGAAGCUAAUUCAUCUAUUCUUUCCUCAAUCCUAUCAAAACGGUCGGAAGUUGCAUUUGCUAGCUUUUCUAAUACUAAAUCAAAUUGAUUAGAAAAAUUUUCUACAACUAGCUUUCAAGAUGCAUUAGAAUCAUUAGUUAACGGUUCACUUUCUAACUCCCAAGGUAGAGGUGCAUUAGCUAACUUCUCUAUUGCCAACUCCCAAGAUGGUUUUGAUUCAUAUUGGACACUUUCAGGUUGGUAAUCAUAAAAAUAUGGAUAAUCACUAUAUGUACAUUGAUUAUCCCAACCAUUAGCAGGAGAAUUGCUCCAAUUAGCACUAUAUCGAUCAAAACAAGGAUUGUAAUGCUCUAAUUUAUCAUAAUAAUCCACAUUUUGUGCUUGCACACAUGUGUUAGUAGCAUGAUAACUUCCACACAAGUCACAAAUCACAUGAUAAGAAUUAAAAGUAUUAACAUUCCUCCCUUGCUCAAUUUCAUGCAUAAUUGUGUCCAUUUGAACUUGUAGCAUCAUAACAUCAAAUUUAGCCUUUAAGCACCUUAAACCAUCUUCAAAAGACAUACAUUCAGUUAAUUCUUGGUUACCUCUGUUGAAAGAGCUUUGCACUUGGUAACCAUCCAUUGCCAAACUUCCAUUUCUCAAGCAUUGUCCUCCAAAUUGACCUACCCUUCUCAUCACCUAAAAUUGCUUCUAAACAACCUCAAAAGCAAAUUAGUAAGAAAAAUAGGUAAUGAAACACAUACACACAUAAAACACAAAAAUAACAGAAAAUAACAUUCACACUAUAACUAAUGAAAUGUUUAAACUAAUAAUGUUGCUCUUCACACCGAUAUUGCCAAAUCUUCCCCGGCAACGGCGCCAAAAACUUGACGUGCGCGGGGUAUAGAUAUAAUAUUAAACUCAUCCCAAUCAAGUUUUACAUUUAUAAAUUCCUAAUACCCCACACGCGAUUUAUCGUAAGUAUACGAAUCGUGAGCGAGUAUAGGGUAUUAAGGGUCGAUCCCACAGGGAAGAAUGCAAUUACCGAUGUUUUUCGAACUCCUUUAUUAUCUAGACUAUCAUAAAUAUAAAAGUAAUAAAAAUAACACUAGAAAGCUUCUAGAGAUAUGAAAUUCCUUACUACUCUUGCAAAUGAGAUUACCGGUUAAGUGAAUGCUAUUAUUUUGACUAGUUAUAGCGUAAUUUCCUAAUGUAUGUGAAACCAACUUUCGUAGUGAAUCAACUAUACUUGUAAUUAAGCCAUACCUACUCUCGUGGUUAUGAAAUUGACUACAAGUUCAUUUCUUCUAUGAAAUUACAUGAAACAAGUCACUUAAGCCACAUAGGUGCACCUCUACUUUCGUGAGUGUACUCCCUAGGCUUAUCACUUCUUUGAACUAGUGUUAAAUUCUAAUUUUCAUUGCAAACUUAACACCUUAUGAUUAUCAUAAUUAAUGGCCAGUUAAUCAUGAUUAGAUAACCAAAAGUGAUAAAUAACGUGCUCAAAAUAAUAUCAUCAAAUAGCCAAGUAAACCUCACAAACCAAAUAUAGCAAGUUCAACCAUAACUCUAGCAUAAACUUUAACUAAACAUAAUAAAAAAACAAAGCCAACUUGUAUUAUAAUUAAACAUGAAAUCCAAUACAAGAGAGAAAGUAGUAGAAGAGAUAUCACCCUUGUCACAUGAGAUCAACCUCUUCAUCUUUGCCCCUCCAAUCUUCAUCCAAAUCUAACUACAAAUACAAGAUGGAUAAACUACUCUACCUAUACUAUACUAAUGAACCAAGGAAACUCUAGUGAAAACUACAUUUCUGGUGAGUUUCUCUAGCCUUCUCCCAAGUUAUUUGAAUCCUGCAAGUCCAUGGCUAUAUAUAGAUGAAUGCAAUCAGGAAAUGAGGCUUGAAACAUCCCUUUUACAGCUGCUAAUUGGUUGUCAUACGUUCAUCCAUAGCUGUAAAUUGUUGAAGGAGAAAACAGGUUGUACCAGCAGCUAUUUCUGACCAGAAUUUGGCUACUUCAACUGCUAUUUUCUCUAUGAUGACGGCUGAAUUAGCUCUUGUGCAAAACAUAGAAGUUGUAGUCCAUUGAAAUAGCUGUCCAAUGCCUUAAGAAUCAUCCAAUUUGGAGCUGUCUAGACCGAGAUAUGAUAAAAAUACCACUGACUGGUCAAUUCCGCAUUUUCAGCUCUCAGCAGCAGACUUUUACUUCUGUAUUUCGACAUUUUGACCAGGAAAACAGUCGAAUUGGACUUUGAUGUCUCAUACAAAAUGUAGAUCUGUCUCUUAACUUCGAAAAUUGUUCAAGAAUCAUCUCAAUCCAAUGCAUGUAGCUCAAGAUAUAGCCAAAAUACCAAUAGAUGUCAAAGCUGACUUUUGUUUGAUUCUUUUGUUCUUAAAUUGCAUUUCCCAGCUGAGUUGAAUUUCGGUAUUUCAACUUUUGGACAAUGAAAACGGCUGAAUUAGAUUCUGAUGUCUUCACACCAAAUUUAGAUCUAUCUCUUAGCUUCAAAAUGGUAUAAAGAUCACCUCAAUCCAAUCUGUGUAGCUCCAGAUAUAGUUAAAAUACUAAAAUGUGUCAGAGUUGUCAAAGCUGACUUUUCUUGAUUCAAAUUGCAUUUCUCCUUUUACACUUCAUAUUUUUAUUUCACCAUUUUAAUCCAUCUUCAAUCAUCCAAAUAUUUUCUCAAUGCACUUCAUUUGAUGAUUGAAUCAUUAACCUACAAAAUAUGAAGUUUUUACCAUAAAAAUCAAUAGAAAUGCAAUUUUCAUACUUUAACCACAAAAAUGCAUAUUUUCACUAGAAUCUUAGUUAAUUAUUUAAAAAUUAAAUAAAACACACCAAAACUAAUUAAUAAAGUACACUAAAAAUACGUAAAAUAUACUCUUAUCACUCCCUAUGUUUAGUACUUUUUGAACCAGUGUUUAAAUCUCAAUUUUCAUUGCAGAAAUAGCACUUUAGAUAAUCAGAACUAAUGGUAUCAGAUUAAUCAUGAUUUAAAGAGCUAAAGUGCUAAAUAACUUGCUCAAAUAACCAAAUAAUAAACACUAACAAUCAUAGAAAGUUCAACUAAACCCAAGGUAUAAACUUUAGAGACACAUAAAUAACAUAAAAUCCAGAACUUGCAUAUUAAUUAUACUUAAGACUCCAAUACAAAAGAUAAAGAGUUGGAGAAAAGAUAACCCAUGUCACUUGAGCUUCAAAUCCUCCUUCUUCAUCUCCAUCUUCAUCCUAAUCUAGCCAAUAUAUAAGAAUGGAUGAACUAACUAGCUAAACUAUCCUACACUAAAGAAAUGGAAGAACUACAUUUCUGCACUUCCGAGUUUUCUCCUGUAUGUUUCUCCCUUCAAUCUUGCAAUUGUUUUGGCUAUAUAAAGAUAAAGGUGGUCAAGGAAUGAGGUUUACACCUCCCUUUUACAGCUGCAAAGUGGUUGUCACAUGUCUAGCCUUACAUGUGACUUGUUGGAGAUGAAAUCAAGUUGUCCGCGUAAAGAGCAGCUUUUUUUUACCACAAUCCUGCCAGAAAUCUGGCCAUAAAUCCAUCCAAGUUUAGGGCCGGAUUGCUACAGUGACCUUUUGUGCAAUUUCUGUUCAAUUUCCAGCUCUGCUCCGAUUUUGGCCUCAACUUCAACUAAACUUUUCUUGAUGAUAGAAGCUGAUUUAACUCUUGACCAAAACAUAAAACUUGUAACCCUUUGUGUUAGCUUUCCAAUGCAAGAAUUAACUCAAUUGGAUUUGUGUAGUUUGAGAAAUGAUUGAAAUACCCUUGACUGCUCAAUACUCUGUUUUAGUUUCGACUAAUAGAAAUUGGCUACUGUAAUUCGAUUUUUUGACCUAGAAAACCUUAGAACUGGAUUUUGAUGUUUUCACCGAAGUUGUAGAUCUAUCUCUUAUCUUCAAAUUGCUUCAAGAAUCAUCUCAAUCCGAUCACUGUAGCUCAAGUUAUAGCCGAAAUGCGAAAAUGUGUCAAAGCUAUCAAAAUGCACAAAAUGCAAGUAAAAGUGAUAAAAAUCUCAUUUAAUCACUUAAGACAUUUUUCCCAAUUAUAGCCAAAAUAAUUCAUUUUCUUCCAAUAAUAUAACCAAAGGACUAAAAAUAAUAUAAAAUAUCAUUCAAUUAUUACGUAAAUUAGUCACUUAUCACUCCUCUUUCUGUCUUCUCUCUUUAGAAAAAGCUUUCUAACUAGAACUCCUUUCAACUCUCCUAUGGGAGAGAGAUCAGAUUAUUAUGAUCUUUAUCUAUGAAAGGAGUUCUCUUUAUAGUUUCUUUUAUUUGUGUGAAUAAAAUCUCUUCUAAGAUUUUCUAACGAGACUUUCUUCUCUCAUUAGGUUGGCUAGUGAGAGUUAAAAACUGAUGACACUAAUUCAUUUCACUUAAAAAAAAAAAACUGAUGACACUCACAUGAUCACUUCUCUAGGAGUCAUAAUUCUUAUUCACCAGACCCAUUGUCAAACAAGAUAGCAUAAAGGUCACCUGCAGGUUACUCUAUCAUGUUUGAUUAUGAGUUUGGUGGAUAAAAAUUAGGAUUCUCUAUUCAAGAGGUGGUCAUAUAAUAGUCUUGUGCUUUGUUUUUUUUUUUUUUGGAAGAAAAUAAAUUGUGGGCACAUAAGAGGCGUGCAUAUUUUGGCCAAAAAACUAAUAAAAAAUGAGCUUUGUGACUAAAAGGAUGCAUUUUUUUAAUAUAUUUAAGGGGCUAUUUUAGCUAAUUCUAAUUGUGAGGGGCUCAAAAGUUAUUGAAAAUGGAAGGGACCAAUUUGAUAAUUUUUUCUUUAUUAUAAUAUUAUUUGCAUGUGUAAUAUUAAUGGAAUAGGGGCCACACAAGUUUUAUUUUCCACAAGUUUGCUCUUUGACGUAACUGGGUUGGAAAAUAGUAUAACAAAAGUUUAAAUAUAUUGUAAUUGAAUUGAAAUAUAGUGCAAUAAAUUGUGAAAUUAUGAACUUGUCCUGAAAUCGAGUAAAGUACAACCCUAUAUCCAGAAACCAUUAUUGUGCAUAAAAAAUUGUUUUAUUCGGAAACAGUACCCACCACAUGCGAGCCAACUUAGAGCUCAGAAGAAGUAUAUGGUUGCAGCGGAAUCAAUCUCAAGAAACCAACGUUGUACCUAAGACAUUAUUUUAUUUUUAGCAGAAAACCUUAAUUAUAAACUUAAGUAGACGGACAAUCAUAGAGUUCCAGUGUCGACGCAUCCAACGCUAGCUCGCCAAAUCUAGGCCUUGUUCGAAUUGCAUUUUUUGCCAAAAACUUUUGUAAAUUUUCUUGAGAAUUUUUUUAUUAUACAUCACAUUUUAAGAAAAGUAGUAUAAUAUAUUUUUAUAUAAAACUCUCAAAAACUAUAAUAUACAUCUUUAAAAAUUUACUACAGUAUAUUUUUCUAUAAUAACUUUUAAAAAUUACAAUCUGAAUCGACUAUUAGUCUCACUAAAUAGAUAGUCGAAAUUGAAAACGAAAUGAUUUCACGUGACCUGGCCAAAUUAAGACCCCAUAAAUUCCAUUCGUUUCAUCAAAUUAAUAUUUGUUUGGAUAGUAAAUUCUUUGCCAAAUUUUAUUUACUUGCAUCAUUGACAUAUUUUUCAAUCUCCUUUUUAUCUCACAUACAUCACGUCCAAAAAGUAUUACAGUAUUUUGUUCUAAAAAAUUAUUUCAAAUAAUUUACUACCCAAACACACUGACCUAAGUUAGGUCUUUUGGAGCCUUACCCAAACACACUUGCAAGUGUGUUUUUUUUUUUUUCUUUAAAGGUAUACAGUUUUUUUGUUUGAAAGCAUACAUCUACUAGGUAAAUUUGAAUGUUUUAUUUGAAUUGGUACUUGAGGAAGUAAAAUUUUGUCCUCAGUUAUGAUUUACUCUAAGUCUGUCUGUAGUGGUACCUCUUGUUCGGCACAAUGGCAUAAAAAAGACAGUUAUUAAUCUAAGAAGCAAUUAUUAAAUUGUAAGAGUUGAAAGAGACAAGAAAGACAUAAUCUGAAAUAAUCAAAACUAUUGGAAAAAUAUUGGAGUCCAAAUCGAAGAGAUCGACAGCUAGAAUCAUGUGAUCAAGACUUGCAACUACCACUUAAGAGCACUGAAUUCUUUAUCAACUCAUGAAUCACCCGGUAGCAUUAUUGAUUAUCUGUCGGUACGAAUUAUGAAGUCAAUUGGAUGUAUCCGUAACAUAAGAUGCAAAUCAAAGCUCAGAAGAAAUGUAAGAAUCGAUAUCCAGAAACCAUUAUUGUGUAUAAUAAAUUGUCUUAUACAGCAAGUUAAAUUCUAUCUAGUUCAAAUCAGUUUGUAUAAUUUUUAGUACAUUUCGUGUAAAUUUGUAUGGUUUUGAUAUAAACAUCAAAUUAAUUAUAAAAAAUGUGCCCGUUUAGUCUCAAAACUCACUUUCGAUCAAUUUUUAAGCCAAAAAGUGCACCAUCUCUCUGGUUCCCACAAUUUCAAUGGCAAAAUUGAAACACAAUUUCUUUCUCUUUAAAAAAAAAAGACAUGACAAUCACAUAACCACUCCUCUAGCAAAGGAACCUUAAUUCUUAUCCACCAGAUCCAUAAUCGAACAAGAAAGUGUAAAGGUCAUCUCUAGUUUACUCUUUCUUCGAUUGUGAAUUUGGCGGAAAAUAAUUAGAAUUCCCUAUUCAGGAGGUGGUCAUAUGAUUGUCAUGUGCUUUUUUGGGAAGAAAAUAAAUUGUGUUCCCAUUUUUCUAUUUAAAUUAUGGGUACCUAAGAAAGGCAUGCACUUUUUGGCUAGAGAACCGAUGAAGAAAUGAGCUCGCAGACUAAAAGGACGCUUUUCUUUUUUAUAUUUUGAUGGACUAUUCCGACUAAGUCUAAUUUUGAUGGACUAAAAAAAGCUUUUACCAAAAAUUUAAGAGACGAAUAUGGCAAUUUUUCUUUGACUAUAAUAUAAUCUGCAUGUGUUAUAUUAAUAGGAUCAGGGGCUGACGGGGUCUCACAAGUUUGCUUUUUAAUGUAAUUGAGUUGGAAAAUAGUGUACCAAGAGUUGAAAUAUGAUGUGAUUGAGUUACAAAAUGGUGUAAUAAAAUAUGAAAAAUAUUAAAUACCUGAAAUUCAGUAGAAAUACAACUUUCAGGCCUUGAAUUGAGAUUAGAAGGGGCUCUCCAGAACUAAACAGGUAAAUCCAAUCUAAGAAACAAUAAUUAAAUUGCAAAGAUUGAAAUGAGAAAGACAUAAUCUAAGAUAAUCAAAAUCCAAUCUAAGAAACAAUGGCAUAAUAAAAUAUGAAAUUACUAGAUACCCGAAAUCGAGUAGAAAUACAACUUGUCAGGCCUCGAAUCCAGAUUAGGAGGGCCUCUCCAGAACUAAGCAUGUAAAUCCAAUCUAAGAAACAUUGGUGCAAUAAAAUAUGAAAUUAUUAAAUACCCAAAAUCGAGUAGAGAUACAACUUGUCAAGUCUCGCGUCCAGGUCAAGGGGCCUCUCGAAAACUAAACAUGUAAAUCCAAUCUAAAAAACAAUUAUUAAAUUGCAAAGAUUGAAAUGCACAAGAAAGAUAUAAUCUAAAAGAAUCAAAAUAUGUAGUUAAAAACUCAAUUUUCUUUAUUCAAACCCAAUUUCUAAGCAGGUCUAGUCAAUGUCUGUUCAACUCAAUUGAUUAACUCGGACGGAAUGCCCACCGGAUCCUCAGUUCAAUGUUUGGAAUCUGUUGGUCCCGUAUGGUUUAAAAACGGUGUUAUAUGUUGAUAGAUAAUUGGGAGACAAGGUGGAUAAGGAAAACUCUCGUGAAACCAAUGCGUUCUGAUUUUCAACUACAUAUCUUUAUGGGAUAAGACUUAGAGAGCUGGUUUUUUUUUUUUCCCGUACGAUAGCUUCUUACACUAUUGGGGAGGGGGAGGAUCUGAAGAGGUCCAAGGAUAAUUUGAAGAUAAUUGAACCACCACCAGACUAAACGGAUGCACUAUGCACCUACCUGGAUUUUUUUAAAUAAUGCCACAUUUAAUUGAGGCACCCCACCAAGUUUUAAUACUUUGGUGGUGGUCACCAACCCAAAGGCUAUGUUUUCAAACUCGGACCGGGACUCGACUCGGUAGAGGUCGGGGGUCAGGGGUCAAUGGGUUCGACCGGGGUCGAUAGGGGGUCGACUCGGAUGACGUCAUAUAUACGUCAUAUAUAUAUUAUAUAUAUAUAUAUAUAUAUAUAUAUAUAUAUAUAUAUAUAUAUAUAUAUAUAUAUAUAUUAUACACACACACAUACCUGCAAAUCAAAUUUACAAAAUAUAACCAAAGAAUCCAAUCAUCUAAAUUUAUAUCUAAUUCAUCAAACAAUUCACCAAAUUCAUCCAAACUCACAAAUUUAUAAAAUAGAAAUCCCAUAUAUGUUCAAUCAUUAACAAAUAGCAAUCCAAAUAAGGUAACAAGUUCAUGUUCAAAUGCUUGAUAAUAUCAAUCUAAAUAAAACACCAUGUUCCAAAGAACUAUCUAAGCCAUUCUUCAUCUUCAUCUUCAUCAUCCUUAUCUCCAAUUUCAUAACUUUCGAAGUCGAUAUCAUCAACAUCAUCCUCAUCAUCAAGUUGCACAAUAUUUGUGUCUUUCUUAUCUACAAAUCAUUUAAAUACUCAUAAAUAAAAAUAUUCAAAAAUAGACACAAAUUAAAAAGAAACUUAAAUAAAGUUAGCAAAUAUAAACUUACGUGAUUGAGAGGCUUCAUUCUCGCUAGUUUUGGGAAAUUCUUCUUCAAUCAUUUCUUCUAACUCAUCAUAAUCAAGCUCUCCUUCUUGUUCCUCAUCAAUUACCCAAAAUUAAACUUUAUCAAUAGUUUCAUAAUCCACCGGAUCAUAAGACCUCUUUUUAUAUCCACCGGAUCUUUUUCAACCAGAGUCACCUGAUUAAUUAGGAAAAUUUCACUAAUGCCAUAUACAACGUAUCUUUAGGCAUGUCAAUUGAGCCUAAUAGGUUGGGUUCUGAAGUAGCCAAGUUUAGACUUAGUGAAAAACAUAACAACUUAGCAGCAAAAGUCUGAUUCAGGCUGAUUUGAGGUUAAUAAAACAUAACAACUUAGCAACAAAAGUCUGAUUCAGGCUGAUUCAGGCUGAAAAACAUAACAACUUAGCAACAACUUAGCCAAGUUUUGAGGUUAAUUCUGGGAUUAGGUUUAUAAAACAACAAAAGUCUGAUUCAGGCUGUUGAAAAAAGACAAAUUGCCUCAGGGUUGAAAGGGUAUUGGGUGGUAGUAUCCCACUUAGCAGCAGGUCCCCCCUAUAGGUACAUUUGUCCCACAUCGGGGUUGGGGUUGGGUUUGGGUUGGGAUAUAAGUCCCUGGGAUUGCCUCAAGAGUUGCCGGCUUUUGAGGUUAAUUCUGGGAUUAGGUUUAUAAAACAACAAAAGUCUGAUUCAGGCUGUUGAAAAAAAAAAAAAAAACAUAACAACUAGUUUCAGGUUAAAUCGAUUUGGGUUUUGAAACAUUAUGGCUCAAACUCGGCCCUUUUAUUUCAUUGGGCUUCAGGGUCCAAAAUGAGCUUGUCAAAAUUCAACAAUUUCUCAUUCAUAUUUUUCUAAACAGAUAAGACAUUAAUUAAAUAAAAUCAAGGUUUAUGAUUUUAAGAACAAGAUUUAUCAUAAUUACUAUUACACAUUUUUUUAACAUAAUAGUUUUUUUUUAAUGGCAAACCUCAUACAGGAGAGGAAUGCCGACCCUUUAAUUUAUUCAUGCAACUAAAAUUAAAAAUUACAAGAAUUUGAGGGGGUCGAACCUGAUCUCUAAAUCACGGAGCCAUUAAAAUGUGGCAAGAAUUGUGAGAAGGUCUAGCUAUUAAAAUGUGCAUAUGAUUGGCGGUGCUAAAUUAUAAGACCUGGAGGUUUAUCAUACUUGUCUGUCCUCUCAAAAUCAUCUUCCAUUCAAAGUAAUCCUCAUCCAUUUCAUCCCUUCCAUGUAAUCCUCAUCCAUUUCAUCCAUGUAAAAAUGGUAGAAAGUUUUUAACAUACGCCACAAUAGUAAAGUUUUGAAAAAUCACAGGCAUCAUAUUCGGGCAACAAUAAAUUUGCAAACUGAUACAUUUGUCUUUCAUAUAGGUGAUUCAGUUAGCUGGAAAGGGAGAAACGUGCAUAAAAGAAAGGGAGAGAACUGAGAACAGAGCACAACAGUUGUGGCCUUCGUAUUAGUUUCACACCCGCAAAAUCCAAUCCCGAAGGCCCAGCAUAAUGAAUCAAAAAAUUCCAGCCACAUAUCAACUUUAGCAUAACAAAUCAGCAAUAAUAGCCUUCAGAUUGUAAAAAUUACCAGAUUUAGGCUUUAGCUUCAGUUCACCCGCUUGCUAACUACUUGCUUCUCUUGAAAUCUGAACGAACUGGUGGUGUUGCGGCGGCGGAGGCCAGCGAUUGAAGGCUGUGGAUCUCAAGAGUGAUGGAGGCCAGAGAUCGGCGAUGGAUCUCAAGAGCGGCGGUGGUGGCUGAACGGCUAUCGGCGAGGUUAUCGCCUAUCGGCUGAAGAAGAAACACUCAAUUGACUCAAACAGAAGCUCACGAAAGCUUUUGUCAAUUUUGCUCUAUUUUUUCAGUCAAUUUUUAGCGUUUUUAGUUGGUCAAUUUGUCAAAGUCUGACCCAAAAAAAGGCCGAAAAUGGAAAAAAAUAAAAAACCGGAGUUAAUCAAAAAUUCCGGUUCACCGGUCCAACCCGAGUUAUGACCGAGUUUGACCGGUUUUUUAACAGCCGAGUUUUUUAGCUAGCUCGGACCGGAUGCCUGCCCGGUUCCCGGUCCGACCGGCCGGUCCGGUCCGAGCCUGAAAACACAGCCCAAAGGCUGGUGGUUGACUCAGAGACCAAUCUUUCAUGGGAACAGUAAGGACGGUCCCAUAUGUAGAAUAAAGGGGUAAUUUCAGAGACCUUCCCUAAGGUUUUUGAUAGUCUCGCUGUCCUUCCCUAAGAUUUUCAAAAUAUUGAAAACCUCCCCUAAAACUAAUUAGCUAGUAACAAAUCAGCCCAAUUCAAAUACAAAAACAAUAUAAAAUUAGUGUUAGAAGAGAGAAAACAAUUUAAUUCCAUAACUACCCUCAAGUUUUGCAUUAGAUAGUUAAUUUACUCAGAACAAUAUACAUUUAUUUUAACUUUAUCAAAUGCUGAUCCAUGAAUUUUAAUGUUGAGAUUUUGCUUAAUAAUCAAACCAUUUGCUUAUGGAUGUUUGUUGAAUAUUUUAUAUUCUUAGAUUAGUUAGUCAUAAAUUGAAAGAGUUCUUGAUCUUGAAAGCUGACUGGAGAGAUAUUUCUUGAAAAUUAUCACUAAUACUUGACAUAUGUUUUUAAUUGUAUUGUGGCAAUAGAUGAUUCGAGUAAUAGCCAUUGUUUGAAUUUAAUUGCUUGAUUUGUGUUCUCAUGCUUGAGAACAAGCAUUAUUUAGGUGUAGGGGAAAUUGAUAGGUCAUAAUUUGUUACUAAAUUUAUAAUUAUUUUCCCCUUGAUUUUAGCCAAAUAUUAUUUUAAUUGAUAGAUUCUACUUAUAUUUGGUUAACGGUGCCAAUUGUAGGAAAAUGAGCAAAAUAUGAUAAAAGAGGUAAUUUUUCAAGAAUUACUGUCAAGUCUAGAGAAGUUCGGGAUUCAAAGCUAGAAAGUCGGGAUUGAUAUUGGGCAGUUUCUCAAUCCAAGUCAAAUUCCAAAACUUGACAGCUACUGAAGUUUCCUAUUUCUUUGCAUUCCAUGUCAAUCUCGAGCAAUUGGAAGAGUUUUUAGAAAAUUGAAUUGUAAUAGGAAACUCUUUAAGAAUUUGAUUCGUAUUAGGAAACCAAUCAAUUAAGCAAUUCGGCAGGGAGAAUUCAGCAUAUAGCUCUUGCUUAGGGACAAAGCAUAGUUAUUCUUGUUUUCUUGACCGAUAGACAAGAAGACAAUUGGAAAGCUUCGAACAGAUUUUUGCAUGGCUUGUUCUUCAUUAAUGGAGAACUAUUUCAUAUUUCUAGUCAAGGGGACAACUGAAGAUUUGGUUCAAUAAUAACUGUGAGAUCUAAAUUAUUUUAAUUGCUUCUUUUAUUCAUUGGUAUUUAUAUGUUUUCUGCUUUUAGUGGUUAUGACUAUUGUGUAUGAUUGAAUAGUCGCGCAAUAUUUAAUUAUUUACAUAGUCUAUUUGGUAAUUGGGGUAGUUGAAUCCAUAAUUGUUUGAUUACUCCAUCCCGGUAGCAACUAGCAUGAGUGGUUUCAUGUUAGGGAAACGUAUGAUAUAACUUAAACGAACCCUCGUAGCGUGUUUAUUGGUUAGGGUUGGCCUUUUCCAAAUUUUAUUGCAAUCGAGAAAUUAAAUCCUAUGAUCGUACCUAGGGUUAUUUCUUGGUUAGGAAAAUAGUUAAUGGUCGUACCUUGACUAUCGAAAAAGUAAGGAAAGACUGGUUGUUUAUCGUAUGCAUGACAACUAUAACCAAUCUAUUAAUGAGUAAUUGAAUUGUCUUUGCAUCGAUGAUCAGUUGAAUUAACUGUGUCUGAAAAGUUGCACAUUGGAUUAGAAUUGUAUUGGUUAUUGAUUAAUUCAUGUUUAUUUCUGUUAGUUGUUUCAUUAGUUAGUUAAUUAGUUAUUUUAUAUUCUCCAAAAACCUCUCAUUCUUCAGACCCUGAAAGAAACAAAUUAUCCCCAAUCCCUGUGGAUUCGACCCUACUUGCCCAAUAUACAAAUUAGAGAUUUUUCUUAAAUAAAUUUUGGUAUAUCGGAUUUAGCAAACUCUUCGGAACCAAGAUGAAUCUAGUAACCCAUUGCACAUCUAGAGUCCCUGUUCCAGUACCAUAAUUGACACGAAGUUGCUUCUGUUGGCAAUUAGGAUUAUUAAUAUUAUUAUUGCAUAAGCUCGACACCUGUCGAUACUCAUCUAACAAACCUCCACUCGGGGAAAUUUUUUUUAAAAAAAAAAUCUACAUAAGGGUAUACAUUAGCAGAAAAUGAAAAAAAAAAAAAAAAAAACUUUAGACUGCAAUCUAGUAACAUGUGUCCCAGGUGCACAAAGAAAUUGAAACAUAUAGAGCUUUGAUUGUCAAAAGUAGCACUAACACUCCUCGGAGUUUAAUUCAAAUACAGAUGAUCAAAUAUGAGUGACGCCUUGCGCAUAGCGGCAAUAGAAAACUAUGAAAGGAUAUGCCACGGUGUGUCAGCCAACCGUCUUUAGAGUUGAAAUUCUUUCAGGAGCUUCUGUGAUUGUAUGGUUUUGUAAUCUAGCAGCAUCAGAUUUUGUGAGGCAAUGCGUUGAUGAAACUUGGGUAUUGGUAUUCAAUCCCAAGAUCUUUCAUGUAAAAUGACUCGGAUGCGGAAAAGGCUUGGAUUCUCUGCUCCGGUCAACUUGAAAUAGGACUAGUCCCAGCACUUUAGGAAGUUGGUUAUUAGCACAUUUAAUUUUUUAUACUAAUUGUAGUAAGUAAUAUUUGGAGGGACCAUAAGUUCAGGUUGAAAAGAGGCAUGGUGAAACUCUUUCCAAAUACAUAGCACCUAGCUAACUUCCCUUACCCUACUACUUAUACAAAUAAAAGAGAGAACAAAAAUAUAUAACCAUUAAUACAUACUAAAAGUUUUUACAGCAAUUACAUGGUGAAUUCAUUAAAUUAGGCAUUUGGUUGACUUUGAAAUGUGUGUCAAGUCAAAACAUUGUCAAAAAUUGCAUUAAUUUUUGAGAGUUGAGAUAUAUAUAUAUAUAUAUAUAUAUGAAUUAGUCAUCUUUGAAUUAAUUUUUUUCUUCAGAAAAAGUUAUUUAAUUUUUAUUGUACUAAUUAUUUAACUUUCAAAAAUUAAACAUAUAAUUUGAUGUUCCAUAGUAAAUUGACCCAAUGUAAUGUAUUAGAAUAAAAAGACCCAAUUCAUAAUUUUUAAUGGCCUAAAAAGACCCAAUUCAUAAUUGUUAAAAGCAAGAACUAGUACGUCUAAGAAUAGAACUUCAAUAUUUUGAGUUCGACAUUCCAAAUCAUCAUGAAUUGCAAGAAUUAUCUAGUAUUCAUGAGUUAUGUCAAGACUUGGUGAAGACAAGAAAAUCAGUGAUAUAUCUUCUUAUUGACAGAUUUAUUAGAUUUGUUAUUACUCUUCCUAUAUCAACUACAACUAUAGAGCGGACAUUUUCAAUUAUGAAAAUAAUCAAGACAAAGCUCCGAAACAAGAUGCAAGAUAAUUUCUUGAAUGAUUGUCUAACAGGAAGUUGCUGAAAAAUUUAGCAAUGAUUCAAUCAUAGAUGAAUUUAGUUCUAUGAAAGAGCGUAGAGCUCAAUUUACUUCUAAAAAAAGAUAUUGAAAUUUCAAAUUAUGUUAACAUAACUUUUAUCUUUUUUCAAUUGAAAAUAGUUACAUUUAUAUUACAUGGUUAUAUAUAUAUAUAUAUAUAUAUAUAUAUAUAUAUAUAUAUAUAUAUAUAUAUAUAUAUAUAUAUAUAUAUAUAUAUUGCAUAGAUGACAUAUUGGAGAGCAUCUUCUCAUAAUGUGCAAAUUGGAUGGUUUGUGAUGUUAUAAGAUAUUUAAUCAAAAGUUAUCUUUUUUGUUAUGACUAUACCGCAUAUUUAUGAAUAGACAUACCUUUAUAAUUAAAUUUAAUAUUUGAUAUUUUUAGAUGUCAAAUAUUUGAAUAGAAGAAAAUUAUUUUGAACAUAAUAUAUUAAAAUAAUUUUAUUAGGAAAAAAUUUUGGCCCUCAAAAAAAAAAAAUCCUGGCUCCGUCACUGCUUGUGUCCCGGCAUACAUCUAACAGUAGCUAAAUCAGAACGGCCCGUAGAAAAAGCUGUCCAAGACAUAUUCUCACCGUGGCUAGCUAUUUCCGAACUCGAAGAAGAAGGUGCCGAAAAAUAUGUCACAAUUGUAAAUCAAAACACGAAGAAAAAGGUGUCCAAGACGUUCCAAAAGGCUGCCUCUCCUAAUCUUCUGGUGGGUAUAAUGCUGACCGUGGUUGCCAGUUUGUCUUCAAAAUGGUACAUUUUUGGUACUCUAGACAAUAAAUAAAUAAAUAAAUAAAAACUUUACCUGCAUUUGGUAUUAAGUAAUUUUUCACUUUAAUUUUCCUUAAUUGUUGUUAGCUGUCAUACAUUGGUAAUUCAAUUUUAAAGUCAAAAAAUUUAAUUGAUUUGCAAUGAUAAUAUGGAACCAAAUUGGACAAAACUCCAAAUAUAAGGGACAACGAUAGUUUUCUUGAUGUGCACAUGCAAUUCAUGUGAUCAGUCAUCGGUUAGCUCUCACGAAUUACCGUUUUUAAGUUAACAUUUAUCAUUUUUCAUGAAGAUAAGGAGAAAAUUAGUUGAUUGUAUAGAUUAGGUUCUACAUUGGUGAUGAUAAACUUUGCCACUGGAUAAUGCCUAAUUGGCCGUAACAAAUGAAGUUUCGGUACUUGAGGUGACGCACUAGUGAAACCAUGCAUUCCAGGGAUAAGAAUUAAACUUGGAAAUCUGAAAGAUAACUAAAGAAUAAAUAUUAGAAUCAAUAAUAUAAAAAAAAAAGUUUCCAAAUCAAAUCAAAAUUAUUGAAAAUUGACCAAAGCUCAAAUCCAAAUCAAAUAAAUCCUUACACGUUAAACCCACGAGAAACCUGUUAUCAAGAGGUGCAAUUACCACUUGAUAAAACUCCAGUGUAGCUAUCACCUCGUGGAUCACACAUAUAUUGGGUCCUCUUAAUUAUUUUCAGUUGGUACGAAAUCAUUCAGAUAUGAUUUCCGUGACAAAUUCUGAGUGUAACGCAAUAUUCACCUCAACCAGUUGAGACAUUGUCUGAUAACCAUGAAAUUUGACUCUCCAAUUCUUGGGUUUUGCCUCUCUCUUUAUAAGGUGUAGAAUGUGGGUUUUCUUUCGAAUGAACCUGGUUCUAAAGAAUGCUAACUGGCUGACAAUUGCGGAAGUUUUUGUGCAUAUCUCUACCAUGAAGCCAAUCAAAAUGUGAAUGGACUAUUUUUUUUUUUGGAAAUAUGUUUUUAUUUAUUCAUGGGAAAAAAAAAUAUUCCUCUUACAUAUUUGUGAUUUUUCGAAGUGAAGGCAUUCCUAAUCUGUCCAAACAGAUUGCUCCACGAGCCAGUCUUGGGAACAUACUAAAGGUAUCGUAAACCUUCAUUUGUUGCUGUGGAUGAGAUAUUCCCACAUUAGACAAAGCAUCAGCAACUGUAUUAGCUUCCGCGAUAGCAAUGUGAGAAUCUAGCAGGAUCUUCUACUAGCUUCCAAAUCUGGUUAACUUCUCUUCGAAUUUGCCACGGAUACUGAGUACGACGCUGAAUGAUCCCAAUCAAAACUAAUGAAUCUGAUUGUACACAUAUGUCUUCGAAGCCCUUUUGUAUACACGUUUGAAGGCCAAUUAGAAGAGCUCGAGCCUCUGCGCGGAGACUUGUAGUUUCUCCCAAGUAGGCCGAGAAGGCAAUCAGUGGUAAGCCAGUUGAAUCCCGAAGAACCCCACCACCUCCACCCACUCCUGGAUUACCUUUAGCACAGCCAUCCGUAUUAAGUAUAUACCUUCCUGUCUCCUUUGUCUCCCAGCGGAUAACUUUAUAUGCAACCCUGCCACCAGAAGGAAUCUUCCAAUCAUACAACUGACUGAAUGAUUGCAGUCGAAUAACUUUUUUGAACUGUAUUCCCACCAUAGUAUGGAUUUCUGCGAAGAUGGCUCGGCAAAUGGCCGACGAUCGCAUCUGAAUACCCUCAAACAUUGCUUUAUUCCUCGCCUUCCAAAUCUGCCAACAAACUACACUUGGAAGAAUGCGGUCAAUAAACCGUCGUAGCUCAUAGUCAUGUGAUCGCAACCACCAACAUACUAUGCGAGCUCGUAAGUAAGAUCCUGAAAAUUCAAUCCACAUAGACCUCCAAAAUAAUUCCAUAUUACCGUCGCUAUGUGGCCAUUGGAAAAUAAAUGCUCAAUAGACUCCUCAGAUGCCGCAGAACAACAAAAGCAUUUGGAAGGUAAAUGGAAACCCAGUUUGCAUAACUGAUCUGGUAUCGGAAUCCUUCCCAGAAGUAAUCUCAACAUGAAAAAUGAAACUUUUACAGGAAUGCGGGAAUGCCAAAUAGAGGCAAAUACCAUAGACGUGGGGCGAGCCUGCCUAAUAUCCCCGAAAGCGGACUUUAGGGAGAAUUUUCCGGAUGUUGUGGGCAUCCAAAUGACUUCAACUUCAUUUCCUUCUUCCGGGACCAUUUGCUCUAAAAUGGAAAAAACAUUCUCCCUUGGCAAUGUCUGGUAUAAAAGAUUCAAAUCCCAGUGACCAUUGAGUGUGAAUUUUCUGAAUGAUAAAUGUGGGAUAACCGGAACUUGUAGAAAUAAAGCACCACUUCCCAACCAGUUAUCGUACCAAAAAUGACACGCCCCAUGUUUGGCCACCCAUAACAUCGACAGCUCCACUUGUCGGCUCACGUUUACCAUCCUUCGCCAAAUUGACGAAUCAGUUUUCCUAAGUUCAACCUGACAAGGGUGAAGACCUUUGCAAUAUUUUGCUUUCAUGAAUGUCGACCACAACGAUGAUCCUGUUCGGAAGUUCCACCACAACUUGCAGGAAAAAGCUGUGUAUACAUCACGGAGUCUCCGGAAACCAACUCCUCCUUCCUCAAUCGGAUAACACAACUGGGACCAACGUAUCCAGUGAAACUUCGACUCGUCGGGUGAUGAUCUCCACAGGAAUGUCGAGCACGCCUUUUCUAUAGUUUUAAACACCUUACUCGGGAUUACCGCUGCUGACAUCAGAUGAACUGGUAUUGAUGAUAAUACAUGCUUGAUUAGAAUUAUCUUACCUCCAAAGGAGAGUAGCCUUGAUUUCCAAGACAAAAUCCUUGCUAGAAUCGAUUGACACACUUCUCCAAAAUAAGAUGAUUUACAUCUUCCAAAAUAGAGCGGAAACCCUAAAUAGCGUAUCGGAAAUGAUUGCCAGGCAAACCUAGUGAUACGAUCAAUCACCCGUUGUCUCGCCGAUGGCAUCGAUGGAUGGAUUAAGUAACAACUUUUUUGUACAUUUAUCAGCUGCCCCGAACAUCUUUGAUAAGCCUCUAACACUUGCAUGAUAGCCUUCAGGGAAAAUGAGGAUCCAUUUGCAAAUAUGAGAAUAUCAUCCGCAAAAGCCAAAUGAGUAAUAGGCGGGCAUCCAUACGGAACUUUAAAUCCCACAAAACCUGGUUUCCGGGCAAGGUUAUUUAAUGCUCUAGAUAAUGCCUCAGCCCCUAUAAUGAAUAAUGCUGGUGAUAAUGGAUCACCCUGCCGGAGUCCUCUUGAAGAUUUAAAAAACCGUAUGAGGAUCCAUUGAUAAUGAUUGAAAACCAGGCAUUUGAAAUCAACCACCAAACCAUAUCGAUGAAUCUUUCACCAAAGCCAUACCUCCUCAGAACAUUGAUAAUAUGACUCCAUGCCACUCUGUCAUAUGCCUUAGACAUGUCUAGCUUCAUAACCACAUUGCCUCCUCUAUUCUUUUUCGCCAUACCCGAUAUCACCUCUUGAGCUAGCAGAAAAUUUUCCGUUAUAUUACGGCCCUUAACAAAUCCCGUCUGAUGGGGGAAAUGAUUUUUGGCAAAAUAUCCGCCACUCUAUCUGCCAAGAUCCGGGAUAAAAGUUUGUUGAAAAAAUUGCAAAGACUGAUGGGUCUGAAUUGAGAAAAAUCUUGAGGAUUUUGCACCUUUGGAAUUAGUACAAUUGAAGUAGAGGUAAUGAACCGAGGUAACUCCGCUCCACAAAAAAAACUGAGUACCGCUUUGUAGACGUCUUGAGCGAUCACUUGCCAUGCAAAAGUAAAGAAUUUCCCUGUGAAACCGUCUGGGCCAGCAGCACUUUCUUCAUCCAUUGACCUCAAGACUCGGUGUACCUCUUCAAUUGAUGGGACUUCUUCCAACUUUGCAUUAUCCUCCCCCGAGACCAUAGGCGGAAUAAGGCUUAGCAUAUCUGAAGAUGAUGCCAAAGAAUCGUUGAAGAGAUCGUGGAAAUAAGUUAUUGCCGCACUAGCUAUAUCAUCCUCAUUAUCCACCCAAACGCCGUCAGAAUUUUUGAUACGAUGUAUCAUUCCUUGAGACCGUCUCUGUCUUACUAUUGCAUGAAAGUACUUUGAAUUGCUGUCUCCUUGGCAAAGCCAUUUCACCCUGGCUUUUUGUCUCCAAAAUUGCUCUUCAAUUGAUAGUACAUGCCUUAGCUCCGCCUGAGCCUUGUUGAGCUCAAUCUGACACUCCUCCGAGGCAUUGUUAUCUACACUUUCCUCAGCCCUUUGUACCGCCAUUUCUGCAGAUCUCACAGCGUCAAACACAUUCCCAAAGUGUUGCUUGUUCCAUGCUUGAAUAGCUUUCCUCGUUGCCAAUAAUUUAGAACAUAAGACACGCAACGGAGACCCACUGAUAUCUUGAUUCCACUAGACAUAAAGGGCAGUAGUUUAAAAUUUGUAGUGAAAUUAACUUAAUUACCUCAAUGGGAUUGAACUAAAAAAUGCAAUCUUCUAUUCAGACAAAAUUCAUAAGUUCUAAGUUCAUUAAGAAAGAUCAAUGCCUGUCAUAUUAAUGCAAAAUUAUUGAUAACAACAAGAAGGAUACUUUUAGAGGUGAUAUAGUCUAGAGUCCAUGCAUCUAACCCACUCUCUUGACAUAGAUUGGAGUUCAGUGAGCGUUAAACUCAAGUCCAUUGGCCAAAAAAAAAGAAAAAAAAAAAGACUCAAGUCUAUUCAAAAAACCAAACAUUGGACUCCAAACCAGUGAUGUCGAAUUGAUUAUCCAUGGACGCUAAAACCGCCAGAAACAAGUCAUCAAGAGGUGAAACUACCACAUACGACAAUACCCAAUUAUUUAGCAAAUCAAGGAUAAGGAUUAGGACUGUCAAUGGGGCUGAGCCAGCCCGAGCUCGGCUCGUUCGGCCCGACAGAAAGCCCGAUGAGCCCUAUCAUUUAGUGAGUCGGUCUGAGCUUGAGCCUAAAAAUUAGGCCCGAAAUAAAUGUGAGCCGAGCUUGGGCCUUAUUAGGCUCAAACCCGAUAUAGGCCCAAAUAUAUGUAUAAUUAUAUACCUAUAUAUAUAAUAUUUAUAUUUUGAUAUUAUGUAUAAUUAUAUAUCCAAAUAUAUUUUUACUAAAUACUAAAUAUAUAUAUAAAUUACAAAACACAAAAAUACAUCUAAAGACUCUUUCGUGAGCUUUCUUGAGAGCCAAUAUUAGUAAUGCAUAACUAAAUCUCUAAUUUUUCUUAUUGGUUGAGUAAAUUUUUGUAUUGGCAUAUUAUUGGUUGAUUUUUUUUUGGUCUACAAACACAAAAAUCAUCAAGCAUGUUCGGAUUUAAAUCACAAGAUUAUAAAAAAAAAGUUUCAACUUUUAAAGAUGCAUUGGCUUAUGAUCGCAUGUUUUAUUACUAUUUUUCAUGCAUUUUAAACGGAUUAAAUAUAAAUAUUGUUGAAAAAUUUUUUGGUUUAUAUACUUUUUAAGAACUAUUAUUUGUUCAUGUUUAGUUUUAAUAUUAUAGUCUUGUAUAUGUUAAAUUAGUUUUACAACUUAAUAGUUAUAGUAAUUAUAUUAGAAAAUUAAGGAGUAAUAAAUGAGCAUGGGCUAAACCCAAUUAAGGCUCACAACCCAAAUAUUAUAUGAGCUAAGUAUGAGUUUCACAUUUACGAACCCGAAACUCAUAGCCCGAAGCCCAAAAAUGUUUCAAAUUAAAUGAGUUGAACUUUGAACUCAUCAAAACCCGGCUCAUUAGGCCCGAUUGACAGGCCUAAUAAGGAUCAGACAAGUAUCAGGGUAUUAAUAGUCCUCUAUAUUAUUUAUUUGCAGCUGGUACGAAGUCAAUUAAUCAGAGAUACCCACCAAAUGACACAACUUAAGACUUGAAGGAAAAAUAUGAUUGCUGAAGAAUCGUUAUCAGAAUCAAAUCAUUGCACCUUAAAUACAACGUUUUUGGAUUCGGUUAGGUUUGCGAGGUGAGAAGAUCUCAAUUACAUACAAGCAAUUAACAGCAGAAGAAACAUAGCUUUAAUAUCUGAUUCUAGUAAUGGUUUCUGGCAAAGAAUACGUUGUCCUUCGCGAGUAAUGUUUCUAGAAACAAUCUUUAUAUAUUUUGUGUUUAAAAUAACUUGAAGAAUACGGCAAAAGUAAGCUUUGGUUUGUGGACUGAUGAGUAAACACUAUGAAAUGAUGAGUAAACAUCAACAGUAUAUGUCUGGAAAGAGAGGAAUUACAUUAUUUUUAGCAACAAGGUUACUAAAAUUGGGGUUAUUAUAACUUUAUCCCUUUAAACUAUAGUGCUAAUAUCAAUUUACCUUUUUAACAUUAUUUUGCAGGCAUUUGACCUCGCAGUUAUUCUCCUUUUUCAUUCUAAAAGGACCAAGAAAAAUGUAAAAGGGUUCCCUUUUUUUUUUCAUUCUCAACUAUUAAGAAAAAAAAAGAAAUUGAAUAGAGGUUGACAGAAAACUCAAUUUCAGAAAAAAGGAAAAUAAAGAAGAAUCCAAUAUUAUAAUUAAUUUAAAAUAAGUUAGAGUGGGCAGUAGGGGUGAAGAGUAAGUAGUAAUUUUAAAAUAAUAAGCACAUUGGAUUCUUUAUUAUUUUUAUUUUCUUUUUUAAAAUUGAGUUAUCUCUCUAUUUUCAUAUUUUAAGUAUUGAUAAGUACACAAGGAAAAAAAGAAGAAGACAUUUUUUUUUUACUUUUUUCCCCUUGUUAUUAAAGAGGGUGGAAAAAAGGGAGAAGACACUUUUUUUUUUUUUUUUCUUGGUAUUAAAAGGGGGAAAAGGGGGGAAAAACCAUUCCAAUUUUUUUUUAUUUUUAAUCAUACAGGAGAGGAUGUAUUUCUUCUAAAAUAUUAGGUAAAUUAUAUAUAAUUUCCUGUGUUUUCAUCUAUUGCCACAUGAUCCCCAAAACAUUUUAGGGUUUUAUGUGGCUGAUGUAAGGGAAAAAAUUCAUAUUAAUACCUUAAAUUUCCCUUAAGGAGUUUUUAUAUUUAAAUCAAAUUAUUCAAUGAAUAUAUUUUUGUUUUUCUUCUAGUCUUAAAGAGUCUUGCCUCAGGCCUAAAUCAUUUCCACUAUAUUCCUUUGGCCAAAUUUACAAUCGUAUAUUUGUGUUUGUAGUCGUUGAUUGAACUUUGGUCUUAGGAAAAAUGAUAACAAAUGGAAAGAGUGAGAUACAAGUCAAUUAAAAAACAUCAUUAACACUAGAAUUUGUGAGACAUGGAGACUUGGAUUAUAAAAAGGAUAAGAAAACUUGAAUAGGUGAAAAAAGGGUGGAUUAAAACUAUAUGAAAGAAGUAGCAUAACAGUGAUAUAGUAUUUGGUGAUGGGAAGAUUCUUGGAGAUGUGUUUUUUAAGUUUGAUAGGCAUUUUAUUACUUUUGGGAAGAUUAUUAUAAUCAUUUUGAGUCCUUAAAAAAAGCAUGGACGUAUAAUAUUUGAAUAUAGAGGUGGGCAACAUGAGAUUAUCAGAAAUCUUAGAAGAAGUUUUUGAAAUUAUCCUUUGCUGUAAUACUAUUCUUUUUUUUUCCUACCUUGUGAUUAUUGAUUUCCACAUUCACACUCGAAAUGCUAAGGCAAAAAGCAAAAUUCAAGGAUGAAAAAUGAAAGAAAAAGAGACAAGGUUAUAAACAUGGGGAAAGACUCUAGAUUUGAUUAAUGCUAACAUAUUAUAAAAUGAUUAUAGCAUUUCUUUUUCAUUUUUUAUGAGUGACACUUUUUUAAAAAAAAUUAGUAGGGGAAUGAUGGGAUUUAAAAAGCGAAAAAAGAACAGGGAGAUCAAAAUUCAGGAUCUCUAAUUCCUGGGAGUAACAUGAUAAUAUUAUUUCUAAAAACCCAAUAUCAAUCCUAUUGGUGUAAUAUAAAGGAAUUUGGAUGAUUGAAGUGUUUAAAAUAUAAAAUACUUCUUAAUUAUAAUAUCUUAUUCAUUAGUCGAAUGUGGAAUCUUAUGUUUGUUGCCCCUUUCUUUUUUGCUCUGGAUUUGGGUUUUUGGCGUUGAAUUUUGAGUCUGAAUUGAGUAAGAUUAUAGCAUGAGAAGGUUCAUUUAAUUAAGUUCUUCCUACAUUUAAAAUGGGAGCGUACAUGACAUAAAAAAGAUUAAAAUGGUAAUAAUUUACAAAAGAGCAUCAUACUGGGAAUAUUUUCCUAAAAAGGUCAUUUCAGAAAUAAAUUCAAUAUGAGUAUAUUACUAAAUUUUAACCAUAAUUAGUGAUUAGACAUUAGUUCAUCAUUCUACUUAUCGAGAAGAUUGUACUAGUGUUCACUCUAAGGAGAAUUCAUAAAUUGAGCUUUAGUCAUUCAUAAUUGAGGCUCGGAAGUGGCAUUCAAAAACACAAGAGAAAUCUGAUUUUCACCUUUGAAAUCAAGUGUAAAACGGUCUAGCAAUAUCGGAGGAAAAUGGAGAGUUUGAAACCCUCAAUUUCCUUUAAGUUCGGAAAUUUCAGAUUCAACAAGCAAACUUUGAAAAAUCAGAUCUCACUCUCUACAAGUCCAAAAUUGGAAAACUUGGUACCGUUGGUAACUAGCUCCAAAGUGCUAAAAGUUUUUAGAAGACACUUUUCCAUGAUUCCAAAUGGAUGACAUUCAAAAGUUGGCUCAAAGUUACUACUUUAGAAUACCAAGACAGUUUCAAGGUUGAUUUUUGGGCAACUUUGGAAAUUCGGUAAAAUUCACACGUUGCAAACCAGCCUCCAAAAUUUGUAACUAAAUUAGAGUUACAACCAAAGUUUAAAGCAAAACAAGUGGAACAAGAAUCGAAGUUUUGAACACCAAGAUAUGGUAGCUCAAAAUUAGUGAAAAUGUGAAACUAUUAAGUAAAUUCCAGGUUUAAUUCACAACUUUGGGACUUUGAUUGAACAUCGAAAUGGAAUCGGAAUGGCACCAAAUUUGGCAGUAUUAUCUUACCAUAUAAGGGCUAUUCCUCUACCAAAUUUUGUAGGAAAAUUCAUUUGGAAUGUUGGUUAACGAAAUCACUAAAUUCCCAAGAAGUUCCUCGGCAAAUCUGCCUUGGACUUCCGUUUUUCCGUUUUCAAAACGUUUGACCAAUAAAACACCUCAAACAUGGUUCAUUUUAGUAGAUAAUGUCUAAGAUGUGUCCAAGGUACAUUUGAUAGGUGAUUAACACCAAAAAUUUCGGAUAACAAACCCCAAACUAAGAUUAGUUAAGGAUCAGUUCAAAAUGAAGAAUUUCAUAACUGAGUCAAUUUCAAACUUUGGCCACAACUCACUCAAUUCAACUUAGAAUUGAGUGUGGUUGGUGGAGUUAGAAAAAACAUUCAUAAAUCUAUAAUUUCUCAGAAGAAAUCAUUCUCGAAAUCUGUCCACAACUAGCCCCAAUUGGAGCAUCAAGUUGUAGUUCCUGUUCUGCCUUCCAGUGAACCCGAGAAACAGAAUGGUCAAGUUCAAAUGAGUGGUACGGUUUGCUCAAGUGGAAUCAUGACGCGUAUUUUAUACCAUUGGAAAUCUGGGGAUGUCUAGUUUCUAGUGCCACAAACAGCACUCGAUUCCGACAUCCGAGUAAAAAGAUAUAGUUGAAACAAAAUGACUGCCUGGGCAAUCCUGGAAAGUUUUCCAGAUUUGGUGAACUUUGGAAUUCAACACAUUUGACCAAUCAAAUCAUGUUAUUUUUCAAUGAAACUUUUUAUACACUCACUAUAAUGUAUAAAAAACAUAAAAAAUCCAUUAGAACCUUAAAAAUUUGCACCAAAGUGCUCGAAUAUAGCAGGGGCAAAAUGGUCACUUUUGGUCCAAGUACUCCUUUUGAUUUUCUACCAACAAUACAACAUUAAUCCACUAAUUUAAGCACUAAACCACCAUUAAUUUCAUCAUCAAUCAUCAAAUCAGUCCUUCCAUCAAAAGUGGGAGUUCAUAGAGCCCACACAACAGAAUUCAAUAUAAAUAAAGCUACCCACAUGAAAUUAUGAACUUAUAAGUGCUAGAUAACUUUCAUAUACAAAGGUUUAAGAGGUUGAUCGUUCAUUGCCUCUCUUGAUGACUAGAUCAGAAUUUUUGGUCACUUUGAAGCUCAAGAAAACCGUGGAAAUGAAGCCCCUUUUCUAGCUUAAGAUGGUCACUAAGUGUUUAGCAAAGUUUAGUUAAAAUUUGAGGUGAUUUGGAGGAGAUUUGAAGCAAGAAUCGAUGAAGGAAAAAUGAAGAACUUGGUCUUGUUUUUCCUUGGAGUUGCACGGCUGUUUGAGGUGAUAAAGUGGAGGGUUUUGAUCUAGUGUGAGGCUCCCUUGAGAAACCUAAGAAUGUGUGGCCCAAAAUACUCCAAAAGUCAACUAAGAAGAGUGCGUGUAAGCGCUCGUUUCCCCUCGGGUUUGUUUUACUUGUGCACUAAACCUCUAAUGCACUUGUUUUCAUGUUAAUAUUAUUCACUCUUAAUAGUCUAGAAUAAUUUCUCAAAUCUCCAAUUUACCGCUCCGCCUCGGUAUACGUGAACUUUCAAUUUUCAUGCGGUAUGGCGAAAUCUCCAAGAAUUUUUAUAACGAUAACUUCACUAACUAAUACUUGAAUACUUAAAUAUAAAAAUAUCUAUUUUAAUACUAAUGUACGUAUCUCUAAAUUUUUUUUUCCAAGCUCAGUGUAUCCUCAAAUCGGUUAUCGUUCCAAACGCACGUGCACUAUUUUCACUUAAUGGCUUCCAAAAUUUAAUUUUUGAAAUGAGACACUUUAAAAAUAUAACAAACCUAUAGAUUUAUGAAAUUAGGUCUAAAGAGAUUAGAAAAUAAUAUUUGAAGAAAACGGGAGGGCAAAUAAUUAAUUAAACUAUAAAAAUAGAUUUAUAAGUGAGAAAAAUUCGGGUCCUCACACAAAAAUUGGUCGUCAGUAAACAUAAACAGUGACAACAAUGAAAAGUUAUCAAAGAAAGUGGUAGAAUUACUGACAACAUUUAUCAAGUCGUCACUAUCGCAAAACUCGCGCCUUCCAAGUCUCAUGGCGCGAAGUAGGGCCUGUUUGGAACCUGAGUUUUUUGGGAGUUUGUCUAAAACUUUACUGUAGUGCACUGUAGAAGUUUUUGAAAAAAUUUUGUAGAAGUUUUUGUAAGGUGAAAAACUUUUUUGUAGAAGUUUUUGAAAUGUUACUGUAGACUUUUUUUGGAUUAUUUUUAGAGGUAUUUUUAAAACAUAUUUUUGAGUAUUUUAUAAUUUAUAAUUUUUAUACUUUUAUAUUCUUAAACAUUUAUGCAUUUAUAAAUAUUUAGAAAUAAAUAUAAAUGUAUAAAUGUAUAAUUAAUAUAAAUGGAUAAAUUAUAAAUGAAUAUUAUAUAAAUGUAUAAAUUAUAAUUUAUAAAUGUAUAUGAUGAUUAUGUAUAAAUGUAUUAAUAUAAUUAAUAUAAAUGUAUAAAUGUAUUAAUAUUAUGUAUAAUUAAUAUUGUUUAUAAUUUAUAAUUUUUAUUGUUUAAAUAUUUAUAUGCAUUUAUGCAUUUAUAAAUAUUUAUAAAUAAAUAUAUUUAUAUAUUUAUAUAAAAAUAUAUAAAUGUAUUAUAUUAUAUAUAAUACAUAAUAUACAUAUAUUUAUAAAUGUAUAAAUGUAUAAUUAAUAUAAAUGUAUAUAUUAUAAAUGAAUAUUAUAUAAAUGUAUAAAUUAUAAUUUAUAAAUGUAUAUGAUGAUUAUGUAUAACUGUAUUAAUAUAAUUAAUAUAAAUGUAUAAAUGUAUUAAUAUUAUAUAUAAAUGUAUAAUUAAUAUUGUUUAUAAGUUAUAAUUUUUAUUGUUUAAAUAUUUAUAUAUAUUUAUGCAUUUAUAAUACAUUUAUAAAUAAAUAUAUUUAUAUAGUUAUAUAAAAAUAUAUAAAUGUAUUAUAUUAUAUAUAAUGCAUAAUAUAAAUAUAUUUACAAAUGUAAUAAUUGUAUAUUAUUAUAAAUGAAUAUUAUAUAAAUAUAUAAAUUAAUAUGUUAUAAAUGUAUAAAUAUAUAAUAUUAUGUAUAAAUGUAUUAAUAUAAUUAAUAUAAAUGUAUAAAUAUAUUAGUAUUAUGUAUAAAUGUAUAAUUAAUAUUGUGUGUUAAUAUUAUGUAUAAAUGUAUUAUGUUAUACAUAAUACAUAAUAUAAUUGUAUAUAAAUAUACAUAAAUAUAUAUACAUAAAUGUGUAAUAUAUAUAAUAUGUAUUAUAUAUAUUAAAUAUAUAAUAUAUAAUAUUUAUAUAAAUGUAUAAUUACAUAUUUAUAUUAAUAUUAAUUUAUAUGGUAUAUAAUAUUUAUAUAAAUGUAUAAAAAUAUAUUUUAAAUAAAAUAAAAUAUUUAUAAUAUGUUUAAAUAAAUAUAUAAAUAUAUAAUAUAUAUAAUAUAUAUAAUAAAUUUUUGUGGGUGAGGGAUUCAAAAAUUCAAAAAAAUUUUUUGAGGUUGCCGGCGGCGCCGGAAUAGGUGAUCGGCUCGAGGAGAGGUGGUGGAGGCGGUGUCUGGUGUGGUGGGUUGGGUGAGGGAGGAAGAAAAUUUUUUGAGAAAUUUUUUGUGUAUAAUUUUUGAAGUGUGUAGGUAAAAAACUUUGAAAAGUUUUUUGGGGUUCCUGUAGCAAAAGUUGUUAAAAAACUAGUAGCUAAAAAACUUGGUAAAAAACUAGGGUGCCAAACAAGCCCGUAGUUUUGUGACGACAAUUAAAGGUUGUCACUAAAAACUCAAUUGCUUUGAGUCAAUUGUGAUAACCUUCAAAGUCGUGACUAGACAACCUCAUUUUGUGACGACUUUUUGUCGUCACAAAGAAAUGUUGUCACUAAUGACCUUUUUUCUUGUAGUGUCACAAUACUAUCAUGUAUUUUAAUUCGGAUUGUACCCUUACCAACAAUAUCACAAAUGGUAUUAUUACCCAUCAAAAUAAUUCAAUCAUUACAAGAUUCAUAAGUGAAAAAUAAAUCCUUAUUGGGACCAUGUAAUAAGAGCACUUCGAAUAUACAAUUCAUUCAUUUUUAAACCUUGUCUUGUCAUCAGCCACAAAAAAAAAAUAUUUUUUUCAUUCUCAUUAGCUGUAACACUAGUUUCGAUAGUUUAAAUAUUUUUCUCACCAGGUUUUCCCUUUUGUUUCAAUCAAUUUUUAAUUUAAAAUAAUUUGCCAUAAUGUGCUCCAUUUUAUGACAAUAAUUGCAAUCCAAAUUUCUAUGUCUGGAUUUAAAUCUAAAUUUAGAUCUACUACUGUCAAAUUCUCUUUUCUCAAUUCUGCCCCUAACAACCAGACCUUCUGCCUGACCUCCACUAAAUUUUUCAAUAAUAUCCUUGUCUAUCUGCUCCUUAGAUUUUAAUGCAAAUUUAAUUUUUCAAUAUGAAAUUGUUUCUUUUCCAUAAAUCAUAGUAUCGCAAAAAUAUUUAAAAGACUAGGGAAGGGAACACAAAAGUAACAGGAUCUGAUCCUCAUCAUCAAUUUUCAAACUAUAUUCUCCAAAUCCAUAAUAAUAGAAUUAAUUUAUCAAGAUGUAAGACUAUAGAUGUACCUUAAGUCAUUCGAAUCAUAUACAGACUUUGUUUUAAAUAAAGUCGAUUCUCAACUGUCGUUUUUAUGUACAAGGCCUUAAACUUGUUCCACAUGGCCUUUGCGAAAGCCUCAGUGGCCUUAAACUUGUUCCAUAUGUCACACCCUCUAAUUUUUUCUCAAUUUUCUGUAGCGUUAGAUCAGCUCCGUUUUGAACCAAAAUGGCCUUUGUUUUGAACUACCAUAUCUCGAAAUUUAUAUUCCUGUCAAAUUUCUCAACGAUAAUUUUUAUUAUUGUCCUUGUUGCCACAAAAUCCAAAACCUCCGAAAAAACUUUGAUACCAGUUUGUUAGAUUUAGUUCCAAGAAAUUGACAAAAGGAUUUUUGGUAACUCCAAAAAAGAUAAAUAACAAAGAAAAAAUAAAUAAAAUAGGAACACAGGAAUUUACGUGGUUCGGCCAAAUUGACCUACGUCCACGGGCCAGAAGGAGCAAUAUUUUAUUAUGAAGAAGAGAGUACAAAAAUACCUUAGAAAAGUGGUUUUAGAUCCAAAAACACCUAAUAUUUAAAACACAAGAGAGUCCAAAAUAUUUUACUAAACAAAAGACUUAAUGACUCAAAGGUCUAAAUAGCCACUAAAGCUCUCUUGGUUUGGUGCACUUAUCCCAUCACAAGCCCACUAUAUUUAUAGGCAACUAAGGGAACGGUUUCUUUAUAGAAAAGGCGAUAUGGGACAAUGUCACUUUAACAUAAACCUUCGACAAUUCUUCAUCACUGCCCAAAGUUGUGAGCAAUAUCCUUUUUCUGUUAGUUCUUUCUCGUCCUUGGGGUUGUCGAUCAGCGAUUUCAUAAACUCAAUAUAUGCUGUCACUGCUCGGUCAGUGUUGGUACUUGGGCACAUUUCAUAGGCAAUCAUAUUUAAAAAGAAAACUUCAGUGUAAAUCGAAACAAACCAAAUUGGAACUUCAAGUGUUGCAUAGAAAUAACCUGAUUUGAACUUGAUGCCCUUCAAAGAAUCAACACUGCCGCGCUAAAGUGAAUUCCCUUGGCCUUCAACUCCAUGGCUGAAUGAAACCAAUGAACAUAUUUUUUUGUGUUAGAAUCAUUGUCAAUAUUUUAUCAUCUCCAUCGCAGAAAACAUGGCAAAUUGCGAAUAUACUCGUGAAUAUUGCUGCAUCUACCAAAAAUUUUGAAGUAAUUGAGAUAGACAGUGUCAUUGCUGGCCCUAGAUUUUGGAGAGGUUGGUUUGUGUUUACAGGAUUUAGAGACGAGAACUAGCCAGAAAGCGUCCAGAAGAUGAUGGGAUAGGUCCUUAUCUCUACUAACUAUUCCACUUCCCUUAUAAUUCCCGAACACGGUCCCAUUCAAGAACUCAUUGAGCAUCUCUUCAUCUUCUUGUUUCCCAUAUCUCAAACACAUUAGAAACUUAAGAAGCUAGAAGGGAAUUUGAUUUUCAAGUAAAAACAUGUCACGAAGUAUAAUUGUUGAUGCCAAGACACCAAGAUAGUAGCGCGUGAUAUAAAAGUUUGCGGCACUUUUGCAUCUAGAAAUUAUGUCAUUGAUAAUGAAACAGGCAUCAAGAAGCACUAGUUGUGCAAACGUUUCAUCAUCAUACUUUUUAAUAGAAUCUUCAAAAUAACAAUUCUAGCAUCAUUCACAAGUUGAAGUACCUUGAAAUAGAAAAUAAUACAUCAUGGCCGCUAUCAGCAACGAACAUCUCUAAGGCUAUGAAUUUGAAGUCCUCAGCUGAUUGAAGCUUCUCUUUGCCACAGUGAUAAGGCUCCAAAGAAACCACCAAGGGAUCAUAGUCUUGCUGGUUGUUCUUGUCCAGUCGUAGAAGCGGUGGGACUUUUUGCAUAGGGCAUCCAAGAUCAUGGUUUUCUCUUGGUCUGCCAGCUACAAUCUACAAAAGCUUCUCCGGAAUGACAAUGUUAAUUGCUUCAUUUGGAAGAAACUAAGAUUGUUCUUCUACUAAAAUUGCCGUAGCCUUUCUUUGAGACGUCUUUUUUUUUUUUGCUUACAAGGGGAGAGGCCGAGCCUCUUAAACCGACACUAGACGUAAGGUCGCAGCCCCAGCAAUAUGCAUUCCUAACAACACCCUAAGUUCUCCAAGCGGGUCCGUUAUGAGCAACAAUCCUGACACCUGAUUAAUUCUCCAUUUUGCAAGCCAAUCUACACAAUUAUUGGCUUCUCUCCAUGCAUGCUGAAGAUGACAUUCCCAGUCCCUAUUGACAUAAUUCCAGAUCUGGAAAACCAUAUUGUGAUAAGGGGACUCCCUACCCGCUGCUCUAACAAACUCAAUUCUAGUUUUCGAAUCCGUGUCUAGUAUUUUUGUUUUGUCCUGAAACCCACGCCAGCUCCAAUCCCUUAAGCAUUCCCCAUAACUUUGCUAAUAUAUUAUCUGUAAAACCAACACUUAUUAUAAAUCCAGAAUCCCAUCAACCCCAUCUAUCCCUAAGAACUCCAUCUGCCCCCGCUCUAUGCAUCCCUUUAUUUGCUGCUCCAUCCACAUUCAUCUUCCACCAAUCCUCUGGAGGUCUUUCCCAUCUAACGCGUUUCUCCUCUCUUUUUGUGGCACUUCCUUCCCUUAGCAAUGCAGCUUUCGCUUGUUCCAUCCCCGCACAAAUGGCUCUAUGAUCAGCCUUUACUUUAGUUGCAUCUCUUAUAGCAUAAAACGUAUUUCUGGUAGCCCAUGUCAUGUAGGCUAUAUGUUGGAAUGUCACUUGCCACUCUAACAACUCUCCUACACCAAUCCUUCCAUCCUUCAAAUUCUAAUCUAGCCACUCUUGCAAAGGUUUAUUCAAGAACUCCUCCCCAUCUGUUUGGUCUUACAAAUUGCCAUCUCCCUGGUCCCUUCAUUUUCCAAAGUUUCUCCCACCCUGAUGCUUCUUCAUGCAAUUCCUCCUCUUCCCAAUCCAGUUCAUACACUGAUUUAGUUGUAAAGAUCCCAUUAGCUUCGGGUUUCUAACAAAGGGUAUUUGGAUUUUCCAUCCCUGGAAAAACAUAGUAGUUGCUUAUCUUAAGGACUUGUUCUGGAGUUAACAGUUCUUGCAGCGUCCCCAUAGCUUAGCCACUUGAUUUCCAACAAUAAUCCGCCACUUUUCGCUCUACCUCCUCCUUCAGUAUCUCUUUCUUUGUUUCCUCCAAAAGUUUUGUUUCUCCUACCCAUUUAUCCUUCCAAAACUGCAUUGUUUCUCCAUUCCCUAUCCUCCAUUGGAUUCCCUUCUCCAGUAGAUCACGACCUUUGACAAUACUUUUCCACACGUGGGAUUCUCCAGCUUUGGCUGAUGAAUGAAUUCCUGUUGUCCUUUUAAAAUAUUUCCCCUCAAUCACUUUUUCCCACAGUGGCUGAUUGUCUCUAGUUAAUUUCUAGGCAAGCUUGGCCAAUAGUGCCUUAUUAAUUUUUUUUUUGAGUUUUUUAAUUUCGAUUCCAUCUCAAUUUUUUGCUUGUGUUACAGUGUCCCAGUUCACAUGAUGGAUUUUCUACUAUUCUCACUAUCUCCCUAAAGGAAACUCCUUGUAUACUUCUCUAUUUCCUCCAAGACUAACAUAGGAAUUAUUGCAGUUUGAGAGCACUGACUUUAUUAGAGUUGUCCUUCCUGCAAAUGACAGAUUCCUCCUUUUCUAUCCCACAAGUUUGGCCCUUAUCAAAUCCAACAUUGGAAUAUAUAUGCUCCUACUAAUUCUUGAAUGCACGAGUGGAAUACCUAGGUAUUUACUCAAGUUUAGUUUUCUCCACCCUAACUAUCUUGCUUAUCUCCCUCCCUACACUUUGUCCCAUAUUUUGUGAGCAGAAGAACUUUGUUUUCGACAUGUUAAUUUUUUGCCCAGAAAUACUACAGAAAUCGGCCAUGAUAGUGCAGAUGACCUAGCUUUGCUCUGGAGUGGCCUCUGCACAUAGGAAGAAGUUGUCUGCAAACAACAAAUGCGUGAUCCUUGGCCCAUUUCUUGAAGUUCUAAUUCCCUUCCACUUCCUCUCCUGUGCCGCUUAGGAUAUCAUAUGGCUCAACCUUUCCAUACACAAUAUAAAUAAAUAAGGCAAGAGGGGAUCCCCUUGUCUCAGUCCUCUAGAUGGAGUAAACACUUCAAACUUUUCCCUAUUCUAUAGAAUAGAUGUUGCCUCUACUUGAACACAAUUCAUUAUCAGAUUAAUAAGGUUUGGUGGAAACCCUGCCAUUUCCAGUGUUUGUUAAAGGAAAUCCCACCUAAUCCUAUCAUAAGCCUUCUCCAAAUCAACCUUAAUAAUCAUGGCCCCUUUCCUCCCACGUAUCCUUCUCAUUGUGUGCAAAAGCUCCUGGACGAUGUGAUAUUAUUACUCGUUUGACGUCCAGGAAUGAAGCUGGCUUGUUCCAACCCCACCAAUUCCUUUAGUAAAUGCCUCAGUCUUUCAACAAUAAUCUUUGACACAAUCUUGUGGUUCACAUUACAAAGAGAUAUUAGUCUCAAAUGGGCCACUGUCUUAGGGUUUUUCAGCUUUGGUAUAAGAGAAAUAAGUGUGGCAUUCACCCCUGUUGGUAGCUCGCUUUUACUGAAAACCUCUUGGACCCAUCGCACCAAAGAAGUUCCAACUUGCAGCCAACAUCUUUGGUAGAAGCCCACGCAUAUGCCAUCUGGUCCAGGUGCUUUGCACCCCUUCAUAUCAAAUAAGGCCCUCUUUACUUCUUGUUCACUCACUAUAUGCAAUAAAAAAACUCUUCUGCCAAUUGGAGAUAACUUUAAAACCAUUCACCCCUCCAGAACACAAUAUAGGGCCACUCUCCUUAUUAUAAAACUCCUUAAAAUGAUCUAUCACAAUGCUCUUUAUUGUUUCUUUGUCCAUCUGUCAUGUGCCUUCCCUGUAUUUCAAAUUGAGUAUUGUACCUUUCUUCCUUUUAAUAGUAGCAUACAAGUGAAAAAAUCUAAUAUUCCAGUCCCCACAUUUCAGCUAGAAAAUGCGAGACUUUUGUUACCAAAAUUUUUCCUCCUGUUCUAGUAUUUCGUUGUAUUCCCUCACUAGUUCUUUCUCUAACUUCUCCAGAUAAAUUGACUCCCUUCGCUCCAGUGCUCGUUGAAUGCCAGCCAAUCUUUCCAAACAUCUCCCUUUCCACUAAAAAAUAUUUCCGAAGACUUCCUUAUUCCAUUUCUUGAGCCUUUCUGCAAGUGUGCCUAGACUUUUCAAUAAGUUCUCAUCCUUUCUCCAACUUUGUUCUAUUUCCUUCAUGAACCCUUCAUGGGUCAUCCAGGCCAAUUCAAACCGAAAAGGUUUAUGCUCUUUUCUUUAGCAUCCAAUUCUAGCAACAAGGGAUGGUGAUCUGAAUGCACCUGGGUAAGGUGUGUGUCAGCUACUCUUGGAAAAUGAGUUCUCCACCUGUCAUUACAUAUGCCUCUAUUUAGUCUCUUCUUCACUCUUGUCCCCUUCUCUCCUAAGGUUAUUCCAUGUCAAAGCUGGGCCACUGAACCCUAGGUCAAUUAAUUCACAACUACAGAUGCAAUUUAUGAGACUGUUUUCAUGCUUUCCCUUGAACAGCCGUCCACCUCUUUUUUCCUCUGCACUUACCACUUCAUUGAGAUCUCCAAUAAUAAGCCAUGGAAAUUUAAUCUGAGGCCCUAUUAACUUAAAAUAUUUCCACAGCUCUUUACGCAGCUCUUCUUCAGGUGAGGCAUACACUGCGGAUAAUAGCCACUCUUGUUCAGAGUUGCACUUUACCAGUGCAUGUAUAAACUGCCAGUUGGUACUCCAAAUUUCUAUUUCUACUUCAGAGCUACUCCAAAACAUCCAUAUGCCCUCAGAGAAAACUUUUUCUUCCACACAACUUUCCCUAUCAUAACUGAAACUGCUCAGUAUUUUUUCAGCCUUCUCACUACGUGUUCUAGUUUCCAUCAGAAUCAAAAUAUCGGGUCUAUGCUAAAGUUGCAAGUCUUUUAGAUUCCUCCAGAACUGUCAAUUUGCUACUCCCCUGCAGUUCCAAGUCAAGAUUUUUAAACUAACCAUAAUAAUUAUUAAUUGACUUGGUAUCCCUUCUCUUUGUCGGCUAGCUUAGCCUCUCCUAUCUCAGCGUCUUCCGCCCCUGCUCCUUGGCUCUCACCACCCAAGUUUAUUGCUCCUUCCAGUAACGAUAUAGAGGUGCUAACUCUUUCAAAUGAGUCACAUGUUUCUUCUUCUAAUGAACCUUUGAAAGGUCUCCCGGAUCUACAUCCUUUGCUCCUGUGCCUCUCUCUACUACUCCCGAUCGGUCUAGUAUAUCUUCGUAGUCUAUUGGAUCCCUUAGCAUUACUCCGGAUAAGAAGGUGAUGCCUCCCUCAAAAUGUCUCCCACUUUUGGACUCCCUUUCAUGGGUUCUUCACCUCUCUUCAAAAAUACAAGCACUUUGCUAGUUUUUGGGAGCCUAACCUUCAUGGUAAUUUGCUGACCCCUAUGCACCUUUCUAUCGGAACCGUCAAGUUGGUUGUCCUUUCCCUUCACUCCUCCAAUAUUUUUCUUGACACUCUUGAAAACUAUUCCAUGCAGGGGGCUUGGCACGUUGUUGAGCUUCUCCUUAAGUUGUUCCCUUGAAUCCGUUCCAUCUUGGUUAAUGUCCUCAUCCACUACUUCGUUAAGCACUCCAAAUCUGGAACCACUACAAGAAAUUUGGUCAUCAUUGACAAUUGACUAUUGUCAUAGAAAAUGUAAAAAUCCUCACUAAUGUGUUUCAUUGACAACAUUUAAGUCAUCACAAAGUCGUCAGUGAAUCUCUGUCGGUAAAGGUACGUAUUUACAAUAUUAAAUGUCGUCAGUAAAUGUUAUUCGUUAGUGACAACAUUUUCCUCAAUAAUAAAUACAUAUACAGUGACGACAUUUCACCUUAUCAAUGAUGCUCGUGGUAGUGUCAUCAGUAAAACCCUUUUGAUAAUUGCCGUUAGUAUUGAUUGGUUACUCACAACUCUUUUGAGUCAUCACUAAAAAUGGUUCAUUACUGACAACAUUUAUCGUCACUAUAUCCUUUUUGUUAUAUUGUCACUAUGAAGUUUGAUACAAACGAUUGUCCUAAAAGCAACCAAUCCAACAAUACAUCAAAUCAGAACCAUAGCAUCCAUUAUACUACCAAAGGAAUCCAACAAUUCAUCAAAUCAAAAGAACCAUAAAAGUCUUGCUAAUUAAUAGCUAAAAGCUUCCAUUAUGCUACAAAAGACCAAAAUAUAACGUUUAAAUUCAAUAUCAUCCUACAAAUACUACAAUAGAAGUGGUACUGUGUAACCCAAAUUGUUCAUGCAAAAAGCAUCUGAACCCUAAAAGUCAUUAAAACUUCCAAAACACUUCACGAGCCAAAAAAGCAGCUUUAUCUUCAUCUUUCUUGAGUCCACUUAGUAGCUGUGAAUCUUGCACAAAAUGAUACAGUAGCAUUUGUCUGCAUAAAGUAGUAUGACAAUGGAAAGUAACAAGCAUUUUGGAAAGAAAAAAAAAAUCUUAGAUUUACUUAUCACAAACUCAAAUAAAGAUUAGGAACUUAGUAAAGAAAAGAGUAAAGAAGGUGAAGAAUUGUUAUAACAAGAACAAUAUCCCAAAUGAACUCAAAAGUUAGCUAUUAAAGUAUUAGUAAUGUCAGUAACUUAUUUAUUUUCUAUAUGUUCUACUAGAGACAAAGCAAAUAUAUUACCAGCUUUCCAUGAUUUGACUUAUAACAUAUCCUCCUAUGAAGCUUAUAAAGCCAAAAACUAACGAAGGAUUUUUCUCCUCAAUAGUCUCUUAAAAGUAAAUUAUUUAUUAAGGCUUUACACACAUUAAAAAAGCAACAAAAAAAGCUACUAAACAAAAAUCAAAGAUGGCAAAUUGGACUUCACAUUUUUCCUAAUAUCACCCAAACAGGACUACAGAGAAAUUGCUAUGUGAUAAAAAAAAUUGUUACUUAUAAAAUUAGCCAUGGAUAACAUAAACAAGGAUUCGCUGCAAAUUGUUGUGCUGCAAUAACUUGAUUAAGUUCAUUCUUCAACACGUAAAAGGUUAUUUUAAAUUAGCUUACUAUCCAAAAUUAAACCAUUUAUCUAAAGGCCCUCAUUAAGUCAAUUGGGCAGAAAAUUAUGUUUACAAUUCAUAUUGCAAUUGAUUUGUACUAUUACUGACGGGUAUUUUACAUACGUGCAAGCUAAAAAAUACCGAAUUACACCCGUUCACUGCAAGUAUACAGAUCAACUAGUAGUUUAGGGUAUAUAUCGGGUCGAUCCCACAGGGAAGAGUGAACAAUUACCGGUAUUACUAAACCUUCUCUAUUAUUUAGACUAUCAAUAAAUUAUAACACAUUUAACCUACUGAAAUUAUACAAAAUGACAAAUGAAAGCUCCUUAGAUUAUGGUAUCCCUAACUACUCAUGCAAGUGCUAUAUUUGGAUCAUUAAUUACUACAUCUAGGCUAGUUAUGGUGUAAUUUCCUAAUUCACUUGAAUCCUACUUUCGUAGUGAAUCAAUUAUACUUAUAACUAAUCCAUACCUAUUCUCAUGGUUAUGAAAUUAGUUACAAGUUCAUUUCUUCAAUGAAAUUACAUGAAAUUAAUCACCAAAACCCCAUAGGUGCACCUCUACUCUCGUGAGUGUACUCCCCAUGUUUAACACUUAUUGAACUAAUGUUAAAUCUCAAUUUUCAUUGCAGAAAUAACACCUUAGAUAAUCACAAUUAAUGGUACCAGAUUAAUCAUGAUUUCAAGAGCUAAAGUGCUAAAUAACUUGCUCAAAUACUAGCAAUCAAAUAGCCAAAUAAUAAACACUAACAAUCAUAAGAAGUUCAACCAAACCCAAGGCAUAAACUUUAAAAACAAAUAAUAAACAUAAAUUCCAGAACUUGCAUAAUAACCAUAGUUAAGAAUCCAAUACAAAAGAUAAAGAAUUGGAGUAGAGAUAACCCAUGUCACUUGAGCUUCAUCUCCAUCUUCAUCCUAAUCUAGCUAUUAUACAAGAAUGGAUUAACUACACUUACUACACUAUCCUACACUAAGGAAAUGAAAGAACUACAUUUCUGCACUUCAAGUUCUCUCCCGUAUGAUAAUGAAUGAAUGAAUCCCAGACCACCCAAAUGUCUCUGCAUAUAAACUGAUGAAGAGCUCUUCUCCAGUCAAAUUUUGCUGCUAUGAUUCUUCAAAUCUUCUUUUGUUAAGAUAGUCAAAAACAAUGGCUUUUGACUUGGAACCUUGGCUAUAUCUCUUCCUUAUGUCUUCUGAAGCAUGUGCAGCCUACGUUUUCUCUCCAACUCUAGCUGGAAAGUAGUGUGAAGAUGAGAAAAAUGGCUGAGCAAAUUACAGAAAUUCGGCUGCCAUACACGUUUUCACUUUUGACCUCACUUCAACUGCAUUUUUCUCCAUGAUGAAGGCCGAACUGGCUUUUGUGGAAAACACAAAAGUUGUAGCCCUUUGAAUUAGCGUUCCAAUGCUUCAAGAAUCAUCUAAUUUGGAGAUCGACGGACGGAGAUAUGGUCAAAAUACCAUAGACUGGUCAAUUCUGGGCUUCAGCUUUCGACCAUCCAGAUAAGUUUCUGUGUUUCGACCUUUUGACCAAGAAAAUGGCUGAAUUGGACUUUGAUAUCUUCAUACCAAAUGUCGAUAUAUCUCUUAGCUUCAAAAUAGUACCAAGAUCACCUUGAUCCGAUCAUUGUAGCUCCUGAUAUAGUCAAAAUACGAAAAUGUGUCUGAGUUGUCAAAGCUGAUAUUUCUUGAUUCAAAUUGCAUUUCUUCUUUUACACUUCAUAUUUUAUUUUCACCACUUUAAUCCAUUUUCAAUCCUCCAAAUAUCUUCUCAAUAUACUUCAUUGAUGAUUGAAUCGUUAAACCUACAAAAUAUGAAGUUUUUACCAUAAAAAUCCAUAAAAUGCAAUGUUUAGCCACUUUAACAUAAAAUGUAGUUUUUUACCAAAACCUUAGUUAUUUUAAUUAUAAAACUAAAUAAUCAAACCACAAUUAACUAAUAAAACACACUAAAAAUACGUAAAAUAAACUCUUAUCAAAUACCCCCACACUUGAACCAUUGCUUGUCCUCAAGCAAUAAAAAAAAAUACAAACCAACAAUGAUCCAAAAUUUGAAAAUAAACAUAUGUAGCAUUUCAACUUCAUUUCCUCAAAACGAAGUAAAUAACUAUUAUGCAAUUAUUCAAUUAAGUUCAAGUACUCAUAAUAUCAAAUAAAAGAGAGCUAAUUAUACCGUCAUUAUAACAAAUUUAAUUCAAUUUCUCAUUCUUACUUAAUUUCAUAUGCAAGUAACUCAUAUGGUCAAUAAUAUGCUUCCUAAACCCAUGAUCAUCUUCUUAUUUAACUUAAAGAGGGAUUUAUUUUUAUAGUUAAAUAUUACUUAAGUUGUGAAAGUAUCUUUUUACGCGAGGAUCGACAUUUUUAGAUGAAGAUCACCGGUUACUCAACACUUCACAUACUCAAAUUGCUUUGUAUACUCUUAAUUCAAGUACCUUUUUACGCGAAUGUCGAUAUUUGUAGAUGCCAACCCCCGGUUACUCGGUACGAGAAUCAUUGGAGUAGAACAAUUUUUAUUUAUUUUCUUUUCUCUUAUGUUUUUUUUUUCUUCUCUUUUUCUUCAUUUUUUCAUUUUUCAUCAUUUUUUAUUUUAUUUUAUUUUUUUUUUAGUAAAGAUAAUAACAUUCCCUUGAGAGCAUAAUCAUGAGAAGAGUAUUGCAAUUAUUGACCAUAUUUAUCACUUAACUUAUAAAAUCAAAUAAAGCGAAGAAAUUUCAUCAAAUAUGCAAAAAAAUAUAGGCAUAAUUUUCUCCACUUUAAAAGAUAUACUUUCCUACAAAUGCAAAAAUUAUAAUCACAUAAUAGUCAUUUCCAAGUUAAAUGAUAAAAGAAGUUUCCAAAUCACAUAUAUUUAUCUCAAAUGUAGAAGAAAUUUGAACUACUAAUGGUAUGAAACUUGUUACCCCUUUGGAUAAAAUCGAAAAAAAUUGAAACUUUUUUUGGGGCAAGUUUGCAAUUUUGGACAAGAUUGUAGAAAAUUUUGAAUUUUAACACAAGUCCAAUAUUUGCAACUAAUAAUUCAAUCACAUACAAUGUAUAUAUAUAAUCUCAAUUCUUCCCCCCACACUUAACAUGCACAUUGUCCUCAAUGUGUGAAAAGGAAAAUCAAGAUAAAGAAAGUAAUACUCCCCUAUGAUGUGAUUGAAUAUGAAGCUUCAAGGUACGUUGUUCGCCUAUCUUCAUCGCUUCAUGAGUUCCAUUUGGUAACCAUUAGUGAUAUAAACCUAAAAAUGGAAAAUGAGAAACAAAAGUGAUAACAAAGGCUUAAUAAACAUAUAACGGCGAUCCGCAAUUCCUAAGCCCUUGUGGUGGUGAUGUACCUAUAGAAAAUACACAAUAAGCAACUCAAGGUACAAGAAAAUAUAUGAGGAAAAGAAGAAAAAGAGAAUCAAGAAAACUGCAUUUUUUUUUUUUAAAAAAUGUGCUCAGAAAACGCGGCUCAAUAAAACGCGCCUAAAGCUGCGUUUUGUGAAAUCACGUUUCUUCACAAAAUUUGCAGCAUAGAAAACGCGACUACAUGAGAAAACGCGAGUUUAAGUCGCGUAUUUGAAGGCGCGUUUCUGGUUUCUGAACAGGCUGGAAAACGCGACUUUGUAGAAAACGCGACUUCAUCGCGCGUUUCGAAGCGCGUUUUCUUCAGUGAGGGCGCAGAAUUAGAAACGCGCUUAUGGAAAACGCGAUUCUAAGGCGCGUUUUCAGCCCAAAUACGUUUUCUUCUGCGAAAUUUUUGCAGAAAGCCAACUUUGAAAAAUUACCAUUGGUACCUCAAUCACUCAAAAUGCAUCAUAGAUCAUUUGUUUGCUAAAAUUCUCAAUGCAUGCACAUGUAAAAUGAUCAAAACAUGCAUUUUAACCCCUUGUAACGAAUCAAAAACAACAAUUACUCAAAUCGAGGGGUUGAGUUCCUUGAUCAAAUUUCGUCUUUUUCACCUCAUUUGGUCACUUUUGCUUUCAUUUCCGAUACCUAUAAAUGAAAAAUAAUGAAAUAACUCAAACACAUACUCCAAACAUAAAAUCACACAAAAAUAACAUAAAUAGCCAAAACAUUGGGUUGCCUCCCAAUAAGCGCUUUUAUUUAUAGUCGUUGGCUCGACUAUUGAACCUCAUUUUUCAAGGAGGUUUGGUUAAAGAAUAAUCCACCAUUUUAGGUCGUGGUGGAUCAUUAAAAGGUGACUUUAUAGUAAAAGUCACAUGUUCUAAUGAUGUGAGAAAUGAAAGUGACUUACCUAUUCCAAGUGUUUCAUAGAUAUUACCUUGAAUAUAUACCACUUGAGAACUUACCAAAGGAAAUGUCAUGAGAGUAUCUUGGGCAGCAAUACCCUUAGAACCUAUACUUUCAAUGCACUCCUCAAGAGGGAUGAAAAAUGAGUCAUUAAAACUCACCUCUUGAGGUUCAAAGUUAGUUCCAAAGAUAUUAUCAUGUGAAAUGGACAUUUGCUCAUUGAAACACAAUUGAGAUUCAUCAUUUUCAUCAAAAUGCAAUCCAUUUUCACAUACAACAUUCCUACCAUUCAUGCUAGGAUCAUUUUGCAAUUUAUUAGACGAAAUAACUUCACACAAUGCACUCAAUUGCUCAUGUAUUCUACCAAAGUGAGAAGCUAAUUCAUCUAUUCUUUCCUCAAUCCUAUCAAAACGGUCAGAAGUUGCAUUAGCUAAUUUUUCUAAAGCUAACUCCCAAGAUGGCUUAGAAUCAUUAGCUACCAUUUCAAUUGCCAACUCCCAAGAUGGUUUUGAUUCAUAUUGGACACAUUCAGGUUGGUAAUCGUAAAAAUAUGAAGAAUUACUAUAAGUAAAUUGAUUAUCCCAACCAUAAGCAGGAGAAUUGCUCCAAUUAGCACUAUAUUGAUCAAAACAAGGAUUGUAAUGCUCUAAUUCAUCAUAAUAAUCCACAUUUUGUGCUUGCAUACAUGUAUUAGUAGCAUGAUAACCUCCACACAAGUCACAAAUCACAUGAUAAGAAUUAAAAGCAUUAACAUUCCUCCCUUGCUCAAUUUCAUGCUUAAUUGUGUCCAUUUGAACUUGUAACAUCAUAACAUCAAAUUUAGCCUUUAAGCACCUUAAACCAUCUUCAAAAACAUAUCUUCAGUAAAUUCUUGGUUACCUCUGUUGAAGGAGCUUUGCACUUGGUAACCAUCCAUUGCCAAACUUCCAUUUCUCAAGCAUUGUCCUCCAAAUUGACCUACCCUCCUCAUUACCUAAAAUUACUUUUAAACAAUCUCAAAAGUAAGAUUAGUUAAGAAGGAUAGAUUCCAAGACACAAACUAAAACAGAAAAAAAAAUAAAAGUUGACUCAAAAAAAUGACAUAAAACACAUAAGAUACAGCAAAAACAACAAAAAUAAGAAAAAUUGUCUAAAUUAAUAAAGUUGCUCUUCACACCGAUAUUGCCAAAUCUUCCCCGGCAACGGCGCCAAAAACUUGACGGGUAUUUUACAUACGUGCAAGCUAAAAAAUACCGAAUUACACCCGUUCACUGCAAGUAUACAGAUCAACUAGUAGUUUAGGGUAUAUAUCGGGUCGAUCCCACAGGGAAGAGUGAACAAUUACCGGUAUUACUAAACCUUCUCUAUUAUUUAGACUAUCAAUAAAUUAUAACACAUUUAACCUACUGAAAUUAUACAAAAUGACAAAUGAAAGCUCCUUAGAUUAUGGUAUCCCUAACUACUCAUGCAAGUGCUAUAUUUGGAUCAUUAAUUACUACAUCUAGGCUAGUUAUGGUGUAAUUUCCUAAUUCACUUGAAUCCUACUUUCGUAGUGAAUCAAUUAUACUUAUAACUAAUCCAUACCUAUUCUCAUGGUUAUGAAAUUAGUUACAAGUUCAUUUCUUCAAUGAAAUUACAUGAAAUUAAUCACCAAAACCCCAUAGGUGCACCUCUACUCUCGUGAGUGUACUCCCCAUGUUUAACACUUAUUGAACUAAUGUUAAAUCUCAAUUUUCAUUGCAGAAAUAACACCUUAGAUAAUCACAAUUAAUGGUACCAGAUUAAUCAUGAUUUCAAGAGCUAAAGUGCUAAAUAACUUGCUCAAAUACUAGCAAUCAAAUAGCCAAAUAAUAAACACUAACAAUCAUAGGAAGUUCAACCAAACCCAAGGCAUAAACUUUAAAAACAAAUAAUAAACAUAAAUUCCAGAACUUGCAUAAUAACCAUAGUUAAGAAUCCAAUACAAAAGAUAAAGAAUUGGAGUAGAGAUAACCCAUGUCACUUGAGCUUCAUCUCCAUCUUCAUCCUAAUCUAGCUAUUAUACAAGAAUGGAUUAACUACACUUACUACACUAUCCUACACUAAGGAAAUGAAAGAACUACAUUUCUGCACUUCAAGUUCUCUCCCGUAUGAUAAUGAAUGAAUGAAUCCCAGACCACCCAAAUGUCUCUGCAUAUAAACUGAUGAAGAGCUCUUCUCCAGUCAAAUUUUGCUGCUAUGAUUCUUCAAAUCUUCUUUUGUUAAGAUAGUCAAAAACAAUGGCUUUUGACUUGGAACCUUGGCUAUAUCUCUUCCUUAUGUCUUCUGAAGCAUGUGCAGCCUACGGUUUCUCUCCAACUCUAGCUGGAAAGUAGUGUGAAGAUGAGAAAAAUGGCUGAGCAAAUUACAGAAAUUCGGCUGCCAUACACGUUUUCACUUUUGAUGUCACUUCAACUGCAUUUUUCUCCAUGAUGAAGGCCGAACUGGCUUUUGUGGAAAACACAAAAGUUGUAGCCCUUUGAAUUAACGUUCCAAUGCUUCAAGAAUCAUCUAAUUUGGAGAUCGACGGACGGAGAUAUGGUCAAAAUACCAUAGACUGGUCAAUUCUGGGCUUCAGCUUUCGACCAUCCAGAUAAGUUUCUGUGUUUCGACCUUUUGACCAAGAAAAUGGCUGAAUUGGACUUUGAUGUCUUCAUACCAAAUGUCGAUAUAUCUCUUAGCUUCAAAAUAGUACCAAGAUCACCUUGAUCCGAUCAUUGUAGCUCCUGAUAUAGUCAAAAUACGAAAAUGUGUUUGAGUUGUCAAAGCUGAUAUUUCUUGAUUCAAAUUGCAUUUCUUCUUUUACACUUCAUAUUUUAUUUUCACCACUUUAAUCCAUUUUCAAUCCUCCAAAUAUCUUCUCAAUAUACUUCAUUGAUGAUUGAAUCAUUAAACCUACAAAAUAUGAAGUUUUUACCAUAAAAAUCCAUAAAAUGCAAUGUUUAGCCACUUUAACAUAAAAUGUAGUUUUUUACCAAAACCUUAGUUAUUUUAAUUAUAAAACUAAAUAAUCAAACCACAAUUAACUAAUAAAACACACUAAAAAUACGUAAAAUAAACUCUUAUCAAUUACAAAUCUACCAUAUUAAAAGUAUGAUCAGAAAAAGGCUUUACCAUGCAUUACGAGCUCAUUGCCUAGCUUUACCAAAUAAGUUGCUGGAUAGAUUGCACAAUUUUUUUAGAAAUUAAGAGUAAAAAAGUCAUCUAAUAUCACCAAGUGCAUACAUUUGCCUCUAGAGCUUAUAGUGGUGUGGUUUUGUUAAUAAUUUGAUGCGUUCUAAAAUAGAUAGUAUUGAACUAUAUUAACUAUAUCUUUAUGGUUGUGGUUGUUUCUACUUUUAGUUUCAGUUGCCUGUGUUCUUGAACCUGCUUUUUACUAGGAAUGUUUCCUGAAAUGGCUUUUGUCUAGUACUUCUUAUUUGUGCUUAGUUUAAUCUAUCAAAAUCAUGGCAUGUCCUGGUACCAAUACUCUUUGCUCUUCAUGGUAUUUUGCAGGCCUUGUCCAUAAGUCACCCACUGACUGAAGCUAAAUUUGCAGCAGAAAAUGGACAAGUUAAUUGCAGAGAAUUACUCAACUAGCAAUCCAAUCUAUACAAUAAACUGGUGGAUUAAUUGAUUAUGUAGAGGUCAGGCAUCAUACGUAAUUAUUCUCAUAUUUGCAUAUUUAACUCUAGUAUUCAUGUUUGAAUUAAUUAAUAAUACAUCACUACAAAUACUUGCCCUUUUUUAAGCUUGAUAUACAAGUAACAGACUAAUGUAGUUUAAGCAGAAAUCUUGUAUGAAGUCUAUACUACAAUGUGGCUUUUCUAUGAAAAUUCUGUUCAAAACUGUAUUUACAAUAAAUAAAUAGAUAGCCAUUCUAGUUGCCAUUUAGCAUGUAUCACUUUAUUCUGGUAUGGACUUGUAACAAAUUAACUUUGCUUUCCUAAGACUAAAAAGUUUCCUAAUAGUUAGGUGAAAAGCUAUUGAACUGAUAAGCUCUCAAUUAAUUGAAUGAAAAAUAAGAUAAAGAUGAAUUUUUCACCACUUAGAGUAUGCAAAGGUGAACUCCAAGACCCACCUAUAAGGCACAACUAUGUAUGUAUCUAUCUAUACAGUCAUGUUAUCUUAAACUUCCAUGUCUCAUUCUUAAGUGACCCAAUCUGGGUUGGUUAAUUAUCCACAGUGAAAUUAUAGCAGCCCUAUAUAUCAAUCUCAAAUAACAAGCCAAACUCCUAGUAGGUAACUAGUAAGUUGAACUAACUUGUGAAAGCUUUUAACUGGCUUUCCAUUUUAUGUUAAUAUGCUCAAGCUUUUCUUGUGUCAAGGCACACAAGUUAAGACCCAACUAAAAUGUGACUAAUUCCAUGUUAGCUCCGCUAUUUUCCUAUUGUCAAGACUAUUUCAAGUGAUUCUUUUAAGUUCAUAAGACUCCAGAUGAAUCAGCAGACUAUCAUGAUCACUUAAUAUUGUUUGGACAGCCAUAGGUCUAUAGCAAUUGCCUUGACUUGUAUCAUUUCCAACAUCUUUUAAGUGAAGUGACAUAAUGCAGUAAUAGGAACACAAAGGACUGGUACGGUAGACAUAAUGCAAAUUGACCUAACUAUUAAGUGAAGUGACAAAUUUGACUAUAUAUUUACAUGUUUAGAACAAUAGUAGGAACACAAAGGACUGGUAUGGUAAUGGUUGAAGGUAGUAUCUCAAAGCCCAGCAUCAAAUCCAUCUUACAAAAAUCUAUUUUUUUUCCUUUUUUUUUCUUAAUGAGAUCCGUUUUUGGGAAAUAGAAAAAAUUAACACUCCAAACCAAACAAAGAAGAAACAAGGCCAUACACACUUCGGUAAUGUGAAUGAGAAAGCACACUCCAACUAGAUAAAUGGUUCAUUGGUGAAAUUCCCAUUACAGUUAACCAAAUUUCAACGAAACAAAAAAUAUUUUUGAUGGUACAAAAUUUUUUACCAAACUUUUACCUAGAUCUUGGGCUACUAAUCCACUUAAUUAAAUCCCCAAUCACUAUUUCUCAUUUCCCUCUUAACCCAACACCAUUCUACCAACUAGUUUCCUCGCAUGCAACCAUCUACUUCCAAAAAAUUCACAAAAUCACCUCCUAAUUCUCUUCCAUUCCCACUAACACAAACAACUGAAAUAUUAAAUUUGCCCUCCUAGACCCAUCACAAACCUGUAUGUACCCACAAUCGAAUCUCUCUAAAGCCCCUUGUCUUGUAUAACAAAAAAUUUGGGAAAUAUUUUAGGAGGAAAAAUAGAGAGGGCGUACCUUCUAUUGUAGAGCGUUGGUGGUGGAGGAAGUCUUCAAUUCAGCACUACAGAGCCAUAAUCAAUCGAUAGAUAUGAGGAGGAGAAGUUCUACUUUGUUUGGCAAAGACGAAGAGACAAAGAGGGAGAAACUCUAUUUUGGUUUGGGAGUAUAGUGUCUAGUGAAAGAGUACUAGGAGCCAAUCUUGAUUUCUAAGUGUUUUAUGUACACCCGUGCCUCUUCUUUGUUUACUCACUUUUACUAAAAUUUCAAUUUCUUAGCUUCCCCCCUUUCUUGUUUGGUUGCAAAAUUUCAAACAAAGUUUUUUAGUUUUACUUUUUAGUUGAAGUAUAAUUUUAGUAAUACAUUAUUAAUUGUUACUUGUUUAUGUUUUUGUGAAACUAUUCAUAAAGGGUGAGAAAUUUGUUGCACUAAUACCAAUGGUAAAUGUACAUUUUUCUACUUCAAAUAGUUGACCUUUUCAUGAUGUCAAAUAGCUCAUCCAGUGUUAAUAUUGAUAUCAUUGUCUUGAAAUUAUGAAACUAAAUCACUACAACUUAUUUAUGUUUCUUUCAUUAUUUUAGCCUAAUAGUACAGUAGUAUUUUUCAAUUAUUUUACAUUGAGAAGCACGAAUUUUAAUGGCUAUUUUUGCUUUAAAUUAUUGUACUAGUAUUCAUUUGCAAGACUUGGUUCUUAGUAGUUACAAAAUUCAUUUUAUUAAGUGACAGAAUAAGUCGUCACUAACGACUUCCAUUAUUAUCACUAACAACAAUGGACAUGUUGUCAAAGAAAGGAGAAUUAUUACUGAUGACAUUUAAAAAGUUGCCACUGACGUACAUGCACACAUUCUAGUUGGAGUCCAAUUGUGAUGACAAUUCAAGGUCAUCACUAGUGCCUUUGCUUCUUUUAGUCAAUUGUGACAACUUUUUGUGUUGUGGCUAAUGUGCCCCAUUUUGUGAUGACAAAUUUUGUCACUAGAAAAUGUUGUCACUAAUAACCAAAUUUCUUGUAGUGAACCUAGAUUCCCUUGCACAUUUGCCCAUGCCACUAUAUUUGGCCCCACAUUCUCUAUUGGACUUUUUCCCUUCCUAUUUAGGUCCCCAUUAAUUCAUCCUAUUGUUGUACUUCAUGUUGAAAGUUUGUACCUGGUAUCGGCUGGGCUGUCCCAAUCUUAGACCUGUUGUCAACUCUCGGCCUUCUCUUACUUGCUACCAUCCAUGGCCUGUAAGGCUUGCUCUCUGCUUCCUCUUCCUUCUUUUCUCUUUCCCUUCUCCUCUCUUCCAAGAUUUCACCAGAAUCCUCCUUCACCCUUUGACGGUUAAUUGCUACAUGCCCAUAUCUACCGCACUCAAAACAAAUUGCUUCUCGCCCCUCAUACUCCACUGCCUGGAGCUCCCUAUCUACCCAGACAAAUGGCACUAGUGCCUACUUCAAGUCCACUUCUAUGCACAACCGCGCAUAUUUACCUCUUGUAGCAGAUAUGGUCUGAUGGUCCAUCUUUAUAGCUUUUCCAAGCGCAUUACCUAUCCGUAAUAAGAAUGCCUGAUUAAUACUCAACUGCUAGACUAGGAAGCCUAACCCACACUAAUGUGGUUUUGAUGUCUAUAUUCGUUGGUCGAAAUCUCGAUCUCUAUUUGCUAAUAGUUAUAUAGUGCCCUUGUACUGUCCAUGGCCCCUCUUCUAGCACUCGCUAGUAAUCGGCUUUGUUCCUGAAGUGGGAGAGAAAGAAUCCAUUCUCCAGAUUUAGUAAUUCAAAAUCUUCUUGCAACACCCACACUUUACUUAACCUGUUUUCUAACACUUUAAAGCCUAACCAUCACCUUAAAACUUUAAUCAGAAGGCUUCUCCUCCAUAGCCUCCAGAAUUUCAGGAUUUCUUCCUGCUUGGAAUCAACUCUAGGAAAUUUUGAGUCCUUGAUUUCAUCAUCUUUCUUCAAAUCAAGAUCCAAAAGUUGUGGAUCCACCUCAAAAUCCACUUCUUCUCCUUUCUCAUCGUAGAACUCCCCUGAUGGCUUCCCUCCUUUGAUUGUUUCCAAGAAUGACUUCCCCUCCCCCCAGAACCCUGUUCCUGGAUUGAGGCUUUGCAUAUGAUAUCCUAUUUGAUCCCUCUACCUGUGGCAAUAAGGGAUGCGAUUUGCCACUAGCUCCCUUGUAGAUCGCCAUUUAAAUUUCUUCUGCCCCCUCCUUAGGAUGUCCUCUUCCUGUUCAGAAUUCAGAUCUUUAUUUUGAGUCAUGUUCACUACCAAGUUUCACUUCACAAGUUGAUCUGAAUUUAUUGCUUUUUCAAUUCUUUGAGACGUCUUACUAUUUAAUUACUAGUACCAAAUGUAUAGUGUUUCAACAAUAGGAUGUCAAUAUUUAUUUAUUGUAGUAGGGUUUUCCUAGCCUCCUAGCUGGUUGACAAUAAUUAAAGACAUUAAUUUAGUUGAUUUUGAUUGUCACUAAAAUGAUAACACAUCUUUGCAUUUUCAUGAUCAUUACCACCCAUCUUUUUUACUUGUCUUACGUUAUAAUUGUAAUACCCCAAGUUCACGAGUUGGCCCAAUUAAUUUUUGGGUGAAACCAUGAGUUCAAAAUGGUUAGUCCAAGUUAUUUAAUAGUUUAUGGGUCCAAGCAUAAAUACUAUUCCUUUUUUCUUAUCCCACCCGAUAUAAGACUUCUUUUGGAGCAUCACAUUCUCCUUUCUUAAGUACUUUGCAUCCUUGUAAAACCCGUUAUUCACCCAUGCCCUCACGUAAGGAUUUUUCUCACAAAAUUCGUCAUAACACCACUAGUCCCAAACUCACCUCACACAAAAUUUGCUCUAAUACCAUUUAUAACGUCUUGAAUGGGCUCUAGAGAUAAACCUCAUCUAAUGUGAUACUUAGUUUCUUGCUCCUUUACGUAAUCAAAAUUAUAACAUUAUUGGUCCCAAAUUCACCCACACGCAAAAUUUGCUCUGAUAUCAGAUAUAACGCCCUGGGAUAGACUUGCCCCCUCACCGUGAAGUUUGCCCUAAAUGCCUCGUCUGCGUCGUGGCACUUAACAAUAACACCACUAGUUCCAAGUCACUUCUACGUAAAAUUUGCUCUGAUAUCAUUUGUAACGCCCCGAGUUAGGCUCACCCCCACGCAAAGUUUAUUACCUUGACCCACAUGAAGUUUACUCUGAACUAUUUGUAAUGCCCUGGUCAGACUCAAAUUUACUUUGAACUGUUUGUUAAUGCCCUAGGUCAAACUCACCCCCAUGCGAAAUUUGUUCUAAUAUCAUUUGUAACUCCUCGGAUCUAUAGACUAUUUUUUUUGUCAUUUGUCACUUAUCAAUGCUACUCCUACUUUUAUUCUAGUCUAAUUCUACAGGGAAACCGACAAGUGAAUCACUAUUAGACUAGACAGGUCCACUAUGCACUUAUAUAAAUUUGAGGAAACCACAUAUUGAGAACUAAACCCUUGACCUCCCAUCCCACAAAGACUUAUUGUGGCAAGUCUUUGGUGGUGGCCAACAACCCAAAUGACUAUUGUUUCCUCAAAUCUACAGACCAGCCUAAAUAACUUUUAAGUGAAAUCAUGAGUUCAAAAUACUUAAUUCAAACUAUCUAAUAGUUCAUAGGCCCAAGCAUAUAUACCAUUCCUUUUCUCUUAUUCCAAUAAUAAUACUAUUGUAUAUUUUUUUACCAAGCAAAAGAACAGAUCCAUCAUUCAAUCAGCAACAAGAUUUUACGCUAGAUUGAUUGGCUUGGUUUUCCUUCACUUGUUUAUGAAGUUGCCAACAUUAUUGGAAGGAGGUUUGAACAGUAGUUUUGAUUUGUUUUUCCUACAGCUGGAUUUGUUUUCUGCUAGAGGUGGCAAUUAUCUCACUUAGUGAACUGUGGUCGACAAAAUAUCCAACACUAUUCAAGUAACACUUUUGCAAGUCAAAUCAUAUAUUGUCUCUCAUAAGGUUACAAAAUUCUAUCCAGUUGCCUGGGACAUCAGACACACACACACACACAUAUAAAUAUAUAAAUAUAUAUAUUGUUAGGAAAUUGAUUUAAUUUCUUUUAGGCAGGUUUCUUAAUUUGUGUGGAAGUAACUAGUUUUCUAAUUGGUUUUAGUUACUUGAAGUAGUAACUAAGGAAUUUUCUAUUUUGUUUAGGAUUUAGAAGUUAUUUCCUAUUCUGUAUAAAUCUAGGAAUUAGCAUUGAUAUUUUGUUGUUAUUUGGAUUUUGGUCAAAUAAUAUUCUCUAGAAAUAGGUGGGUUGACAUAUUACAACGAGAUACAUAAGGGACACACAAAAGCAUACAAGAGCGACAUGUAGCCUUAUACAUUUGGUGUGAGAGAGGGUUCUUGGGAGAUGAAAGAUGGUAUACAAGGGUUGCGUUUGGUUUCAAAUUGUAUUCUUGUAUAGGGUUUUCCUCUCAUAAAAAAAAGCGAAUUUUUCUCCAUGGACAUAAACUCAAUGAUGGAGUCAAAUUAUAUUAAAUUUUGUGUGUCAUUUAUCUUUCAUGCUUGUGACUUGUUUGUCAUUAAAUUAUUAUGUACUUGAUAUAUCAACAGUUAUUUGUUCCGCCCUUGAAUCCUAGCAAGUGGUAUUAGAGUUUGGUUGCGAAACUGGACUGCUCACAAAUACUUGAAUCCCAACAAACUAGUAUCAGAACAGGAUUUAUGGUUGGAUUCUAGUUAGCUAUUGAGAUCAAGUGGAUUGAUGGUUAUUACCAAUUGAAUAAUUUAAUGGAUAGUAUCCUUAUUUCAAAAGUUUGGUAAAAAGUAUUGAAGGUGAAGGAUAGAAAGUCGAAAAAUAUGGGAUACUUGACGGUGAAUUUAGGCAGGUGAUUCAAGAGUCAAGGAGAAAGGUGGAGUCCAAUGUUGAUUUUGAAUGUGAAUCGGUGGAGACGUUCUCACAAUUUCAUUCAGGUGAAUUUUAGAUUUCAAUUAUAUUCUUUAGGUAGUGUGGCAUAUGCCUUGAAGAAACAAAGAAAUCUAAUUUCCAAAUGCCAGAAAACUCUAAUGGCAACGAGUUUUACAUUCAGAUGGAGUUUUGAAAAUCACACAUGACUAGACAGCCCUAAAAAUAGAAAGAAGUAUGAUGAUUUUACCACUUGCUUACCUCAAUAGUUAGGAAAUAGAGCUCACAGAAGGGAAUCUCGAGUUGCAAGUGGUGGUGAGAAGAAAUCCUAUAAAGGGAGAUGGUGAAUUGAGGCACAUUCUCGCGAGUCAACUGAAGAUUGGAUUCAAGGUAACUACACAUGUUCAUUUUUCGAUUAAAUCAAUUUGGUAUCAAGACUUUAUUGAUUUGGAUGUGUAGUUCAGAACUAUAUUAUUUUGCAGUUGAAAACAAGUGGUUGUUAAAAGAAAUAUUCACCAAGAUGGAGAUUUAUUAGAAAAUUGACUUAAUUUGUUUCAUGCAGGUUUUUUAAUUUGAGUGGAAGUAACUAGUUUUCUAAUUGGUUUUAGUUACUUGAAAUAGUAGUCAAGAAAUUUUCUAUUUUGUUUAGAAUUUAGAAGUAAUUUCCUAGUUUGUACAAAUCUAGGAAUUAGCACUAGUUUCCUGUUGUUAUUUGGGUUUUGACCAAAUAAUAUUCUCUAUAAAUAGGUGGGUUGACAUACUACAAAGUGACACACAAGAGCGACGUGUAGUCUUAUAAAUGGGGUGUGAGAGAGGAUUCUUAGAAAAAUAAGAGAUGGUCUAUAAGGGUUAGGUUUGGGUUCAAGUUGUAUUCUUAUAUAGGAUUUUCCUCUCAUAAUAAAGAACGGGUUUCUCUCCGUGGACGUAGGUUCAGUGAUAGAGCUAAACCACGUUAAAUUUUGUGUGUCAUUUAUCUUUCAUGCUUGUACCUUAUUUGUCAUUAAAUUAUUGUGUACUUGAUAUAUCAAUAGUUGUUUGUUACACGUUUAGAUCCUAACACACACACACACACACACACACACAUAUAUAUAUAUAUAUAUAUAUUCUCAAUAAACUAUCAGAAUCAUUUUGAAAUUACUCUUAAAUUUGUGCCCAAAGUUCUAUAUUAAAAAGUAUUUAAUUUGUAGUUUGCACCUAUUUAACUAUUGAACCAUAAAUCCUUUUAGCUAGAAAACCAAUACCUGAACUAACCUUUUACUCCAUGCCAAUAAUGAAAGAAAUUCAACUCGAAAGAAAGGGAAAUUAUAAACAAUAAAAGCAUGUAAUUUAUUUAUAUACAGAGAUUUUAAGAUCAAAAUCAAAUCACUCAAUUUUCUCGGUUAAUCAAGUUAAAGUUUUAACAUCCAAAUGAAACAAUAUUGUCAAGUGUAUAUACGUGAUAGAAAGGGGGAGUAAUUGAUUGGGUGGUUCAGGAAAAAAAAUGUAAAUAAGAGGUUUUGGGUUCGAACCCUCCCGCUUACACUUAAAAAAAAUUAAAAAAAUACAUGAUACAAAAGGUAUUUAUCCAGCAUUUCCUGAAUAUUACAUUCCAAAUGGAAAUCUAACAUUGGAGUUUGAGCCAUGUAAUUACUCCAUGAGUUACUCUAUGAUUAAUUUGUUGUAAUUUGGUUACUAGAAAAGGAGUGUGCUUGGAGAGUAAAAUUAUUUCAAAUAAUAUUUUACUUACCUUAUAAAUAUAAUUUUUAAUUAAUUUUUAUUUUUAAUUAUUUUUUUAUUUUAGAUACUCCACAUCCUAGAAAGUACUACAAUAAGUAUUUCAAAUAAUAGUUCCAUACUGAAGGUUUCUUCAAGUGAUGGCAAAAGUUUGAAUGAGGACCAAAAAUGAGGUUUUCUUUUUUAUUUCUUGUUUCAGGUAAAUUCCCAAAGAGACAGUUUUACUUCCUCCCCCGAAAUAAUAAGGAAGUUCUCAAUUAGCCGGCAACAAUUCAAGGAGUCGUCCGGUGAAGGUACAUGGUCAAAAAAAAUCAAGAAAGCAGCCACUUGACAGCGAAGGCCACACAUUUCUAUGACAAAACCUGGAUUGAACCCACAACAACUGACUGGAAAGUUCUACAGUACCACAAUAAGUGCCGGUUUGGUUCUUUUGCCCUUGUUUAAUUUUUUUAAUAAGGUUAUAAUACCCUUAAAAUUGCAGGAUCUAUGCUAACAGAUUACAACAAACAAGAUUGUAAAAAUUCCAUAAAUGAUGGAAUUAACUCUAACAUAUCCCUAAACCAAAUGCACAACUGUAAAUCAUCACUCGGCCAACUUCAGUAGUUAGGGAAAGGCUAACAGAUUACAACAAACAAGAUUGUAAAAAUUCCAUAAAUGAUGGAAUUAACUCUAAUGUAUCCCGAAACCAAAUGCACAACAGGAAACCACUUUGCCAACUUCAAUAGUUAGGAAAAGACCCUUAGAGUUUUCUCCAGUGUCAGAUUUAAGGUUUGAAUUUUGAGUCUUACAACUAGGAGUGGAAGGGUGAGGGGAAGAAUGGAAAUAAAAGGGUUAACAAAAAAGAAAAACAAAAGUGAGAAGUAAAACUUUAACUUUUGUUUUACCAGUUGAAGAAAUCCUUGUUGGCUAAUUCCUUUUCUUUGUUUAAGUUUAGAUUGAGUACCCUUUAACUCAUUUUCAUCCGCUUCCCGAAUCAACAAUUUAUUAUAGUAUAUGAGCAACAUUCUUGCAGAUGCGCUAUUAAGCCAAUACUGGUAAUAGCAGACCAAAUAAUGGCCGGAAGAAGAAAAGGGAACUAUCAUGUCUUCAGGUUCAAGAAUAACGCUUUGAAAUACUCUACGUGGAAGUGGUGUAUUCCAAAUUGUGAUUAGUACUUUUUACCAAUUAAUUGCUUGUUAACUAUCGUUUUAAACCAACGAAGAACCUUGUUGUGAAGAGAAAAUUAGCCGGAAAAUGUUGCUUAUAUUUAUCAAUUUCUGUUUUUGCUUAAUGACAUUAAUUUUUUUAUGUAUUAAAUUCUGACUGCUUAAAUCUAUCUUUCUAGAGGGUAUGAUUUCCCCUGCUUUUCUUUCGUUUUCACUUCUUUCCUAUAUCCAUCAAUACAAGCAGAGGCUGAAAUCUUGGAAAUACUAAUUUUGAAAUUCUUUUGGGUGAAAAGAAAAAAUAUAAAUAACCAGAUUUGCUAAAAUUAGACAACUAAAUGCUUCAGAAUUCGUUUGAAAUUGAUCUUAUUAAGGUGUAUGUGUUUGAAAGGAAUAGUAAGUGUUGAUAAAAUUGGGUAUCUUUUGAGGACGAUAAUGACUUCUUACUUUCAUCAGAUUCUAUUCUUUUUUUUUAAAAAAAAAAAGACUGUGUAAAGGGUUAGGUGGCCACUAAGUCAAAGCGCUGUGGUUAUCACAUUUUGUCACUAUCACAAUACUUCCAAGUCUGUACUCAUGAGAUAUAAAACCAUGGCAACUUGGCCAAUGACUUUAAAACUCUCUUGUACACUAGUUCGGGGCUUAAAUCCCGCCUAAUGCAUCACAAGAAAACAUUGUGCUUCUUUGUUUUUAAAAAAUCUAGAGAGUAUAGCAAUGCACUUAUCUGAUCUGGUGAUUCACUCGUCAACUUUGUUACAAAUCUGUUCCCUUCCCCAAAGCGUAGGAAUAAGAUAGAUUGUUACUAUUUAAAAAAAAAAAAAAAGGGGUACUCAUAAGAUAUAAGCUUUUUUUUUUUUCAAAAAAAAAAAAGAGUGGGCAUUAAUGAUUUCAGCCAAACAUGAAAUAGCAUGGCAUUAAUUAUUCAAUCCAUUGUAAUCUCGUCAGCCAAUGCUAAGUCAGAUGUACCAUGUACCUGACAUGAGAUGAGAGUGAAACAUGAUAAAUUUGAUGGGACAUAUGUGGCGAGAGCACCACCUCUUGAGGGAAACAGUUGUGAUUUGGAUUUCAAUCCUAUCACAGUUUACUGGAAAUUUUUCUCCAACUGAAAUGAGAGUGGGGAGAAAAUAUCAGACUUCUGAUAUUCACUUUGUUUGGAGGAGUAAAAUGGUAAAUCAUAGAGUGCGCCUGGGACUGAUAACAGGGCCCGGCUGGCUUGAGACCUGCCUGUCCAACCCAAAAAAAAAAAAACAGCCUGUUGAACCUUAUGUUUAACAGGGCCAAACUGAAGUUGGAAUUGAAUACAAAACCUAAGUUAAAUGUGAAAUGGGCCUAAGCUUUGCUAAGUUCAAGUCCAGCUACAGACUGACACGUGUACAUAUCAUUAUACAUAUACAUAGAAUGUAUAUGAAUAAUAUAUAUAAUCUAUAAUUAUACAUAUUAUAACAUAAUAUAUGAAUAAUUUUAUCUAAAUUCAUAACAAUUCAUAAAUAUUUAAACGUAUAUUGUAUAUGAUUAUAUAUUUAAUUAAAAGCUUGGAUUGAGCCCAAUUUGAGUUCAAACCAAAUAUAAAAGUGUCAGUGGAAUUUGAACCUUCUAAUUUGGAUCCAAACCCGACAAUCCCAAAGCAUGAUACCUCUUCUUAUUUUAUGAGUUAGGUUUGAACUUGUCAAAACUCGAAUUAUAAAACCCAAUCAACAGCCCUAAGUGCACCAUUUUAAUAUGACCUAUUAUCAAAGAGUUUACCUACAAAAAAAAGGCUGAAAAUCACGAUAUUAUUAAGCGAUAGACACAAAUAUAAGAAUCACUAAAAUCAAUGAAGUGGACCAUCUUUCAGUUUGUUUCUGUUGCUUAAGUCAUAUGUUGGCUUAAAAUAGGAUUUUCCAUUAUCAAAUUAAAGUGUAGGAAAGAUUUCUUGUGACAAAUAAAAUUGUGGUGUUGAAAAAGAAUCUAAGAAAAAGGAAAAUUUUCUAUUGUACAUCAGAGUAAUUAUCAAUGCUAAUUGUAUGAGACAAUGUAAUAUAGAACACUACAAUAUUUGACGUUAUUGUUUAUUUGCAUGACCUGCUACAUUUUUAAAAUUUUCUUCAAAUAUUGAUAUUCUCCUUUCAUUUUUUAAUUUUCUUUAAAGUUUAACAUUCUCUCUCUCUCUCUCUCUCUCUCUCUCAUAGUAAGCAAUUACUGUGGCAAUUGUCGAAUCCCUCAUCUUUUAAAAAGAAAAGACCCUACUGCACAUAUAUCGGGCUUUUUUUUUUUUUUUUAAUGCUCUUUAUUAAUAAAAAACGAAAUUACAACCACAUCGGGCAGUACCCAAAAUGGGCCAUCAUAUACCUUUCUCAGCCUAACACGUCUAAUUGAUGGCAAACCCAAUCUGUUUAACCUAACCUCCUCCCGAGCCAACACGGGAAGAUCCAACUCACUAUCAUAAACUCUAACCAACAGUUGCGAAUGAGAGACACCCACAUUGGACAAAAUAUCAGCAACCUUAUUCGCCUCUCUGUAGCAGUGCACGAACCUAGCCUCCCCCACCAAGUGCCAAAUUUGCUCCACUUCUCUCCUAAUGUGCCAGGGGCAGUGAUAGCGUCGUUGGAGGAUUUCCGUUAGCAACAACGAAUCAGACUGAAUCACCCUGGGGGCAACUCCCUUUUCAAGACACAGCUGAAUCCCCAAUAAGGCGGCCAGCGUUUCAGCGCGAAGACUAGAACCCUCACCCAGGUAAGCCGAAAAAGCCACUAAUACAUGGCCACCGGAAUCCCUAAGCACUCCACCUCCACCGCUCACUCCAGGGUUACCCUUAGCACACCCAUCCGUAUUAAGCGUCGUGCAUCCAUAUCCCCCUGCCUCCCAGCGGACUAUCCUGCACUCAUACAAAUACGGCGCUUGAGACACUCCCGUAUAGAAAACCUGGAAAUUACUCCCUUGAACGGCCACCUUGAAGUGGAUCUCAAAUGCCUCCUUCACAUCCUGGAAUACUGCACCACAUAUCUCCUUCGCCCGAACCCUUGCCCCAUCGAACACCACUCGACACCUAGCCUUCCAAAUGUUCCAACAAAUAAAUAUCGGGGUAACAGAACAGACGAAUCUCUGCUCGCCCGACGGAGCCAAUGACAACCACCAGGCAAACAAAUGUGACCUAAUGCUAGAGCUAUCACUAGCUAUACCACAUAUACUCUGAAAGUAAUUCCAGACCUCCAGUGCCAGUUGUCCCGUGGAGAAUAUAUGUUCCAACGUCUCACCCGUUGCAUCCACACAACAAAAACAUUUUGACACCAACUUGAAACCCAUCUCACCUAGGACAUCAUCUAACGGUAAGCGCCGCAUAAGCAAGCGAAGCAUGAAAAAAGAUACCCUCAACGGUAUCCUAGCCUGCCAUAUACGGGACAAUUCCAGCGAGGUAGUGCGUCCCUGCCUUACCUCCUGAUACGCAGAUGCCAAAGUGAAUGUCCCCGACUUCGUAGGCAUCCAUACCACUUGAUCUGUCCCCCUCCCACUAGGAACCGGAGUUUUCAUCACCAAAUCCACAGUGUCUGAUGGGAGAAUCUGCAGCAAACGACCCCUGUCCCAGGCACCAUUAGUCAUAACAUCUGCAAAUGAACUGGCUGGCACCACUGGGGCUCUAAGGAAAAGACCUCCACUUCCCACCCAGUUGUCAUACCAAAAGUCACAGUCCCCAUCAUUUAACAACCAUAACAUUGAUAGUUCCAUCUGGCGGCUCACAUCAAGCAUGCGCCUCCAUGUUGCUGAAGCAGAUUGAGCCCAGCCCACCUGACAUGGGUGAACCCCUUUGCAAUACUUUGCCCUCAUGAAGGAUACCCACAAAGACGAUCCUGUGCGCAAGAUCCACCAUAACUUACAUGAGAAAGCCUUAUAUACGUCUCGGACCCGACGAAAUCCCGCGCCUCCCUCCUCCUCCGGAUAACACAGCUGGGACCACUUUAUCCAAUGAUGCUUAUUCAGCUCGUCAGACGAUCCCCACAGGAAAGUAGCGCAUAACCGCUCAAUAUCCUUAAAAAUAGCCAUCGGGCUUAAUAUCUGUUAACUGGUUCUAAUCUUUUGUACCAUUAUCUGUUCAAAAUUUCUUUUUGAAGAUAAAAUAUGUUGGGGGUGAAUAAGUAGUUUAUAAUGAGUUUUCCGAUGAAAUGCCCCAAGUACUUGUUAACUGGGGUCUCAAUUGUAAAUCUUUUUCUUAAAAAAGUGAAUUAAAUAGAGAAGAAAAUCAUGAUAGCGUCAUAGACAAUGUGAUUUUGAAAGUAACAAAUGCAUACACAUAUCAAGAUAAAAUAUGUUGGGGUGAAUAAGUAGUUUAUAAUGAGUUUUCCCAUGAAAUGCCCCAAGCACUUGUUAACUGGGGUCUCAAUUGUAAAUCUUUUUCUUAAAAAAGUGAAUUAAAUAGAGAAGAAAAUCAUGAUAGCGUCAUAGACAAUGUGAUUUUGAAAGUAACAAAUGCAUACACAUAUCUAAAAUUUAAGGAUAACACAGGGAAUACCUUAAUGCUUGAGAGGUUAAGCAUGUAGUCAGUGUUGUUAGAUCCGGACCGGACCAGCUAGUUUGAUCGAUUCGAUCAUAAACCGGCCUUCUUUUUGAGUUAGUUUGUAGCAUAAAAUCGGUUUGGUCAAAAAUCAGUUAAACUAGUGACUCGAUUCGACUGGUUUAUUUGGUUGUCAAACUUUUCUUUUCUUCUUUUCUCCAAAUAUAAUUUGAGUUACCUAAAUUGUAACAUAUUCAUUUAUUAAUAGGAAUAAGAAAACGUCACCCACUUAGUGUAAGUACCAAAAUCACUCGCUUUCCUGAAUGAUCUCUAAAUCAAGAUGUUUUUCAUCCCUAUGAUCUUAUCAAUUUAGCAUCAGUGAUUCCAACUUGCAUUAAUUUGUUUUAAUUUAGUUUUUUAAGUAGUUUUAGUGAAUAGACAUAUUUUAGCCAUGAACUUACAUUUUUUAAAAUAAUUAUUAGGUGUAUAUUUGAUUGCAAGUCUAAUAUUUUUGGAACAUUUUCUAUGAUUGGCCGAAUAUAAUCAAGAACUUAAUUUCAAUAUUUUUGAAACUUAUAAAAAUAUAAAUUAAUUAUGGCAUUAUGUUGACAUCAAUGAAUUUUUUAGAAUGGUUUGACCGAUCCAACUAAUUGACCUCUGAUCCAAUAGUUUAGCCAAAUCGCUAUCCAGUACUAGUUUAAUAACAUUGCAUGCAGUUUAUGCAUAUCAGAAUACAUAAAGGUUGCAGGGUGGCUCUAACUUUUAAAAUCACACCACUUGCUAUUUUUUAUGUGAACUAAUAUGCUUAGACGCAAGGGUGGCAAUAAUGGUGCCUCAAAGUACCUGUAAUUAACAAUUGCAUUCGAAGUACCAGCUAAGAAAAUCAAAAUGUUAAACCUCACUCUUAAGUUAUUAAGAGAAUUAAUUAUUCCAGUAUCGAGCCAAUUGAUGUAAUUGUUAAUUGCAACCAGAGAGAAUAAUUAUGAUCCGAAUUGGGCUAACUUAAGGAUAUCAUUGUUUCAAAAAAUAAAAAUCACAACUGGAAAUGCAUGACCUAGAUCGACCCAAAUGAUGUGGCCCAAUUUAGGUUAUAAACCUCACUUUGCAUUUCUUGAUAGUAAUUGCAGAAACCUCGGAUCGCGGAUUUGUGUAAAAGAAAUAUUUCUAUUUAAAUGGAACAGUUUUCAAGUUGAAUUAAAUUAAAAAUUAAUCUUAUAUACACUGAUGGUAUAUAUACUAUCAAUCUUAAAUGAAUGACAAUUACGCAAAUUUUGAAUUUCAAAUUCAACUUUUGUAUAUAUGUCAUAUAUCUAACUCUGAUAGUGUGUAUACACUGUCAGUGUAUAUAAGAUUUAGGGCUCGAUUGAGGUUGCAAUAGUUUAUUGAAAAAUACUUUCCUAAUAGAGCUUUUAAUAAAAGUACUUAUUAACUGUUUAAGUUAAAAUAUAUUAUUUUUAGAGAUAUAGUUCAAUAAAUACUUAUUGUAUUGGAUAAUGUGCAAUUUAAAAAUUUUUAAAAGUAUUUAUCCCUUUAUUUGGUUCAUAAUAUAGGAUAAAAUGAUUAAAUUUGAUAUUUUAUUUUUUUCAAUCAUAAAAACUACUCUAAGAGUAUCAAAUUUCAGCUUUUGCUAAAAGUGCUUUUAACACCAAAAACUCUACUCCUAAUUUUAUAGGGUGAUGUUCACCAAACACUUUAAAAUUAUUUUUAGCACCUAAAAGUGCCUUUUUACCAAAAACAUCGCAACCCCAAAUGGGGCCUUGUCCCUAAAUUAAAGGCUUACUAUAUAAUCUAAAUAGUUUAAAUGAAAAAGAGGCAAAGUGAGUUACGUGUAUCUUUCAAGGGGUUCAAUUGUAAUUAUCCUAAAUUGAUAAAAGAAUCUUCCGAGCAAUCACGGUUUCGUAUAAUCUAUAUGUGUUGAUAAAUUCACUUCUGGUUUCACAAAACAUUGAAAGAGAGUUCAGGGAUAAUAACACUGAUGGAUCCCAAACGACCUGCUUGUGGGAGUCUCAUGGUCCUUCACCAGUAGAUGGUUCUGAUAAAUUGCUUUCCCAAAACUCGUUUCUGUGUUAGGUGGAAUUAAUUCUCAUUCUCACCGUCUCAUGACAGAGCAUAAGCAAAACUGUUUUAGGGGACUUGUUAUCUUAUCCCCAAGUCCAAGGAUAGUACUAAUGAAUGACGACUCCAGAGCAGGAUCCCCAUAUCCUCCGGAAAUAACAAGUGAUGUUGCCGAAGAUGAAGAAAUGCAUCCAAUGCAUGAUCAUUCUCAACAGUCAUGUCACGUGAUGCAUCAUAUAAAUUUAGCAACCACUAUGUUUUUUUAUUUAGAUAAUCUAAAGUUAGGCAAAAUACUCCGAGUCUAUUUUCCUGACGGAGAUCAUCAUACCUUGACCUCUCCUUACCUAUUGCCUAAAGAUGAAGCCGACGCCAUACCCUUUUCAUUAGAGCAACUUCCUUACAUUCUUGAACAGUUUUCGAUUUCAAGGAUCUUGAAAAGCCCAGGUGAUGGCAAUUACACAUCGAGAGUGUGAGAUGAAACUGAUUGAGGGAGGGAUGAAGACGUGUCAUAUCCUGUGAGUUUCAUUGGGUGAAUAUGCAGGCAAAAUCUUGGGUUGGAGACACAACAGCCCAGGAGAUCAACUCCAGCUAGAUUGCAAAACUAUACAAUCUUAACAGUUUCUCAAACGAUUUUAACUCCAAAGACGAUGUCCUGUCAUACCAUGUGUUAGGACUGGUCCAAGAAUAAACAAAUUAAUGUUAAAAUAAAAUAGACGGUAUAACCGACCAUAUAAUGAUUAGGCGGUAAACACCAGUCAUAUAAUAUUUAAGCGGUAAAACCGACCAUAUAAAAGGGUUAUGGCAAUCCAAUAAAGAUAAAUAACAAAGCAAAAUGAAAGACAUAGAAAUUUACGUGGUUCGGUAAAUUUGACUUACAUCCACGGGCAAGGAAUGAGCAAUAUUUCUACUAUGAAAAAGAUAUACAAUAGCCGUAGGAAAAUGGUUCUUAAGCCAAAAAGACACCUAAUACUAAAACACAAGAGACCCCAAAAGAUUUAACUAAACAAAAGACUUAAUGACCCAAAGGCCCAAAUAACCCAUUAAUGCUCUCUUGGUUUGGUGUACUUAAUCCUAUCAUAGGAUACCUAUAUUUAUAGGUAGCAAAGGAAAGAAUUUCCUUUGGCUUUUGUCGAUGUAGGACAAAGCCACACUAACAAAUCUCCACCUUGGCAUGUCCCCAACAUCGACAAUAGUAAAACUGCUCUACCUUCUCCAUAUAAGUCCCAAUGAACCUAAGUCACCAACAACGAACACUAACCAAGUCCAAGUACUGCUUGAACUUGUAAAUUAGAAGAAGUUUUGUAAACAUAUCGGCAAAUAACAGACGAAUAGCAAACAAACUCCACCUUCUCCAUAAAAGUUCCAACGGAUCUCAAUAAACCACAAAGUCCCAACGAACCACAACGAGCCACCAACGAACCAGAAUGCAAAAGGCUUAACAGGUUCCAACGGGCUAAAUCUCACAAAAGGUUCAAUAGAUCCCAAUGGGUUAAAAAAUCACAAACAUAAUAAUUUUGCUCCACCUUCUUCUCAAAACCCUAAAUGAGUUCCAAUAGGUCAAAUAACUCUUUCUCCAAAAUCCAACCGAACUCCAACAAAAAUUUUUUUUUUCUUCACUCUCUGUAGUGCAGAAAACUUGUUAUCGUUAUUGUUGUUACAAAAUUUAUAACCUGAAUCUUGUCUCAAAAAAACUGGUCAAUCAAAUAUACAAUACUCGUAAGCGGGCCCCACAGGAUAAGCGGACCCCACGGGAUGAGCGGAUCCCACAGGGUGAACGGGCCCCACGAAUAAAUGGGUCCACAAGAUGAGCGAGUCCAACAAGAUGAAAGGGCCUCACGAGAUGAGUGGACCUCACAGGAUAAACAGGUCCCACGAGAUGACCUCUACGGACCCCCACGGAUGGACCCACAUGACCCCACGAAUGGACCCUACAAGGUGAAUGGGCCCCAAGGAUAAACAGAUCCCAUAGGUGAGUGGGCCCCACGAGGUGAACGGACCCCGCGAGAUGAACCUGUCUUACAAAAUAUAUCAACCAACUCUGAUACCAGUUUGUUAGGACUGGCCCAGGAAUAAACAAACUAAUGUUAGAACAAAAUAGGCGAUAUAACCGACCAUAUAAUCAUUAGAUGGUAGACACCAGUCAUAUAAUACUUAGGCGAUAAAAUCGACCAUAUAAAAGGGUUGUGGCAAUUCAAUAAAGACAAAUAACAAGGCAAAAUAAAAGAUACAGAAAUUUAUGUGGUUCGGUCAAUUUGACCUACGUCCACCGGCGAGGGAGGAGCAAUAUUUCUACUAUGAAGAAGAUAUACAAAAGUCGUAGGAAAAUGAUUUCUAGGCCAAAAAAGCACCUAAUACUAAAACACAAGAGAACCCAAAAGAUUUAACUAAACAAAAGACUUAAUGAUUCAAAGACCCAAAUAGCCCAUUAAUACUCUCUUGGUUUGGUGCAUUUAAUCCUAUCAUUAGACCCCUAUAUCUAUAGGUAACAAAGGAAAGAAUUUCCUUUGGCUUUCGUCGAUGUGGGACGAAGCCACACUAACACCAUGGCUUAACCUCAAAUCUUUUAUUGCCAUUCUCAAGAGGCUGACAAUCGGGCGUACAGGAUUUCGCUAUGCGGAGAGGAUGGCAAAAAGAUUGAAGCUAUUGCUGGUUGUCACAUGGAUAUCUCUUGCUGGAACCAUGAUGAUGUUGCCUUCCAUGUAGUUGGACUUGAACCGGGCAGCUCCCAUGUUUGCCAUGCUCUCGGGCAUAGCUUUGUAUUGGUUUCAAUCUAGGGCUUUACCAUUCUUGCCAUAAGAAUCAAGAGCUCAAGUUACCAUCUCUAUUUGGCUGCUGUAUUAUGUCGCGUGCCUCAUCUUUCACUUGAAUCUAAAUAAUACGAUGAUUCAAAGACUGGUUCUACUUUCAGCUGUGAAUGCCUCAUGUAUUUUGAUUUAUACUUAUAUUUCAAGCUUGUGUUUUAGUAGAUUUCAGUGCAGCCCUGGUAGUUUUCUAUAUCUGCCAUUGUCUUAGAAUUUGAACUAUUGCAGGAGAUGCUACUCCUCAAAGGAACAACCUCACGUCCCGUUUGCAUUUAUGUACAUACACAUAUAUCUAUAUGUCUCUGUAUGUACACAUAUAUACAUGUAUGUAUGCAUGUGUACAUACAUACACCUGUAUAUAUGUGUAGGUAUCUGUAUGCACGCCCUAAAUGCAAUCUAUCAUUUUUCUCUCUGAUAGCAAGUAUGAUUUUUGUAGUUCUACUCUAAUCUAUUUUUCUUAUGAUUUUUCUAUCUUCUAGCAACUUUUCUCCAUUCUAAUACAUAUGAACUAUUUUCUUAAACAUAUAGAAUAAUUUUUCUUAGGGUGCUUUUGUUGGGAAAGGAGUACCGGUAUAGGCACACAAUAUCAGAGUAACCCCAAAAUAAAUAACUCUUUCCCUGAAUACCACUUAAAAUAGGAAUAAACCAAAUCACCAAAUAAUAAUACCAGCAGUGAUAAUAAAAUGCAAGAAAAAUAAAAGGCACAGGGCAUCAAGAUUUUUACGUGGAAAACCCAAAUUGGAAAAAAACCACGGGACCUAGUCCAGUCAAAAAACUCCACUAUCACAAUAAUGGGAAUACACAGGUCUAUCCGAAAUAUUCGGAUGACAAUAAUAGCACCAAUAUCAACUAAGCAAAUCUGCUAUAAAAUCAUCCCCAAAAACUACAACUGUCAAAGAAGUGGAUUUGGAAAGGUGUUGACAAACGAAGAGGAAAUCGGAAAACUGAAUCGGUAGAUGAGUAGAGCUUGAUGAAAGGAUCCCGUGUGUAAAAUUUCGUCUCAAUCGGACUUCAAAUCACCUUCCAACUGAGGCUCCAAAAUUGUUUCUCUCUCGCUGCUAUUUUUCUCUCUUCGCUCUUCUCCGUCAAAAUGAAAGUGUGGCGGCUGCAAUUUUUCUCUUGCUUAGAAGAUACAAGCGACGGCUGCCAAUUAGUAUUUAAGCUUGAGAAACCCUCAAGCACUUGCAUAAGUGGGCUGGUCCACAACACAAGUCCAACAAUCUCCCCCUCCAGCCCAUUUGGGGGGCCUCUACAAGACCUGAUUCUUGUCUGUAAAACAAGAGUUUCUCUUUAGGCAAUGCCUUGGUCAUCAUGUCAGCACCAAUAUCAUCUAUAUGCACUUUCUCAAGUGUCAAAAACUUGGAAUCCAACACUUCUCGAAUCCAAUGAUACCUCACAUUAAUGUGUUUGGAUCGAGAAUGAAAUGUAGAGUUCUUACACAAAUGAAUAGCGCUCUGACAGUCACAGUAAAGACUAUACUUCUCUUGUUUCAUACCCAACUCUUGAAGGAAUUUCUGCAACCAAAGAGUCUCCUUGCAUGCUUCAGUGGUUGCGAUGUACUCUGCUUUUGUACUAAAAAAUGCGAUACACUUCUGUAACUUACUUUGCCAUGACACUGCUCCUCCUGAAAAAAUCAUCAAGUAUUCGGAUGUGGACUUCCUAUUAUCAAGAUCACCUCCCAUAUCUGUAUUAGUGUAUCCAUCUAACAUACUUUUACCACUGUUGAAACAUAGACAAAAUCUAGAAGUUCCCUUGAGAUACCUGAAAAUCCAUUUGACAACAUUCCAAUGCUCCUUACUAGGAUUAGAGAGAUACCGACUGACUACUCGAACUGCAUGAGCAAUAUCUGGCCUAGUGCAAACUAUAUUAUACAUCAAGCUACCAACAGGCGAAACAUAAGGAACCUUCUUCAUGCCUUCUUUAUCUUUCUUACUUGUAGGACACUGCUUAAUAUUCAGUUUAAAGUGACCUGCAAGUGGAGUUGAAACUUCCGUAGCCUUGUUCAUGUUAAACCUGGUGAGUACUUUUCCAAUAUAUUUUUCUUGAGACAACCAGAGCUUCCCAUUUUGCCUAUCACAUAAGAUUUUCAUCUCCAGUAUCUGUUUAGCCGGACCCAAAUCCUUCAUUGCAAAGGAUUUACUUAACUCAUUUUUCAACCUGUCAAUUUUUAUAGUAUCACGACCAACAAUCAACAUGUCAUCAAUAGAUAGUAAGAGAAUAAUAAAAUCACCAUCUGAAAAGUUUUUCACAUAAACACAAUGAUCAAAUGUAGUCCUGUGAUACUCAUGGUCUGUCAUGAAGGAGUCAAAUUUCUUAUACCACUAUCUCGGUGCUUGUUUUAACCCAUACAAACUCUUCUUGAGACGGCAUACAAGAUUUUCCUUGCCACUUUUUUUGAACUCCUCUGAUUGCUACAUGUAAAUCUCCUCUUCCAAAUCGCUAUGCAAGAAGGCUAUCUUCACAUCAAGUUGUUCGAUCUCCAAAUUCAAACUGCCUGCAAUACCAAGAACAACUUGAAUUGAUGACAUUUUUACCACAGGAGAGAAGAUUUCUUCAAAAUCUACACCCUUCUUUGGACUAAAUCUCUUCACAACCAAUCUUGCUUUAUACUUUGGUUGUAAGCUGUGCUCCUGAGUUUUCAACCUGUAUACCCAUUUAUUCUUCAGAACUCUCUUGCCCUUAGGCAAUUUCACUAGUUCAUAAGUGUGAUUCUCAUGCAGGGACACCAUCUCCUCUUGCAUGGCUUGCAACCAAUCUUCAUUAUUCUCAUGCUCUAAAACCUCACAGUAGGACUCUGGCUCUCCUCCAUCUGUUAACAACAAAUAUUCAUGGGGAUUAUAUCUGUUAGAAGGUCUUCUCUCUCUAGUAGAUCUCCUAAGAUCAUCUUGUGGUGGCGGUGGUGGAGUAGGUGACGCCUAAUAUUCAAGUUCAUCAGCAGUAGGAUUAUUACCAUCAUCAAUAUCCUCUCUCUACUUUGUCUCAACUCCCCCUUGAUUAAAAUCAACAAGUACUGAAAUUGGAUCUGGAUCUGAAUUUGAGCUAGCAGGAAUGUCAUCUAAGGAUUUUGAGUUGUCACCUUUAUCAAUGUUUUUAAUGGUUUGAUCUUCAAAGAAGACAACAUCUCUGCUCUGGAUCACCUUCUUCUCAAUAGGAUCAUACAACCUAUAACUAAAAUUUUCAUGUCCAUAACCCAAGAAAAUGCAUUGCUUUGAUUUUACAUCAAGUUUUGACCUUUCAUCUUUGGUGAUAUGAACAAAUGCCCGACAACCAAAAACUCUCAAGUAUUUAAAGGACAAAUCUUUUUCCAUCCACACCCUCUCUGGGAUAUCACCAUCUAGAGGAACUGAUGGAGAAAGAUUAAUCAAAUCGACUGUAGUUCUCAUAGCCUCACCCGAAAAAGAUUUUGGUAACUUAGUAUUAGAGAACAUACAUCUGGCCCGUUCAGUGAUAGAUCUGUUCAUCCUCUCUACCACUCCAUUCUCUUGAGGAGUUUUUGGCAUAGUCUUCUCCAAUCUGAUCCUAUGAGACUUGCAAUAGAUUUCAAAUGGUUCUCCAUACUCACCACCAUUAUCAGCACGUACACACUUUAACUGCUUACCAGUUUCUCUUUCAAUUUUGCUAUGAAAGUUUUUAAACACAUUCAAAACCUGAUCUUGGAUUUUAAAGCAAAACACCAAAUCUUUCUAGCAAAAUCAUCAAUAAAAAUUAUAAAAUAAACAGCACCACCAAGAGACUUAUCUUUCAUAUACCAAACAUCAGUGCGCACCAAUUCUAACGAAUUCAAUUUUCUAGAUGGAAGAAAAUUUUUAAGUGAUGAAUAUGAUGUGAAAAUCCCCCAGAAAUCACUACAAGAAAUAUAUUUUUCAGUGACAAAAAUUUAUGUGACAACAAAAAUCUUGUCACAGAUAACCUAAUUCAGUGACGACAUUAGGUGUCAUCACAGAUGAGUACAGCACAAGCAUAAUCAGUGACAACAUUGGAAGUUGUCAUUCUCAAUUCGUCACGAAAUAGUUGGCGUGCAUCUCAUUUGAUGCCGCGGGAAAUGAUUUUAUGACAACUCAAGUAAAGUCGUCACAAACGCUCUCUCUACAGUGACAACAUAACUUGUUGUCAUUGAAAGUCUACCCGGUUCCAAUUUUGUGACAACUUUUUACAUCACUGUAUACUACAGUAUUUUCAUCAACUUUCACUAAUUCUACUAUGACACCCUAAUUUUAUUUUUUAGCCCCCAAUUCUUUUAUAUUAGCAAAAGUACCAAAGAUAUGACACCCUAAUUUUAUAAUUUAGCCCCUAUUCAUUAUAUAUUAACAAAAUGCAAAUGAUAUAAUAACAAACUAUUUUUAGAUAUUUGUAAUUUUUGCUAAGUUGACAUAAUAGACAUGUCUGAGCAUAAAAAUUUUUUCAUGAAUUGUUUAUUAUUACUUAUAACAACCCUCAAAAAUCAAUAACUGAAAUAAUUUGAAAAAGUGUAAUUGAAUAUAAUUUGUAGUCUAAUGUUAGCACUGUAAAAGAUUAGUAUAACGUGUAAUACAUCAUAAGUAAUAAUUAUUUUCAUAUGGAAUGGGUAUAUACGAAAUUAAAAUUAUUCAGUAAAAUAUCUGUCGUGCAAUAAGAUUGAGAGUUAUAACACAUUUAACAGAAUAUUUGAUUACAUGUUUCUUUUAAUUUAUUAUAAAAACUAAGUAAUAGACAAAGAGUAGGAUAAGCAUGAGUAAGAAGUGCUAUACUGUAUAUAAGCAAUUCUAUGCAUGUUAAAUUUUUGAAACAUGUUUUAUUGUAAGGUAAUUUUUUAAAUAAUUUGUAUAUUGACUUGUUCAAACCCAAAAAGAUGUAUAUAUACACAAACAAGCACACAUAUAUAUACAUGCACAAAAAAGAAACCAACAUCAAAUAAUUUAUUUGAUAUUUAUAGAUGAGAUUAAGGAAAAAAAAGAGAUUAAGUAUGAAAAAAGAAACCUGAAAAAAAAAAUUUUGACCAGGGAAAAAAAAAGAAAAAAGAUGUAUGAAGCUAAAGGCGUGAAUCCUGGAAUCUCAAAGACGUGCUUAGAUGCCAAAAAAAAAAAGAGCGCCAGUCUGAAAUCUGAAAGAGGCGCGAGACGGGUGGCUGAAAUCUCUACAAAACGACGUCGUUUUUGGUUGUUCACAGACAAACAAAAGUGUCGCCGCUUCUCUCUUCCAACACUUAGACAAAUUUCAUUCUCAGUCUUUCCUUCCUAUGGUGAACACCGAAAAACUCUGGACCUCAAACACCUUCUGCUUCCGCAAAAUGCUCCUCUAAAGCACCAUUGACGAGUGCCAAUCUUCAGGUCAAGCUCGCCGAAGAAGCGAAGUCAGAACACUUCCAAGCUCCCUCCUCAUUCCGCGACUUCAGCUUAGACUUUUCUCCAACCCCCUCUUCAGCUAAUUGUGCGGUAUGUGUUUUUUUUUUUUUUCUUUCAAAAGCUGCUCAGCCUUCUAUUGUAAAGACUAAUUUAUGAACUAGAUUGUUAAUUAGCAGUGGGGAAGGUAAUACUCUUGGCCAAAUCGCAUCCGAAACACUUGCGAUCUGGAGUAUGAACAGUGUUAGGGUUCAUCCAAGAAUUUUUUUUUCUUUUGUGGAUUUUUUCACUGUUUUCGAGAAAUUUGGACUGAUUAAACCAAAAAUUGCUUGCUUUAUAUUUUGAUGGAACCUUUUUGUGAUUAGGAUGGUCAGAACCGGCUUUCUUUGAGAAGCUAUGAAAUGCGAACAUUUUUUGACUGCAUUAAUUUGGUUGGAUGAAAGAGAAAUUAAACAAUUUGUCGUGCCAUUUAAUUGCUUCCUUAAGGGGAAGAGAACUUGACUGAUUUGCCUAAUUUAUUUGGCUGUUUUAAAUUUACUUUAUGCCAUACCAUGUAAUUUACUCUCUGGUUCUCUCUCUCUCUCUCUGGGAUCUUGUCCAUCCAUGUAACUGUUAGUCAUCAGAAAUCUUGUCAAAAGGCUUGAUACUUUGCUUGUAUGGAAUCCUAAGACCAGACUUGAAACAGCCCAUCCAAACUCUGAGUACCAAUCUGCAUAGAUGAUGCUUUUUCUUUAUAUUAAAAAAAAUGAAGGGUAACAUUAGGUUUUACCCCUUCUAACUUGUGUUUUAUGAAGUUACUAAUCAUGUUUUUGGUAGAUUUAUGGCAAUAGCUGAAACUGAAAUCAGGUUUUUGGUAGAUUUAUAGUAAUAGCUGAAACUGAAGAUGCCUAUGCCAUUGAUCCUAUGUUCUCUGUAUCACCUUCUUAUAACUACAAUUACUACCAUACUACAGCUUAUUUUCAUAAUUUGAGCACAGAGAACAAAGAGUGACACAACUUGGAUAGCCACCAUUUUAGUUGUAGUCCAUCCUGAUGCAGGAAAAGCUUUAGUUUGCUAGGCUAUUUUUGCUUGUUGGCAAGAGGGGUCCAUGGGGAAGUACUCUGUCCGCUGGUCUACAUGCCUUUUCAAGGCAGAACCAGAUAGAGCUAUUUAAUCAAACACAUUGUUUUACUGUAGUAUUCAAAGCUUUUCUUUUUUGUUAAUUAAAGGAGAGUCUAUUGGGGGAAGAGGAGGGAGAAGGGGUGGUUAUGAAUAGUUAUUCCUACCGAUAGACUUCACAAAAUUGCGGUUGAAGAAUAUCUGAUACUGCUUUUUUCCCCCAUUGGUUUUACAUUUAGCAGUAAAUUUCAUUGAUAAUGGUUGAUUACAAAAUAAUCUUGGAAGUCAAAUAAUUCCAUCAAAUCCUUUUAAAGGCAUAUUGACCAGUUACUCUUUUCCCCUUUUUGCUCUACUCUCAGUAUUAGAAGGAAUAUUAAACAUAUUCUUUCUUAACUUGUUUCCAUCUAAUCUUGUUAUCUUCGUGGUUGAAAUAGGUCAGAUGUCCAGUCAGAAUGUGCAAAUUUCAUGGGGCAACCUACCUCCAUCCUUGAUGCCUCCUCCAGAAGCUGGAUAUCCUCCUUCUUUACCCUUUAUUGAUUGGGGAUAGGUAUUUGCCUCAUACUUUAUGCAUCAGUUUUCAUGUUUUUUUUGCUAUUAGCUUUUAUUUAGAUAUGUUUUUGUGGUUAUAUGGAUCAAAGGACAAGGGGUUGCUUGAUGUCAAUUUAGUUGCUUGAUGGCACUUGAAAUUUGGUUCCACCAAAUCUGAUUCCUGUUUAAUGCAAUUGAGUUGCUUGAGGCUGAUUUAGGUGCUUGAAAUCUUGUUCAUGUUUAAUUACAGCCAUUGAGGUGCUGGAUGUUGCAACCAAAACUUUAGUGUUUUUAAAGCAAAUGUGUUUGAACGUUGGGAUGUAUUCCACUUUUUUCUUUGUCGAACUCAUCUAAAUUUUUCUGUAUCAGAAUUUUUUUUUUGUGCUAAGGAAAAAGAGGCACCUGUGAUUGUGUGUGUUUGUUUGUGUGUUUUUUUUCUUGAUAUACUGUGUGGUUCACAAUCAUCUAGACUCUCAAUGAUUUUAGGAUUUUAUUGUUGUUAUUGUUAUUGUUAUUGCAUAUAUAUUUGUGAACAUGCAGAUAUUUAUUGUGUUUGUAUUGUUAUUCUAUAUUUCACAGAAUAUACAUUCAAUGUCUUAUUUGCUAUAAUUUCACUUUAUUUUUGUGUUAAGCAAUUUACUUAGAUUGCUAUAAUUUCAAAUUAGAGUGACAUUAGUUUUUAUAAUAUGGUGCCCAUCUAGAAGUGUAGUUCCAGUUUUAACACCAGUGCUCAUUGCUUCAAUUUUGGUAACGUGUAGGUUCUAACACGAUUCCCAAGAAGAAGAAGCCAGUCAUUGCUGUAAAGAUGGUUUUUGAAUUGAAGACUACAAGGCCUAUCGUGCUUAUGUUUUGUUCUAGAUGGGAAUCGUGCUCAUAUUUUUGUAUAGAACUUUAUUACUCUUUAUUGUGGAUGGGAAAUCACUAGUAUUGUAACUGAAUGGCUUAUUUUGGAUAGUGCAUGGUUUAUGACUCAUUUGAGGCAACAUUUAUAUAUAUAUGUAUUUGGGUUGAUCUUCUAUUGGAAAUGAAUGUUGGCUUUCUUUUCGUAUGUUGGCUUUUUUUUUCUCCUUGCUACUCAAUGAACGUUUUGUGAUUGUUGGCAACUAUGUUGCGUAAUUAACAUUAGAUUAUUGCUUUUUACAAAAAAAUAAAUGACAAUAAAAAAGUUGUCACUGCCAACAAGUUUCACUAGUGACACCAGAAAGUCGUCACUUUUUAUGGAUGGAAAACAAUGACAACAAAAGUCGUCACUGAACGGAAGCAUAAUGUGACAACUCCAAGGGUUGACUAUGACAAGAAUUUAGUCAGCUUAGUGACAAUAAAAGUUGUCACACAAUGUACAACAAUGAGUGACGACAAGAGUCAUCACAAAAGAGAAAUCGAUUGUGACGACUUUCAACAGUCGUUACAUGGACCCCCUUUUGUGACAUAGAACUAGUGACAGCAGUAAAAGUCGUCACUGACUUUUUUUUGUGACGACUUCUGAAUUUUUAGUGACGACUUUCGCCUGUCACAGAAACGCAAUUUUCUUGUAGUGAAUUUCACUCAAAUUUGGCCUCAAAUGGAGAGUUCAAAAAUGUGAAACCCUUGUUCUUCUCAAGCUCAAAUCCGAAUUAAAAUUUGUUUUUGAAGGAAUUUAAUCUAUGGAAUCAACUCUCAAGGAAAAGGGGAGUAUUUUGGUACAUUUAGUUGGGAGAUUUGAUGGUCAAAAGAUGGAUUUUAGAAGUGAUGUGUGUUUAAGGUGUGAGUAUGUGUAAAGGUUGAAGAAGAAAGAAAGAGGGAAUUGGGGAAUUUGCGCGGAUUCCCCUUAUUACGCGUUACUAGCGAGAAUCCGGCCAGUUUCUAGUCGGAUAUUCGGACAAAUUAGCGGCCGGAUUCUGGCCAAGCCCCUUUUUUUUUAUUUUUUGCAUAUCCAGCCGGAAUCUGGCCGGAUUUCAUACGGAUUUCCAGCCGGAUUCAAGGCAGUGUGUCCAAAAUUUUUGUUUUCGUUCCCCUGUUAAUCCAGCCAAGUAUCCGGCCAGUUUAUGGCCGGAUAUAAGGCCGGAUUUGCUGCAGAAAUUUUUUAUUUCUACAGUUUUUCCUUCCGUUUUCUAUUUAACUAAGUUUUUAAUUCACCCAAUUUUCAACUUUUUUCAUUUUCUUCAAGAAAAAUUCACCUUAAAAUGAAAAAUGUGCUUUCUAAACCAAUUGCACUUUGAAACAUGAAAUCAUGCAUCAAUAUAACUUUAUAAUAAAGCACUUUAAAUGCAUCAAAAGGAUCAUUUGAAUAAGAAUACUCCCUUUCUGCUUCCUUCUAAACUAUUUGCUCUUGAAACAAUUGCAUAUACCAUUGCCAUUGCCACCUAUAAAACACACAAAAACACUAAUUAAACAACUAAAACUUAUUAAAAACAAGAAAUCGUUGGGUUGCCUCCCAACAAGCGCUUUUUUAUAGUCAUUAACUUGACUAUUUCACCUCAUUUUUCAAGGAAGUUUAGUUAAAGAAUAAUCCACAAUUUUAGGUCAUAGUGGAUCAUUGUAAGGUGACUUUAUAGCAAAAGCCACAUGAUCUCAUGAUGUGAGUGAUGGAAGUGACUUACCUAUCUCAAAUGUUUCAUAGAUAUUACCUCGAAUAUGUAUCACUUAAGAGCAUGCAAUGAGGAUAUCUUGGGCAACAAUACCUUUAGAACCUAUGCUUUCAAUACACUCCUCAAGAGGAGUGAAAAAUGAGUCAUUAAAACUCACCUCUUGAGGUUCAAGGUUAGUUCCAAAGAUAUUAUCAUAUGAAAUGGACAUUUGCUCAUUGAAACACAAAUUGAAUUCAUUAUUUUGAUCAAAAUGCAAUCUAUUUUCACAUACAACAUUCCCACCAUUCAUGCUAGGAUCAUUUUACAAAUUAUUAAAAGAAAUAACUUCACAUAAUACAUCCAACUGCUCAUGUAUUCUACCAAAGUGAGAAGUUAAUUCAUCUAUUCUUUUCUCAAUCCUAUCAAAACGGUUAGAAAUCACAUUAGCUAAUUUUUUUAUAGCUAACUCCCAAGAUGGCUUAGAAUCAUUAGCUACUCUUUCUAUUGCCAACUCCCAUGAUAGUUUUGAUUCAUAUUGGACACAUUCAGAUUGGUAAUCAUAUAAACAAGAAGAAGCACUAUUAGCACAUUGAUUAUCCCAACCAUAAGCACAAGAAUUGCCCCACUUAGGACCAUAUUGAUCAAGAUAAGGAUUGCAAUGCCCAAAUUCAUUAUAAUAAUCCACAUUUUGUACUUGUAUACAUGUAUAAGUAGCAUGAUCACCUCCACACAAGUCACAAAUCAUUUGAUUAGAAUUAAAAGUAUUAACAUUCCUCUUUUGCUUAAUUUCAUGCAUAAUGGUGUCAAUUUGAACUUGUAACAUGAUUACAUCAAACUUUUCCUUUAAGCACCUUAAACCAUCUUCAAAAGACAUACCUUCAGUAAUUUCUUGGUUACCUCUAUUAAAAGAGUUUUGCACUUGGUAACCAUCCAUUGCCAAUCUUUCAUUUUUCAAGCAUUGUCCUCCAAAUUGACCUACCCUCCUCAUUAUCUAAAAUUACUUUUAAACAACUUAAGAGCAAGAUUUGUAAGAAGAAUAGGUUAUAAAACACACACACAAUAAACACUAAAAUAACAGAAAAUAACAUUUACACUAUAACUAAUAAAAUGUCUAAACUAAUAAAGUUGCUCUUCACACAGAUAUUGCCAAAUCUUUCCUGGCAACGGUGUCAAAAACUUGAUGGAGUUUUGCUAUACGUACAAGUUAAAAUCCGAUUUACACCCGUUUUACUGCAAGUAUACAGGUCAACUAGUAGUUUAGGAUAUAUAUCGGGUCGAUCCCACGAGAAAGAUUGAACAAUUACCGACACUACUAAAGGUUCUCUAUUAUUUAGACUAUCAAUGAAUUAUAACAAGUAAAACCUACUGAACUUAUACAAGAAAAUAACAAAUGACAGCUCCUUAGGUUAUGGUAUCCCUAACUACUCAUGCAAGUGUGAUAUUUGGAUCAUUGAAUACUACUAUCUAGGCUAGUUAUAGUGUAAUUUCUUUAUGUAUAUGAAACCUACUUUCGUAGUGAAUCAAUUAUACUCAUAACUAAUCCAUACCUAUUCUCAUGGUUAUGAAAUUAGUUAUAAGUUCAUUUUUUCAAUGAAAUUACUUGAAAUGAAUCACUAAAACCACAUAGGUGCACCUCUACUCUCGUGAGUGUACUCCCUGACGUGCGCGGGGUAUACAUAUAAUAUUAAACUCAUCCCAAUCAAGUUUUACAUUUAUAAAUUCCUAAAUACCCCACACGCGAUUUAUCGCAAGUAUACGAAUCGUGAGCGAGUAUAGGGUAUUAAGGGUCGAUCCCACAGGGAAGAAUGCAAUUACCGAUAUUUUUCGAACUCCUUUAUUAUCUAGACUAUCAUAAAUAUAAAAGUAAUAAAAUUAACACUAGAAAGCUUCUAGAGAUAUGAAAUUCCUUACUACUCUUGCAAAUGAGAUUACCGGUUAAGUGAAUGCUAUUAUUUUGACUAGUUAUAGCGUAAUUUCCUAACGUAUGUGAAACCAACUUUCGUAGUGAAUCAACUAUACUUGUAAUUAAGCCAUACCUACUCUCGUGGUUAUGAAAUUAACUACAAGUUCAUUUCUUCUAUGAAAUUACAUGAAACAAGUCACUUAAGCCACAUAAGUGCACCUCUACUUUCGUGAGUGUACUCCCUAGGCCACUUCUUUGAACUAGUGUUAAAUUCCAAUUUUCAUUGCAAACUUAACACCUUAUGAUUAUCAUAAUUAAUGGCCAGUUAAUCAUGAUUAGAUAACCAAAAGUGAUAAAUAACGUGCUCAAAAUAAUAUCAUCAAAUAGCCAAGUAAACCUCACAAACCAAAUAUAGCAAGUUCAACCAUAACUCUAGGCAUAAACUUUAACUAAACAUAAUAAAAACACAAAGCCAACUUGUAUUAUAAUUAAACAUGAAAUCCAAUACAAGAGAGAAAGUAGUAGAAGAGAUAUCACCCUUGUCACAUGAGAUCAACCUCUUCAUCUUUGCCCCUCCAAUCUUCAUCCAAAUCUAACUACAAAUACAAGAUGGAUAAACUACUCUACCUAUACUAUACUAAUGAACCAAGGAAACUCUAGUGAAAACUACAUUUCUGGUGAGUUUCUCUAGCCUUCUCCCAAGUUAUUUUGAAUCCUGCAAGUCCAUGGCUAUAUAUAGAUGAAUGCAAUUAGGAAAUGAGGCUUGAAACAUCCCUUUUACAGCUGCUAAUUGGUUGUCAUACGUUCAUCCAUAGCUGUAAAUUGUUGAAGGAGAAAACAGGUUGUACCAGCAGCUAUUUCUGACCAGAAUUUGGCUACUUCAACUGCUAUUUUCUCUAUGAUGACGGCUGAAUUAGCUCUUGUGCAAAACAUAGAAGUUGUAGUCCAUUGAAAUAGCUGUCCAAUGCCUUAAGAAUCAUCCAAUUUGGAGCUGUAUAGACCGAGAUAUGAUAAAAUUACCACUGACUGGUCAAUUCCGCGUUUUCAGCUCUCAGCAGCAGACUUUUACUUCUGUAUUUUGACAUUUUGACCAGGAAAACAGUCGAAUUGGACUUUGAUGUUUUCAUACAAAAUAUAGAUCUGUCUCUUAGCUUCGAAAAUUGUUCAAGAAUCAUCUCAAUCCAAUGCAUGUAGCUCAAGAUAUAGCCAAAAUACCAAUAGAUGCCAAAGCUGACUUUUGUUUGAUUCUUUUGUUCUUAAAUUGCAUUUCCCAGCUGAGUUGAAUUUCGGUAUUUCAACUUUUGGACAAUGAAAACGGCUGAAUUAGAUUCUGAUGUCUUCAUACCAAAUUUAUAUCUAUCUCUUAGCUUCAAAAUGGUAUAAAGAUCACUUCAAUCCAAUCUGUGUAGCUCCAGAUAUAGUUAAAAUACCAAAAUGUCUCAGAGUUGUCAAAGCUGACUUUUCUUGAUUCAAAUUGCAUUUCUCCUUUUACACUUCAUAUUUUAUUUUCACCAUUUUAAUCCAUCUUCAAUCAUCCAAAUAUCUUCUCAAUACACUUCAUUUGAUGAUUGAAUCAUUAAACCUACAAAAUAUGAAGUUUUUACCAUAAAAAUCAAUAGAAAUGCAAUUUUCACACUUUAACCACAAAAUGCAUAUUUUCACUAGAAUUUUAGUUAAUUAUUUAUAAAAUUAAAUAAAACACACCAAAACUAAUUAAUAAAGUACACUAAAAAUACGUAAAAUAUACUCUUAUCAAAUACCCCCACACUUGAACCAUUGCUUGUUCUCAAGCAAUAAGAAAUACAAACCAACAAUGAUUCAAUUUUUGAAAAUAAACAUAUGUGCAUCAUUCCUCUUCAUUUUCUCAAAAAUAAGGUUAACAACCAUUAUGCAAUCAUUCAAUUAAGCUCAAGUACUCAUAAUAUCAAGUAAAGGAGAGCCAAUUAUACCGUCAUUAUAACAAAUUCAAAUCAAUUUUUCGUCCUUACCCAAUCUUACAAGUAAGUAACUCAUAUGGUCAAUAAAAUACUUCCUAAACUCAUGAUGAUUUUCUUAUUCCAAUUUAAAGAGGGAUUUAUUCAUAUAGUGUAGCUAAAUAUUACUUAAGUUGUGAAAGUGUCUUUUGACGCGAGAAUCGACAUUUUUAGAUUAAAAUCACAGGUUACUCAACACUUUACAUACUCAAAUUGCUUUGCAUACUCUUAAUUCGAAUACCGUUUUACGCGAAAGCCGACAUUUGUAGAUGAAGACUUCCGAUUACUAAGUAUAAGAAUCAUUGGAGUAGAACAAAUCUUAUUUUCUUUUUUCUUCUUUUUUUUCAAUUUUUUUCUUCUUCUUUUUUUAACAGCAAAGAUAAUAAUAAUUUUCUUAAAAGAAUAAUCAUGAGAAGAGUAUUGCACUUAUUAACCAUAUUUAUCACUUAACUUAUAAAAUCCAAUAAAGAGAAGAAAUUUCAAUAAAUAUGCACAAAAAAAAAUAGGCAUAAUUUUCUCCAUUUUACAAGAUAUAUUUUCCUAUAAGUACACGAAUUAUAAUCACAUAAUAGUCAUUUCCAAAUUAAAUAAGAAAAGAAGUUUUCAAAUCACAUAUAUUUAUCUCAAAUGCAGAAGGAAUUUGAACUACUAAUGGUAUGAAACUUUCUACCCCUUUAGAUAAAAAAAAAAUUGAAACUUUUUUGGGGCAAAUUCGUAAAUUUGGACAAGAUUUUGAAAACAAAUUUUGAAUUUAAGCACAAGUUCAAUAUUUGCAACCAACAAGUCAAUCACAUACAAUGUAUAUAAUCUCAAUUCUUCCCCCCACACUUAAUAUGCACAUUGUCCUCAAUGUGUAAAAAGAAAAAUUAAGAUAAAGAAAAGUAAUACUCCCCUAUUGUUGCGAUCGAAAUGCCAAAGCAUGAAAUUCACGAACCAUUGUCUACUUAUUUCCAAUGCUUCAUGCGUUCCAUUUGAUAAUCAUUAGUAAUAUUAACCUAAAGAUAGAAAAUGAAAAAUAACCAAAUAACUUAAUACAUAAUUUAAACAUGAAAUCACACAAAAAUAAAAUAGCCAAAACAUUGGGUUACCUCCCAAUAAGCGCUUUUGUUUAUAGUCAUUGGCUCGACUUUUUCACCUCAUUUUUUCUUCAAGGAGGCUUAGUUAACGAAUAAUCUACCAUUUUUGGACGUGGUGGAUCAUUAAAUGGUGACUUUAUAGCAAAAGUCACAUGAUCUAAUGAUGUGAGAAAUAGAAGUGACUGACCUAUCCCAAGUGUUUCAUAGAUAUUACCUUGAGUAUACACCACUUGAGAACUUACCAAAUGAAAUGCCAUGAGAGUAUCUUGAGCAGCAAUACCCUUAGAACCUAUACUUUCAAUGCACUCCUCAAGAGGGGUGAAAAAUGAGUCAUUGAAACUCACCUCUUGAGACUCAAAAUUAGUUCCAAAGAUAUUAUCAUGUGAAAUGGAUAUUUGCUUAUUAAAACACACUUGAGAUUCAUCAUUUUCAUCAAAAUGCAACCCAUUUUCACAUACAACAUUCCCACCAUUCAUGCUAGGAUCAUUUUGCAAAUUAUUAGAGAAAAUAACUUCACACAAUGCAUUCAAUUGCUCAUGUAUUCUACCAAAGUGAGAAGCUAAUUCAUCUAUUCUUUCCUCAAUCCUAUCAAAACGGUCGGAAGUUGCAUUUGCUAGCUUUUCUAAUACUAAAUCAAAUUGAUUAGAAAAAUUUUCUACAACUAGCUUUCAAGAUGCAUUAGAAUCAUUAGUUAACGGUUCACUUUCUAACUCCCAAGGUAGAGGUGCAUUAGCUAACUUCUCUAUUGCCAACUCCCAAGAUGGUUUUGAUUCAUAUUGGACACUUUCAGGUUGGUAAUCAUAAAAAUAUGGAUAAUCACUAUAUGUACAUUGAUUAUCCCAACCAUUAGCAGGAGAAUUGCUCCAAUUAGCACUAUAUCGAUCAAAACAAGGAUUGUAAUGCUCUAAUUUAUCAUAAUAAUCCACAUUUUGUGCUUGCACACAUGUGUUAGUAGCAUGAUAACUUCCACACAAGUCACAAAUCACAUGAUAAGAAUUAAAAGUAUUAACAUUCCUCCCUUGCUCAAUUUCAUGCAUAAUUGUGUCCAUUUGAACUUGUAGCAUCAUAACAUCAAAUUUAGCCUUUAAGCACCUUAAACCAUCUUCAAAAGACAUACAUUCAGUUAAUUCUUGGUUACCUCUGUUGAAAGAGCUUUGCACUUGGUAACCAUCCAUUGCCAAACUUCCAUUUCUCAAGCAUUGUCCUCCAAAUUGACCUACCCUUCUCAUCACCUAAAAUUGCUUCUAAACAACCUCAAAAGCAAAAUUAGUAAGAAAAAUAGGUAAUGAAACACAUACACACAUAAAACACAAAAAUAACAGAAAAUAACAUUCACACUAUAACUAAUGAAAUGUUUAAACUAAUAAUGUUGCUCUUCACACCGAUAUUGCCAAAUCUUCCCCGGCAACGGCGCCAAAAACUUGACGUGCGCGGGGUAUAGAUAUAAUAUUAAACUCAUCCCAAUCAAGUUUUACAUUUAUAAAUUCCUAAAUACCCCACACGCGAUUUAUCGUAAGUAUACGAAUCGUGAGCGAGUAUAGGGUAUUAAGGGUCGAUCCCACAGGGAAGAAUGCAAUUACCGAUGUUUUUCGAACUCCUUUAUUAUCUAGACUAUCAUAAAUAUAAAAGUAAUAAAAAUAACACUAGAAAGCUUCUAGAGAUAUGAAAUUCCUUACUACUCUUGCAAAUGAGAUUACCGGUUAAGUGAAUGCUAUUAUUUUGACUAGUUAUAGCGUAAUUUCCUAAUGUAUGUGAAACCAACUUUCGUAGUGAAUCAACUAUACUUGUAAUUAAGCCAUACCUACUCUCGUGGUUAUGAAAUUGACUACAAGUUCAUUUCUUCUAUGAAAUUACAUGAAACAAGUCACUUAAGCCACAUAGGUGCACCUCUACUUUCGUGAGUGUACUCCCUAGGCUUAUCACUUCUUUGAACUAGUGUUAAAUUCUAAUUUUCAUUGCAAACUUAACACCUUAUGAUUAUCAUAAUUAAUGGCCAGUUAAUCAUGAUUAGAUAACCAAAAGUGAUAAAUAACGUGCUCAAAAUAAUAUCAUCAAAUAGCCAAGUAAACCUCACAAACCAAAUAUAGCAAGUUCAACCAUAACUCUAGGCAUAAACUUUAACUAAACAUAAUAAAAAAACAAAGCCAACUUGUAUUAUAAUUAAACAUGAAAUCCAAUACAAGAGAGAAAGUAGUAGAAGAGAUAUCACCCUUGUCACAUGAGAUCAACCUCUUCAUCUUUGCCCCUCCAAUCUUCAUCCAAAUCUAACUACAAAUACAAGAUGGAUAAACUACUCUACCUAUACUAUACUAAUGAACCAAGGAAACUCUAGUGAAAACUACAUUUCUGGUGAGUUUCUCUAGCCUUCUCCCAAGUUAUUUUGAAUCCUGCAAGUCCAUGGCUAUAUAUAGAUGAAUGCAAUCAGGAAAUGAGGCUUGAAACAUCCCUUUUACAGCUGCUAAUUGGUUGUCAUACGUUCAUCCAUAGCUGUAAAUUGUUGAAGGAGAAAACAGGUUGUACCAGCAGCUAUUUCUGACCAGAAUUUGGCUACUUCAACUGCUAUUUUCUCUAUGAUGACGGCUGAAUUAGCUCUUGUGCAAAACAUAGAAGUUGUAGUCCAUUGAAAUAGCUGUCCAAUGCCUUAAGAAUCAUCCAAUUUGGAGCUGUCUAGACCGAGAUAUGAUAAAAAUACCACUGACUGGUCAAUUCCGCAUUUUCAGCUCUCAGCAGCAGACUUUUACUUCUGUAUUUCGACAUUUUGACCAGGAAAACAGUCGAAUUGGACUUUGAUGUCUCAUACAAAAUGUAGAUCUGUCUCUUAACUUCGAAAAUUGUUCAAGAAUCAUCUCAAUCCAAUGCAUGUAGCUCAAGAUAUAGCCAAAAUACCAAUAGAUGUCAAAGCUGACUUUUGUUUGAUUCUUUUGUUCUUAAAUUGCAUUUCCCAGCUGAGUUGAAUUUCGGUAUUUCAACUUUUGGACAAUGAAAACGGCUGAAUUAGAUUCUGAUGUCUUCACACCAAAUUUAGAUCUAUCUCUUAGCUUCAAAAUGGUAUAAAGAUCACCUCAAUCCAAUCUGUGUAGCUCCAGAUAUAGUUAAAAUACUAAAAUGUGUCAGAGUUGUCAAAGCUGACUUUUCUUGAUUCAAAUUGCAUUUCUCCUUUUACACUUCAUAUUUUAUUUUCACCAUUUUAAUCCAUCUUCAAUCAUCCAAAUAUUUUCUCAAUGCACUUCAUUUGAUGAUUGAAUCAUUAAACCUACAAAAUAUGAAGUUUUUACCAUAAAAAUCAAUAGAAAUGCAAUUUUCAUACUUUAACCACAAAAUGCAUAUUUUCACUAGAAUCUUAGUUAAUUAUUUAAAAAUUAAAUAAAACACACCAAAACUAAUUAAUAAAGUACACUAAAAAUACGUAAAAUAUACUCUUAUCACUCCCUAUGUUUAGUACUUUUUGAACCAGUGUUUAAAUCUCAAUUUUCAUUGCAGAAAUAGCACUUUAGAUAAUCAGAACUAAUGGUAUCAGAUUAAUCAUGAUUUAAAGAGCUAAAGUGCUAAAUAACUUGCUCAAAUAACCAAAUAAUAAACACUAACAAUCAUAGAAAGUUCAACUAAACCCAAGGUAUAAACUUUAGAGACACAUAAAUAACAUAAAAUCCAGAACUUGCAUAUUAAUUAUACUUAAGACUCCAAUACAAAAGAUAAAGAGUUGGAGAAAAGAUAACCCAUGUCACUUGAGCUUCAAAUCCUCCUUCUUCAUCUCCAUCUUCAUCCUAAUCUAGCCAAUAUAUAAGAAUGGAUGAACUAACUAGCUAAACUAUCCUACACUAAAGAAAUGGAAGAACUACAUUUCUGCACUUCCGAGUUUUCUCCUGUAUGUUUCUCCCUUCAAUCUUGCAAUUGUUUUGGCUAUAUAAAGAUAAAGGUGGUCAAGGAAUGAGGUUUACACCUCCCUUUUACAGCUGCAAAGUGGUUGUCACAUGUCUAGCCUUACAUGUGACUUGUUGGAGAUGAAAUCAAGUUGUCCGCGUAAAGAGCAGCUUUUUUUUACCACAAUCCUGCCAGAAAUCUGGCCAUAAAUCCAUCCAAGUUUAGGCCGGAUUGCUACAGUGACCUUUUGUGCAAUUUCUGUUCAAUUUCCAGCUCUGCUCCGAUUUUGCCUCAACUUCAACUAAACUUUUCUUGAUGAUAGAAGCUGAUUUAACUCUUGACCAAAACAUAAAACUUGUAACCCUUUGUGUUAGCUUUCCAAUGCAAGAAUUAACUCAAUUGGAUUUGUGUAGUUUGAGAAAUGAUUGAAAUACCCUUGACUGCUCAAUACUCUGUUUUAGUUUCGACUAAUAGAAAUUGGCUACUGUAAUUCGAUUUUUUGACCUAGAAAACCUUAGAACUGGAUUUUGAUGUUUUCACCGAAGUUGUAGAUCUAUCUCUUAUCUUCAAAUUGCUUCAAGAAUCAUCUCAAUCCGAUCACUGUAGCUCAAGUUAUAGCCGAAAUGCGAAAAUGUGUCAAAGCUAUCAAAAUGCACAAAAUGCAAGUAAAAAGUGAUAAAAAUCUCAUUUAAUCACUUAAGACAUUUUUCCCCAAUUAUAGCCAAAAUAAUUCAUUUUCUUCCAAUAAUAUAACCAAAGUGACUAAAAAUAAUAUAAAAUAUCAUUCAAUUAUUACGUAAAUUAGUCACUUAUCACUCCUCUUUCUGUCUUCUCUCUUUAGAAAAAGCUUUCUAACUAGAACUCCUUUCAACUCUCCUAUGGGAGAGAGAUCAGAUUAUUAUGAUCUUUAUCUAUGAAAGGAGUUCUCUUUAUAGUUUCUUUUAUUUGUGUGAAUAAAAUCUCUUCUAAGAUUUUCUAACGAGACUUUCUUCUCUCAUUAGGUUGGCUAGUGAGAGUUAAAAACUGAUGACACUAAUUCAUUUCACUUAAAAAAAAAAAACUGAUGACACUCACAUGAUCACUUCUCUAGGAGUCAUAAUUCUUAUUCACCAGACCCAUUGUCAAACAAGAUAGCAUAAAGGUCACCUGCAGGUUACUCUAUCAUGUUUGAUUAUGAGUUUGGUGGAUAAAAAUUAGGAUUCUCUAUUCAAGAGGUGGUCAUAUAAUAGUCUUGUGCUUUGUUUUUUUUUUUUUUUGGAAGAAAAUAAAUUGUGGGCACAUAAGAGGCGUGCAUAUUUUGGCCAAAAAACUAAUAAAAAAUGAGCUUUGUGACUAAAAGGAUGCAUUUUUUUAAUAUAUUUAAGGGGCUAUUUUAGCUAAUUCUAAUUGUGAGGGGCUCAAAAGUUAUUGAAAAUGGAAGGGACCAAUUUGAUAAUUUUUUCUUUAUUAUAAUAUUAUUUGCAUGUGUAAUAUUAAUGGAAUAGGGGCCACACAAGUUUUAUUUUCCACAAGUUUGCUCUUUGACGUAACUGGGUUGGAAAAUAGUAUAACAAAAGUUUAAAUAUAUUGUAAUUGAAUUGAAAUAUAGUGCAAUAAAUUGUGAAAUUAUGAACUUGUCCUGAAAUCGAGUAAAGUACAACCCUAUAUCCAGAAACCAUUAUUGUGCAUAAAAAAUUGUUUUAUUCGGAAACAGUACCCACCACAUGCGAGCCAACUUAGAGCUCAGAAGAAGUAUAUGGUUGCAGCGGAAUCAAUCUCAAGAAACCAACGUUGUACCUAAGACAUUAUUUUAUUUUUAGCAGAAAACCUUAAUUAUAAACUUAAGUAGACGGACAAUCAUAGAGUUCCAGUGUCGACGCAUCCAACGCUAGCUCGCCAAAUCUAGGCCUUGUUCGAAUUGCAUUUUUUGCCAAAAACUUUUGUAAAUUUUCUUGAGAAUUUUUUUAUUAUACAUCACAUUUUAAGAAAAGUAGUAUAAUAUAUUUUUAUAUAAAACUCUCAAAAACUAUAAUAUACAUCUUUAAAAAUUUACUACAGUAUAUUUUUCUAUAAUAACUUUUAAAAAUUACAAUCUGAAUCGACUAUUAGUCUCACUAAAUAGAUAGUCGAAAUUGAAAACGAAAUGAUUUCACGUGACCUGGCCAAAUUAAGACCCCAUAAAUUCCAUUCGUUUCAUCAAAUUAAUAUUUGUUUGGAUAGUAAAUUCUUUGCCAAAUUUUAUUUACUUGCAUCAUUGACAUAUUUUUCAAUCUCCUUUUUAUCUCACAUACAUCACGUCCAAAAAGUAUUACAGUAUUUUGUUCUAAAAAAUUAUUUCAAAUAAUUUACUACCCAAACACACUGACCUAAGUUAGGUCUUUUGGAGCCUUACCCAAACACACUUGCAAGUGUGUUUUUUUUUUUUUUUCUUUAAAGGUAUACAGUUUUUUUGUUUGAAAGCAUACAUCUACUAGGUAAAUUUGAAUGUUUUAUUUGAAUUGGUACUUGAGGAAGUAAAAUUUUGUCCUCAGUUAUGAUUUACUCUAAGUCUGUCUGUAGUGGUACCUCUUGUUCGGCACAAUGGCAUAAAAAAGACAGUUAUUAAUCUAAGAAGCAAUUAUUAAAUUGUAAGAGUUGAAAGAGACAAGAAAGACAUAAUCUGAAAUAAUCAAAACUAUUGGAAAAAUAUUGGAGUCCAAAUCGAAGAGAUCGACAGCUAGAAUCAUGUGAUCAAGACUUGCAACUACCACUUAAGAGCACUGAAUUCUUUAUCAACUCAUGAAUCACCCGGUAGCAUUAUUGAUUAUCUGUCGGUACGAAUUAUGAAGUCAAUUGGAUGUAUCCGUAACAUAAGAUGCAAAUCAAAGCUCAGAAGAAAUGUAAGAAUCGAUAUCCAGAAACCAUUAUUGUGUAUAAUAAAUUGUCUUAUACAGCAAGUUAAAUUCUAUCUAGUUCAAAUCAGUUUGUAUAAUUUUUAGUACAUUUCGUGUAAAUUUGUAUGGUUUUGAUAUAAACAUCAAAUUAAUUAUAAAAAAUGUGCCCGUUUAGUCUCAAAACUCACUUUCGAUCAAUUUUUAAGCCAAAAAGUGCACCAUCUCUCUGGUUCCCACAAUUUCAAUGGCAAAAUUGAAACACAAUUUCUUUCUCUUUAAAAAAAAAAGACAUGACAAUCACAUAACCACUCCUCUAGCAAAGGAACCUUAAUUCUUAUCCACCAGAUCCAUAAUCGAACAAGAAAGUGUAAAGGUCAUCUCUAGUUUACUCUUUCUUCGAUUGUGAAUUUGGCGGAAAAUAAUUAGAAUUCCCUAUUCAGGAGGUGGUCAUAUGAUUGUCAUGUGCUUUUUUGGGAAGAAAAUAAAUUGUGUUCCCAUUUUUCUAUUUAAAUUAUGGGUACCUAAGAAAGGCAUGCACUUUUUGGCUAGAGAACCGAUGAAGAAAUGAGCUCGCAGACUAAAAGGACGCUUUUCUUUUUUAUAUUUUGAUGGACUAUUCCGACUAAGUCUAAUUUUGAUGGACUAAAAAAAGCUUUUACCAAAAAUUUAAGAGACGAAUAUGGCAAUUUUUCUUUGACUAUAAUAUAAUCUGCAUGUGUUAUAUUAAUAGGAUCAGGGGCUGACGGGGUCUCACAAGUUUGCUUUUUAAUGUAAUUGAGUUGGAAAAUAGUGUACCAAGAGUUGAAAUAUGAUGUGAUUGAGUUACAAAAUGGUGUAAUAAAAUAUGAAAAAUAUUAAAUACCUGAAAUUCAGUAGAAAUACAACUUUCAGGCCUUGAAUUGAGAUUAGAAGGGGCUCUCCAGAACUAAACAGGUAAAUCCAAUCUAAGAAACAAUAAUUAAAUUGCAAAGAUUGAAAUGAGAAAGACAUAAUCUAAGAUAAUCAAAAUCCAAUCUAAGAAACAAUGGCAUAAUAAAAUAUGAAAUUACUAGAUACCCGAAAUCGAGUAGAAAUACAACUUGUCAGGCCUCGAAUCCAGAUUAGGAGGGCCUCUCCAGAACUAAGCAUGUAAAUCCAAUCUAAGAAACAUUGGUGCAAUAAAAUAUGAAAUUAUUAAAUACCCAAAAUCGAGUAGAGAUACAACUUGUCAAGUCUCGCGUCCAGGUCAAGGGGCCUCUCGAAAACUAAACAUGUAAAUCCAAUCUAAAAAACAAUUAUUAAAUUGCAAAGAUUGAAAUGCACAAGAAAGAUAUAAUCUAAAAGAAUCAAAAUAUGUAGUUAAAAACUCAAUUUUCUUUAUUCAAACCCAAUUUCUAAGCAGGUCUAGUCAAUGUCUGUUCAACUCAAUUGAUUAACUCGGACGGAAUGCCCACCGGAUCCUCAGUUCAAUGUUUGGAAUCUGUUGGUCCCGUAUGGUUUAAAAACGGUGUUAUAUGUUGAUAGAUAAUUGGGAGACAAGGUGGAUAAGGAAAACUCUCGUGAAACCAAUGCGUUCUGAUUUUCAACUACAUAUCUUUAUGGGAUAAGACUUAGAGAGCUGGUUUUUUUUUUUUCCCGUACGAUAGCUUCUUACACUAUUGGGGAGGGGGAGGAUCUGAAGAGGUCCAAGGAUAAUUUGAAGAUAAUUGAACCACCACCAGACUAAACGGAUGCACUAUGCACCUACCUGGAUUUUUUUAAAUAAUGCCACAUUUAAUUGAGGCACCCCACCAAGUUUUAAUACUUUGGUGGUGGUCACCAACCCAAAGGCUAUGUUUUCAAACUCGGACCGGGACUCGACUCGGUAGAGGUCGGGGGUCAGGGGUCAAUGGGUUCGACCGGGGUCGAUAGGGGGUCGACUCGGAUGACGUCAUAUAUACGUCAUAUAUAUAUAUAUAUUAUAUACACACACACACAUACCUGCAAAUCAAAUUUACAAAAUAUAACCAAAGAACCCAAUCAUCUAAAUUUAUAUCUAAUUCAUCAAACAAUUCACCAAAUUCAUCCAAACUCACAAAUUUAUAAAAUAGAAAUCCCAUAUAUGUUCAAUCAUUAACAAAUAGCAAUCCAAAUAAGGUAACAAGUUCAUGUUCAAAUGCUUGAUAAUAUCAAUCUAAAUAAAACACCAUGUUCCAAAGAACUAUCUAAGCCAUUCUUCAUCUUCAUCUUCAUCAUCCUUAUCUCCAAUUUCAUAACUUUCGAAGUCGAUAUCAUCAACAUCAUCCUCAUCAUCAAGUUGCACAAUAUUUGUGUCUUUCUUAUCUACAAAUCAUUUAAAUACUCAUAAAUAAAAAUAUUCAAAAAUAGACACAAAUUAAAAAGAAACUUAAAUAAAGUUAGCAAAUAUAAACUUACGUGAUUGAGAGGCUUCAUUCUCGCUAGUUUUGGGAAAUUCUUCUUCAAUCAUUUCUUCUAACUCAUCAUAAUCAAGCUCUCCUUCUUGUUCCUCAUCAAUUACCCAAAAUUAAACUUUAUCAAUAGUUUCAUAAUCCACCGGAUCAUAAGACCUCUUUUUAUAUCCACCGGAUCUUUUUCAACCAGAGUCACCUGAUUAAUUAGGAAAAUUUCACUAAUGCCAUAUACAACGUAUCUUUAGGCAUGUCAAUUGAGCCUAAUAGGUUGGGUUCUGAAGUAGCCAAGUUUAGACUUAGUGAAAAACAUAACAACUUAGCAGCAAAAGUCUGAUUCAGGCUGAUUUGAGGUUAAUAAAACAUAACAACUUAGCAACAAAAGUCUGAUUCAGGCUGAUUCAGGCUGAAAAACAUAACAACUUAGCAACAACUUAGCCAAGUUUUGAGGUUAAUUCUGGGAUUAGGUUUAUAAAACAACAAAAGUCUGAUUCAGGCUGUUGAAAAAAGACAAAUUGCCUCAGGGUUGAAAGGGUAUUGGGUGGUAGUAUCCCACUUAGCAGCAGGUCCCCCCUAUAGGUACAUUUGUCCCACAUCGGGGUUGGGGUUGGGUUUGGGUUGGGAUAUAAGUCCCUGGGAUUGCCUCAAGAGUUGCCGGCUUUUGAGGUUAAUUCUGGGAUUAGGUUUAUAAAACAACAAAAGUCUGAUUCAGGCUGUUGAAAAAAAAAAAAAAAACAUAACAACUAGUUUCAGGUUAAAUCGAUUUGGGUUUUGAAACAUUAUGGCUCAAACUCGGCCCUUUUAUUUCAUUGGGCUUCAGGGUCCAAAAUGAGCUUGUCAAAAUUCAACAAUUUCUCAUUCAUAUUUUUCUAAACAGAUAAGACAUUAAUUAAAUAAAAUCAAGGUUUAUGAUUUUAAGAACAAGAUUUAUCAUAAUUACUAUUACACAUUUUUUUAACAUAAUAGUUUUUUUUUAAUGGCAAACCUCAUACAGGAGAGGAAUGCCGACCCUUUAAUUUAUUCAUGCAACUAAAAUUAAAAAUUACAAGAAUUUGAGGGGGUCGAACCUGAUCUCUAAAUCACGGAGCCAUUAAAAUGUGGCAAGAAUUGUGAGAAGGUCUAGCUAUUAAAAUGUGCAUAUGAUUGGCGGUGCUAAAUUAUAAGACCUGGAGGUUUAUCAUACUUGUCUGUCCUCUCAAAAUCAUCUUCCAUUCAAAGUAAUCCUCAUCCAUUUCAUCCCUUCCAUGUAAUCCUCAUCCAUUUCAUCCAUGUAAAAAUGGUAGAAAGUUUUUAACAUACGCCACAAUAGUAAAGUUUUUGAAAAAUCACAGGCAUCAUAUUCGGGCAACAAUAAAUUUGCAAACUGAUACAUUUGUCUUUCAUAUAGGUGAUUCAGUUAGCUGGAAAGGGAGAAACGUGCAUAAAAGAAAGGGAGAGAACUGAGAACAGAGCACAACAGUUGUGGCCUUCGUAUUAGUUUCACACCCGCAAAAUCCAAUCCCGAAGGCCCAGCAUAAUGAAUCAAAAAAUUCCAGCCACAUAUCAACUUUAGCAUAACAAAUCAGCAAUAAUAGCCUUCAGAUUGUAAAAAUUACCAGAUUUAGGCUUUAGCUUCAGUUCACCCGCUUGCUAACUACUUGCUUCUCUUGAAAUCUGAACGAACUGGUGGUGUUGCGGCGGCGGAGGCCAGCGAUUGAAGGCUGUGGAUCUCAAGAGUGAUGGAGGCCAGAGAUCGGCGAUGGAUCUCAAGAGCGGCGGUGGUGGCUGAACGGCUAUCGGCGAGGUUAUCGCCUAUCGGCUGAAGAAGAAACACUCAAUUGACUCAAACAGAAGCUCACGAAAGCUUUUGUCAAUUUUGCUCUAUUUUUUCAGUCAAUUUUUAGCGUUUUUAGUUGGUCAAUUUGUCAAAGUCUGACCCAAAAAAAGGCCGAAAAUGGAAAAAAAUAAAAAACCGGAGUUAAUCAAAAAUUCCGGUUCACCGGUCCAACCCGAGUUAUGACCGAGUUUGACCGGUUUUUUAACAGCCGAGUUUUUUAGCUAGCUCGGACCGGAUGCCUGCCCGGUUCCCGGUCCGACCGGCCGGUCCGGUCCGAGCCUGAAAACACAGCCCAAAGGCUGGUGGUUGACUCAGAGACCAAUCUUUCAUGGGAACAGUAAGGACGGUCCCAUAUGUAGAAUAAAGGGGUAAUUUCAGAGACCUUCCCUAAGGUUUUUGAUAGUCUCGCUGUCCUUCCCUAAGAUUUUCAAAAUAUUGAAAACCUCCCCUAAAACUAAUUAGCUAGUAACAAAUCAGCCCAAUUCAAAUACAAAAACAAUAUAAAAUUAGUGUUAGAAGAGAGAAAACAAUUUAAUUCCAUAACUACCCUCAAGUUUUGCAUUAGAUAGUUAAUUUACUCAGAACAAUAUACAUUUAUUUUAACUUUAUCAAAUGCUGAUCCAUGAAUUUUAAUGUUGAGAUUUUGCUUAAUAAUCAAACCAUUUGCUUAUGGAUGUUUGUUGAAUAUUUUAUAUUCUUAGAUUAGUUAGUCAUAAAUUGAAAGAGUUCUUGAUCUUGAAAGCUGACUGGAGAGAUAUUUCUUGAAAAUUAUCACUAAUACUUGACAUAUGUUUUUAAUUGUAUUGUGGCAAUAGAUGAUUCGAGUAAUAGCCAUUGUUUGAAUUUAAUUGCUUGAUUUGUGUUCUCAUGCUUGAGAACAAGCAUUAUUUAGGUGUAGGGGAAAUUGAUAGGUCAUAAUUUGUUACUAAAUUUAUAAUUAUUUUCCCCUUGAUUUUAGCCAAAUAUUAUUUUAAUUGAUAGAUUCUACUUAUAUUUGGUUAACGGUGCCAAUUGUAGGAAAAUGAGCAAAAUAUGAUAAAAGAGGUAAUUUUUCAAGAAUUACUGUCAAGUCUAGAGAAGUUCGGGAUUCAAAGCUAGAAAGUCGGGAUUGAUAUUGGGCAGUUUCUCAAUCCAAGUCAAAUUCCAAAACUUGACAGCUACUGAAGUUUCCUAUUUCUUUGCAUUCCAUGUCAAUCUCGAGCAAUUGGAAGAGUUUUUAGAAAAUUGAAUUGUAAUAGGAAACUCUUUAAGAAUUUGAUUCGUAUUAGGAAACCAAUCAAUUAAGCAAUUCGGCAGGGAGAAUUCAGCAUAUAGCUCUUGCUUAGGGACAAAGCAUAGUUAUUCUUGUUUUCUUGACCGAUAGACAAGAAGACAAUUGGAAAGCUUCGAACAGAUUUUUGCAUGGCUUGUUCUUCAUUAAUGGAGAACUAUUUCAUAUUUCUAGUCAAGGGGACAACUGAAGAUUUGGUUCAAUAAUAACUGUGAGAUCUAAAUUAUUUUAAUUGCUUCUUUUAUUCAUUGGUAUUUAUAUGUUUUCUGCUUUUAGUGGUUAUGACUAUUGUGUAUGAUUGAAUAGUCGCGCAAUAUUUAAUUAUUUACAUAGUCUAUUUGGUAAUUGGGGGUAGUUGAAUCCAUAAUUGUUUGAUUACUCCAUCCCGGUAGCAACUAGCAUGAGUGGUUUCAUGUUAGGGAAACGUAUGAUAUAACUUAAACGAACCCUCGUAGCGUGUUUAUUGGUUAGGGUUGGCCUUUUCCAAAUUUUAUUGCAAUCGAGAAAUUAAAUCCUAUGAUCGUACCUAGGGUUAUUUCUUGGUUAGGAAAAUAGUUAAUGGUCGUACCUUGACUAUCGAAAAAGUAAGGAAAGACUGGUUGUUUAUCGUAUGCAUGACAACUAUAACCAAUCUAUUAAUGAGUAAUUGAAUUGUCUUUGCAUCGAUGAUCAGUUGAAUUAACUGUGUCUGAAAAGUUGCACAUUGGAUUAGAAUUGUAUUGGUUAUUGAUUAAUUCAUGUUUAUUUCUGUUAGUUGUUUCAUUAGUUAGUUAAUUAGUUAUUUUAUAUUCUCCAAAAACCUCUCAUUCUUCAGACCCUGAAAGAAACAAAUUAUCCCCAAUCCCUGUGGAUUCGACCCUACUUGCCCAAUAUACAAAUUAGAGAUUUUUCUUAAAUAAAUUUUGGUAUAUCGGAUUUAGCAAACUCUUCGGAACCAAGAUGAAUCUAGUAACCCAUUGCACAUCUAGAGUCCCUGUUCCAGUACCAUAAUUGACACGAAGUUGCUUCUGUUGGCAAUUAGGAUUAUUAAUAUUAUUAUUGCAUAAGCUCGACACCUGUCGAUACUCAUCUAACAAACCUCCACUCGGGGAAAUUUUUUUUAAAAAAAAAAUCUACAUAAGGGUAUACAUUAGCAGAAAAUGAAAAAAAAAAAAAAAAAAACUUUAGACUGCAAUCUAGUAACAUGUGUCCCAGGUGCACAAAGAAAUUGAAACAUAUAGAGCUUUGAUUGUCAAAAGUAGCACUAACACUCCUCGGAGUUUAAUUCAAAUACAGAUGAUCAAAUAUGAGUGACGCCUUGCGCAUAGCGGCAAUAGAAAACUAUGAAAGGAUAUGCCACGGUGUGUCAGCCAACCGUCUUUAGAGUUGAAAUUCUUUCAGGAGCUUCUGUGAUUGUAUGGUUUUGUAAUCUAGCAGCAUCAGAUUUUGUGAGGCAAUGCGUUGAUGAAACUUGGGUAUUGGUAUUCAAUCCCAAGAUCUUUCAUGUAAAAUGACUCGGAUGCGGAAAAGGCUUGGAUUCUCUGCUCCGGUCAACUUGAAAUAGGACUAGUCCCAGCACUUUAGGAAGUUGGUUAUUAGCACAUUUAAUUUUUUAUACUAAUUGUAGUAAGUAAUAUUUGGAGGGACCAUAAGUUCAGGUUGAAAAGAGGCAUGGUGAAACUCUUUCCAAAUACAUAGCACCUAGCUAACUUCCCUUACCCUACUACUUAUACAAAUAAAAGAGAGAACAAAAAUAUAUAACCCAUUAAUACAUACUAAAAGUUUUUACAGCAAUUACAUGGUGAAUUCAUUAAAUUAGGCAUUUGGUUGACUUUGAAAUGUGUGUCAAGUCAAAACAUUGUCAAAAAUUGCAUUAAUUUUUGAGAGUUGAGAUAUAUAUAUAUAUAUAUAUAUAUGAAUUAGUCAUCUUUGAAUUAAUUUUUUUCUUCAGAAAAAGUUAUUUAAUUUUUAUUGUACUAAUUAUUUAACUUUCAAAAAUUAAACAUAUAAUUUGAUGUUCCAUAGUAAAUUGACCCAAUGUAAUGUAUUAGAAUAAAAAGACCCAAUUCAUAAUUUUUAAUGGCCUAAAAAGACCCAAUUCAUAAUUGUUAAAAGCAAGAACUAGUACGUCUAAGAAUAGAACUUCAAUAUUUUGAGUUCGACAUUCCAAAUCAUCAUGAAUUGCAAGAAUUAUCUAGUAUUCAUGAGUUAUGUCAAGACUUGGUGAAGACAAGAAAAUCAGUGAUAUAUCUUCUUAUUGACAGAUUUAUUAGAUUUGUUAUUACUCUUCCUAUAUCAACUACAACUAUAGAGCGGACAUUUUCAAUUAUGAAAAUAAUCAAGACAAAGCUCCGAAACAAGAUGCAAGAUAAUUUCUUGAAUGAUUGUCUAACAGGAAGUUGCUGAAAAAUUUAGCAAUGAUUCAAUCAUAGAUGAAUUUAGUUCUAUGAAAGAGCGUAGAGCUCAAUUUACUUCUAAAAAAAGAUAUUGAAAUUUCAAAUUAUGUUAACAUAACUUUUAUCUUUUUUCAAUUGAAAAUAGUUACAUUUAUAUUACAUGGUUAUAUAUAUAUAUAUAUAUAUAUAUAUAUAUAUAUAUAUAUAUAUAUAUAUAUAUAUAUAUAUAUAUAUAUAUUGCAUAGAUGACAUAUUGGAGAGCAUCUUCUCAUAAUGUGCAAAUUGGAUGGUUUGUGAUGUUAUAAGAUAUUUAAUCAAAAGUUAUCUUUUUUGUUAUGACUAUACCGCAUAUUUAUGAAUAGACAUACCUUUAUAAUUAAAUUUAAUAUUUGAUAUUUUUAGAUGUCAAAUAUUUGAAUAGAAGAAAAUUAUUUUGAACAUAAUAUAUUAAAAUAAUUUUAUUAGGAAAAAAUUUUGGCCCUCAAAAAAAAAAAAUCCUGGCUCCGUCACUGCUUGUGUCCCGGCAUACAUCUAACAGUAGCUAAAUCAGAACGGCCCGUAGAAAAAGCUGUCCAAGACAUAUUCUCACCGUGGCUAGCUAUUUCCGAACUCGAAGAAGAAGGUGCCGAAAAAUAUGUCACAAUUGUAAAUCAAAACACGAAGAAAAAGGUGUCCAAGACGUUCCAAAAGGCUGCCUCUCCUAAUCUUCUGGUGGGUAUAAUGCUGACCGUGGUUGCCAGUUUGUCUUCAAAAUGGUACAUUUUUGGUACUCUAGACAAUAAAUAAAUAAAUAAAUAAAAACUUUACCUGCAUUUGGUAUUAAGUAAUUUUUCACUUUAAUUUUCCUUAAUUGUUGUUAGCUGUCAUACAUUGGUAAUUCAAUUUUAAAGUCAAAAAAUUUAAUUGAUUUGCAAUGAUAAUAUGGAACCAAAUUGGACAAAACUCCAAAUAUAAGGGACAACGAUAGUUUUCUUGAUGUGCACAUGCAAUUCAUGUGAUCAGUCAUCGGUUAGCUCUCACGAAUUACCGUUUUUAAGUUAACAUUUAUCAUUUUUCAUGAAGAUAAGGAGAAAAUUAGUUGAUUGUAUAGAUUAGGUUCUACAUUGGUGAUGAUAAACUUUGCCACUGGAUAAUGCCUAAUUGGCCGUAACAAAUGAAGUUUCGGUACUUGAGGUGACGCACUAGUGAAACCAUGCAUUCCAGGGAUAAGAAUUAAACUUGGAAAUCUGAAAGAUAACUAAAGAAUAAAUAUUAGAAUCAAUAAUAUAAAAAAAAAAGUUUCCAAAUCAAAUCAAAAUUAUUGAAAAUUGACCAAAGCUCAAAUCCAAAUCAAAUAAAUCCUUACACGUUAAACCCACGAGAAACCUGUUAUCAAGAGGUGCAAUUACCACUUGAUAAAACUCCAGUGUAGCUAUCACCUCGUGGAUCACACAUAUAUUGGGUCCUCUUAAUUAUUUUCAGUUGGUACGAAAUCAUUCAGAUAUGAUUUCCGUGACAAAUUCUGAGUGUAACGCAAUAUUCACCUCAACCAGUUGAGACAUUGUCUGAUAACCAUGAAAUUUGACUCUCCAAUUCUUGGGUUUUGCCUCUCUCUUUAUAAGGUGUAGAAUGUGGGUUUUCUUUCGAAUGAACCUGGUUCUAAAGAAUGCUAACUGGCUGACAAUUGCGGAAGUUUUUGUGCAUAUCUCUACCAUGAAGCCAAUCAAAAUGUGAAUGGACUAUUUUUUUUUUUUGGAAAUAUGUUUUUAUUUAUUCAUGGGAAAAAAAAAAUAUUCCUCUUACAUAUUUGUGAUUUUUCGAAGUGAAGGCAUUCCUAAUCUGUCCAAACAGAUUGCUCCACGAGCCAGUCUUGGGAACAUACUAAAGGUAUCGUAAACCUUCAUUUGUUGCUGUGGAUGAGAUAUUCCCACAUUAGACAAAGCAUCAGCAACUGUAUUAGCUUCCCGAUAGCAAUGUGAGAAUCUAGCAGGAUCUUCUACUAGCUUCCAAAUCUGGUUAACUUCUCUUCGAAUUUGCCACGGAUACUGAGUACGACGCUGAAUGAUCCCAAUCAAAACUAAUGAAUCUGAUUGUACACAUAUGUCUUCGAAGCCCUUUUGUAUACACGUUUGAAGGCCAAUUAGAAGAGCUCGAGCCUCUGCGCGGAGACUUGUAGUUUCUCCCAAGUAGGCCGAGAAGGCAAUCAGUGGUAAGCCAGUUGAAUCCCGAAGAACCCCACCACCUCCACCCACUCCUGGAUUACCUUUAGCACAGCCAUCCGUAUUAAGUAUAUACCUUCCUGUCUCCUUUGUCUCCCAGCGGAUAACUUUAUAUGCAACCCUGCCACCAGAAGGAAUCUUCCAAUCAUACAACUGACUGAAUGAUUGCAGUCGAAUAACUUUUUUGAACUGUAUUCCCACCAUAGUAUGGAUUUCUGCGAAGAUGGCUCGGCAAAUGGCCGACGAUCGCAUCUGAAUACCCUCAAACAUUGCUUUAUUCCUCGCCUUCCAAAUCUGCCAACAAACUACACUUGGAAGAAUGCGGUCAAUAAACCGUCGUAGCUCAUAGUCAUGUGAUCGCAACCACCAACAUACUAUGCGAGCUCGUAAGUAAGAUCCUGAAAAAUUCAAUCCACAUAGACCUCCAAAAUAAUUCCAUAUUACCGUCGCUAUGUGGCCAUUGGAAAAUAAAUGCUCAAUAGACUCCUCAGAUGCCGCAGAACAACAAAAGCAUUUGGAAGGUAAAUGGAAACCCAGUUUGCAUAACUGAUCUGGUAUCGGAAUCCUUCCCAGAAGUAAUCUCAACAUGAAAAAUGAAACUUUUACAGGAAUGCGGGAAUGCCAAAUAGAGGCAAAUACCAUAGACGUGGGGCGAGCCUGCCUAAUAUCCCCGAAAGCGGACUUUAGGGAGAAUUUUCCGGAUGUUGUGGGCAUCCAAAUGACUUCAACUUCAUUUCCUUCUUCCGGGACCAUUUGCUCUAAAAUGGAAAAAACAUUCUCCCUUGGCAAUGUCUGGUAUAAAAGAUUCAAAUCCCAGUGACCAUUGAGUGUGAAUUUUCUGAAUGAUAAAUGUGGGAUAACCGGAACUUGUAGAAAUAAAGCACCACUUCCCAACCAGUUAUCGUACCAAAAAUGACACGCCCCAUGUUUGGCCACCCAUAACAUCGACAGCUCCACUUGUCGGCUCACGUUUACCAUCCUUCGCCAAAUUGACGAAUCAGUUUUCCUAAGUUCAACCUGACAAGGGUGAAGACCUUUGCAAUAUUUUGCUUUCAUGAAUGUCGACCACAACGAUGAUCCUGUUCGGAAGUUCCACCACAACUUGCAGGAAAAAGCUGUGUAUACAUCACGGAGUCUCCGGAAACCAACUCCUCCUUCCUCAAUCGGAUAACACAACUGGGACCAACGUAUCCAGUGAAACUUCGACUCGUCGGGUGAUGAUCUCCACAGGAAUGUCGAGCACGCCUUUUCUAUAGUUUUAAACACCUUACUCGGGAUUACCGCUGCUGACAUCAGAUGAACUGGUAUUGAUGAUAAUACAUGCUUGAUUAGAAUUAUCUUACCUCCAAAGGAGAGUAGCCUUGAUUUCCAAGACAAAAUCCUUGCUAGAAUCGAUUGACACACUUCUCCAAAAUAAGAUGAUUUACAUCUUCCAAAAUAGAGCGGAAACCCUAAAUAGCGUAUCGGAAAUGAUUGCCAGGCAAACCUAGUGAUACGAUCAAUCACCCGUUGUCUCGCCGAUGGCAUCGAUGGAUGGAUUAAGUAACAACUUUUUUGUACAUUUAUCAGCUGCCCCGAACAUCUUUGAUAAGCCUCUAACACUUGCAUGAUAGCCUUCAGGGAAAAUGAGGAUCCAUUUGCAAAUAUGAGAAUAUCAUCCGCAAAAGCCAAAUGAGUAAUAGGCGGGCAUCCAUACGGAACUUUAAAUCCCACAAAACCUGGUUUCCGGGCAAGGUUAUUUAAUGCUCUAGAUAAUGCCUCAGCCCCUAUAAUGAAUAAUGCUGGUGAUAAUGGAUCACCCUGCCGGAGUCCUCUUGAAGAUUUAAAAAACCGUAUGAGGAUCCAUUGAUAAUGAUUGAAAACCAGGCAUUUGAAAUCAACCACCAAACCAUAUCGAUGAAUCUUUCACCAAAGCCAUACCUCCUCAGAACAUUGAUAAUAUGACUCCAUGCCACUCUGUCAUAUGCCUUAGACAUGUCUAGCUUCAUAACCACAUUGCCUCCUCUAUUCUUUUUCGCCAUACCCGAUAUCACCUCUUGAGCUAGCAGAAAAUUUUCCGUUAUAUUACGGCCCUUAACAAAUCCCGUCUGAUGGGGGGAAAUGAUUUUUGGCAAAAUAUCCGCCACUCUAUCUGCCAAGAUCCGGGAUAAAAGUUUGUUGAAAAAAUUGCAAAGACUGAUGGGUCUGAAUUGAGAAAAAUCUUGAGGAUUUUGCACCUUUGGAAUUAGUACAAUUGAAGUAGAGGUAAUGAACCGAGGUAACUCCGCUCCACAAAAAAAACUGAGUACCGCUUUGUAGACGUCUUGAGCGAUCACUUGCCAUGCAAAAGUAAAGAAUUUCCCUGUGAAACCGUCUGGGCCAGCAGCACUUUCUUCAUCCAUUGACCUCAAGACUCGGUGUACCUCUUCAAUUGAUGGGACUUCUUCCAACUUUGCAUUAUCCUCCCCCGAGACCAUAGGCGGAAUAAGGCUUAGCAUAUCUGAAGAUGAUGCCAAAGAAUCGUUGAAGAGAUCGUGGAAAUAAGUUAUUGCCGCACUAGCUAUAUCAUCCUCAUUAUCCACCCAAACGCCGUCAGAAUUUUUGAUACGAUGUAUCAUUCCUUGAGACCGUCUCUGUCUUACUAUUGCAUGAAAGUACUUUGAAUUGCUGUCUCCUUGGCAAAGCCAUUUCACCCUGGCUUUUUGUCUCCAAAAUUGCUCUUCAAUUGAUAGUACAUGCCUUAGCUCCGCCUGAGCCUUGUUGAGCUCAAUCUGACACUCCUCCGAGGCAUUGUUAUCUACACUUUCCUCAGCCCUUUGUACCGCCAUUUCUGCAGAUCUCACAGCGUCAAACACAUUCCCAAAGUGUUGCUUGUUCCAUGCUUGAAUAGCUUUCCUCGUUGCCAAUAAUUUAGAACAUAAGACACGCAACGGAGACCCACUGAUAUCUUGAUUCCACUAGACAUAAAGGGCAGUAGUUUAAAAUUUGUAGUGAAAUUAACUUAAUUACCUCAAUGGGAUUGAACUAAAAAAUGCAAUCUUCUAUUCAGACAAAAUUCAUAAGUUCUAAGUUCAUUAAGAAAGAUCAAUGCCUGUCAUAUUAAUGCAAAAUUAUUGAUAACAACAAGAAGGAUACUUUUAGAGGUGAUAUAGUCUAGAGUCCAUGCAUCUAACCCACUCUCUUGACAUAGAUUGGAGUUCAGUGAGCGUUAAACUCAAGUCCAUUGGCCAAAAAAAAAGAAAAAAAAAAAAGACUCAAGUCUAUUCAAAAAACCAAACAUUGGACUCCAAACCAGUGAUGUCGAAUUGAUUAUCCAUGGACGCUAAAACCGCCAGAAACAAGUCAUCAAGAGGUGAAACUACCACAUACGACAAUACCCAAUUAUUUAGCAAAUCAAGGAUAAGGAUUAGGACUGUCAAUGGGGCUGAGCCAGCCCGAGCUCGGCUCGUUCGGCCCGACAGAAAGCCCGAUGAGCCCUAUCAUUUAGUGAGUCGGUCUGAGCUUGAGCCUAAAAAUUAGGCCCGAAAUAAAUGUGAGCCGAGCUUGGGCCUUAUUAGGCUCAAACCCGAUAUAGGCCCAAAUAUAUGUAUAAUUAUAUACCUAUAUAUAUAAUAUUUAUAUUUUGAUAUUAUGUAUAAUUAUAUAUCCAAAUAUAUUUUUACUAAAUACUAAAUAUAUAUAUAAAUUACAAAACACAAAAAUACAUCUAAAGACUCUUUCGUGAGCUUUCUUGAGAGCCAAUAUUAGUAAUGCAUAACUAAAUCUCUAAUUUUUCUUAUUGGUUGAGUAAAUUUUUGUAUUGGCAUAUUAUUGGUUGAUUUUUUUUUGGUCUACAAACACAAAAAUCAUCAAGCAUGUUCGGAUUUAAAUCACAAGAUUAUAAAAAAAAAGUUUCAACUUUUAAAGAUGCAUUGGCUUAUGAUCGCAUGUUUUAUUACUAUUUUUCAUGCAUUUUAAACGGAUUAAAUAUAAAUAUUGUUGAAAAAUUUUUUGGUUUAUAUACUUUUUAAGAACUAUUAUUUGUUCAUGUUUAGUUUUAAUAUUAUAGUCUUGUAUAUGUUAAAUUAGUUUUACAACUUAAUAGUUAUAGUAAUUAUAUUAAGAAAAUUAAGGAGUAAUAAAUGAGCAUGGGCUAAACCCAAUUAAGGCUCACAACCCAAAUAUUAUAUGAGCUAAGUAUGAGUUUCACAUUUACGAACCCGAAACUCAUAGCCCGAAGCCCAAAAAUGUUUCAAAUUAAAUGAGUUGAACUUGAACUCAUCAAAACCCGGCUCAUUAGGCCCGAUUGACAGGCCUAAUAAGGAUCAGACAAGUAUCAGGGUAUUAAUAGUCCUCUAUAUUAUUUAUUUGCAGCUGGUACGAAGUCAAUUAAUCAGAGAUACCCACCAAAUGACACAACUUAAGACUUGAAGGAAAAAUAUGAUUGCUGAAGAAUCGUUAUCAGAAUCAAAUCAUUGCACCUUAAAUACAACGUUUUUGGAUUCGGUUAGGUUUGCAUCGAGGUGGAGAAGAUCUCAAUUACAUACAAGCAAUUAACAGCAGAAGAAACAUAGCUUUAAUAUCUGAUUCUAGUAAUGGUUUCUGGCAAAGAAUACGUUGUCCUUCGCGAGUAAUGUUUCUAGAAACAAUCUUUAUAUAUUUUGUGUUUAAAAUAACUUGAAGAAUACGGCAAAAGUAAGCUUUGGUUUGUGGACUGAUGAGUAAACACUAUGAAAUGAUGAGUAAACAUCAACAGUAUAUGUCUGGAAAGAGAGGAAUUACAUUAUUUUUAGCAACAAGGUUACUAAAAUUGGGGGUUAUUAUAACUUUAUCCCUUUAAACUAUAGUGCUAAUAUCAAUUUACCUUUUUAACAUUAUUUUGCAGGCAUUUGACCUCGCAGUUAUUCUCCUUUUUCAUUCUAAAAGGACCAAGAAAAAUGUAAAAGGGUUCCCUUUUUUUUUUCAUUCUCAACUAUUAAGAAAAAAAAAGAAAUUGAAUAGAGGUUGACAGAAAACUCAAUUUCAGAAAAAAGGAAAAUAAAGAAGAAUCCAAUAUUAUAAUUAAUUUAAAAUAAGUUAGAGUGGGCAGUAGGGGUGAAGAGUAAGUAGUAAUUUUAAAAUAAUAAGCACAUUGGAUUCUUUAUUAUUUUUAUUUUCUUUUUUAAAAUUGAGUUAUCUCUCUAUUUUCAUAUUUUAAGUAUUGAUAAGUACACAAGGAAAAAAAGAAGAAGACAUUUUUUUUUUACUUUUUUCCCCUUGUUAUUAAAGAGGGUGGAAAAAAGGGAGAAGACACUUUUUUAUUUUUUUUUCUUGGUAUUAAAAGGGGGAAAAGGGGGGAAAAACCAUUCCAAUUUUUUUUUUAUUUUUAAUCAUACAGGAGAGGGAUGUAUUUCUUCUAAAAUAUUAGGUAAAUUAUAUAUAAUUUCCUGUGUUUUCAUCUAUUGCCACAUGAUCCCCAAAACAUUUUAGGGUUUUAUGUGGCUGAUGUAAGGGAAAAAAUUCAUAUUAAUACCUUAAAUUUCCCUUAAGGAGUUUUUAUAUUUAAAUCAAAUUAUUCAAUGAAUAUAUUUUUGUUUUUCUUCUAGUCUUAAAGAGUCUUGCCUCAGGCCUAAAUCAUUUCCACUAUAUUCCUUUGGCCAAAUUUACAAUCGUAUAUUUGUGUUUGUAGUCGUUGAUUGAACUUUGGUCUUAGGAAAAAUGAUAACAAAUGGAAAGAGUGAGAUACAAGUCAAUUAAAAAACAUCAUUAACACUAGAAUUUGUGAGACAUGGAGACUUGGAUUAUAAAAAGGAUAAGAAAACUUGAAUAGGUGAAAAAGGGUGGAUUAAAACUAUAUGAAAGAAGUAGCAUAACAGUGAUAUAGUAUUUGGUGAUGGGAAGAUUCUUGGAGAUGUGUUUUUUAAGUUUGAUAGGCAUUUUAUUACUUUUGGGAAGAUUAUUAUAAUCAUUUUGAGUCCUUAAAAAAAGCAUGGACGUAUAAUAUUUGAAUAUAGAGGUGGGCAACAUGAGAUUAUCAGAAAUCUUAGAAGAAGUUUUUGAAAUUAUCCUUUGCUGUAAUACUAUUCUUUUUUUUUUCCUACCUUGUGAUUAUUGAUUUCCACAUUCACACUCGAAAUGCUAAGGCAAAAAGCAAAAUUCAAGGAUGAAAAAUGAAAGAAAAAGAGACAAGGUUAUAAACAUGGGGAAAGACUCUAGAUUUGAUUAAUGCUAACAUAUUAUAAAAUGAUUAUAGCAUUUCUUUUUCAUUUUUUAUGAGUGACACUUUUUUAAAAAAAAUUAGUAGGGGAAUGAUGGGAUUUAAAAAGCGAAAAAAGAACAGGGAGAUCAAAAUUCAGGAUCUCUAAUUCCUGGGAGUAACAUGAUAAUAUUAUUUCUAAAAACCCAAUAUCAAUCCUAUUGGUGUAAUAUAAAGGAAUUUGGAUGAUUGAAGUGUUUAAAAUAUAAAAUACUUCUUAAUUAUAAUAUCUUAUUCAUUAGUCGAAUGUGGAAUCUUAUGUUUGUUGCCCCUUUCUUUUUUGCUCUGGAUUUGGGUUUUUGGCGUUGAAUUUUGAGUCUGAAUUGAGUAAGAUUAUAGCAUGAGAAGGUUCAUUUAAUUAAGUUCUUCCUACAUUUAAAAUGGGAGCGUACAUGACAUAAAAAAGAUUAAAAUGGUAAUAAUUUACAAAAGAGCAUCAUACUGGGAAUAUUUUUCCUAAAAAAGGUCAUUUCAGAAAUAAAUUCAAUAUGAGUAUAUUACUAAAUUUUAACCAUAAUUAGUGAUUAGACAUUAGUUCAUCAUUCAUAUUUGAAUUAUUGAGUAUUUGAAUGUAUAACUUGUAACUUGUAACAUAUGCUAAAAGUACAUAUAUAAUGGCUGAAUUAUUGGACUCCGACAGAAUUUUGCGACCAGUCCGUCCCAUGCGUUAACGUGUCAUUGUGGGUGGAGUUCCAAUAUCAAAGAAAUACUGUAGCAGUGGUUGAAUUAAUUAAUGAGCACAAUCGAAAUGUACAAUUAAUUACACCAGCCAUGGGGAGAUGAUUAGAAAAAAGUGACCCGGCUAAAUAUGCAUCAAUAAAUGCUGAAAGGAAAAAUCAAGAGAAAUUGGCAGGUUGGAAUUAGAUAAUAAAUAUAAGUAGAGUUUAUUUCCAAAGUAACCUUCUUUAGAAAAAAAAUAUUCCCAGUGUGAUGCUCUUUGACAAAUUAUUACCUUUUUAAUCUCUUUUAUGCAACGUAAACUUCCAUCUUAAACGUUGUGAGACCUCAUAUCAAAAAAUCUCCUCCUUGUUCUAAGGGAUAAUUUCACAAACUUCCCCUAAAAUUUUCGACAAUUACAUUUAGAUCCCUUUACCUCUAAAAAAUUAUGCAAACCUUUCCUGAAUAGUAGUUGUGGGUUUUAUGCGGCUGAUAUAAGGGAAAAAAUUCAUAUUAAUACCUCAAAUUUCCUUUAAGGAGUUUUUAUAUUUAAAUCCAAUUAUUCAAUGAAUAUACUUUUGUUUUUCUCCUAGUCUUAAAGAGUCUCGCCUCAAGCCUAAAUCAUUUCCUCGAUAUUCCUUUGGCCAAAUUUACAAUCGUAUAUUUGUGUUGGUAGCCGUUGAUUGAACUUUGGUCUAAGAAAAAAUGAUAACAAAUGGAAAGAGUGAGAUACAAGUCCAUUAAAAAAACAUGAUUAACACUAGAAUUUGUGAGACAUGAAGACUUGAAUUAUAAAAAGGAUAAGAAAGAUUGAAUAGGGGAAAAAAUGUGGAUUAAAACUAUACAAAAGAAGUAGCAUAACAGUGAUAUAGUAUUUGGUGAUGAGCAGAUUCUUGGUGAUAUGUUUUUAAAGUUUGAUGGGCAUUUUAUUACUUUUGGGAAGAUUAUUAUAAUCAUUUUGAGUCCUUAAAAAAAGCAUGGAAGUAUAAUUUUUGAAUAUAGGGGUGGGCAACAUGAGAUUAUCAGAAAUCUUAGAAGAAGUUUUUGAAAUUAUCCUUUGCUGUAAUACUAUUCUUUUUUUUCUACUUUGUGAUUAUUGAUUUCCACAUUCACACUCGAAAUGCUAAGGCAAAAAGCAAAAUUCAAGGAUGAAAAUGAAAAAAAAAAAAGAGACAAGGUUAUAAACAUAGGGAAAGACUCUAGAUUUGAUUAAUGCUAAAAUAUUAUUAAAUGAUUAUAAAAUUUCUUUUUCAUUUUUUAUGAGUGACAUUUUUAUUAAGAAAAUUUAGUAGGGGAAUUAUGGGAUUUAAAAAGCGAAAAAAGAACAGGGAGAUCAAAAUUCAGGAUCUCUAAUUCCUGGGAGUAACAUGAUAAUAUUAUUUCUAAAAAUCCAAUAUCAAAUCCUAUUGGUGUAAUAUAAAGGAAUUUGGAUGAUUGAAGUGUUUAAAAUAUAAAAUACUUCUUAAUUAUAAUAUCUUAUUCAUUAGUCGAAUGUGGAAUCUUAUGUUUGUUGCCCCCUUUCUUUUUUGUUUUGGAUUUGGGUUUUUGGCGUUGAACUUUGAGUAUGAAUUGAGUAAGAUUAUAGCAUGAGAAGGUUCAUCAUGUUCAUUUAAUUAAGGUUUUCCUGCAUUUAAAAUGGGAGCUUACAUGACAAAAAAAAAAGAUUGAAAUGGUAAUAAUUUACAAAAGAGCAUCAUAGUGGGAACAUUUUUCCUAAAAAAGGUCAUUUCAAAACUAAAUUCCGAGAAUCCAUGGUUUCAUGUGGGUUUUCUUUUCAUGGACGUGAUUAACAUCAUGUCUCUUAUCAUAUCCAUGAGGAUUAUUAACAUCCAAGUCCUAGAGCCUGAUUGCAUUAGUACUAUCCUUGGCCUUGGGUAUAAUAUCACAAGUUCCUCCCUGUAAAGGUUGCAAUGCGUUUUAAGAGAGUGAGAAUUAAGUAUAUCAUGGGGAAAAAAAAAAAGAAUGGCAAAGUAACUUACCAGAACAACAAACAGAUGGAGGAGGAUAAUCCAACAAGCAAGUCCUUUGGAAUCCAUCAAUUGGUAGGUUUUAUAUCCCUUGCAACUCCUCCUUUGAAGGAUUAGAAAACAGCAGAAGCAAAUGCCAAAUAUUACAUAUCGAUGAAAAGUGUGCUUGAUUAGAAGGUUCUUUUUCAAAUAGUCGAUUAAAAUAUGACCCCUUGACAGAUAGUGUUUCUUAUUGAGGUUGAAAAAUGAACCAAAUUACUUGAUACUCAAAUCAAAUUUUGCUAAAUAAAAGUUUGUUUGAACUUAGUUUGCCAACUAAUCAAAUCAAAAUUUAAGAAGUAUUAUUAUGUGUUAGAUUAACUAUCAAAUUUGGCAUUAACUUGGCUUGAUUAACGUAAAAUUAGAAUUUACAAGUAAAAAAUUCAAGUUACUCAAGUUCGAUUCAUGCUCAAUUCUAUAAAAAAAGCUCAUUUGAGUUUGGCUUAAUUGAUAAACAAGUCAAGUUUGAAGACCUUCCUCUUAAAAAAAUUUUUAAAAAAUCAAGUUUGAGUACAGUUUCAAGUUUAUUAAAUAAUCUAACAAGUUUGAAUACUAGAACAUUGAAUCUAGGAGAUCUAGACAAAAUCACUAAAUUUAUUUUAGACCAUAACUGUAGAUUAUUUAGAAAAAAAAGGACCAAAAUGUAGACCUACCCACGUGAUGCAAACCAACCAGCCACGUGAUCCAUGCUGUAACCUUGCUAGCUUCACUUACCUAUCGCCUUGUAUAAAUAGCCGUAUAGCCCCCAAGAGUCUUUUCACCACCAAAGUUACAUUUUGAGUCUGUUCAUAGGCAAGGCAUGGCUUCAUCUAUCACUCUGAUCGCAGUCUUUUCAAUUGCCCUGGUAAGGUUUCUCAACCAUCAAUACUGUACUUGAAGUAGUAGUUCAUAUGAGAUAAUUGCUAGACUGUAUAGGAAUACUGAUGAAACCCGUGAAUUAAAGCUACCUGAGAAAACACAUUCUUCUUCCUUUUUGCACAUUUAUCUGCAGCUCUAACCAUCGCCACUGAAGGAAUGGAAGCUCUUCAGAUGGCUCUGUAGUUCUAUUCUCAUAAAAGCUUGACUUCCAAACAUUACCAAUGCUGGUACCAUACUUAAACGUCAAUGUAACUUGAGUAACGGCAUAUGACACUAUUUACCCUUUUUUAGUUAGAGGAUUCAUCCGGGAAAGAUUGAAAGUCAAAUCAAGAACCUUAAAAUCAACAUAAGGAAUAUUCCUGUUGCCAGUUGAGCUCGUCUUUGGAAAUUAACUAUCCUUCCCUACAAGGGGUCAUCUUUUACGGUGCUACCAUCAACGUACCUAUAUUGACGUUAGUUUCUUUUAUGUUAAUAUUUGCACAAAUGUGCAGUUUGCAUGCAUCACGGAAGCAAGGAAGAAUCCUACGGACUUUUUGCAAUCUGCUGUCAUUAAUGAGCAUACUGAGGACAAUCACCAUGCAGAGUCGUCCCUUUCCAAUCAGAAGAAGACAAGUAAUGGUAACACAUUGAAGGAUUUCGAGUCGAAGCCCGGCUCCUUUCUCUGGGGGUAUCAAGGCAACGAGGCUGAGUCUAAGUCUAAGGAGGAGAAGCCUCUUAUGAAAGGCUUUGAGUCGAAGCCCGGCUCCUUUCUCUGGGGGUAUCAAGGCAACGACGUUGAGUCUAAGUCUAAGGAGGAGAAGCCUUUUAUGAAAGGCUUUGAGUCAAAGCCCGGCUCUUUUCUCUGGGGGUAUCAAGGCAACAAUGCUGAGUCUAAGUCUAAGGAGGAGAACCCUCUUAUGAAAGACUUUGAGUCGAAGCCCGGCUCCUUUCUCUGGGGGUAUCAAGGCAACGACGCUGAGUCUAAGUCUGAGGAGGAGAAGCCUCUUAUGAAAGACUUUGAGUUGAAACCCGGCUCCUUUCUCUGGGGGUAUCAAGGCAACGACGCUGAGUCUAAGUCUAAGGAGGAGAAGCCUCUUAUAAAAGACUUUGAAUCGAAGCCCGGCUCCUUUCUCUGGGGGUAUCAAGGCAACGAUGUUGAGUCAAAGUCUAAGGAGAAGAAGCCUCUUAUAGCCCGGCUCCUUUCUCUGGGGAUAUCAAGGCCCUCUUAUGAAAGACUUUGAGUCAAAGCCCGGCUCCUUUCUCUGGGGUAUCAAGGCAACGACGCUGAGUCUAAGUCUAAGGAGGAGAAGCCUCUUAUGAAAGACUUUGAGUCGAAGCCCGGCUCCUUUCUCUGGGGGUAUCAAGGCAACCACGCUGAGUACAAGGAGGAGAAACCACUCGUGAAAGAUAAUUAAUGUCCAGGGAAGCCGCAACUUUACCUCUGAAUGGACCACGGACAUAUAUGUCUUCUAGCUGGUCUGAUUUUCUGCAUUUUCUUUAUUGGCAUGAACAUGUGUGAUAUGUAAUAAAUGCAGUUCUUCUUUCAACCAAGCGUUCUGUAU
rnacentral:lncRNA from 1 species